GACUUUCUUGUUCUUAUCUCAUUUUCUUCUUUUUUUUUUUUGUGGUAAAAUAAUCUGUUUUUUUUUUUUUUUUUUUUUUUCAUUUUUAGUUAUCAAUUUCUUAAGAUUCUAUUGCAACAUUAAGGUCCCUACUGUUUACAGUUAAAGUGAGUAAGUGACUGCUGGCAGGGCAACAGUCCGAAUAGUGUCACGAUCAAAUGGUAAAUCAAUUCCAUGAUAACGUGAUCAGUAUUUUAACGCCGAUGUGAUUCACUAUUUAGUUAUUUCUCAUUCCAUUUGCAAACCAUGAAUUAUUUCCAGUAAAAUUGUUAGAAAUAAUAUAAUCCAUUAGGUUAAUUAAACCUAAUUAAAAUAAGGUGAGUUUAGUUAGGGUUAAGCAUGCAGUAGACUUAGAAAUUGCAAGGUAGCGUAUACCGCAGAGAAAACUGCAUGGAGACUUACAGUAUAACUUAUCUCAAACUUACAAUUAAUUAAGUCCAACGAUUGAUUAGAAUAUAUACAUAUAUAUUCGUGAACGAGUCCUGAGAUUGAUUAGUUGUAAUUCACAACGAUUAAAUUGUGAUUUUGCAUAUCGUAAUACUAAUAUGUCAAGAUCAUGCGUUUACGUCGGAAUGGCCUAGUUCACUUAAUUUUGAAGACAAGUAAGCUGAUCCGAAUUAAUUAUUCGUGGUACUUUUCUUCUGCCAAGGUUAAAGAAAGAAACACGACUGAAACUCUCCAACAGAACCGCACUAUUGAAAUGUGUAGUGUACUAAUACUAUAGUGUUUUUGUCAUUAUCCUAAUAUAUGUCUGAUCCUGGAGACUGUACUCUUACCAGCAAGAUAGGAAAGGAGUUAUUAAUUGUACCUGCUGACCAAAACUUCAAAGAAGGUUGUUGAAUAGAUUAUAUUACUGUUAAAUGUAGAAAAAACGUUUUUUUUCUAAUUCGUAAAUGUAUUACUUUGAUGAUGAGUUCUCAUAAAUAACGAUUUUUUUUUUCUUUUUCUCAUUGUGCAUAUCCUUUUGGUUUCAUACUAAAUAUGAAAAAGCAAGAGAAAUUAAACAAAAAAUUAAUAAAAAAUUAAUAUAUUAUAUUAAUAUGGAAUGUGAUAUUUUAUGUCUUUUCACAAUUUUGUUUUACCAAAUCAACAAAAUUAAAAGUCAAUUUAAGUAGUCAAUAUCUUAAAACCUUUUUAAAGCAAAUUAGAGCCCCCAAAGUCUUAACUCUUAAAUACUUUAUCUGUCCUAUUUUUAGCAUUUUGUAAUGUUUGUUUAUCCUUAAUAUGUUUUAUCUUCUCUUUGUGUGUAAGGUUUUUAUCUUGUACCUCGUAAGAAUUUCCUACCAGAAAAAAGAUAAGAAAUGGAUUGAAACUAUGGACCUAUAUAUUUUUUGGCCCAAAUACCGACCCAUUGUUUCCUUAUAUAAUAAGCUCAAAACAAAAAGUUAUGAACGAAAGACGAACAUAUGACGUGAGGCGAGAUGUUGAAAAAAAAAAAAAAAAAAAAAAAACAAUGAGGCGUGAGCUUCAUAUCUUUCAAAUAACCUUUUUGACUGAAGUCAACGUUUUCAAACGACUUUUGAAAAACCAAAAGAAAAAAAAAAAGAAAAAAAAAGGAAAAGAACAUAUGGUAUAUUGUUAUCGUGUUCCUCAUAUAACGUGUCCGCGAAGCCAACUACGUCCCACACCUCUCAAAUCUCAAUCAUAUAAUCUUGCCGACAAAUGCUAAAUAUUGCUCGAUUGAGAAUAAUUGGUUUUAUACAUGUAUUUUACAUAUAUGAGAUGUAAUGUAAGUUAGGUUAAAUAAUAUAUUGUUGUGGUUGUUCAUCUUCGUCAUAAAUGACUCUUUCACAUUGGCUUUACAUCCCAUGUUCAUAUUUAAACAAACACAAGCACAAGAACUGAAGCAAUCUAAAUUAGUUGAACAUGUUCAAACGACUUUUCAAACAAACAAAGCACAUAUACUAUAGUCCCUUUGAUCGGGAACUUAUACGCUGCAUACGUUAAUAGUUUUGUUAAUACUUCCCUAAAAGAGUCAAAAGCCAAGAGUUCCUCCUUCAACUGGCUGAUGUUUGGAAACUGUCUUAGCAUCUUGAAGACUCGUUAGGUCUCUCUACCUACAUUCAAGAGAACCUAAGUUGGUCACUAGGGUUUGGUAUUCCAGGUGUUUCCAUGUUGCUUUCUCUGUUUCAUCUUCCUCCUUGGAACUACCUCUUACCGUUUUAGGAGUGGAGGAAAGAAAAACCCUUUCGCUAGAAUCACUCGCCUGUGUUUUUAUUCUGAAGGUUGCAGUUCAUCUUUUACUUUGGCUUCACAUCAGAUUUAUGUUUCAGAUUUCUUGUUUUCUUAUGUUAUCUUGAUUUGUAUUUAAAUGAUGCCUCUUUUGAGGAAAAUAUAUAAGAUGAUUAAUAUUAAAAAAAAAAAUUGAAUCAGUCGCGUGUGUUUUCAUGGAGGCUUUAAAGAAAGAAGACAUCCCGAUUUAGAUAUAGCUAACGCGAACGAGACUCUCCUUCUCCAAGCUCACAAGACUUCCAAACAGUUCAGGUAACAUAAUUAACAGAAAUGUGAAAAAAAAUUAUAUUGAAAAAAUGUUUAUAGUUUCAUUUUCUUGAAUAUUAUGCAGAUUCCUAGACAAGGCAGCUAUUUCAUGUGAAAUGGAUGAAAGUGAAGAAGCUUAUUUGAAUUAUUGACUAUGUAUGUUGUAAUUAAAUAGCGUUUGUGUACAUCCAUAUAUGUAAGCACGCCGAGCAUUUCCGUUAAACCUCUGGAGCAUGAAAAGUCUUUUGAGGAGCAGCAGACUUCAUCAUGUGGAGAGCUUCGACGAUGAGAUCACAUAGGUGAUGAGGGUCUGGAAUCACGUCUACAUCAACUCCGAUGUUGAUUAUGAGUUUCUCCACAUAGCUCUGUAUAUUGAUAACGAGACCCUGACAUCGGAAUUAAGUUUCAUCAACGAAGGUUCCUAACUGUACUAGUGCAUGAAUACGGUGGAGAGACUUACACUUCUAAUAUACAAUAUCCUUAAUAAAUACAUUGCAUCAUUUUACCUUUUUAAUAACAAUGAUUUGAAAUAAUAUGGAUAAUAAGUUUAGUUUAAAAAACCGCAUUGGAAAAAAAAAUAUAAAACAAUGUGAAAUUAAAACAAUAUUCCAAAGAAUACUCAUUAUCGGAAAAUAAUGAUUUUCUCAUUUUGUGUAAGAGAAUAGAAUACCUGUGGAACACCAAAGGUACUUGCAGCAAUGUAAGAUAUACGAUGGCCAAAAAAACUAAUUUCUUCGGAUGGACCAACCACAUUAGUGAAUAUUAUUGUUGUGCUUCCAAAAAUUCUCGCUAUUAGAUUUUUAAGUGCCUGUUUUCCACCCCCACACACCCAUAUAUGGCGAUCAGAUGCACAAAAUACGUUUACUAUAUUUUGAACUACAUAUAUAUAUGUAUUAAGAAUAUUUUACCUUGAUUCCAAAAACCUCCAACGUUAAUCUGAGCAACCCAUGGGAAAAUAGAGGUUCGAGGGAAUGUUUUUUACGAUCCAUCAUAGUUUUGGAUUGUCGAACAUAUUCAAAUACAUCAUCGUUUGACUUCAUCUCCAAGGGAAUUAGAACAUAACCUAUUGAGUUCCCCCAUCUACAUUUUGAACCUUUUGCCAUCAUAUUUGCCAAAUCCUGCAUACAUAUGUUAUGUGUUAGAUUCUUUCUACUUUUUUUUUUGUUAGAAAAAACAGAUUCCUACUAUUUUAAACAAGAGAAAUAAGAAGCAAAGAUCGUUUGGGGUAAGUAUGUUAUGCAGCACCUCAAUAUCUCUAUUUGGCCUUAGAUUGAAAAAAACAACACCAUGAAGACGUUGUUCGUCUAUAAGUUUUCUUGACUUUGGAGAUGUUUCAAGAUGAUCUGUUCACAUAUUUAAGACAAAAUAUUGUAAGAAUAUUGUUAGUUUGUUUCAUAUAUUACUUUAUGAUAUUUAAACAAGAGAGAUGAUUUACCAUAUCUUUGAUGCAAAUAUUGAGAAAGACCAGCUUGUACCAUCCCAAAAACAAUAUCAUUUACAGUCUAAUAGAAAAAAAGAGGAAAAACGGAUGUCAAAAAAAAAGGAGAAAUUAAAAGACAUAAAACUUCAUCUUUCUAAUUAAGCAACGUACCAUAUUCAUGGCGUUCUUCAACAUUUUGACAUCAUCCAAACUAAUGAUUCGAUGAAUAAACUUAUUACUGCUAAGUGUAGCUCCUGGUUUACCCAUUAUAUGAGCUGAGAUGUCCCUCGCACGACAAAUAAAAAUCAUAGACUUGAUAACUUCAACACAAGUGUGGAACAUUACUCUUACUAUGAACCAGAACCAAGCAACCAAUGCAAAACAAACGUUCUUCGCUUUGGUUUUCUUCGGAACCACAAAGGUAGGCAGCGCCUCGGGAUCACAUGUUUUCCGGGUACAAGCGAGUAAAAGAGACAUAAGAGACAUCCCAUCGCCCAAAGAGUGAUGGAACCUAGCCACGGCUACAGAUUCGGCAUGUGAUGUUUUAAGCUUCAAUAUAUGAAACUCCCAUAAAGGUUUGGACAUAUCCAUUGGAGAGAGAGCCAUAUUAGAUGUAUAGUCCUCUAGAAAUUCAUCAGGAUUCUCAAUGUUGGGAUCUAUAUCCGGAACAAUUACAUGGUCUUCAACUUUUACUUUCGUUGGAAUCCAUUUAGCUUUUCCUUUCUGCUCACCAUAACCAGUCACCUACAUGUAUCAUAUGAUGUUAGGGAUAUUUCGUAUACAUCUGAGUGAGAGGAAGCCUAACCUAAUAUAUUUAUGGAUAAUAUAUGGCUAAACUUAGCAUAUAAACAAUAAAAAUGUGUGUACGUUAAUUAGUUACCGACCAGUAUGCUAGAGAAGCGUGGAUGGUUGAUCAAUGUGUUCUUUAAGCCUUCAACAAUGGUUGAUGGAUUGCAUUCGCUUUUGCAUCCAAUGGUUACAAUGUUGAAGACAUCGAGACCUGGCAAGCUAAACAGCCGUGCAAAUGGACUUACUGACAUCUCUUCUUCCGUUACUUGCCUUUCUAUUCCCAUGUCUCUUAUUUUCAUUUCCGGGUUGAAGGAAUUGUUCGACAAAUUACAUAUGCAAUAAUUUUUAUUUAUAGACAUACACAUAGCUAUUCGUUAAUUAUUAAAUGAGGUUGUUGGGAAAGACAUACAUAUAGGUUUCGUUAAUUAUUAAAUGAGGUUGUUGGGAAUCUAAAUGCCUCAAAUAAAUUGUUGUUCAAGAGAUAAUUUUUUUGAAGCUUUGGGUAAAAGUAUGUACCAUAAAAGCUCUAGAAAUUUUAUAUUCAGUAAACUAAUAAAUUUUGUUAAUUCCAAGUCAGGUCAAUGUAUGAACUAACAAAAUUUUAUGAAAAUAAUAAGAUUUUUUUUAUUAAUUUAUGUUUUUAAGUUUUUAAAAUAAUUUUUCCUAAAAGUCAUCCUUAUAAAACAGUUUUAAGUUGUAUUUGAAAUAACUAGAAACUUGAAACUACUACGGAGACAAAAAUACGGUAACUCCAAACUGAAUCUUUAUUAGAAAUUCUUCAAACAUAACUCUUACAAACUUAUUUUAUCAAUGUUACACAACAUCAUAACCUGUGAUUUGCCCCUAAACGAUUCCUAAUCUACCUAGCUUACCAGCACAACAGCUAUUGACACUCUUUUAUUCACUCACCCACGAACUCACUUUACCCACUUAUUUUUCUUGGACCUGAUAGAAUCUCACAUUUUUUUCUCUCAAAAGUGUUAAGCCUAAUAUAAUAAACUCACUUCGUUUAUAUAGCUCAAACUUCACAGCUCCUUUCUUUAUUCAACAUGCACUAUGAAAUUCCACAUCAUCGUGUUGAGUUCACAUAAAACACAUAUGAUUGAUUAAACUACUAAAUAACAAUAGGAAAUAGAACAAUUAGAUAAUAGUAUAUUAUAAUAUCAUGCUAAUUUUUGAAAAUAAUUUUUCAAUAAUGCUUUGAUAAAAAAAUAUUAUUAAUUAAUUAUUUACAUUAUUUUUAAGGGAAACAUGAAUCAUGAUCGGUUCGUUUGAUUAAAUUAUUAAUGAACCUCUCGUUAAUUACUAGUAUGCUUGAGAAGCGUGGAUGGUUUAUCAAUGUGCUUUGCAAGCCUUCAAUGGCUGAUGGAUUGGCCUCACUUUUGAAUCCCAUGGUUACGAUGUUGAAGCAAUCAAAACCGGGCAAGCUGAAUAACCGCGAAAACUGGCUAACGGCACCUCUCAGGCAGUCACUUGCAUCUCCAUCGCCAUAUCUUCGUUUUGGCUGUGUUUAUUUGAAUGACUCAACAAAGUGGAUGGUUGGUUUAUAUACACAUGCUAAGCCACACACGUACACAUCUUUCAGUAUAUUUGUAUUGAAAAGAUGUUUAAAAGUUUAGUUCUAUAUAAAUAAAAACGAUUAUAAAAUAUUGUAUAUCAUUUAGGGAAUUUAUUAUCACUUUUGACCAUGUCCAUGAGUUUUUCAUUUUUCACCUUUUUACUUAUCAAUUUCUUAAGAUUUAAUUGCAACAUUAAGGUCCCAACUGUUUACAGUUGGAUUAAAGUGAUUGCUGGCAAAGGGCAACAGUCUUAAUAGUCACGAUCAAAUGAUAAAUCAAUUCCAUAAUCAUGUGAUCAGUAAUUUAACACCGAUGUGAUUCAUCACUUUUGAUUUUUGUUAGCAUACCAUUAGUUAUUUUAAUUACAUUUCAUUUGCAAACCAUGACCUAAUUAAAAUAAGGUCAGUUUAGUUAGGGUUAAAGGCUUGAAGCAGUAGAGACUAGUGCAAGGUUGCGUAUAUAUACUGCAGAAAGAAAGAAAAAACCCGCAUACAGUAUAACUUGUCUCAAACUUACUACCAGCGAUUGAUUCGAAUAUAUUCAGAACGAUUGAAUUGUGAUUUUGCAUUGUAAUAAUAAAAUAUAUUAUGUCAAGAUCAUGCAUUAACGUUGCAAUGGCCUAGUUGACUUACUUUUGACGACAAUAAGCUGAUCCGAAUUAAAGUCGAUCGUGGUACUAAUUUUCUUCAGCCAAAGGUUAAAGAAAGAAACACGACUGAAACUCUCUAAGAAAUCGCACGAUUAAAUUGUGUGUUAGGUUAAUAUAUGUAGUGUUUAAUUCUGGUCAUUUUCCCUAAUGUACAGUACAUUCUAAGUUGACGUAGUGUGUCUGAUCAUGGAGACUGUAGACUUACCAGCAAGAUAGGAAAGGAGUUGUUACCUAUACAUAUCCGAGUAGGAAUUUUUUAGUGUACCAGUCCAAAACUUCAAAAGAAGGUUGCCUGAUUAAUCAAUUAUAUAUUUAAAAAAAAAAAAAAUUAUAUAUCUAUAUUAACAUUUUUGAAGUACCUUUUAGAAAAUAACCUUUUAUUUUGUAUUAUUUGCAUAAUAAAUCCUUGCCAUUUAAAUAAAUAACAAACUUUUAAAACAAAAUUUGUAAUUAAAUUACAUCAAAAUCGCAAAAUUAGAAACUAAUAUUUAUUACAUUUAACAAAAUUUCCUAAUAAUGUCUUCCUAACAAAUUGAAUAUAUCUCCAAUAUCUUUAUAUGAUCUUAUUUGUUUUAAAAUUUACAUUAUUACAUAAAACAUAAGUAUAAUAAAAAUACAAUUUUUUUGCAUAUGUAGCAAUUUGAAUUUUUGAAAACGGGCAUAUAUUACUCAAUCAAUAAAAGAAAAAAACAUAUACGUAUAACGUCCCACAUCGGGUAGAAAAAUUUAGACAGUGGUUCGGAAUCAUUAUAAGUAUGACUAAUAUGAAACUUAAAAAUCCAAAAUCUUGAAUGGAAGAUUACAAAAAAAAAAGUUAUGCCAAAUUUUAGGGAAUCCAAAAUUUUAAAAUCUUGAUUGGUUAAAAAUGAGUUUUUGGAAAACAAAAACUAAAAUCUCUCUCGAAUCUAUAAAACAUUCAAGGUUUAUAUUUUACAUAAAUAUGAUUUAACGGGUUUGAGUUAUAUGUUUUUCUUACGGGUUAUCUUACGGGUUAACAAAACAAAAAAAUAACAAAUAUAGCUUAAACAUAAUUUUUUUAGUCCCGCGAUUUAAGUAAUAAAAAUAACAAUCAAAAAUACAGUUACACAAUCUUUAACACUAACAGGAUAAUAAAAAUUAACAAAUAUAACUUAAAUAUAUAUUUUUUUAGUCAAAAAAAUCGUCCCGCGGUGUAUUGCGGGUUAAAAGCUAGUUACUGUUAAGAUAGAAAACACGUUUUUUUUCCUAUAAUUCGUACAUGUAAUAUUACUUUGAUGAUGGGUUCUCAUAGAUAACGAUUUCUUUUUUCUCAUUGUGGAUAUCAUUUUAGUUUCAUCUUUUCACCUUUUUUUUUUGUUUUUUACCAAAUCAACAAAAUUCAAAGUUAAAUUAAGUAGUCAAUGUCUUAAAAUCUUUAUAAAGCAAAUUAGAGCCCCCAAAGUCUCAACUCUUCAAUACUUAAUGUAUCCACUUUUUAGCAUAUUUUAUUGUUUGUUUAUCCUUAAUUUAUAAUUUCUUCUCUUUGUGUGUUUAGGUUUGUAUCUCGUAUCCUUAAUUGAGUUUAUACAUGUAUAUAGGUUUUCGUUGUUUUACAUGUAUGAUUUAUGAGAUGUAAUGUAAGUUAGAUUAACUAAUACUGUUGCGGUUGUUCAUCUUAGUCAUAAAUGACUCUUCCACAUUCGCUUUACGUACAUCUCAUGUUCAUAUUAAGACAAACACUAGCACAAGAACUGAAGUAAUCUAUAACUAGUUGAACAUGUUCAAACGUCUUUUCAAAUAAACAGAGCACAUAUCCCUUCUAUCGAGAACUUAGGGCAUCCUUAAUGGGGGUAUCUUAGCUUCCUAAGAUACCCCUAUUGAGCAAAGAAAAUUUUUAUAUAAGAUAUUUUCUUUGAAAAAGUGGGGGUAUCUUAGCUUCCUAAGAUACCCCUAUUGAGGAUGGUCUAAUUAUAAGCUGCUGAAAGUGAAAAAGCAAAGGCAGUUCUUAGGCUUAUUCCAAAUUUCCAAAUAUGGACAACUACUUGCUAAUCUAAAGCAAGUAGUAAAAUAUCAUUUUGGAGCCAAAAGAAUUGGCUACGUCCCGCCAACCACACAAUAGCGUUUUAAUAUGGUAUUUGCUAUUAAAAAAACAUUUAGAGCUUUUGCCCCCAAAAAAAAAAAACAUUUAGAGCUUAGAAAAUAAAACGUGGGAAGCGCAGACUUAAUAGCAAAUACCAUAUUAAAUCAUUUCAUCGGAUUGGUCUGCUCCAAAUACCAUUGUUAUUAAUGAAAGUAACUCCAACAUUGCCUUUUGUAAUACAUCAAGCCCAGUUCAAAUAUUAAUACAUCAAGCCCAGUUCAAAUAUUAAUACAAUAAGCCCAGUUCAAAUAUUAAUACAAUAAGUCUGCGACUCCAUACAUAAGGGCAUGUGCAUCAGAGGGACCAAUUUCUGGUCCCAAAUUUUUUUUUUUCUUUUUUUUCUUUUUACAAAAAAUUAAAAAAAAAAAAAAAAUUAUCCAAUAGCGGGCCGCCACGUGUCAGUGGGGCCCGCGAAUGGAAGAGGGACAGUCCCGUUUAAAGGAACAACCCGCACAUAAAAUUUUUUUUUUUUUUUUUCUUAAAAAACUGGGGGACUGCCAUGGGACCUUCCAAUGCCCAUGGUGUAACACUAUAUAGACCAGACACUUAUUAAAACGUGGUAUAAUCAUCUGUCUUCUAAACUGAAUUGGCUUUUAUCCAUUUUUGAUAUGGCUUCAUGACAAACCAAGUCAACACGGCAUACCAACCACGGGAAAGUAAAAAGUCAAAGAAUUGUUCAGCCACAUCUAUCACUAAAUUAAACCAAUCUGAUCAGUAAUUUAGCAAAAUUGCAUGAUUCUUUAAAUUACCAUUUAAACCAAAGCCUAUCAUGUUAUUCGUGUAAUAUAUAUAUAUAUAUAUAGACAUAAACAAGAACACCUAUUUUAGUAAUAAAAAGAAAAUUUUAUAAGAGAUGAUAUGAUGUCUUUGGGAUGAAGCUUGCCCAAUUGUCUCACAUAAAACUCCGCCAUGCAGCGUUCUCCUCCUGGACCUAAAAUCAUUAACUGCGAUGCAGCUUACGCUAAGUUGGUGAUAUAUUAAUCAACACACACAUGGCAUCGUGAUGAGACGUAUCUGCCUCCAUCACCGUUGUCCAUCCACAUCAAUUUCAAUUUUAUUGAAAGUUCUUAUAUUACUUUAUCAAACAAGAAAAACCCCAAAAAGGUACUUUACUAGAAAGUAUUUUAUUUCUUUUUAUAGAAAAGAUUAUACUAUUUUAUAAAUUGAAAAAGAUUAAAACUGAUAAUUGUUUUUGUUCCUUAUGCAAGUUUUCAAAUCUUAAACAGAUAUAGAAAGUUUCUGUAGUAAAUAGAAGAUGCAAGAAAGUGUAUUUGGAUUUUUAUUUCACCGCUAGAAACAAAACCAAGUUGAUUUAUUAAUUUUCCAGCCGACAUAAAAAAAAAUAAUAAUAAUACGUUCAUGAUUAUUUCCUUUAGUCAAAUAAAUAUAAGUUUUCAAAUGUGUACAUAAAUAAUAAAAACGCCAAGAUUACAAUAAACUACGUAUGCGAUAACUCCUAAAUAAACUAAUUUGGACCAAGGAUGCAUCAUCAAAAGCUGGAGGUCGAUCCCUAUCAUCAAUUGAGUAAAUCUAACUUUUCACUUCUUUUUAUCAAAUUCUAGUAACCACCCGAUUUUUGACACUUAUUUUCCCCUCGUCCCCAACCACUUCAUGUACGGUCUCAUUCCUAGCACCAAAGACUUUGAGGCGUUGCAAUUAUUGAUAUAUGGAUCCAUGAUCCACUGUAACGUUUUCGUCGUGAUUCACGUAUUAAAAGCUGGCAGAUUAUAAUAUGAAACCUAGUCUCGAUUUUGGUCAUCGUAAUGUACCAACUAUAUAUAUAUAUAACCUAUAGAUCAAUAAGCCCUGUCAAACAAAUAUUUUAACAGGCAAAUGUCGAUGGCCACGGCCGAUACUGAGACUGGAACUACAGUUUCAAACGAUAUUGUUCAGGGCUCCGUCGAUUUUCGAGGCAAGCCAUCCGUCAGAUCCGCCUCGGGUGGAUGGAGAUCUUCUGGCUUCACCAUUGGUAAAGUUUUUGACCUAUUUUUUCUUGCACCAUGUAUUCAAAGUCUCAAACUAAACUUUCCCGCCAACUAAACAAGAGAAUAUAUAUUCCGGCAGGUGCGGAAAUGGCAGAAAAAUUUGCCUACUUCGGGGUAGCUUCAAAUCUGAUGACCUACUUCACUGGGCCGCUACAAGAGUCGACCGCGGCUGCAGCCUCAAACGUCAACCUCUGGCUCGGAACAGCUGCUUUUUUGCCUUUGGUAUGGGGUUCUAUUGCCGACUCGUUUCUUGGCCGUUUCCGUACCAUCCUCUUAACCUCCUCUUUCUACAUCUUGGUAAUAAUUUUUAUGAUCCCCUACACUUGUUUUAUGGUUGUUCCUACUUAUUAAAAUUCUCUAAUAUACUUAUUUUGUGUGCUCUUGAAUUUUAUAGGGACUUGGGCUGCUUACGUAUACAGCAACAAUUCCUGAUCUUUGUGCAGAUCAAGAAACACAUGAUUCUUGCGUUUCUCAGGUCAAAAUAGUAGUCUUCUUCUGUGCUCUCUAUCUGAUUGCUUUGGGGGAAGGAGGCUUCAAGGUAUGUCUUCGAACUUUCGGAGCAGACCAGUUUGAUGAACAUGAUCCUGAAGAGUCCAAAGCCAAGAGCACCUACUUUAACUGGUUGUAUUUUGCGAUAUCAACCGGCAUAUUCACCACUCGGUUGGUCAUCAAUUAUGUCCAAGAGAAUCUGAGUUGGGCUUUAGGAUAUGGGAUUCCAUGGCUCUCCAUGAUGCUUGCCCUGUUCUUGUUCUUACUUGGAAUCAAAACUUACCGCUUCAGCACUGGCGGAGAAGGUAGACAAAUAAAAAAAACAUAGCAACCCUUUUGUUAGAAUUGGACGUGUCCUUAUUGCUGCAGCCAAAAAUCGACGACAAACUCCUUCGGAAGAGACUUGUCUUCUUCUGCCUGACGAAAGUUCGAAUAAAUACAGGUAAUACUAAGUUUACAUAUUUUUUUUGUCAAUAUGCUAAUCUAAAAUUUAGUUAAACCAUAAACCUAUUACGCAUCAUCUUUUUAUAAUAAGUAGUAAAUAAAUGAAUAGACAAAAUAUUCUAAAUCUAUAAAUCUUAAAGUAUGUGUUCGUUCGUUCGUGUGGCAUGUUUGAUAUUUGUGUUUUGUCACUUGUACAAGAUAGUAAAAUACUUUUAAAUAAUACAAACUUUGGCAUAUGCAGAUUCUUGAACAGAGCGAUAAUUUCGUGCGAUUCAUAUGAAGUUGAGGAAGCAAAAGCUGUGUUGAGUCUCAUUCCAAUAUGGAUAUGUAGUUUAGUGUUUGGCAUUGUGUAUGGACAAUCUCCUACUUUCUUCACAAAGCAAGGUUCUACAAUGGACAGAUCAAUCACACCAACACUCUUAGUCCCUGCAGCUACACUCCAAUGCUUCAUAAGCCUUGCAAUUCUCUUCUUCAUCCCAAUCUAUGACCGUUUAUUCGUCCCAAUCGCACGAUCAUUCACUCAUAAACCAGCAGGGAUCACAACGCUUCAGAGAAUUUCCACAGGCAUUUUUCUAUCAAUUAUUUCAAUGGUGACAGCUGCUUUGGUCGAGAUGAAAAGGCUCAAGACCGCUCGAGAUCACGGGAUGCUUGAUUCGCCUGAAGCCAUUGUCCCAAUGAGCGUUUGCUGGCUGAUUCCACAAUACGUUCUCUUUGGAGUGUCUGACGUUUUCACUAUGGUUGGAUUACAAGAAUUUUUCUAUGGACAGAUCCCGGUCGAGCUUAGGAGCAUGGGGCUGGCUCUAUACCUAAGUGUUAUCGGCAUAGGAAACUUCUUGAGUAGUUUCAUGGUAUCGGCCAUAGAGAUAGCCACAAGCCAGUCCGGUCAAGCGAGCUGGUUCGAUAAUAACCUGAACCAAGCACAUCUUGAUUACUUCUAUUGGCUACUUGCUUGUCUCAGCUCCAUCUCCUUCGUUUGCCUUGUCCAUCUCGCCAAGUCGUAUGUCUACAAGAGCCCAAAGUAAACUCUCCAACAAUUUUGUGGAAUAAUGUCACGUUGAAUGACAUGAAAGAAGUUUAAUGGAAAUUGUGAGACGGAUGAAUAAAUAAAAAUUUAUUUACUAUUUACGUUUUUGUGGUAAGAAAAAAUCUUACGCCGAGUAGUUUGGAAAACUUACAAGGAACAGUUGCACCACAUUUCAACCAGAGCAUGUAUAUUAGUUUAACAAAUACAUAACUUAAUUAUCAAAUACAACCAAUAUUAGACUAUAAGAUACUAUUUCUAUUUUGAUGCAAGAAUCAUUAAUUAUUUAUAUGACAUGAUUGAAAUAAGUUGAUUCUACCCAACCGCUACUCUCCAAGUUCAUCUUUAGAUAUGCUUUCUAGGUUACCAUACACAUAGCAUAUGGAGGGAAAUAUAUGGGAGAAGCAGUGGCGGAUCCAGCCCAAAAAUUAAGUGGGUGCAAAGUGACACUUUCAGGAUUCGAACUCACCAUCUCUCAUAUAUUAUACAUGUAAACAUAGCCAUUUUGCUACAUUGAUAAUUAUGAACAAAGUAAUUUUUUAAAUAAUUUGUAAGUUACUGGUGGCAGCUGCCACCACCAACCACAAUGUAGGUCCGCCCCUGGGGAGAAGACAAGGUGACACUUCCAUCCCCCAAAACUCAAUAGUGUAAGAAACAAGCUCAGCACUAUAUGAACUCAAGGUGCCUACGAACGCAUACAAAUGAGGAGUUCGGAAUUCGAUCUAAAAGCUACUCUCUCAAUAUAUCUACUCCUUUGGUUCAUUUAUUGUAAAAACAGUUUUUUUUUUGUUCUGUGGAAUACAAUUUGAUAUUCAUUCAAAAAAAUAAUGAAAAAGGUACUUUACUUUUAAAAAGUCUAUUAUUAGUUUAUUACAUAGUACUACUUAUUUAAAAAGAUCAAAAUUGACAAAUAUAUAUAUAUUAUUUUAAAAGAAAGUUUUUGUUGUAGUAAACAGAAGAGGUACAAAAUAAUUAAUUUGAUUUUUCUUGUCACCGCUACAAACAAAACAACAUGAUUUAUUAACUGGGCAAGUAGCGAACAGAAAAUAAAAUUCAAUACGACUAUGAUGGAAUUAGUCAAAGAAAAAUUAGUUUUUAUAAAACAUCUAUAUAAAUGAUAAAAAUUCGAAGAUUACAAAUCAUCUGACGUCUGCCAAAAAUCUUGAAUAAUUCCAUUGGGCCAGGAUGCAUCAUCUAAAGCUGGAGAUCUGAUCGGCCGUCUCAUCAAUUGAAAUCUAACCUUCAUUAACUUUUUAUUUUGACAACUUCAUGUACGGUGUCAUCCCUAUACACCGUAGACUUUUUUGGUUUACGCAGUUAUCAAUUAAUGGAGCAAUCAAUAGCGUUUUCGUCGUGGCUCACGUGUUAAACGCUGUCAGAAUCUAAUAUGAUGAAAACGCUAGACUUAGAUAGAUUUUGGUCAGUGCAUGUGAACUCCAGGACAGGCAUGCAUGUAGAUAUCGGCCGUAUCAUCAUCAUAUGUGAAAUCUAAAAUCUUGCAUUGAUUUUUAUCAAUUAUAUAUAAUAACCACCAGAUUGUGCAAAUUUCUCCUCUUUUCCAACCACUUCACACGGCGUCAUUCCUGUCACCUAUGAAUUUUUUUUUUUUGAAUGUAACCUAUGAAUUUUAUAGCGUCGUAUUUAUCAAUAGACCAAUCAAUAACGUUCUCGUGACUCACGUGGCUAAUAUAUAAGAUAUGAAAGCAUAUUCUAGAAUUUGGUCAAUGUGAUGCGCCAAAGUUGUGUAUAUACUAUAUAUAUAACCCUAUAGAUCAAUGUUGACUUUAGAACACACAAAAAAAACUUAUAGAUCAGUAAUUCUGAAACAAUAUUAUAACUGGCAAUGUCGAUGUCCAAGGACGAUAAGGAGGCUGGAAUUAUAGUUUCAGACGGUAUUGUCGAGUGCUCUGUGGAUUAUCAAGGCAACCCAUCCGUUAGAUCAACCUCGGGUGGAUGGAGAUCUUCUGGCUUCACCAUUGGUAAGUUUUUGACCUUUCUUCUUUUCACCACUUUACUCAAACAUCUUUCCGGCCAACUAAAAGAAGAUGAUACAUUCGGGCAGGUGCGGAAAUGGCGGAGAAAUUUGCUUACUUCGGGGUAGCCUCAAAUCUGAUGACCUACUUCACGGGGCCGCUACAAGAGUCGACCGCGGUUGCAGCCUCAAAUGUCAACCUCUGGCUCGGAACAGCGGCUUUUUUGCCUUUGGUAUGGGGUUCUAUUGCCGACUCGUUUCUUGGCCGUUUCCGUACCAUCCUUUUAACCUCUUCUUUCUACAUAAUGGUAAUAACUAAUCCCAAAGUUUCCUCUUAUUCACUAAUGGCCAGUUGGUUUUAAGACUGAAUCUCAUAUUUCUUGAAAAUCUUUAAUGUCUUCUUUAUAGGGACUUGGGUUGCUUACUUUUGCAGCGACGAUUCCCGAUCUCUGUGCAGAUCAAGAAACACAUGAUUCGUGCGUUUCACAAGUCAAAGUAGUAGUUUUCUUUUGUGCUCUCUAUCUGAUUGCGUUGGGUGAAGGAGGUUUCAAGGUAUGUCUUAGAGCUUUCGGAGCAGAUCAGUUUGAUGAACAAGACCCUGUAGAGUCCAAAGCCAAGAGUACUUACUUUAACUGGUUGUAUUUUGCGAUAUCAACCGGCAUAUUGACCACUCGGUUGGUCAUCAAUUAUGUCCAAGAGAAUCUGAGUUGGGCUUUAGGAUAUGGGAUUCCAUGCCUCUCCAUGAUGCUUGCUCUGUUCUUGUUCUUGCUUGGAAUCAAAACUUAUCGCUUCAGCUCUGGAGGAGAAGGUAGACAUGGAAAAAAACAUAACAACCCUUUUGUUAGAAUUGGACGUGUCCUUAUUGCUGCAGCCAAAAACCGACGACAAACUUCUUCGGAUGAGACUUGUCUUCUUCUGCCUGACGAAAGUUCGAAUAAAUACAGGUAAUACUAAGUUUACAUAUUUUUUUUUUUUUUUGUCAAUAUGCUUAUCUAAAAUUUAGUUAAACCACAAACCUAUUACGCAUCUUCUUUUUAUAAUAUUAAGUAAAUGAAUAGACAAAAUAUUCACCUAACUUCAAUUUAUAAAUUUUAAAGUAUGUGCACGUGUGGCAUGUUUUGUCACAUUUUCACUAUAAAUUUUCGAAUAGAGAUGUUAUAUAUAUAAAAAAUGUUCGACCAGAUAUUUAUGUAUACAACGUAUACUUUACAUUUUAUUCCACUUUAGACAAUUCCAUACGUAAAUUCUAUUUUACACAGACACAAAAAUUGUUGACGUUUACAUUUAGAUUAUACAAAAAAAAAAAAGAAUGGAAAGUAAAAAAACUUUUGUGUUUUGUGACUUGCUUGCUUCAAAUGUUGAAACAUAAUAAAAUGUUAAUAAAUAAAAAACUUUGGUAAAUGCAGAUUCUUGAACAGAGCGGCUAUUUCGUGCGAUUCAUACGAAGUUGAGGAAGCAAAAGCUGUGUUGAGUCUCAUUCCAAUAUGGAUGUGUAGUUUAGUGUUUGGCAUUGUGUAUGGACAAUCUCCUACUUUCUUCACAAAGCAAGGUUCUACAAUGGACAGAUCAAUCACACCAACACUCUUAGUCCCUGCAGCUACACUCCAAUGCUUCAUAAGCCUUGCAAUACUCAUCUUCAUCCCAAUCUAUGACCGUUUAUUCGUCCCAAUCGCACAAUCAUUCACUCAUAAACCAGCAGGGAUCACAACGCUUCAGAGAAUUUCCACAGGCAUUUUUCUAUCAAUUAUUUCAAUGGUGACAGCUGCUUUGGUCGAGAUGAAAAGGCUCAAGACCGCUCGAGAUCACGGACUGCUUGAUACGCCUGAAGCCAUUGUCCCAAUGAGCGUUUGCUGGCUGAUUCCACAAUACGUUCUCUUUGGAGUGUCUGACGUUUUCACUAUGGUUGGAUUACAAGAAUUUUUCUAUGGACAAGUCCCGGUCGAGCUUAGGAGCAUGGGACUGGCUCUAUACAUAAGCAUAAUCGGCAUAGGAAACUUCUUAAGUAGCUUCAUGAUAUCCGUCAUCGAGAUGGCCACAAGCCAGUCCGGUCAAGCGAGCUGGUUCGAUAAUAACCUGAACCAGGCACAUCUUGAUUACUUCUAUUGGCUACUUGCUUGUCUCAGCUCCAUGUCCUUCGUUUGUAUUGUCUAUCUCUCCAAGUCGUAUGUCUACAACAACCCAAAGUAAACUCUCUAGCGAUCUUGAGGAAUAGUUAAUGUUAUACGUUGAGUGACAUGAAAGAGAUUAGAUGGGAAAUAGUGAGACGGAUGGAUAAAUGAAAUAGUAUUCACAAUUUAUUUUGAUUGUUAAAUCAUUCUUCAUAUUUUUGUGUUAAUAUAUCGGUGAUUAACGCUUUAGUGGUAAUAAAAGCUUUGUAUACAUACAUCAAACUGUAAAAGGAAAUAGCAUCAUUCCAACCCAAAACACAACUUAUUCCUCCCCACGUGGGCUGUGGUAACAUAGAUGACUUAGCUUUAGCAAUUGGGCUGCAUUAAAUAUAUGUUAAUUUACAUAAUUGGGCCUAACACCCAACUAAUCAAAUUACAUAUUUUAUAGUUUAGACAAUAAGCAACUCAAAUAGUUUUUUUUUUGUUUUUUUUUUUUUUGUCAACAACUCAAGUAGUUUUUUUUUUUUUGGUAAUAGAAACAACACAAGUAGUUUGGCUGGCAGGGGAGAGAAAAGACAACCUUCUGAUGCGAGUUGUUCUGUCUUCAUCUGUUGAUGCGAGUUCACUAUGGUAGAAACAAAUAUAUUAAAACAUAGCGUACGUAGGUUUACCAAAAAAAAAAAAAAAAAAAAAAAACAUAACGUACGUAAUUUUAUAAAUUUUUUAUAUUAUAAUUUCAUUUUGUAUAGUAGUAGCAUAAAUCUUAUUUUAGGCUUUUAGCCGUAGUGGCAUUAGCAUAAAUCUACUAAUAUUACACAUAGUCGUCAUAGCAUUAGCAUAAAUCUACUAAUGCUACUAAUUUUGUCUAGUAGUAGUAGUAAACUAGUAAUAGGGUUAACAUAAAUAUGUUGAUUUAUGCUUCUAGUUAUGUGUAGUAAUAGCAUAAAUUAAAAAUUAAAUCUUAAUUUUAGUUGUAGUAGUAUAAAUCGUGUGUAAAUUUGAAGCCGAAUAUUGCUAACUCAUGCCCGGAGGUAAUGUCAAUCACUCAAUUUGGUUUCUCUUUUGUCAUUUCAUGAUAAAAGAAACAAAGCAAGUUGUCUCGUCAUGUGAUGUAAAAAGACCAUAUGAUGGUGAAAACGGCAAGUUUCGUUUUUUUUGGGGUCUUUUUCAGGUAAGAAACGGCAAGUGUUCACAAUUCACAAACACACUUUUUUUUUUUUUUUUUUUUAAUUGUGUUCACAAAACACAUUAGACAAAAAGAAGCGUUUGCCCUUUCCGUGAAAUUACAAGAACUAGUUACAUUAACGUAUAAUUGUCGGAUAACAUUUUGCAAAUAUUUUAAGCUAUUUGCUUGUUUGCCCCCAAGUUUCUAACUAUAAAAAAAAUCCAUAUUCGUGUAAGUCGUAACGUAAAAUUGAAAGAAUAAAUUAAAAAAAGUCAGAUACGAUGAUCUUAGCAUCUUUUUACAAAAGAAGUAAAUAAUAGUAUCAAAUAUGAUUUUAUUAUUAGCCCUCCCACCUAAAUAGAUAUAAGAAAUUCUUAAUUAUAAGGAUACUGCAAACUAGGAUCAAUCAUUGUUAGGAAUGUAUAUAAAAAUACAAGUAAGUGGGUUAUGAAAAGAAAAGAAAAAAAACCAGCUAAAUGCGAUGUAAAGAGUGUAUUAAUAAUAAUAAGAUGGCAACAGCGAUGAUGAACAAAAACAGCUUUCUUUCUUCUUUUUUUUUUUUUUUUUUUGUGUUGAGAAAAGCAACCCAAUGAAGGGAUUUUUAACGGAUCAAUCCGCCAUUGUAUACUACCAACUUUACUUUUUCGAAUAUGUAAUCAAAAUAUAUAUAUAUAUAUAUAUUAUUUGUGGAUACGUAUUUAUAAGGUUUAGUCUUUAGAAUGUAAAUUGAAUUCAUAUUAGGUGGCAGAAAAAACCUUUUGAUGACCAAAUAGAAUAUAGAACAUACUAUGCCAUGUUUGGAAUUUAAGUACUGUCUUAUAUGAUGACUUUAACCGUGGGGUUGAUGACAGCUCUAGUAGUAGUACCUAUUGCAAUUUUCUCCUUAAUCUCUGGUUUUGAGUUCGAGUAUAGAAUUACAACUUACAACAACGCAUCAAACAACGGUACGUGCCAAUGUAUAUAUGUUUAUAGUAUAGAUGACCAAAUACAAUAAUUUGAGGAUUUCUUUACGUGCGAAGUAGUCUCUGGGUGUUACUUUUAGCUAUAUGUCUAAAUGUGAUCAUGACAUACUAGAGUUGAACCUUGAUGAGACUUAUGGAUUCAAAACUACUCAGAUUAUCAACACAAAUGGAGGUGUUGAUAUGUCGUAACAUAAAUACUUCAAUUUAUUUAUACAUUUUUGAUAUAAAAAAAAUAUAUUUAUACAUGCACAUGUGAAUCUUUUCGGACCAUGAAAGAAAUUCUCAAGACUUCGUUUCCCCUUUUCACAAAUGAAACUUAUAUAUAUGUAUAACCUAGAUUGAAAUAUAGUUAAUUACUAUAAGAUUUUUGUCCCAAAAAAUUACUAUAAGAUAAAGACAAUGUCCUAACGUUCAGUGUACGUCAACAACUUGAAACAGGUGAAAGAAAUGUUUAUUUUGGAUAGGCAUGCAAUUGCACACCAUCACACUGCACGCAAAAGAAAGGAAAUAAAAGCCAUGUUUUUUUUUUUUUUUUUGAUUAAUAACAUGAAAUAAAAGCCAUGUUAUUAAUUAACUAUACUGUAUAUACUACGUUGAUAUCUGUGUUAAUUACGGUUUAAUCCUUUGAAAAAAAAAUCUGACGUCUAAAUAAUUCAUCACAAAAUCAUGACGGUUGAUAUGAUUAUAUGAACAUCAGUCAAAGUUUUCGAAUUAUGAACAAAACUAUCGUGACAUUCGCUAAUUUGGUGUCAAUAUCUGUCUCAGUUAUUAAUUAUUAUUAACUAGUAUCGGAUAUUAUCGACGAAUUCAUUAAAAAAGUUGAAAUGAUCUGUAUUUUAUAUUGAUUUUCAAACGAGCUUUUUUUUUGUAAACUUUUUUCAAACGAGUUAUACUUAUAAAUUUUUCUGAUAUCUGGGAGUAUGAUAUGAAUAAGUAAGGGCAUUAAACGCGGUUACAGAUUUUAUUUACCAAAAAAGCUUUGUUAAUAUUCGACGAAUUAAAUAGUAACAUUUUCUUGGAAUUAAUUUUGAAAUCUUCAUGAAUUUAUUGCUUUUGUACUAGAAUAAAAUACCCAAAAAAAAUCUCAUACUAAUUUUUUACUUAGUUAAUACUUAAAACUUUGGAUUGAAUACUAAACUUAAUUUAUUUUUACAGCAAAAUGAAACUGGCGUCCAAUCUUUUUUCGAUUACUUGAAAAUACAGAAACCAAAAAAAUAUUUAUUAGAACUAUAGAUACAAUCAAUUCCAACUUAAAUUCUAUAAAUAAGUUUUUCUACUAUAAUUUAAUAUCUGGUUUAGGCUAAUAAUAUUAUACUUCUGAUUCGUGUUUAUCCUUUAUAAUGAGAAAAAUAAAAACAUCUUUUAACAUGUAAUAAGAAAUUGUAUGUGUUGUUACUAAUGUUAUGAUAUAAAUAACAUGGUGUCAUGAUUUGAAACACAACUUUACUUUAUAAUAAAAACAUGACUAGCAUUAGCAUGCUACUGUCCUUUCUCUUUACCGUUUCAGAAAUGAUUCCACUUUUUUUUUUUUUUUUGCCCCAUUGCUUUCUGUAUCUAAUUUGAAAAUAUAUCUUCUUUAAUUGUAAAGAUUUUGAUAAUUAAUUAGGCACAUAGAAAAGAAUCUUGACAACUAUGAAGAAAAGCAGUAUAUAAUAUCUUCAAAUCAAGAAGAAUCAUAAUAAAAAUAUAUUCACAAAAGUGUAAAUAUAGUAACUAAUAUAAUGUUAAUUAUGGAGAAACCAAUUAUAAUACAACAAGGUAAAAUAGGAUUUGGUUAGAAAUGGAAGUUUUACCAAAAAAACAAAAGACGGCCGUUGGGAGAAGAAAGAAGGAGGACCCCAAAGAGAGAGAGAGAUGUGUGUUCGAAUGAGCUGUCAAAACAGCUCCGACCAGUCUGUUCCCUUUUGCCAAAUUCCUCUGUUUCGUUUUUUCUUCUUUUUUAUUUAUAAAAACCUCUCCUUCUUCCUCUUCUCUCUCUCAUCACUAACCCUUCUCUCUUUCACUUUCCAAAUUCUCUCUCUCUCUUUUUCUUGAAUUUUUGAAAGAUGGCUCAAGAAGAGGUACAAAAAGCAGCUGAUGUCGCCGCCGCUGCUUCCGUGACUGAGAAACCUAUGACUGAUAAGGAAGUUACGGUUCCUACCCCUGUGCCAGAGAAGGAGGAAGUGGCUGCUCCUCCUGCCUCUGAGGAGAAGGAGGCGGUUCCGGAGAAAGAGUCCUCCCCGGUGGUUGAAGAUGAGAAAUCUGUUCCGGCGAAGGAGGAAGAGACUGUUGUUGUAGCUGAGAAGGUGAUUGUUUUGACGGCUGAGGAAGUUCAGAAGAAGGCACUUGAAGAGUUCAAGGAGCUUGUGAGGGAGGCUUUGAACAAACGGGAGUUCACUGCUCCCGUGAAGGAAGAGAAACCUGCUCAGGAGGAGAAGAAAACAGAGGAGGAAACUAAAGCAGAGGAGAAAACAGAGGAGAAGAAAGAAGAGACAGCCACUGAGGUGAAGGUUGAGGAAGAGAAGCCUGCGGUUCCAGCGGCGGAGGAGAAGUCAUCAGAGGCGGCUCCGGCAGAAACCAAACCCGAAGAGAAAGCAGCCACUGAAACAACCGAGAAAGCCUCUGUUGCUGAGGAAGAUGGAACCAAGACCGUUGAAGCGAUCGAAGAAUCGAUCGUCUCUGUUUCACAACCCGAAUCCGCCGUGGUAGAGACCGUGGCCGUCGCCGAGGAGGAGCCAGUUGAGCCGGAAGAAGUCUCGAUCUGGGGAGUUCCACUCCUCCAAGACGAGAGAUCCGACGUGAUCCUCACGAAAUUCCUCCGUGCAAGAGACUUCAAGGUCAAAGAAGCUUUAACCAUGCUCAAAAACACCGUCCAGUGGCGUAAAGAAAACAAAAUCGACGAGCUCGUCGAAUCAGGAGAAGAAGCGAGCGAGUUCGAGAAGAUGGUAUUCGCUCACGGUGUUGACAAAGAAGGACACGUCGUGAUCUACAGCUCCUACGGUGAGUUCCAGAACAAAGAGCUUUUCUCCGACAAGGAGAAGCUUAACAAGUUCCUCAACUGGAGGAUUCAGCUGCAAGAGAAGUGCGUGAGAGCUAUCGAUUUCAGCAACCCCGAAGCCAAAUCUUCGUUCGUGUUCGUCAGUGACUUCAGGAACGCUCCAGGACUCGGCAAGAGAGCGUUGUGGCAAUUCAUCAGACGUGCUGUUAAACAAUUUGAAGAUAAUUAUCCUGAAUUCGCCGCUAAAGAGGUAUCAUAUUUUUCGUCACAACAUGCAAUAUCCGUGAUUUAACCAGGAUUAUGACAUUAACAUUAAAUUUAGUAUUAGAAUUAAAUAUGAUAUAGUACUAAUUUUUCAUUAAUCAUAGGCUUUUAAGAAGUUUAUAAUUGGUUGAUUUUGUUUUUAUUUUAAUUGCAGCUAUUCAUCAAUGUGCCAUGGUGGUACAUACCUUACUACAAAACAUUCGGAUCUAUCAUCACAUCGCCAAGGACUAGGAGCAAGAUGGUCCUUGCUGGUCCAUCCAAAUCUGCCGAUACGAUUUUCAAGUAAUUAAACGUUCUUUCACUUUAAACCAUUUCAUAAUACGUUUUUUUUUCCUCACCGAGGCUUAUAUUAUAUGUUGGUCGAAAACAGAUACAUAGCUCCUGAACAAGUCCCAGUUAAAUACGGCGGACUUAGCAAAGAGGUUCCUGCAGCCACUGUAGAAACCGUAACAGAAGCUAUCGUUAAACCGGCAGCAAACUACACCAUUGAAUUGCCUGCUUCUGAGGUACUAUUUUGCCUAUAAACCCUAUAUUAUAUACAUUCAGAAUAGGAUUACUAUUAAUAGUCUAAUAAGUUGAUAUUGUAAAAAUGUUGUUGAUUAAGAAGGGUUAAUGUUAAUUUGUGGCAGGCAUGUACGCUCUCAUGGGAGCUUAGGGUUUUGGGCGCAGACGUGAGCUAUGGAGCUCAGUUUGAGCCAACCACCGAGGGAAGCUAUGCUGUGAUCGUCUCUAAAACCCGGAAGAUUGCAUCAGCUGACGAACCGGUGAUAACCGAUUCUUUUAAGGUGGGUGAACCGGGAAAGAUUGUGAUCACAAUCGAUAACCAGACUUCCAAGAAGAAGAAAGUGCUUUACAGGUUCAAAACUCAACCAAGAUCUGAUCUUUGAAACUUUAAAAUCCAAGAACCAAGAAAGAAGCAAAAAAAGAAGAAAGUUAUUUUGUUAUUUGGGGGGGAACAAAAUUUUAAUUAAUUAAUUUAGUUUGUUAUAUUAUUUAUUAUGUUUGAAAUCUCAAGACGUGGUUGUGUUUUUUGGCUUUGUUUUUGGUAUUGGGGUUUGUUUUUGUGUGUGGGAGAAUAUGUGAUUAAAAUUCAAAAGAAGAAAAACACUUUGUUUCAUUUUUGUUUUUACCUUUAACUUUUUUUUAUUCCUUACUUUUGUUUGUAAAAUUGUGUAUAUCUUAAUGUAUCCAUUACUUACAUUUGUCUUUUUCUAUUUACUCCUUGUUCAUGAAAUUGAUUCUGAAACAAAUAUGUUUUCUUGGUAACGCAUUCGGAAAAAUUAGAGUUGAAAGUUACAUUAGGUAAUGCUCAUACCAAAUGUUUUAAGUCUAAUGUAGUAUUAUCAUCAAGGUAUAGAGAUAAUGGUCAGUGGAUAUAUAGCUUAAGCCUUAAGAGAUAAGGAGAAGAGACGUGUCAAGACUGAUUUGUAGAUUUGUUGUUGUAUAUCAAAAGAUUGAUAGAGAGAUAUGAAUAUAAAUAUGAAAAAGAUCCCUCUGUAUAUGUAUAUAAAUAGAUGGAAGUGGAUAACACUGAAUGAGACAUUAAGGACGAGAUAUUAUAAGAAUGGACCCUCUUUUGUUGAAAAAAUAUAUGGACUAAUAAGUCGUGGAUAAGACAUGGAUCACAGAAUCAAAAGCACAUAUUAGAUUUGUCAUAAAGAGAAACAAAUAAAUUCAACUGUAUAAACUCUAUGCUACUUGUAGGAUUUGUUCGAAUCUAUUUUCUCUUGGAAGACCAAAGAUAAGUCUGUUCCGGGUGUUUAUUUUCCAAAGACAAGUCUAUUUGUCGUAUUAUUUUUCAAAGAGAUGGUUCGAAAUUUGACUCAUAAAUAUCGGAUUAUAAUGAAUAAUUAGUCUGUUUAGAAGAUUGACCACAGAUUGAGUUCAGCUGUUCAGGAUGUUAAAACGAUUUAAGAGCCCAACAGAAGACAGAACAAUGGUCCUAAUACUGACAAUAAUUUUGUUUAAGUUUGUAAUCAAUGAAUGGCCGUUGAUUUAUGUUCGAACUUUGAAUUGACCUAAUUAACAUAAAUAUCUCACUGAAUAUUAUGUGUAUUGCCCAAUCUAGUCAAUGAAUAUAAACUGCUAAUUAAACUAGGCUCAUGAUUUGGAUUAGAUUCGUUUCACAUGCAAGUUAAAUUAUCAUCUUCACGAUAUAUGGUUUAUAAUUAUCUUUUGAUGAUGAAACAAAACUAAGUAAAAAACAAAAACAUGAUUGGCAAGCAAAUGUAGAUUAACAACAAGUAGUUUAUACCUUUUUAACGUGGAAUAAUAUUACCAAAACAUACGAAAAUACACAGAUAAAUAAUUGAUGGGGGAUAGGUGUGAAUAUUUUUUUAUUUUAUUUUUUUUGUAACAGACUUGAUAGGUGUGAAUGUUGACAAAUGCAAACUAAUAAUGGCUAAAUUGGCUAUGCCCUACUCAUUAAUUAAGUCUAAAGUUAAUAUCAAGUGACUUGUCAUCAAGUCUAAUCCGCAUGUUUAUCAAAGUAUAUAAUAGUUAAAUAAAUACUAUCAACUACGGCCCUUACCAGUUACCCUAAUGAUCAAAACAAAUAAUUUCAUCUUAAAUUAUAUAAAACAACUGUAUACAUGUCAUUGCCCUUUAGGUUUUUCGUUUCUUCUUCUUCAUCCACCUACGUGAUUACUUAAACUGGUCUAAUUGUAUACUUUUUUUUGUGUGUCGACAAUAGCAUAAUAUAAUUUACAAUUGAUAUGUAAAUUUCAAUACUAGAAGCUAAAAGAGAAAGUAUUUCUACCAAAAAUAGAUUGUUGCUUCACCAUAAAUACCAUCAUCGUAUAUUUAGAAUUUGGACUAUUUUAUAACAACAUCCACCAAGAAUACAGAGUGUCAACCUGAAAACAGCUAAAGUUGAGUUUUAAGUUUUUUUUUUUGGUAGAAAGCGUGAAUUUGUAAUGCUAACAUAAUUGAAUAAUAUAUGUAAAAAGAAUGGGAGUGAUCAUAAUGUCUGGUCUGAAGACAGUUCGGAGGAUCAUAUGAAAAAAUGCAUAUAUAAUCUUAGCAAUAAGAAAAAGAAGGGGACAUGCGUGGACCGACACAACACAAACAGCCAUGAAUGCAAUUUGAACAUAUUCACUACUGCCCCUAGUCUUCGCAUGUGCUUCUUCAUCAAUUCCUCAUUCACUUUCUAUUUGCUUUUUUUUUUUUUGUGUUUCUUACUUAUAUAAAAUCUUAAGAGAAAAUGAUAAGAUAUCACUUUCACAAAAUUGAAUUACACAAUACUUGUGGUUGGUUGAUCACUUCACUUCCAUAAAUAGUGAGAUACAGUAUGUGUUUACAUUACAUAUGUUUGUGAGUGUGAAAAAGAGUUGUAAUACAUAACGAGCGACUAACAAAAUUGAUAAACCGCCAAACAUGAUUUUCUUCCAUAUUCAAAACUUUGUUUAAUUUUGAUUAGUAAGCAACGAUAAAACGAGAAAAGCGUGAAAAGGGUUUGUAUGGUAGUGUAAGGGGUUGAUCUUCUUGUCAUAUGGGUUCAAACCUUCUUAAGAGACGGAAAUGUACAUUCUUUAAAUCGGAAUGGAAUAAAAACUGGCUUCGGAUACCGGAAAAAAGAUUAUGGGCAAAAAAAGUUGAAACUCUCGCGGUUUAACGGAAGAUAAAAUAAAGUAGCCAAAGCUAAAAUACUUUUUGUGGUUUUAAUUUGUAGGUGGAAAUAGUUAGGUUAAUUCAUAAAUAAAGCUCUUUGAAAUCUUGAAAUUGCAUUGAUUUUGAAAGAAUUUUCACAAUCCAUAAUUGACAUUUGAAUGAUGCAACAGCCAACAGUUUUUGAGUAAGCAAGACACAGAUUGAAACCUCUCCCACCCACUCCAGUCUUGAGACAACAACAACCUUAUGUCAGUGUCGGAGAGAAGUUGUUCCAACGUGUAAAUCAACAGCCUUACGAAUCUUUUUCUUUCUUUCUUUCAUUUAUUUUGAAAUUGAAUAUAAUAAACCUCGUGAUUUAGACUUGAUGUUGCACGACACCUAAUAAGACGUAUACGGUUGAUUUCAUAUAAACAGACACGAUCAAAUAAAUUGGUUGAGAUUUUAAAGAUCUUUAUUUCAGGAAGUCAUGUAGAUAUAUAUUCUCCUCAAAUGAUUACAAGAGCAAAAGAUGCAGCAGCUCCAUUGUAUUAAACCACACAUAAAAUUACAUAACAUUGAUAAUGCAAACACUCUCACAUAUACAAACACAUAUAAGACGCAUCUCACUUCUGUUUAAAGAACAACAAAAGUCUAGAAACCAUUUUUUUGUAAAGUAAAAAUGAAGUUUGGAAAGAUAUUUGUUUCUAAAACUUAGAGAGGUUUGACAUUGAACCUGUAGACGAGCUUCUUCUUCUUAGAGGUUGGGUUGUCUACUGUGAGUAAAACCUUGCCAAGCUCGUUCACUUUGAAGCUAUGGGUUAACACCGGUUCAUCGGAUGGUCUCAUCUUCCUUGGUUUCUGUAUAACCACCGUGUAAGCAUCUUUCUCUUCUGGCACAAACUCUGCUUUGUAGCUCACUUCCCAUCCAAUUACCCUUAUCUCCCACACAAGUUCACAUUUCUGCGCCAACAACAACUUGUAAUCAGACUUCACAGGAUUUUACUAAGUAUCAUGACUCAGUGACCAUGGUGUCAUCUUUCAACUGUUUAUGUUUUACGAACUGGAUAUUGCGGUAAGGACAGCACUAACCUCGUAGAUUAUGAUCUCAACAGUUUGUUUUGUUCCGGGCUUAACAGUGAUCUCUGAAGCUGCAUCUUCCAACGAAAAGUCUGGAUUGCAGUCACAAGGAUCUACACUCAAUCCUCCGUAUUGUACAGGAACUUGCUCGGGUGAAAUAUAUCUACAGUCCCACAUUUUCCAAACAGAGUUAAGAGACUUUAUAUAAUUGGUUAAGAAACAUGACAAGUAACAGAAUCAAUCAGAAUAUGUCUAAAGUUACUUGAAAAGGGUUUCAGCAGAUCGUGAAGGACCAGCAAACACUAGCUUGCUCUUUGAUCGUGGUGUCAUGAACGGACCAAUCACAGUGUAAAACACAAGGUACCACCAAGGAACAUUGAUAAAAGCCUGAGACAUUUUGAUCAACAAAAAAAUUAAAAUAUACCAAUAUUUCAAUCAUGUCUUAAUCUGGACCAUGAAGAGGGCCAAGAGACAACAUGCUCAGAUACCAAUGAAAGACAAUUAAACAGGAUAAACAGAACCAUGUUCUGCUCCAGUUUAGAUUUUUGAACCAGUUUCAAAAGACAACAUGCUCCGAUUAACAGAACCAUGUUUUGCUCAUCAUAAGUAGAUCAUCAGAUUCGCAAUUCUAUAAACUAAAGAUCUUAAGGAAACCAAUAUAGUGUACCUGUUUGAAGACAAACUCAGGGUAAUUGUCUUGAAGCAACUCAACAGCUUGCUUAGUGGCGGAUCUAAGCUCUUUCUUACCCAAUCCAGGUGAAUUCUUCAUAUCAUUAACCUGAAAAAUAGUAGAAACCCCACCAGAGCUAAAAUCUAGCUUCCUAAUACUCCUCUCCAAGAACUGAAUCCUUGUCCUCAAGAAAUGCUUCCUCUUCUCCUCAUCCGAAAACGUCUUGUUGUAAAGCUCCUUAUUCUGAAACUCACCAUAGACAUUAUAACAAACAGGGUGGCCUUCCCGGUCCUGUCCAUGCAUAAACACAACCUUGUCUAGAUCAUCCACAAGAUCUUCCUCAACCAGUUCAUCGAUCUUGAACUCUCUUCUCCACUUAAUCGUGUUCUUGAGCAUAGCCAACGAGUCUUUCACCUUGAAAUCCCUAGCUCUUAGGAACUUCAGCAACACGACGUCGCUCCUGUCGUCUUCGAGCAACGGGAUUCCCCAAAUCGUGACUUCUUCUGGAGUGUUUGCGGCGGCGUCAUCAGGCUUAGGGGUAGAGCCGAAUUGGUGAUUGUCUAAAGCAUCUCGCACAAGACGCUUGAGUUCAUCGAGUGACUUCUUCUCGGAAUCUGAUAGAUCGGAAAGUUUGCUGCUUUCUUCUUUGAAUGAACCAAGAUUCAGUGGAAUCAUGCUCUUCUUCUCUUCAGCUACUUCCUUACUCGAUGCUUCUUCGUCUCCAAGCUCUUUCUUCUCCGUCGACGCAGUUUCCGUCUCCGUCACCGUCGGUGGAUGAUGCUCUUCCGGCUGAGCCGCCGCGGUUUCUUCUUCCGGCUUGGUGGUGGCUUCCGGCAAAUCAGUCACAGUCUCAGUCACACUCUUGGGAGCUUCAGCCUCUCUCGGUAGAGUAGACUCCGGUGCAUCCGAUGAUGUUUGCUUUUCCGGUGUAACGAGAGUGGUGGUAAUAGGUUCCUCCGCCAUUUUUUCUUACUUGGCCGUCUUGUUCUGUGAUUGUUCCUAAAUUGGGUAAAACUGAGUUUUUGGGUUUAUAGUGGAGACAAAAUGUAAAAAAAAAAAGCGUUGAGACGUCCAAGUACAAAAGGGUAUAUUGGUCACGCCGAUUGACCUGGUUUUUUAAUGUUGUCGUCAGCGUGCGACAUUUACAGUCUGCUGACAUUAACUUCGCAUAAGGUUUGGGUUUUUUUCUUUUCCGUAUUUAAAAUUACAGUAUUGCUUCGUUUUUUCUUGUUUUACCACUAAAUUCCAAAUUAGACAUCAGGAUUUUUGUGUGACAAAGACAAAACAAUCGUCAAAUUCGAAUCCAAUGAUAAUUCACGAAUAGUGCCUUUUUAAUCUUUUCAGUUUUUGUAGAAGAAUCAAAACAGAACAGAUCCACGUGACCAAAAAAAAAAAAACUCAUAUUUUGGAUUUUAUAUAUUCGUUUGUUUUUUAAUUUGUUUUAACGUCCUGACUCCUCCUUCACUGCUGCACAUCACCGCCUCCACGUAUCUAUCGGACACUGUAAAAAUUCUUCUGUUUUGUCUCUGUAAAGUGUAAACAACUCAACAUUAUUCGAAUCCAAAGUACAUGUAAUAAAACAUAUAAGUAGACCCAAAAAAAAAAAAAACGGUUGGAUGUAAAAGUAUGUUAAUGAUUGGGGCCUUAAUGGGUAUACUAUAAUCAAUUGAGCCCAAUUAUAAGCCCAAAUUUGUUGUGACAGAGAAAGGAAACAUCACGAACAACAACGGAAGAACAAUUAAAAAAACCUCUGAGAGCGACCAAAUUAAUCGGAAGAGGAGAUAGGUUUCGUGAAAGACAUGGCAGAGAAGAAGGGUGCUGUGCCACCGGACUACGAUGUCAAUGCUAAAUGGGACGCAUGUCUCGAUCUCACCGUCCGCCGCUUCGUUUACUCUUCCCUCGGCGGCGCAUUCGCCGGUCUUCUUUUCUUCAGUUCAGUGUUUCUAUAUGACUCUUUACUCGAUUCUCGUUUUCUGAUUACUUUUAUCUGUUUGAGAAGUCAGAUUCUUAGAAUGAAUUGAAAUAUAGGAUGAUUGCAUAGUGUUUAGUUUUUUUUUUUUCUUUCUAAUUUGGAUCAUAUGUUGUUUGAUUUAGUUUUCCCUUUAGAGUUUUGAUUGACAUUUAUGAUUUAUCAUAAUCUAGUUCCUGAAUUUGUUUAGGGAGUCCUGUUACAAGAUGGGCAUCGAUAGCUUUGGGUGCUGGAAUUGGUAUUGGCUCUGCUUACACUGACUGCUCUCGUGCUUUUGACGCACCUUCUUCAUCUUCACCCAAUUUAGCAUCUCCCAAGACUACUCCAAAGACUUCUGUUUCUCAGGUCAGUUGGAAUCUCUCUUGGCAAAUCAAUACAUUAGUUUGGUACAUAACUUGAUACUAGAGAGCACAAAUGUUAUAGAGAGAUUGUCAGAGAUUAGAAAGGUUUUGAUUGUAGCUGAAGAACCAAUAUCUUUGUCUAUGGUAACGUAAAUUGAGAAGGGUCGUUAAUUCCACAUUCUGAGCAUUUUCACAGUGUGGUUUCCUAUUUGAUAAAAACAAAUUCAUGACUGGCUGUGUCGUAGUGAUUGCUAUUGAACUAAGGAUUGGUGAAUACAACAUAUAGAGCUUAGGUUUCUACCCUUGAAUAUAGUUUUGACUUUUGGUGAUUACCAGGUUGAAAGCAGUUCUCUCUUGCAACUUCCAUUAUCAAUGCUCACAACUUUGUAAUGUGCGAUGAGUAACACAAGAAGAACAAAAAGUAGAAGAAUAGUUUUAGUUGCAAAUGUGGGUUUCUGAAUUUUCAGUGUCAAUGAGUAAAGAUAUGUAAUAGCGUUUGCCUGAUUUAUCUUUGAACAAUCAAUCUUCUUAAGUCCAUGAGAAAGUAGGACUCAAGAGUUAAUCUCAUUUAUUUCUUGUUGCAGGGAGCGGACGAGUAGCCAAUGACUAUAAACUGGAAGCUACUAAUGCAUGCAAAGAUCAGGGUAUCAAGAAACAGAGCUUUUGAAUCACGCAAUGAUUGUUGAAUUGUUUCCUUAAACCUGCAAGGACAAGUCAUUUAAGAUAGUGUCGCCUGUAAAAACCUCUUUUUUUUGUGCUAUCAUUCACUCACGGUGGUUUUAAACUACUACUAAAUUCAAAAUGUUACAUCAAGUCACGCCAACCUCAAUAACAGCAAGGUUUGUUACUCUGAUUCGGCCGUCCUUUAUUAUUGCUUAUGCCAAAACGAUGUCGUUUCUUUCCUGUUGAAAAAUUCUCAAACCGGAAAUAACCGAACGGGUUCCACAUGUGAAGGAUAGCGAAGGACCACCAAUUAAAAAAGAAAUUAGACCGAACCAAUCCGAGUUCCGAUAGGUGGACCGCCAUAGUCACCGACUAAAACAAAAACCUUCGAGCACGUUAAUCUUGGAAGACGACGACGAAGAAGAAUUAACGGAAGAAGAAACAACUCAGAGAGAGAUGAAUAGUCCACCGGAGAACGAUCUUUGCUCGAUAUGUCAUUCCCACUUCACCGCUCCUUGUCAAGCCAAUUGCUCCCAUUGGUUCUGCGGUCAUCUUUCUCUCUCUCUCUCUCUCUCUCUCUCUCUCUCUCUCUUCGAAUCAUUCCUUUCUAGUCUUCUUUUUUUGUUCGUGUGUCGUGAUUUGGUUCCUCUUGUACCUUUGCUAAGUUGGUUCGAUGAGAUCGGAUGAUUUUGACCUGAGGCUUAUUUCCAUUUUUUGUUAUCACUGUUAUUGCUCUAUCAUGAUCGUUUGCUUUUGGUUAGAGAUUCUAUUGCAUUUUAGAAUCCAACUGUAGAAUUUGGAGUCAAGUAUGAUUAUUAAAUGUGGGAUUUUAUCCUUUUUUCUAAAAAAAAAUCCAAACUUUUUAACAGUUUUUGUUUACCCUCUCUGCUUUAACAGAUUCUUGUAUUUGGUUGACUGUGUGGUUUCAGAGUUUUUGGAACUUGAUAACAACUAUCGAAUUUUUCAUAUUUAUAGCUUUUACUUUGUAUCUUGUUUUCAAUCUCUUUAUCUUAGGUCGAUUCUGUGUUUUUGUUGACCUUGAGUUUGUGAGGUAAAGACCUUUGCUUAGUGUGUUCUUCAUGUUCACAUGUCCAUUGCAGCUUGGUGAGAGUUAUUUUAGGAUGUUCUGUCUCUCUAACUCUGUUUCAUUUAUUUGUUAGGUAAUUGCAUCAUGCUGGUGUGGACGCAUGGAUCUAGUACAUUACAGCCAUGUAAAUGCCCCUUGUGUCGUCGUCCAAUUAGUUUACUGGUUCCUUCAGAGGACACAAUCAGAGACCGCAAUGACGGUUCAGUUGCUGAGGUCCUUGGUAAGCUUGAAACGUACAACCGACUCUUUGGUGGCCGAUCAAGUAGUUUAUUUCAGGUAUGUGUUUCUAUCCCUGUGUUUUAAGUUGCAUUUUUUUGGUCUUUGUGAGAAAAAGCAACUUUUUGAGAUAGAUAAGAAUUCAACAUGAAUCUUGAUAUGUUUGGUUUAACUUCAAAUUUGGUAAUAUCAAAUCUCUUUUAAGGAAAUUCUUUUUUCCGUUGGCAGAGGAUGCAAGACCUUCCCUUCUUACUACGGAGGUUGUUGCGGGAAAUGAUGGAUCCACAAAGAACGCUUCCACUUGUCAUUAGAGCUCGGGUUUAUAUCGCAGUUAAGUUCGACCUUGAUCUCUCUCUGUUUACAAAGCUUAGUCAUGUUUAAGGUUAUUAUUGUUCUAUUUGGAGUUAAAACGUUAGGACUAACGCAAUGUCUUUGCAUUGGAUGCAGAUGUUUCUCAGUUUUGUUUACAUUGUCAGUCCAAUAGAUCUCAUUCCAGAAGGUGAUUUGUCCUUCUUAUCCUAUGAAUCGUAUCUCUUAGUUUUGUCUCACUGUCUUCUCACUAAUCCUUUCUUUAACUAAUUUAUUUUAGGAGUUUUGGGGAUAGUCGGUUUGCUUGAUGAUCUUCUCAUAGCCCUGAUUAGUUUCCUCCAUGUUGCUGCCCUGUACCGCUCGGUUCUCUAUUUCCGUCAUGCCGGUUCGUGAACCAAAGAAUGUUUUCGACAUUGUGUCGCACUUUAGAGAUGUACUUACCUUUUCUUCUGUCUUUGAUCCUUUCCCUUUACAAAUACACAAUUGUUCUGUGUGGCCAAGGAAAACAAAAAUGUGUGAUGAUAAGAUCACAGCACGAAAAGCUUGGAACCACAUAUCAAUCAUCUUCGUACCACUUUCUCUACGCUAGUCUUUUUGACCUUUCCACUCAAGAUUGUUAAUUAUGGUUUGACCAUCUGACUGAGAAACUCCGAGAUGGGUGAUGGUGAUGGUCAAUAUCAAUUCUCUCCGACACAAAUCAGUAAUUGAGUGGUCCUCUUCUAUACACCUUGAUAUGUUUAAUCUCAGUAGCUGCUGAAAAGUCUUCACGGGUUUUUACGAUCUUCAUCUUCAGUUCAUAUAGAAUCGCAUAAUCUUUUAUUGACCAAAACAGACGUUGUGUAGAUUUAAGAAGUUGGGUAUUUCAAGAAUCAACGGAUUACUAGUCUGUCCAGAAGUCUCAGCCAUGUACAAAAUUUGGUUAUUUGAAAAGGUCUUUUUGAUGGUUUCGACUAAAACUAAAAGUUGAUUUCCCAUUAGUAGUCUCCAAGGGAUGAACCGUUUGUUGUACACACAUUUCAUUCAAAGAGAGACAACACAAUGUGUCAUGGAUGAGUGGACCAUAAGAUAGAACCACAAUUUAUUUUUGUCUCAAUACGGUCACACGUGCAUAGAUAGAGUUGUACAGCUCGUGGAUUCUAUUCACAUGUAUACACCCCAAAAACACAUACGCGUGAUAGACUCAUCUUUUUCAUGUGCAUGUCCCGAAAGUGACGUUGCUCCACUGAACUCACCCGCCUAAAUCUUCAAAACGUUUCUCAUGUCCCUCGAUAUAAAUGCACUGGUUACCAUAUUCUCCAUAUUUUUCUUCUCUUCAUCAUCCAGCUUCAUUAGUAUAUCACUUGUCACUUUUAAGGCAAACACACAUUACAAGAGUUUAAUUUGGCCACACUUAUAACGGGUAUUACACAAAAAGUAUAUACAUACUUAAAAUACACAAAAAAUUCCCAUGAAGAAGUUGCAUAAUCUUCUUGUCUUGUAAACAAUUGUAUUCAUAAUACUCUGACGUGACGUUGUGAUUAUUAUACACAGGUAUGGAGGACAGAUAUGCUCUUCUCAUCAGCUUCUCUCUCUCAUCCGAUCAAUAUUAUUAUCAUUGUUGGGACGACCCUACUCGACAAAUUAUAGACACCCACGUUUACAUUAUUGUAAAAUAUUUAUAUUAUUAGCUACCCUCAUGGCCUACUACUCUCACUAUUAGCUUAGCUAUUUUUCAUACUGAGACCUCAUCUAUAUUCAAUGUUAUGUCUGAUACAAUAUGAUCAACAUAUAGUUUGGUACACAUAGAAUGUUUUUACGGAAACACCUUUACUUGAUAGAAAUUACAAUUCUUGAUACAUUGUUAUAGUAUGUGUGUAAGAUCUUUUUUAUAAACUGAUAGAGAUAAAAGUUUCGUGAACUUUUGUAAAGCAUCGAUCCUUUUAGUAAACUCAAACGAAUAUCUAAGAUGAGUGAGUAUAAUAAUCUAGUGUUUGUUGUAUCAAGCGACAUUAACUUUGAAUUCUCUAAUGUCUCCACCACCAAUAGAAGUUUUUUUUUUUUUGUAAUAUGGAAAGAGACCAGGCAAAGAAAGAAGCCAAGUUAAUGAGAAAGGGGAAGGGAUACAGCUGGGGAAGUCAACAUCCAAAAUUCCAAAUCAAAGAUCUUUCUUUGAUUCUCACUCACAUAAUUUAUUAAGCCGUAUCUCUCUUCCCACUUAAACCGACACUAUACAUUAUCGCAAGAAAAUUAGGUAUUUCCUCACGGCUAAUAAUACUUUGAUUAUUUAGUAGAAACUAGAAAGUACUGUAUAUAGCAAAAUGGACUAUAUUUUAUUUAAGUUUUCCUACAUUUUAAUUAAUGCAACGUUUUAUUUACAUGAUUCUUGUAUUGAAAAUCAUUUACGUAAAACGAAAUUUGUUUUUAUCUUGUAAUUAAAGAUUUCGAUCCUUUAAUAUUUUUAAAACAAGUAUACUAGCAGCAUUAUUGAUUUUGGCCAAAUAGUAUGGGGAGAAAUUUUUUAGUGUUUCCUCUACAAUUAUUGUUUUUGAAAUCUUUCUGUCUCUGAUUUCUUUCUCGUGCAUUGUCUCACUUUAAAAUAGUUAAUUUUAGAUAUUUCUUUUGAAAAAAAUAAAUAAGAAAUACUGUAGAUUUUGUAAAAAAAAUAAAGAUUUGUGUAUGAUAAAUAAUAGUAGCACUCUAAUAAGGGUCAUUACCUACUAGGAUAUGAUUGGUAACUUUGAUAAGGGGUACUGUAGACUUGAAUAAAACAAUCAAGUAGUAUGAGUGAAAACUAAACAAUUUAACAAAAACGUUACGAUGGAUAAUUGAUAGCAAUAUUACCAUUUAUUUUUGUAUUGCUAUACUUACUGAAAAUAAUAUCAACAAAUAUUUUUAUAUCAUUAUUUUCACAAACUAUUUAAUACUUACAACUCUUUUUUGCCAUCUAAUUACGUAUCGUAAUCUCUUAUUAUCAUGCAUCUUUCAUGGAGAUCGAGUUAUAGUUUAUGACUAUUUCACCAUCUCUUUACCGUUUCGAACAAUGUCAUAGGCCAUUCAUUCUUUGUCUUUGAUAUCAAUCAGAAAAGAGAAUUAAACCAAUGAUUAAUUUUUCAUAAAAAGUGUGUGUGUGAAGAUCAUUUAGAAUUUGAUUCGGAUCAAAGAGGAUAACAAUUAGAGAAACGGAUGUAGAAAGAAAAGGAUAUUGAUGCGGUUAGACGAUUCUUAUCAUACUUCACUUAAAAGGGUAAUCCACGCAACUAUACCAUUUUUUUCAUUUCUUAUGUUCUUUUAGUGUUUUUUUUUUUUUUUGCUAUGCUAUAAUAAGAGAAUAUUAACACUAUACAUAAGAAACCAAAUGGUUCUUUUUUUAUCUGCCUAACUAUAUAUUAUGGAUCAAUUCGAUUCGUUCUUUAUUAAAACUCUAAUAAAGUAAUAACCUUCAUUGGUUUCUCCAAGUUUAUUGUUUUACUCAUGUGUGUAAGAUUAGAGUUUUCUAAGUAUAUGAUUUUUCUUUUUUCACUUCUCUUUUUAUCAGGUUAUUGUAGCUAGGAACUAUAUGAAUAAUAUAAAUGUUUCACGCAUUAAACUUUUUUUUUCUUAUAAAACAUUCAACUAGCUAGUUGCUACUAUUUCGAAUAGGAUAAUUUAUCGUUAUCACAAAAACAAAAAUCAAAUAAGAAUUUUUUUAUCCAGACAACGACGUAUCAUUAUUAAUAAAUAAAAUUUGCAUAAUGUUUAUUACAAUGCAUCUCCACUUAUUACAUAUCAAUCCAUCUAGAAACAUUAAACACGAAAGAUGAAUGUGGUUUACAUCGAUGAAACUAUUUGUUUAUGUACAAUGCUGUUUGAGAGUAUUAAAGUUAUAUAUACACCGUUGGAUUUUAUUUUGUAGUACUAAACUAUAUAGAAUCGGACAAUUAAGAAAGAUCAUCACAACAUAUGUCAAAAUCAGUAUUGUAUGGUGAGAGAAGAAAGAGAAGAGAAGAGAGUCGAUUAGAUAAAUGAUGAAACCUUUUUUGGCUCCAAGUCUCAACGACAACUCUCUCCUCUUGUCUCUUCCUCUCUCUCAUCUUCUCUCCCCAAUCUUCUAACAAGUCUUCCUUUCUCUCUCUUUCUCUUUCUCUCGUAUUUCUUGGAAACAUCUUUCUCUGUAAUUGUUCUUCUUUUGAGAGAAACUAAAAGUUAAAUUUUUAUUUACAAUUCCUUAUUCCACUUAUCUACAAAUCAGGCACCUCCCUCGAGAUCAAUACUUUUUGUUGGUACCUAGAGAUUUUAUUUUCCUAGAUAGAGGUCCAAGAAAAAUCACACAAAAAGGUCUCAAGAAACCACAAACAAAGUCUUGAUUACGACCCUCUUCCCUGUUUUGGAUUCUGUAUUUUCUGAACCCUCUCUCAAAUUUUGCCUUCAACAAAACCUGAGAGUCUGGAUUGUUUUCGACUAUCUUAGGUACAUAUCUUCAUUUAUCUUUUUUUGUUUUAUCUUUUUUCCUUUUCUUGGUUUUAUGUUUUAAAUCUUUAAGCCUCACACUCUUUGUUUAUUUGACUCAAUCUAAGGUUGUUUUACUACCAAAGGUUUUAAGGUUAGAUAUUGUGAAAAAAAGUUACUAUGAAAAUUUCCAAAAUUUCAAAUGUGUAGGUUAGUUGCUUUACUAAUAACAUAAUUACUUUAUAUCCACUAAGUUCAAAUCAUUAAUCCUUAAUCUAUACUCAAUUCUCAAUGUUGGGUUCUUCUUUUUUCACUGUUCAAUACUUUUUAAGUUUCUAUUCACUAAUCUAGAAAGUGAAAGAUCGAUCAUUUGCUUUACUUUCAAACCAAAUAAUUAGAUUAGCAUUUAGCAGAAAAAUAUUAAAAAAAAAAACAACUUUCUGCACUGUAAUUGAGUACCUUUAAAGCUCACUUAUGGAGUUUGUGUAUGUUUUAGUACUUAAGCAAGCUUAAUCUGUCCAUUUUUACAUAUAAUCUUGUUGGUGAUAAACUCUAUAUUUGUAUAUCUUCUUUAUAUAUAACCAAUCAGUUUUUUUUUUUACAUAUAAAUGAUUUAUUUAUAUGUGCAACAACUUAAUUUAUUCAUUAUACAAAAUUAUGGAAGAAUCACAUGAACCCAUUCUUUUUACAAAAUCUUUAUUAUUGAUUUUGCAUAAUAAUUAUUAUUCAUAUAUGCAUGUACGGAAUAUAAUAAUAUACAAAACACAAUUGGCAAAUCAUAACACAACUACCAACCCCCACAUAGACAUUUUGAUAGUAUAUAUUUUUCCUACUAAAUUGUCUUUGUUCUCAAUGUUAAUAAUAUUGUUUAAAUCUAUUUCUAAAGUGAGUCCCUGUGGCCAGAGUGGAUGAUUAAUUGUGACUAAUUUUACUCUUUUCACAUUAAAAGAUUUAAAUAUGUAGUGGUUUUGUUUGUUGAUUUCAUUUUUUUUUACAUUUUUCUAUGUAGGUGGAUGCCUAAUUACAGUGCAUCAACUAUGAUGAAAGCCUAAGCUGUAAAUUGACCCUUUUGCCCUUGGAUAUUGCCGGAAAUGUCGAGAAGACCGGAUAUCCAACGUGGCACGCUCGCCACCGUGGUCGGCAUAAUACUCCUCUCAUUUUUCCCGCCAAAUGUAGAAUCGACCGUUGAGAAACAAGCUCUGUUCCGCUUCAAAAACCGCCUCGACGACCCUCACAACGUACUCGAAUCAUGGAAACCAUCCGAUUCGCCGUGCGUGUAUCGCGGCGUCACAUGCGAUCUGAUCUCGGAAGAAGUCACCGGUAUAUCUCUAGGGAACGCAAAUCUCUCGGGCACUAUUUCUCCAUCAAUCUCAGCUCUCACGAAGCUCUCUACGUUGUCACUUCCAUUUAAUUCCAUCUCCGGGGUGAUCCCGCCGGAGAUCACCAACUGCACGAACCUUAAAGUCCUCAAUCUCACCUCAAACCGACUCUCCGGAACAAUCCCAAACCUUUCUCCACUGAAAACCUUAGAGAUUCUCGACAUCUCCGGGAACUUUCUUACCGGAGAGUUUCAAAGCUGGAUUGGGAAUAUGACUCAGUUGGUUUCUCUCGGUCUUGGCAACAACUACUACGAUGAUGGUUUGAUUCCUGAGAGUCUUGGAGGUUUAAAGAAACUGACUUGGCUCUUCUUAGCUCGCUCCAACUUGACCGGACAGAUACCAAACUCAAUCUUUAAUUUAAAUGGUCUAGACACUUUCGACAUCGCCAACAACGCAGUUUCCGGUGAUUUCCCACUGCAGAUCACAAGAUUGGUAAAUCUCACCAAGAUUGAGCUGUUCAACAACAGCUUAACCGGUAAAAUCCCCCCGGAGAUAAAGAACUUGACUCGUUUACGCGAAUUCGAUGUUUCUUCGAACCAGUUCAGUGGUUCUUUACCUCGAGAGCUCGGAAAUUUGAAGGAGCUCAAAGUUUUCCACUGCCAUGAAAACAACUUCACCGGCGAAUUCCCUUCUGGUUUUGGCGAACUUCGUCACCUCACUUCUAUUUCGAUUUAUAGAAACAACUUCUCCGGUGAAUUUCCGGUUAACAUCGGCAAAUUCUCGCCGUUGGACACGGUUGACAUAUCUGAGAACGUGUUUACAGGUCCGUUUCCAAGAUUCUUAUGCCAAAACAAGAAACUACAAUUCUUGCUCGCCUUGCAGAACGAUUUCUCCGGCGAGAUUCCUAGAUCUUACUCAGAGUGCAAAUCUCUUUUGAGACUAAGGAUUAACAAGAACCGCCUUAGUGGUCCUGUUUUUGAAGGCUUUUGGGCUCUACCACUUGCUAAGAUGGUUGAUCUCAGCGAUAACGAACUCACCGGAGAGAUUUCUCCGGUGAUUGGACAUUCAACGGAACUGAGCCAGCUCAUUUUGCAGAACAACAGAUUUGUCGGAAAGAUUCCUCCUGAACUAGGUAAACUGACCAAAAUAGAGAGGAUUUAUCUGAGCAACAACAACUUUUCCGGGGACAUUCCGACACAAGUGGGAGGUUUGAAAGAGUUGUCAUCUCUGCAUCUUGAAAACAAUUCAUUAACAGGAUCUAUCCCUCUUGGAUUGACAAGUUGUGUCAAACUUGUUGAUCUGAAUCUUGCUAAGAACUUCUUGACAGGAGAAAUACCAAAUAGUUUAUCUCAGAUUGCUUCUUUAAACUCGUUGGACUUCUCAGAGAACAGGCUGACGGGUGAGAUUCCGGCGAGUCUUGUGAAGUUGAAGCUCAGUUUCAUAGAUUUUUCUAAAAAUCAUCUCUCAGGUAGAAUACCACCUGAUCUUUUAGUGGUGGGAGGAUCCACCGCGUUUGCAAGUAACGAGAAGCUUUGUGUUGAUAGCCAAAACGCCAGAACAAGUCAGAAUUUGGGGCUGAGCGUUUGCAGUGGCUACCAACAUGUGCGGAGGAAUGGUUCACUCGACGGCACACUCUUGUUCUUGGCUCUUGCAAUUGUUGUGGUGGUGCUUGUGACUGGUUUGUUUGCGUUGCGUUAUAGAGUUGUGAAGAUACGCGAGCUUGAUUCAGAAAACGGUGAUAUUAAUAAGGGCGAUGCGAAAUGGAAAAUCGCUUCUUUCCAUCAAAUGGAGCUGGAUGCUGAGGAGAUAUGUAGGUUGGAUGAAGAUAAUGUGAUCGGAGCUGGAAGCGCGGGAAAAGUGUACCGUGUUGAUUUGAAAAAGGGUGGCGGGACAGUGGCGGUUAAGUGGUUGAAGAAAAGAGGAGAAGAAGCAGUUGAUGGAACAGAGGUCUCUGUUGCGGAAAUGGAGAUUCUUGGGAAGAUUAGACACAGAAACGUCCUGAAGCUCUACGCUUGUCUAGUCGGAAGAGGCUCUAGCUAUUUGGUGUUUGAGUUCAUGGAGAAUGGGAACUUGUACAAUGCACUUCGCCAGACUAUCAAAGGUGGAUUACCAGAAUUGGAUUGGUACAAGAGGUAAUCUUUGUUCUCUACUCUCAACAAGUAUGGAUCCAAGAUUACAAGAAAGAAAAGAUAAAUAAUUAUUUUGCCCCCUUUUGUCAAUAAACAGAUAUAAGAUUGCGGUGGGGGCGGCUAAAGGAAUCACCUAUUUGCAUCAUGAUUGUUCUCCUCCAAUCAUUCACAGAGAUAUAAAGUCAAGCAACAUUUUGCUUGAUGGAGAUUACGAGUCGAAGAUCGCAGACUUUGGAGUUGCCAAAGUUGCAGACAAAGGAUAUGAAUGGAGUUGUGUUGCUGGAACUCAUGGCUAUAUGGCUCCUGGUGAGUUUUGCCUUUUCUUCAACUUAACCAUCGAUCCUAGAUUCAGCUCUGCCUCACAUGAUGAAAACUGAAACUGAUUCUUUAUUUGGUUGUAAUUGUGAUGUGAUGACUGUAGAGCUGGCUUACUCCUUCAAGGCGACGGAGAAGAGUGACGUGUACAGCUUUGGCGUGGUUCUUCUAGAGCUAGUUACCGGUCUUCGGCCGAUGGAAGAUAAGUUUGGAGAGGGCAAAGACAUUGUUGACUAUGUCUACUCUCAGAUUCAACAAGAUAGGAGGAACCUCCAAAACGUCUUGGACAAGCAAGUUUUGUCGUCUUACGUAGAAGAAAGCAUGAUUAGAGUUCUGAAGAUGGGUCUUCUCUGCACUACAAAGCUCCCAAAUCUCAGACCGAGCAUGAGAGAAGUCGUGAGAAAGCUUGACGACGCUGAUCCUUGCGUUUCCAAUUCUCUGGACAGAACCGGGAAGAUUACGGUAUAGGUUAGUUAAUUUAGUUAUCAUAGACGGGUUAAGUUUGUUACCCGUUUUGGUUCAGACUUCAGAGUCGACACAAGAGUAUUGGUUUGUUCAAAACUCGAGUGGAAAACACAAGUCACUAGUUUUUCAUAUCUAUAUAUUUGCAGUGAAAAGGCAAAGAGUUAUCAUAAAGAGAUUUGGAUUUAAGUUCUUCAGUAAACAUAAUAAACUAUAUAAUGAAUUCACACUACAACGAAAUGUAAUCCCAUCAGUUGACGAUUUCGAUUCCGGUGAGAGGAAGUCCUUCAUGCAACUGAAGAGCGAGGUCUCCCACAAUCUACAUUUUACAACACUAAAGAGUUUAGAAUCCAUAUCCAACCAAAGGCAGAUGACAUAUAAAAAGAGUGGAUCAUCCUCGGAUAUUGUACCUUGGCCAUGGACCUAUAUGAAUAUUCGGUAACCCCAGCGACGUGAGGGGUUAUAAUAACGUUUUUAAACUUCAAAAUCGGAUCAUUUGAAUCAAAUGGCUCGGACCAUGCCACGUCAAUACCGAGGCCUCCUAGAUGACCAGACUCCAGAUUCUGGUAAGCUGAUUCAUAGUUAAUCAGACCACCUCGGGAAAUAUUUACAAGUAAAGCACCCUGAAACAACAAAAGAGAUAUCAACAGUCAUCAGUCAUCACAAUCUAAUCCAACUCGUUUCUUUUCCUAUAUGAAUGGCCCCAAGUAAUCACCUUUUUCAUUGAGCUUAUGAACUUCUUGUUCACGAUCUCCGCCUGAGAGUUAUAAGAUCAUCAUGUAUAUACAGCUAAAUUAUCUAAUAAUUUGCAGAUGGGUUUUCACCACCAAGAAAAAUUCAUGCAUAUAUCAAUGUGCUUGAUAAGUUUCUAAUGAAGAGAAGUGGAAACUUACUGUUUCUUUGUUGAGCCUCAAACAAACAACAACUAUAUCAGCUUUUCCCGCGAAUGUGUAAAUGUCUUCAUGGCUACCUCUCUCAUCAAGAAGACUGGCUGAAGAUAAAAGUUAACAAAUUACUAGACAUCAUGAUGGGUUUGUCAAGGCAAACAGAGGAGUUAACAGAGAGCCCAUACAGUCCAAGUCGGUGAUAGAAGAAGGCCAGCUUCUUUUUGUGGCUACAACUCUCGACCCAAAUGGCUGCAACCGUUUAGCCAACUCUAUUCCAAUGUUUCCAUAUCCUAAGAUAAAAACCUGUAUAAUAAAAAGAAAGAAGAAAACCUUUUUAAGGGCUACACACUAAAGAUGUCAAAUGCAGAUUACGUACUGAGACUCACAGUUUUACCGAGAAGCGUGCCACCUGUUGGUUCUCCAAGUCGUCUGCUUCUCAGAGAUAUUUGCAUUUCGUUCUGCAAUAAAUUAACAUAGAAUUAUAACUAGAAAGCAAUAUCAGAACUAGCACUUGAGGAACUAAGCGAUAUACUAAUGGAACCAUACAGAGGCAAAUCAAAUAAAUAAGCCACCUGUUUCUUCAGAAGGCCCAGCAUUAGAUAUAUAGCCAUUUCAGAACAAGAUGCUGCAUUUCCAUUACCCUCACUGGGAAUUCUGGCGACCUUAAUCCCAUUUUUAGUUGCAGCAUCAAUAUCAACACCUGCAGAAGUAUAUAAACAGGAGAUAAAAUUAGAUAAACUACAGCUUUCUUUUGGUCCAAUCUACGAGGUAUAUGCUUAAUCAUGUAUUAAUUCAUAAGAAAGCAGAGACAGAUACCAUCAAGACCAACACCAUACUGCAUAAUAAGCUUCAUCUUGCUGGCACGAGAUAUAACAUUCGAAUCCAUUUGCAUCGUCAUUGACACACAUAUAUGAUAGUUCUUUAUAACCUCAGGGACAUCACGGUAAUGGACAACAUCGACCUACAUGAAAAACCAAACCAUAAAAAAAAUAAACAACAACCAUCUCAAAAUUAGAAUUUUUACUACAAUUGAAAACUAGAAACACCAACACAGAUUCUAAACAUGGUCCUGCAGAACUUGUUAUAAGAAAGUUUGAAGUAAAGAGCUUGAUUUACAUAGUUUAAAACCAAAUCUCAAACACUAGCACCUACACAAACAUUAAACUAGUCUAGGAGACUAAAGUUUUCAACUUUACUUAUUGGUAGAACUUAGAAGAGAUCAAAAUAGUUAAUACCUGAAUAAAAGGAUAAGCUUGCAAGUAUUCUCUGGUGAAAUUGUAGGAAUCAGGAAAAUACGGACCGCAAAAUAGAACAUGAGUUACAUGCAUGUCAUUUGUCUCAACAAUUCUCUCAGGCUUAAUAACCUUACUUUGCCUAACCAACAUCACAAAACAUCCAAAUUGAGAUUUGACUGAGACACUCGACUUGGUAUAAUACAAAAGACAAGCUCGGGGGAUAUAAUAGAUCUACAACAAGUCAACAAAUUCAUAGAGAAGCCGUAAAGUUCUUUUAAGGAAAAGGGCGAAUUUUUGAUUCACCUGGAGAUGGAACGAGCCAAGAAAGAGUAGGGUAAAGAAGCGACGUUUGAGAUUCUGUUUCGGAACGUAGCUUUGGCGAUUUGGAACAUUAUCUCGGCACUCUGAUCACAAGAUUUGCAACUGUUUCAUUAGUUUCUAGACUUUCAAUAAUUUCCAUAUGUUUCCCAUAUAAAUAGUUUAUUACAAUUUAACCCAACACUUUAUAAAUUAUCUUACUCAACCCUAUAGGGAAAAAAACACAGAAUUGGACCUCGUAUGUGUUCAAUUGUUACGUAACGUUUUUUAAAUUUGAAAACGAAGAAUGCAGAAAUAAAAGGGGAAAAAUUUAUGUACAGAGACUUUCUCAAUAACCAAAUUACAUAGUAUCUGACGGAGUAGCAUGGCCUGAGCGAAGGUGAUCCGACGAACGUUCGCCGACGUUGUUGUUGUCUUUUCCAACAAACAACCGAUCAAACGGUGAUUUCAUAGCUAGAAGCAAAUUCUUGGGUGAACCAGCAUGCACCUGAUCAACACUGCCACCUGGAGACGUGAUAUUGAUCGAACCUGUCCGGUACGGAGGAGUUAUCGAGAAUGGUCUACGGUCUAACCGGCCAUCUUGGUCGAACCGUUCGUAGAAAUAGUUUCUCCCACUCCCUAAGCUUCCGGUUCUGUAUCCUCUCGCUGAACUCAUCACCUGAGGUAACGCCACGUGGCCUUUUGAAAGGCUUGGAUUCACUAGUUUAUUGUGUAUGUCUUGCGGUAAUUUCAACGUGAACCGGUCAAGAUUCUCUGAACGUUGACCCGUCCAAUCAGAAUUGGUGAAAAUUCCGGCUAAAUUCCAUCCGGUAGACAUAGACCUACGUGGCAUACUCUGGUUACAAGUCAACGCCACCGAGUCAAUCAACCGCGCGUCAGGUGAACCCAAAACUCUAAUUCGAUCCCCGGUCGGAUCCGAACCGAGAGAGUCGUUGGUUAAACCGGGUAUCUGAAUUAUGGAUUCCCCCGGUACAGGGACGAGAUCAGCGCGGCAGAGAGGACACGUAGCGUGAGAGCGGAGCCAAGCGUCAAUGCAACCGGGAUGGAACACGUGGCAGCAUUUAGGGAUCAAACGCAGCGUUUCAGCCUCUUCGAACUCGUUUAAGCAGACAGGACACUCGAGCGCUUCUUUACCGAUCCUUAGCGUCUUCACGGUUGAGUAUCGGAAAGUAGGAAACGUCUCGAUGACCGACGCGUCUAGCCCACGCGCCGGUUGACGGUUCAGGGUAAGCCAGUUCCCGGCGGCUUCUUCCGUGCUUCCGUAGUCCAUCCCCAUGACUCGCUCGAGACAUCUACGGAUGUAGACGGAAAAGAACCCAAGAAAGAAGAAGAUGCUGACGAGGACUAUCAUGAGUAUGGCCAUGGUUGGGUCAAACCGAGAGCUACCUCCGGGAACGUCUGAAUCGCCGUGAGUGGCUUGACCAGCGGCGAUCUGACAUCCGCCGAGGUUGGAGAAGAGUAGCAGAAAGAGGAGUAGCGAUAGGAUAGAACCAUGAUCAUGACCACCGAUGAAUGAACGGUUGAGAUUAAUUAUACCUUUCGUGUUCAUGAAGACCAAACUUUCGUCGGUUUGGCUCUCCAGUCCAUGCAAUGAAAAACAACAAUACUAAUUUGGUGUGAUCAACGUAGAUUGGUAUGAACUGAUCAGAACUUGAGGAACAUCAAGAGACAAUACUAAUUUGAGGUUGCUCAAUGGUUGGUAGGUUGACUUUGAAGUUUCAACCAUGGCACUAUUUAAAAGAUGUUGCAUCAUAACUAAUGAAUAUGUUUUUGUUUUUGUUUUCUUAUGUUGACAGCGUAACUAAUGAAUAUUGUAGAUACAACAUAUUUGUUUAAAAUAUAUGAUGUGAUUGUGAUGUUUCCGUCAAGAAGUUGGGAUGUAUCUAUCAAUGAGACCAACCAUUUAGUGCCAAUAUCGCCAAGAGAUUUGUUGUUAAAUUAAGUGAUGCUUCUAUAACUGUUUAGUUUCUUCGUACGUAAUUUUGCUGUUCCUUUCUAUCUUCCAAAAUGUUUUAGCUUAUCUCACUAUAAAGUCAAUGCCUUUUAAUUUUUUUCACAUUUAAUAUCUUAAAACGAACAAUAUUAGUGAAUCAGCUCGAUAUAUGGAACUUUUGUUUUUAAAAACAUAAUAUCUUUUAGAGAGAUUUUGAUGCAUCAUAUAGUCAUAUAGAACCAUCAUGGUAACCUCUAGCUAGAUUAUAAAACAGUGUGGUGUGUGAGAUGGUGGCUAUUUGGUCAAAUAAGGUUUUAGAAAUUGUGUAUGUCUGGCAGAGGAUUUUGUAUUUUGCACUAUUAUAUGGGUUUAUAACGCAAUCACGCAUGAAAGUUUCACGUUGACGAACAAAAUAAAUUUUAAUACGUGAAAGUGAUCACUAAUUUUGUCUUUGCAUCGUGCUUCGUCCCAUGUCGUCAUCACGUCGUUUUCUAAUUAUAGGUUAUAUUCUUAUUUAGUGAAUAAGUCUAUAUUGGUUGCAUCCUAUAUCUCUUGUUGAUUAUCUAUAAAAAAAAAAAAGUAAAGGUUUCAAGAGCCUCUAUUUGAUUUUGAUCAUCCUCCUAUGAGAUAAUGAUUGGAUAUGGGAUGUUAGUGACUUCGACGACGGGAUAAAAUCAUAUUUUAACACAUUAUAUAAUUAAAUAUCUUAAGUAUAAAAUGAACAUAUAAGUCUGAUGACCAAAACAAUGAAUAUAGUUUUAUAUAUGUUUUUAUCGGAUCACUUAAUUAAGUAUUUUAUACCGACCGCAAUGUCUUUGUCCAAUAUUUCUUCAACAAAAUUGUAUAAUUUUAUGCGAAAAUGAUAUUUCGUUGAAUACGUUAUAGAUUAUGAUCUUUUUCUUUACCAACAAUGUUUCAUUGUUUUGUAUUGUGUGGUCAUACUAGCUCGAAGCGAAAGUGUAGCAAAAAGUGUCCCGUUACACUGUUCCAGAUUAUAUACAAAAAGAUAGGAAUUAAUAGUCGAGGCCCAAUUAAUUGUAAGUUCUUUGUACCAGUCGAGGCCCAUUACUACUUAGCCGCGAGCCUCGCAUAGCGACUUGCAACCACAUUCACAGUGAGCCGCGCCUCACAUAGCGUAUUGCAAUUACGUUCAGAUGGAUUAAUGACUGAUGUAUAUGGUAUAUAUGUGACACAGAGAAGAAAGACACACACGUAUUUUACCAAUACAUUUUUUGCUUUACUGAUUCACUCACUUUUAAAUAAGAAAGUGUAGUAGAAGUACAGAACCAUGGCUAUGAAGCCUAUGCUGUUGUUGUUCAGCAAAGACACACAAACCCUACAAAUCUAUUUGUUUGCAUGCAGUCUUGUAGAUGUCCUGUUUCUAUGGGAAAAGUAUAUAAUACAAAUUUAAAAUGAUAUUUUUUUCUCGCUUUACAGCUACCUAAACUCUCAUGCUAUAUAACCAUGAUCUGUACUAUUUGUAUAUCAUAUAAUUUUUUAGAAUAAGACUCCUAUAUUUCCUAGCUAAACUAAGCUUCUAUAAUAUUGAACGGGACGAAGAUCAUUUAGUCCACCAUCAUAUCAUUGGACUCCAUGGAUUUAUUAUAGCAUGUGAGGUGAGGUAAAGACUCGUUUCAUUUGAGCCCAAAAACACGUACUUUUUUUGUUUACUAUAUAUUGAACAUAUAUGAAACAUCCAUCGAGACAGCUAAGCAAGCUUAUAUAUAUAGUAUUUUAUAGAACUAAUGAAAAUUUCUUACUGGUCAAUUCUUACUAAUUUCUUAAAAAUACGAUGAUAGAUAACUAUGAAGAAAAAAGAAAAAAAAAAAAGAUAACUAUGAAGUAAUAUCCAUUUGGCUCUCGAAUUUUCUAAGGAAAUACUUGUGAACAUUUUACUUAUGUUGAUGGUUGUUCACUACAAGCAAGCAACUGUUUUAUCUUUACGUAUAAUCGAUAAUAUAAUUCUUGUUGUUUUCCUUUUGUUUUGAGCUUAAAAAGGGAUAAAUUGUGGAAUUGCGAAAAUGAAUUUUGUUGUAUCUUAAAUUACAAAACAAGAUACCAAAUAUAGAAAUAUAGAAUGUGGUUUUCUAAAAUCUCGAAAUUAAAAACAAACACUCUUAGUACGUAUGGGCCACAGAAAAAUUAGAUUAUUAACCCGAUGAUUCACAUAUCUAUCGCAAUCUAAUUUCAAGACAAAAAAUAUAUAUAAUAAUUAAGUACUUAAGAAUAUAAUGAACACAUGCUUCGGAACAAGUACAGUCCUCGAGUUAGAAUUUCAGGUAGCGGGGUUUCCGCUUAAACCACAUGCUAAUCUCAGAGAUUUGUUUUUUAAAAAUGUAGAUUAGGGUGUAAAUUUGUUGCCAGGAUUGCUUAGUUGUAAGCUAAUUUAUGUUUAAGAAAAAGAAAAAAUAUAUAUGAAUUGAUAGGUCAUUGGUGUGUAUAUACGAAAUUUUCACGUAAGAAGUCAUUUUUUAAAAUUGGUCAAAACCUAUCUGACUAGUGUAAAACUUGACUUUAGCAUAGAAUUUCACUUUUUUACAAAAUACCUUUUUAAAAAGAUUUUCACCCUAAUAUUUGCAAAGAUAAUACCUUAUAUAAUAUACCUUUUCUGUAAAUCUUAGGAUAAAAACCCUCUAAAAUCCUUUGCAUUAAAGAUGGUCUAAGACCAUUUCCAAAAAAAAGUAUUUAACUAAAUAUUUAAUUUUUAGAAUCUAUAUAUAUAAAGUUAACUUUUACUCUCUUCUCCUUAAGCCACAUCAUCAUCCACCUCAUUUUAUUAUUUAAUUUUUAAAAUUAAUUAUACUAUUUUAUCAUUUAAUUUUAAUAUUUAAACCUAUGUAAAUAAGUUUUUCCAAAAUGAAUAUGAAAGGUCUUUUUAUAUUAUACAUUAUAAAACUAAAAAGAUAAUUGAUUAAGAGUUAAAAAAACUUACUAAUUAUCGAGUAUACUAACAAAUAUAUAAAUAAUAGAUUAUAGUUUUUAGUGAAUGUUUAAAAUAUAUAUAUGAUUAUAUUUACACAAUGUAAACCUAAAUAUAAUGAGAUUUAACGGGAAUAAAACAAAAAGUAAGAAAUUUUGAAAAUAUAAAUCUAUCUAAUUUAUGUCUCAAAACAUUUUCUAAUAUAAGUGAGAUAUGUCGGAGAUUCUUAUUUUUUAUAAACAUAUAAAAAGGUAAAAAUAAAAAUAAUAUUUCUUUAUAAGUUUCUAAUAUGAAUUUAACUAUUUGUUUCCAAUACAACACAUAUGUUAAACUAAUAAACAAAAUAAAAAAUUAACUAUAUUUCAUAAAACUGAAAAUUAAAAUAAAACAUUAUUAAAUGAAAUAAACUAAAUAUAAAGUAAAUUAUACUAAUAUGUUAAAUUUAAAAUUGUUCCAUAUGAAAAAACAAAAAAAAUAUAUAAAACAUAAAAUCAGAAAAAUAUAUAAUAGUAUAUAAAUGAUCAUUACGAGAUAUAAAGUACGACAAAUCCAAAAAAGGAAACCGUAAAACAAAAAAUAAUAAAUUAUGACAAUAUAUAAAGAGAUAAUGUAAACAAUUAAAAAUACAAAAAUUCGCCCGAAACCCACAAAUCAUGUUCAAAUUUCAUGCCAACAUAUAAAAGGGCCCAAAAUACUAACAUCUAGAUCUAUAUUUGGUAAAAACCCUAAUAGCACACGUUUCUCAAUGAUUAUCAACCGCACUUUCAUUUACGCCCACACUUCGACUUAUACUAUACACACUUAAUUUUUCAACGACAAAUGAAACUAAAACUCAAUAGUUUUUCUAUACAAACACAAUUUAAGUAAUAAAAAAGUAAAGUAUGGUAUAGUGAAAAAAUAAUUAGUAAAUAAAAUACGAACCAAUUACUCAUAAACAAUAUAAUAAACUCGCGCGCUACGCAACCGACUAGUUAUUUAUAAAGUCCACCAUUGAAGCAACAUUUUUUAGAAUUCAACAAAAUUUUAUUAAUCAUUAAAUUUAAUAAAAAUUUGUUUGACACUCUAAAUUAAGCAUCUAUCAUUAGAGAUGCUCUAAGACCGGAAAAAAAAAGUAUAGUCAGACUCAAUACAUAAAUAAUUGUAAACAUAUGCGUGCCAUAAUCCGACGAAGAUAUGGCCAGGGCAUCAAGAAUCAUGCAUAUGUACGAAAACGUAUUAAAUUAAAACAAUACGUUAAUUAUAUAUGUAUUUCACUAAUAAGGACAUGAUAAAAAUGGUAGAAGAGCGUGCAUCUAACUAAAUACGACAAACUGAAAACUUGCGACGUGUUAUUUGAGUAUGUGCCUGAACAAAUUAAAGAAUUUACAAAGAUCGCUAUUACCCUAGAUUAAAUCAUAAUUUAAUUCAAGUUGGAUAGGAAUCUGAUAUAAAAAAAAAUUGCAUAAAUAAAUAAAGUAAUCUCCAUAUAUAUACAAAAAUGAUUACAUUCUCCAAGAAAAAACCUCUUCGUUCUUAGUAAAAAAAAACAAGUGCAUGGAAAUUGUGUAUAAUUAGUAUUAUAAUCGCGGAACUAUCAGAAACCCCAACCAAAAAAAACCGUAUGGAAUGUCUUGCUGGAAACUAGAGUCAUUAUCGAAAAAAUUAAAUUUAUCGAGCCGAUUGAAAACGAUAUACACAUUAUUUUGUGUAAUGUAUUCACGCUGUCGGAUGACGAAGAUUUACAUAUGUAUUGAAACAACAGGUUUUGGUACUAUGGUAACUUGUAUGUCUUCUUGUUUUGCCGUAUAUGAUAUUUUCAGGAUUACAAAAUAGUCUUUUCCAAUUAAAAUUUAAAUUCAAUAUGGUCAAAUUAAUCAAGUUUUUCUUCAUGCAUGCUUUAUAGUACUUUAUACUUAUAUACAGAAAAAAGGCAAAAACCGUUAAUCUUAAUUAACUACUAGUGAUAACUUAAACAGUUUGCUAAGACAAACAUUUACUUUUAACAGAAUGAGUAAAUAACUGAGCAAGAUUUGAUAGAGUAAUAAUGAAUCAGAGGAUGAGAUAAAAAGUAGUAAAUGGGAAACAAAGACAUUGGAAAUGGUAUUGCUGCAGAAAGCUACUCAACUUUUUGAUCGGAAUUAGAGAGAGAGAGAGAGAGCUUUGGAUUGUGUUAUUGGGAAGACCACUCGGUAAAAGAGAGAAGUAGCCAAUGUUUGAGAUCAUUAGAGAGAGAGAGAGAGGAAGAAGAAGAAGAGUGUUCAGUGUUGUAUGACUUGUGAGGUCGGUCACAUGGCUCACUACUCUCCUCCCAUUCUUGUUUCAGUUUUACUUCUUUGCCCUCCACCACCGCAAUUUAUGAUAACUAUUUUGGAAGUUUUGUAAAUUCACAAAACUUUAAUAUGAUUGUAAUACUAUAAUUUAUUGAAAGAUGUAAAUUUAAAUUUCUCACAAAAAAAAAAUAUAUAUUUUAGAUUAAAUAUAGUUCUAAAAUUUUGUAUUUGUAUUAAAAAAAAAAAUUACAGUUUUAGUGUUAAUAUUGUAAAUAAUCAUGUAAUUUUGGAUUGGUGCGACUGAAACCUAUUAUACACUUCCAAAGAGGUUCAUAAUUAUAAAUUACGUAUAACAUAAUGUUGUUUGGAAAACCAUAAGAUAAUCAUUUUCAAGUAUUAUUAUGAACUUAUCCGGCAAAUCGACAAAGUUAAUUUGUAAUUGAGCAUCUUUGCUUGAUUACACAGUUCUUUUACAAUUGAGAGAGCUGCUCCAACGUUGGUUUGAUGUAUUAACUAUGUUCGUGGGAAGUAAAAAUUCUCUUUGCUUCUUCUUUUUGUUAUCGCUUUGUUUUAUAAUAAUAUACUUUAUAUAUAUAUAUAUAUAUAUAUAUAUAUAUAUAUAUAUAUAUCUAUUUUAACUUCAUCAAAAAUUAAUUUGUUAAUGAGAAAAUUGAAAACACUCUAACACAAUGUAUAUAAUACGAAGUGAUUAAAAUAUUCAAUAAAAGGAUGCGUCAUUAUAUAUGUAAACAAAAAUUAUACUUAUAUGUUGUUGUUUUAAUGAGUUCUUUUCUUGAAAGUUCUAUCUUAUGCCACGGGUUAAUUUUUGUCAUGAUUUUGCAUAGGGCCCUUUUAGAUCUUAUAUGUUGGAUCGUUUACUCUGUGCAUCUGUUCUUAACAGGAAAUCGUUUAUGCAUAAAUAUUAUAUGUCGGGGAGUGAUCAUUAUAUAUUAGAUGGCCAAAAGUUGAUAAGAAAAUCGAAUUAUUACAAACACUAUUUUAUCAAUAAUUCAUUUUUAUUUCAUAUAUGAUUCAUUAAAUAUAUAUUAUGAGUUCGAUGGGACAAAUCUUUAUCAGUUGUUUAUUAUGAAAUAAUUAAUAUAUAUAUAUAUAUAUAUAUUUAUAUAAAUUCAGUGUGUUGUGCUAGUACCAUUAUUAUGUCAUUACUAAAGUUUAACUAAUUGAUUAAUUGGAUAUGUACACAAUAAGAUGAACAUUUGUGAGUGGAACAAGUACUGUUUCUUAUACAUUAUAACUAGGUUCCGACCCGCGCUACAGCGCGGGGGAAAUAAUUACAUAUAUAUGACUUUUAACGGAUUAGAAUAUAUUACAUUUUAAUUUUGUUACAGUGCAGUCGAUUAUGGUAAAUCAUAUAUUUGUAUAAUAAGUUUAAAUAAAAUAAUAAAGAAAAAAGCGAGUAAAUAAUCAUAUACUAAGUUUUGAUACAAUUAAAAACACGGUGAAAAUUUAACAGCAUGAAAUAAUAUUUGUCGAUAAAUUAUUCAUUUUGACCAUUUUUGUACUAAAAGUAGGAAUAUACGUAAAAAUAACAUAUACAAUAUAUUUUUUGAAGGACCAACCCGUAACCCAAUUCAUUUCGUAAAAAAACAUUAUUUGUAACUCGCUUUAUCAUUAUAAUUGUGAUUUUAACAAAACGACCCGUGAACUAUCUAAAAUUUACAUAGUUUGAUAUAUAAUAUAUUUUAUCAAUAAAAAUUAUGUCUCCAAAAUUACAUUUAUGUCUUCAAAAAAAUAUUUCAAUAUUUUAAAUUCUUAAAUUCUUAUAUAUUUGAACAUUUUACUUAUGAUAUUUUGAAACUAUUUGAAAUUUUAAAUAUGCUCAUGUAACAAUGGUUUUAAUAUUGGUCAUACUUAUAAUGAUUUUAAACCAUUAUCCAAAAUAUUUAACCGAGUGUAGUUGAGUAUUAUAUGCCCGUUUUGAAAAAUUCAAAUUGCAACAUAUGCAAAAAAAGUUAAAUUUUUUUAAAUUUUUAUAUUAUAUAGUAUAAUAUCAAAAAAUUAAAAAUAAUAUUAAAUAAAAGUGAAAGAAGAAGAAUAUUUUUUAAAUAGAUUGUAUUAAAUUAGUUAGAGAAAUAUUAGUAAAUCCUAUAAUUAGUUAUGAAAAUAAUACAAUCCUAAAAUUAGAUUUGGAAAGUAAUUGAUGUAUGUAUCUAAACCCAUUAAUUUAUCCAACUUUAAAAGAUCCAAUUACAAAUUUCGGGUAAUUUUCUUAAAUUGACCCGACCCGAAAACACUUUUUGUACUUCUCUUUUACUAAUAUAGGGAUUAUUCUCGAGACAUAGGACUGAUAAAUCAAUCAAUCCGAUUUUUUACUUUUAAAAAAAAAAAAAAAAUUAGUAGGAGAUCGAGUAGUCUUUACCUUAUUAUUGUUGUAUAAGUUAAAUCAUUAACGUUCUUUUUGUUUUCAGAAUAACGUUGCACUUAUUCUUGUUAAUGCUCUAUAGUAGGACUAUUUUCUACUAUACUACUCAUGGUUUUGAAAUUAUGUUAUGUUUUUGUGACGAAAAAAAAAACUAUAGGUUACACGGACUUAAAAGGAGACAAGAGCAUCAUAUAGCCUUAGAUUUUAUUUUUUUCCACCAUAUUUCCAGAAUAGGAUUCUUGAUCAAAUGAUUUUAUCUGAGAUUUUGUUUUGGAUCACAUUUAAGUUGGUGUUUCUCUCUAUUGGCUAGCUAGCUCAAGCGCCAACCAACUUUGUUACACAGCAACCCUAAGACGUAUCAUAGCCAUCCGAUUCUCACAUCUUCUCUUCCGCAUAAAAGUUCGCUCACAGUUAAUGAGACAGUAAUGCUUAGUUAAUCAGACUAAUAGAACGAUGCCACCUAGUUAAUAUGUACAAAUUAAGCUCAUAGUUCUUAUAUAUGUCAACAUCAGAGAAUACUUUGUUUAAACAUGACAUGAUUACAUUAACAAAGCAUAUAUACCCCACACGCCGAAAUGCUAUUCUUAUUUCUUUUAUCCUUGAUAUUUUUCUCUGAUUAAAUUUGACCGUAUAAGUGGAUCGAAUGCAAAUAUGUAAGUGUUUGAUUCGUAUCACUUUUGGAAGAUCAGAUUUAUAAUUUGAAUGUGGAUUGUUAUGAUCAUUAUUUUACUAAGAUUCGUAACUUCGACAAUCGAGUAAUUAUGAUGGAAAAGGAAAAAUAUUGCUUAUUUUUUUUUCUUUUAAUUUCUGUUUUUGCAAAUCUCCAAAUCAAUUUGGUUUCUGAAGCAAUUAGAAAAAGAAAGUAUGUGGCGAACGGUGAAAAGUUAAGUUUUAAUUUUCUUAAUCAAUAUGCAAGUAGGUUGUCUCAGUUUGAUCAGAAUUUGUUUUUUAGCUUAAUUAUAUUCUUGUAUGUUAUCAAAGACGUUUGAACCAACAUUGUCGAAAGUAUAUUCUCUUUAGACGAAUUUUUUCAUAUUUUUAAUGUCUUCAAAGUGUAUUUAAAAACUGGCGUUAACAAAAAGUUGGUAGAAUUAGUCCUUUAGAAUAUGGCACUGGCACAUACGAUUCAUAUAAAUAUAGAUGUUCUACAAAAUUCCUUACUUAUGCCAUAUAUAUAGUGUAUUAAUACAGGGAAAAAUGAAUAUGUAUACGAGUGCGGCCAUGUAUAAUGUUUCCGUUUAUACGAUAAAGUUUUUAUUUUAUUUUUGAAUAUUCAAAAAUAUAAAUAAAAUUUGCUGUUGGUUUGGAAAAACAAAACAUAAAAACUAAGUGGCUAUGAUUCACUAAUCAAAAACUAGUACGUAGUUAUAAAUGUUGAUUCAUUAGUUGUUGAUAAAAAAAAAUUUAAGAUUCACGUCAUAAAUCAUUAGAUCCAAUCCAAGAGCUGUAUAAAGGCAAAUAUGCUUUCGGACCCAUGCAUGGUUUUUGAUGUUUUUUACGGUUAUUAUUCCAUUACGGGUAGGGUUAUGUUAUAAACGAUAUGAUCUCAUAAAAAGAAUGAAUCAGCGGUCAUUGUCUCCGCAUGGUUCGGGGAAAUAUAUAUACUCGUAUAAAUAUAUACAUAAGCCUUUAGAUUUCGAAUUGCAUUUAUAAAGCUUUGACGUCGGCUGAUACUUACAUAGAAACAAAAGAAGAAAAAACUUUGUCAUCAAGCUUCCCCCCUCUCCCUCUCUCUCUCUCUCUGUCUAUCAAAUACGCAUUACACACGCACCAUAGAAGCAAAAUAUUACUUGAACACCUAAAAGGUGAUAUACAACAUAAUUAUUAUCCCAAACCAGUCCAAACCUGGUAAUUUAGCUUUCAGUCGAAUACAUUGACUCACAUGAUAUACGGCUAAAUAAAAAAUACAAUAAACCAUUAGAUAUAUGGCAACGUAUAAAGUCGAGACUUAAACAUGUUAAUAUUUUCUCUCUCUUCGAACAUGAGUGUAACAAGACGAAACCCCAAAGCCUGCAAAAACACACAGAAUCUUUUCUUUGGUUUUGUGGACCGGUCUACAAUCUCACGUGCAAAACAAAACAUACACCAUCUCUCUCUCUUUCUCCCUCUAUAUCUCUACUUUUUCUGAACUCAAUAGUUUUCGAUAUUUCUUGGGAGCUUCUAUUGUUGAAAAAACAUUUCAGCUUUAUAACCAACCUCUCACAGGCUUCUCGUCUCUUCCAUACAUCAUCAAACCACCCUUUUUGAGUUUUUUUCUGUUUCUUUUCUUCUUCAGUUUUUCUUAGUUAUCUUUUGGAAAAUUUCUUUUCUUUUAUUUUCAUUUGAAAAAAAUCUUGUGUAGAGGGAUAAUAACAAGUUCCAUUUCCCUAGUGUGUGUCUUUACCUUUUGCCUUGUCUCCCUCUCGAGACAAAAAGAGAAAGACAAACACUUUCUGUCUUCUUUUUUCCUCUCUCUCUCUCUCUCGCUCGGAACCUUUUUCAUAUUCAAGUGUAUAUUUUCAAUAAUUUUUUCCUAGCUAACGAUGGCCUUGGAGGCUGUUGUUUACCCGCAAGAUCCAUUCUCCUACAUCUCUUGCAAAGAUUUUCCGUUUCACGACUUAUACUUUCAAGAAGAAGAAGAUCGAGAUCCACAAGACACCAAGAACAACAUUAAGCUAGGGCAAGGACAAGAACAUGUGUUCGCGAGUAAUAAUUACAACGGUAAAAGUGGAGACAACAGUGAUGAUUAUAAUUACACCGAAGAGGAUCUUCAAUGGCCGCGAGACAUUCCUUUUGGAUCUGCCGUCGAUACCAAGAACCAGCCCCCGCCGUUGGAUGUGGCGGCAGGAGGUAGGAGGAAGAGGAGAAGGACGAGGUCUAGCAAGAACAAGGAAGAGAUCGAGAACCAGAGGAUGACUCACAUCGCCGUCGAGAGAAAUCGCCGGAAACAGAUGAACGAGUACCUCGCCGUUCUCCGUUCUCUCAUGCCACCUUCUUAUGCUCAAAGGGUUAGUCUUUACAUACAAACAGUUAUAUGUAUAGAAGUGUGUGUGAGAUGAGCGCGUGGUUUCUUCAGUGCUUUAGCUUUAGCUGUAAAUUUCUUGACGUGUCAAAAAAAAAGAAAAAAAAAAGGCAAAGCCUAUGUUCUAGACUUCUAGCUAAUUAGGACUUAGUAUAUAGACUAUACAUAUAGUUAGAUAUGCAUGUGUGUUUAUAUGCUUUAAAACAUAAAUUUGAGAAUGAUGAUGGAUGAAUGAAAGCCGUUAUAUAUGAUGACAAAAAGUAAAAAAUAUUUCUUUUUUUUCAUAAUAUUAGAUCAUGUAGUCUCUAAAAUGAAAUUUUCGUUAGUGGAAUUGUGGGAGCAUAUAUAAAGUCUUGAGCAUCAUUGCACCCAAAAAAGACUAUACAGAUUUAUAGAUGGAUGAUGAAAUGGUGACACAAUAAUUAAAUUUUUUAAAUAAGGUACGAAAAUAUAGAAAUGUUUGAUUGUUUUUGCAAAACCUUUUGCAAUUUCUAUGGGCUAAAACUAACUAACCAAUGGUUGGUGGUGGUUAAAGGGAGAUCAAGCGUCAAUCGUAGGGGGAGCCAUUAGCUACUUAAAGGAGCUUGAGCAUCAUUUACAAUCGAUUGAGCCUCCGGUAAAGACCGCCGCAGAAGACACCGAAGCUGGUCGCGACCAGACAGAUACGGUCGCUGCUGCUAGCUCAUCCGGACCAUUCUCGGAUUUCUUUGCAUUUCCUCAGUACUCGAACCAGCCUACGUCAGCGGCGGCGGCUGAGGGGAUGGCGGAGAUAGAGGUGACGAUGGUGGAGAGCCAUGCAAGUCUGAAGAUACUUGCAAAGAAGCGACCGAGACAGCUUCUUAAACUGGUCGCAUCGAUACAAAGUCUAAGGCUCACUCUUCUUCAUCUCAACGUCACCACUCGAGAUGACUCCGUCCUCUAUUCAAUCAGCGUCAAGGUACAAUUUUUUUCUCUCUCUCUCUCUCUCUCUUUCUCUCUCUUUAUUCAUCAUUUUUUUUUUGUAAGUAACGAGAUUAGAGUGAUAUAUAACAUCGUUUUUAGGGUUAGUGGGUUGAUUUUGAAACUUCAAAUAAAAAGUGGUUUUUAUGGGAGACUAAUCAUUAGUCUCAUUGUUAGUUUUUGGGUCAAUGAAUGAUUCAUUGAUUCUUUUCCCCGUCACAAUGUUUUUGAUUCAUUUAAUGUGUCUCUUAUUAAUAACAUGUUGUGAUUAAUUUUUCUGGGCAAAAUAAGGUUUUCGAAUAACAAUAAUAAAAAGAAUCGGUUCUUUUUUACUUGGUUAGGGCUGGCCUUCAAUUAUUGGGGGGUCAAAAUCAUCGUUUCAUAUUUAUUAAAAAAACAACAAAUUUUUUAUUUAGUACAAUCAUAAAUAUUGAUUCUUGUAAGAAUCAGGGACCAAAAAGAUGACAUAUGCCUACACAUGUGUGAAUGUGUGUGUACAUAUGUAUAUAUGUGUACUGUGGAAGUUUGGUGGUCACAGAGAACUGUGGAUGCACUGUGCACGGCAGAACGAAAUGACGCCACUUGUUUCAGGACACAUUCAUAAGCUUCUUCCUCGAAAUAUAAACAUUUACUUUUAUUAUUUUUGUUACUUUUUGUGUUCCUAUAUCAACCUUUUUUCAUGUAACUUAUAAUCAUUUUUCUACAACUUAAAAUAAUGUAUAUAUAAUGUGUUUUAUUUCAGGUUGAAGAAGGUAGCCAAUUGAAUACAGUGGAAGACAUCGCAGCAGCUGUGAAUCAAAUCCUAAGGAGGAUCGAAGAAGAGUCAUCCUUUAGCGGUAGCUAAUAAUAUAGUUGAACUUUAGUUAUGACACAUUUAGAGAAACUCUAAUUUUUCAUGUGUGAUCUUUUACGCUCUUUUUUCAUUUUAAACUAAAUAAAAAUGAAAUAAAGUUCUACGUUUGUUUUUGUUAAUUAACGUUAAUUGUAAUGCUAAAAGAAAACUAAAAACAAACUAAACACAUUAUUUCUAGGAUUUUUGUGUAAUUGACCUUAUAAUAUAGACCUACUAACAAAAGAGGAACUAGCUAGCUUAUGAUGAAUUCUAUACGAGAAUAGUAAAAAUGGAUUUGGUCCAAUACUUUACUAUCUUGGAUGCUGCUGUGAUUCCCAUGUACAUGUGAAGUUCCUUCGUUUCAAAUCUCGUAAACAGAAGCUUGUUAAUCAAUUGUUAAUAUCAACGGAUUGUCUCAAUAUAUAUAUGAUGGUCUUCGAUCUCUUAGUCUUGCUCACAUAGAGGAUAUGUAGUAAUUAUCAUGAUCUAAAAUAAGAGGAGGAUUGAGGAGAGGUAGACUGUAGAUACCCAAGCAAAGGGCAAUUGUUUGAACAACAGUGACCAAACUAGUUAGUUUGAGGUCGUCGAAGACGUAAUUCUAAUUGGGGAGACUUUGUCUGACUCAAUCCGCCACUAGUUUUUUAAGGGAAAGCAAACAUAUAUAGUUUCAAGCUACUUUUGUACAUUCAUAGAAAAAAAAGGGAAUCCCUUUCCAAAGAAACACAUUAAAACUAAAAAAAGUCUCUCUAUCGCAUUCUUAAUUAAUAUCAAACCUAGUUGCACUAAUUAUGACAUCACAUGCAAAUUGUCCAAAAUUCUCAUUAAUUAUAUCCUUUCUUACACCAGAGCCAAACUAAUUUGAAUCCAACAAAAACACCCACUGAUAUUUCUUAAAUUCCAAAACUUAUUCUCUGUCGUCGUUGCCACAUACCAAAUUCGUCUCUAAUAAAUCCUCACGUGCUUAAGAAUACUAAUUUGUUGACCUACAUUAUUGGUAAAUUAUGAGGAAAAAAACAAAAAAGAAUACAUUAUUGGUAAGUCUGAACUCUGUAGUAUAAUAAUAGGGAUCAAAAAUUAAAAGUUUAUAUUUAUAUAGAGGCUAAAGCUGUGUAGUUUUAUUGAGAAAAGGUAGGCUAUCUAAAUUUAUCCUCAGUUUAGUAUAAUAAUUUCUCUAAAACUAAAGCCAAAGAAAAAAUAAGUUCAAAAAAAAUAAAACUGGUUACUUGUGUCUCAUGGAGAAUGAUGUCUUUGUAGGAAAAUAAAAAUAUCUGUAAAAGAAGAAUAAUGAGUAUGAUUUGCUCCAAUGACUUCAAGCAUUCUCAUGAUUGUUUACUGAAUGAAUGGUUUGCAAUUUGCAUUCGCUUUAACGAUAAUUCUACAUUGACAUUUCCUGUCUCAACGAUGAUUCGAACUGAAAUAAUAAUUAACUCGAAUAUACAUACAUAAAUAGUACAAAACCGAGUCAGUUCCACAUGCUUCCUCGCUAGCUAGUAGUACUUUGCUUGUAUGAGUUCCAUGCACUCAUGCAGUAGUCUCUUGCCCGUGUUUCCUGUUUUGCCAAUCAAUUGAAAUAUAGUUUGGUCAGAGUCAUAUUAGUAUAUUACCCUACGGGUAAUGGGAUUACAUAAACAAUCCAGCAAGGCUUUGUACAAAACAAAUUAGGAGACAGAAGAAGUUAAGAAAAUGAUUGAGUAAAAAAGUAGAGAAACUUACGAUCAUGAAUCAUGAUGAUGAUAAUGAUAUAUAUUCGUGACUUUAUUCUCUUGAAUUUGAUCUUUAAUUUUUUUUUUUUUUUUUUAAACUCGGAUGGAGGCACAGAAUCAGCAGUACAUGGGAUUCAUGCAAGAAGACGAUGAUGAUUGUCGUAUCAUGAAGACAUAUCAAAGAUCUUUCGAAUCUCUGUUUUUUCACUUUUAGGGUUAAAAAGCAAAAGCCAGAAAAAGUAAAAAGUAAAGGCUAUCGAUGUGAUUACACCAAUAAAUCAAAAAUUAUAUUCCCUCUCUAUUUUAUCAAUAAGAAAGGACCUCUCCAUUAUAUAUAUACACAGCUGACUGUUAGAUUUUAGCAUCUUUUUCAUGAUUGAGAUUUAGAAUCAUCAACUUUUCCUUAACUUUGCCUUAAGUAAAUAUUGGUUUUUUAGAUGUGAUUGAAGUCGAUAUAUUUCUGUACCACUAGUUUUAUUAUAUGAUCUUAAUGGAAUACAUACAGUAUUUUCACAUUAUAGUGAAAACCAAAUUUGGAUACCAUGGCCAUAUAUAGCUUUCUCCUUGUGUGAGCCAGCCACCCACAAAAGUAAAAACAUAAACUUUUUCAUGUCUGUAUCAUAUCUCUUUCGCCAUUUCGCCAUACCUUCAAGCUUCAGAACACACGACACCGUUUUUAACAUAUCUGAUUCGGUUAAAAUAAGCAUAUAGUGUUAGGCCAUUUAUGGAUUUGGGCGGGGUAUCAUGUAUUCAACAUUAUGCACAUAUCCUAGACUAAUACAUGUAGUUGUGGAAGAAUUCGAAUGGUUGAUGCAAAAUCUAAAGUAUGUGUAAUUUUGAAUUAGAAGACAAGUUUACAAAUCUUUCCACUCAAUUUGAGAUUAGUAAGAAUUUUGCUAUCUCAAAUCUCCUUGUUUGUCAAAUUGAAUAUAGCAACAAUAGUAGUAGUAUACAUGAACACAUUAAAGGUCAAAAGCAAAAAAAAAGAGUGAACACAAUCGUAUAAGCCUAUCUAAUCAUCUAUUGAGAGUUGCAUACACUUGAACAUUUCUGCAUUGUUUAUUUACUCUUUUUUUAUUAAAAAAUCUCGGGAAAAAAUGGUUUUACUACAGCGGAAAAACCGAACUCUUGUUUUUGUUGAAACAUGAAACAGAGGAGCUUCCACUUGUCUUCAACGUAACGUCUGACUGUGUUUUCCCUGCAUCUUCUUCGUUUCCUUCGCCAUUCAUUUCACUAGAAUCAAUGGAUACACAACUUCUCCGUGAUGCAACCUUGUGAUCACUGUUUUCUUCAGAACAGCUUGCUUCGAAUUCUCCGAUGGGUCUGGUGGAGUUCUGACUCUGUUUCUCCCAUGAUCUUCCCUGAAAAUUUAUACUUUCUAUAUGGGUUUUGGUCUGCGAGAGAGAAUUUAAGGAGUCUCCUCCAUUUGGAUCCACACAGUCCACUAAAACCCUAACUUUCUCUUUCGUCUCUGUUUCAGACCCCUCACCGUCGAUUUCAUCCAAACCUCGAUGGAUCUCGUUACCAAAUCCAUUAAUCUCAAUUCUGACAUCAUAAUUCGGAUAUGUGUUGUCCGAAUCAUCCCUCUCUUUAAAACCAGAUUCAUCCCCCUCUCUACCUAAUUCAGCUCUGUUCUCAAUAUGGUCAUGAUCUUCUUCACCAACUCCAUCGUUCUCCAAACGUGAUCCUGAUCCUUCAGGAGUUACAUCGACCGGACCAGAGCACCUUGGAGUGGCGGCACUGAUCAUCGCAAUACCAGCACGACACAGAGGACAAUUGGUGUGAGAACUAAGCCAUGUGUCAAUACAAGAGAUGUGGAAAGCGUGGUUACAUUUAGGCAAUAGCCUAAGACUCUCUUCUUCUUCAAACUCACUUAAACAAACAGGACAAUCUGUUCUCUCGAUUAAACCAUCUCCUCUCUUGUAACUGCAGAUCGUGAUCGAGUUAAUGAUCGAUUGCUGUAAACCUGUUGUUCUGAUCAACCAGAUUGGGUGAUCAACUUGGUCCCUAUCUUGAAACUCAUCAUCUAUUACCGUGUCGUUGUCUUCGUCAUCGGAUUGGUAUCUUCGGUGAUUGUCACGGUUUACGCUGUCUGAAACGAAUUUAGCCACAAUGAAGAAUCCGGUUAAAAGGAUGGCUAAGACCGCACCAGUGAUUGUGAGGAUGGUUAUGGCGUCAAAGGAAGAUGAAGGCUGGUUUUGAGAUGGUUGAUAGACGGCUGAGAUUGAUGGAGAGGGAGAGGGAGAUGGAGAUGUGAUCAAAUGUGGUGAAGACCGUGGUGGUAGCUGAGGGGAUAUGGCGGAGUAAUCUGGUUCUCUAUAGCAAUUGUAAGGGCAAAUCGGAUCGCAGAUUCCUAAGGAGCAAUCUAAUGUUUUGUUUGUCUCUGAUGCUAAGGUAGGGAAGAGCUUUCGAUGCUUCUUCUUCCCCAUUAAAGAACACACUCAAGAAGGAGUAUUGUUGCUUGGAGUAGAACAAAUUAAGAUGAAGAAAUAUUUCAUUGAGUUAAAUUUUUCUUGUUUGAUGCUUUUUUUUGUUUGUUUAGGUUGUGACAAUAUAGAAGAAGAUUGAUAUUAUCUUGGGGUCAUAUUAGGGAGGAAGAUGAAAUUUUCUUCUCAUCUUAAGGUAUUGACUUGUUCUGUGAUAAGUUGAAGCGUCUUUCUAAUUGUUUAAUUGGUGAAGAGUCGUAGUCAUGAAAGCCAUAUUUUACCUUUGAGCUUUUUGACUCUUUGGCUUUCGAAGAUUUAAGUUAAAAGUUUUAUAUCUUCGUUUUGCUGGCAAUGGCCAUCGGGCUUCGUCAUUUUGGCAAAAUUAUAAUAUUAAAACUAUAUUGAGACUGCAAUUAAAAUUAAAUAAAGACUGCAAUCAAAAUGUUUUCUUUGAACCGAUAGUUUUUAACUGUUCUCGCUCGAAUGAUGUGGGCAAUAUGUAUUCUGGAAAAGUAGAAACUUUUAAAACUUCAGUUCCACCAAUAUGAAUAACAUACAACCCAUACUCUAUUAAUGGUUUAAUCUCGUACAUGAUGUAAGAACUCUUUUCUGCAGUAAUCAAUAUAUAAAACUUAAAAGAGAACUAUGCCAUAUGUCUUCACGUAAAUGUUGGCUUUUUCUUGUCGUCGCAUACUUUUGCACUUUCUUUAACAAUUUUAUUAUUGUUUUACUUCAUUUGCAAUAUGCGUCAGACCAUUUGAGGAAGUUCUUUGUGGUACCAAAGACUCUAAGAAUUGGUGUGUUGGCAAAGUUAACUCUAAAUAGUGUUUUACUGAAUAAGGAUUUCCACGCAGUCUCCUUGGUGUCAUUUUUUUCAGGAAGCUUCGUUAUUUUCUUGAUAUUAGAUGUUUUAUGGGCCUAGUUUAGGGCUCAUGUGUGUGCUGUUUAAAGAGGCCUGUAGUCUGCUAAAGACGUUAAAUUAUUUUGAGAUUUCUAUGUAUUUCUGGCAAAUGCCCAAGACAGAUCAUGAAUAAUGGUCAACAUCAAACGUAAUUUAGUUAAGUGUAUUGCUUUUAUGUGGGCAGUCUGAUGUCCAGCAGAAUUAGUUGCUGCGUCUCUAUCAUAUGCAUGCUUUGUUUUGCAUCUUUCGGUGAGAUAAUUUUGGGUUUUUUUUUCAAACUAAUUACUCAACUAUCAGUAUCACCUUUUUAGUAACUUAGAUUAUAAAUUUAGUAUUAAGCAUUACUGUAAUUUUAAGAAAUAUAACUGUUUCGCAUAAAAUUGAUUGAAAGGAGGAUACCUCCUUUGUUGUUUUUACCAUACACUAAACAUUAGUUAUAGCCUUAUAGGACUAUAGGACGUCCUCUAGAACAUGCAUGAUCACACAUCCACUUACAUUUGUUGUAGUGUUUUAUAAUAAAUUAUUUCACGUCACAUACUCGAGUUCGGUUGUUGGAGAGCCUCAGUGAUUGCUCGUAAGAAAAGUUUGUUCAUCUGCUUUGGUUUGGUCCAUCAUAUUGAAUCAUUAAGCGAACUUUGAUGACACAUCGUGACUACUUUGGGUUGCAUCAUCAUUUCAACUUUUUACAAAGGGUUAUUGAGUGUGACUUUAUGAUGUGUCACCAAACCUCAUAUGACCCAAUUUCUUGAGGUGUAGCGAUAUUUCCUUUGUUGAGUAUGUCUAAAGCUAGAGCAGAGGAGGAACAAGUCCUUAUCCCUAAAUAUGAAAAAUUAUAAGUUUUCAAAACUUAAAUGAUGAGAGAGCUUUAGUUGGAGGGCUAGUGGACCUAACUCUACUAACUCCAACAUGCCCCUUUGGUUCCAAAUCUCUCUAUAUAUUUGCUCAUAACUCACAUUGAAUUCCCUUAAUUAGUCACACAAUUAUAAAAGUAUAGAUACUGUUACACUCGAUACACAAACAUGGCAAAAUUGAUUACACUUGUUGGUUUUCUUGUCAUCAUCUUCUUCAAUGUGUUUGAACCUGCCUCUUCCGCCAGUCACCCCGUCGAAUGGUCUCUCGGGAAGGACUAUAGCUUGGCUACCGGAAAGCCCUUUGCUGUCGGCGAUACCAUCGGUAUGUAUAUACAUAGCCUCUCUUAUACGUAGCAUACCAGUUGUUUCAACCACUAAUAGAUGCAUUUGCAUUUACAUGUUAAAAAAUUACAUUUUAAAAAAGCAAAACAUUAUUUUUCAAGUUAUUUUUUUUGAUGAUAUAUGUUUGUAAAGUAUAAUCUAUUUUUGACUGCAACUAACAAAAUGUUUUAAAACCUUGGUAACGAUAACAAUGUCGAAGUCAUAGUUGUAAUAUAUAUAUUUAUACGUUCAUGUACAUUGUGUUGCAUAUAGUGUUCAACUACGGUGCGGGUCACACGGUGGACGAAGUGAGCGAAAGUGACUACAAGAGUUGCACAUUGGGGAACUCAAUUUCUUCGGACAGUAGCGGAACCACAAGCAUAGCUCUUAAGACAUCUGGUCCUCACUACUUCAUCUGUGGUAUCCCCGGACACUGCACGGGCGGUAUGAAGCUCUCAGUCACCGUUGCGGCAGCCUCAUCAGGCGGCGGUGGAGGCGGCACUAGUGACAAAACUACACCAGCACAAGGCGGAACUACACCCUCAGAAGGCAAAAAGGCUAGUCCUUCUGCUUCGGCCACAACCGUGUUAAAGCCGUUGGAAUCUUUGGUUGUGACUUGUGUAGUUGCAUUGCUGUACUCUUUUGCUCUCUCUUAAUUAGCUGGUCUUUUGAGUGUUUUAGAGUGGCUCGACUCGUUUAAAGGACCCAGGCUAGAGGCAGUGCUAUUAUUAUAUAUGCUUGUUAUUAUUAUUAAUUAUCUCUCAUGAUUUUUCCUAUGCUUUUUGCUUGGGCACAAUAUUAUUUUCAUUUCAUCUGAUCUGAUCAUGAAUGUAUUUCUUUAUUGUUACAAGCAUUGACUGAGAAAAGUAACUUAAAGCACCAUCAGUAUUGAUUAAUAAGUACAUUUCUAAUUGACGGUGACACCAUCAAUAUUGAUUACAAGCUUUUUAUUAAUAAUUUUAGUAGUGUGAAAUUAUGAAAAUUUUGAAAUUAUACAUGGGAUUUGAAUCUUUUAAUCAUGAAAGUGACGAUAAAGAAAGAAAUGACACGUGUAAUUAGCAACUGCCAGAUGGGUGGGCAUUGACCUUGGAGGACAUUUUAAGCAUGAAGGCCCAAUAGCACCGGCCCACCGACUUACCUAAUUAGGUGGACCCACUGGAGAUCUCAAUCCAUCUUAGCCGUCCAUUUAUAUAUAAAGUACUGUAACCACUCCCAGAUCUCAUAACUCUUAAACCAACACAAAGUUUGGUAUAAAUUAAUAAUGUUUGCAUCUACCAUACCUACUUUAAAAAAAAUAAAAAUCAUUUAUUUACACAUAAACAAAAAUGUUUCUACUUAAGUACUUAUCUUAAGUUCUUAACUAAUCAGAAAUUAGUAAGAAUGAAUACUUCAAACAAACUUAUAAGUUACGACAAGACCAAUCAUAAACUAACAAAAGUCUUCAUUAAGUCUGAUAAUAAAACAAAUAAUUCUUACAAGAAUCCCAUGUUGAUUUUUCUAUCUUCAUUUUUUUUCAAAAUUGAAAAGGACAAACAAGAGGAAGAAUAAUAAAAAGAGAAGGAUCUCGGAAACAUCAUGGAAAUUUUAAAACCAGCGUAGCAUUGAGUUUACACGACGCACAUAUAAAUACAAACACAAGUAUGUUAACAAACACACAGAACAAAAUACUAAAAUUCAAAACACCUGCAGAGCUCACGAGACAGAGUACUAGCUCCUUUCAACUAUCAUCAAUGGCUAAUGUUCUCAUCAACAGAAGAACAAGAAGAGCAGUGAAACCAGAGAACGCUAAAUGGAAGAGAUCAGAUUCCAAAUCCAAUACGAGUUCAGAGAAUAGUAACUUCUCAUGCAAGAAGCACACCAAACAUAGACAGUCUCCUGGAAUCUGUUCACUCUGUCUCACAGAGAGGCUCUCUAACUCUAAGCUGUCUCUGAAUUAUUACGACUACACUAAGAAAACAGAUCAAGCGUCGGGGUAUUGCGGCUCAUCAGCGUCUUCUUCUUCCUCGUCGGUCUCGUCUUGCUACUCUUCUUCAUCGGUCUCUUCUUGUUCGUCUCCUUUGCAGUAUCGGUUUAGAUCAGAGAAGAAGAAGGAUGGCAAGAAACAAAGCUUUUUGUUCAGAUUAUUACUCGGAUCCAUCGUAGACUAGUAUUAACUAGUUCUUUUAUUUCCAUCCAUAGUUUUAUAAGUUCAUCUUACUGCUUUCUGUAAAAUUCAUUAUUCUUCCAUCUUUUAUAUUUUCACUCGGCACUGUAAAAAAAAAGAAAAAAAGAUGCAAUAAAAUUUUUAUACCUACACAUUGUUGUUCGUGACCAAAUAAAAGAAGUUAUAACUUCAUUUUUUCGUACAUCACAAGUCUGUGAUUAAUUGUAUUAUAUUGAUGAUUAUGGAGCAUUUGUUUUUGUAAGUACAACACAUAUCUAUCUCAGUUAAAUUAUCGAAAAACGAUUAUGUUGUGGUGGUUAAAAAAGAAAAACCUUUUUACAAUUAAAACAUAAUUUCAUAAUAAAAUACUUGGUCCAAAGUAACUUGUGAAACAACUACCAUAUUCAAUGCAUUUAAAUUUAUAUGUUACAAUUUUUCUAUAUCAACUAUCAACACUUAUUAAAUGUUGAAAACGAAACAAUCCUUCUGACGUUUCAUUUUAUUCUAAAUUAUAAUUUAUUAGUACUAAUUAAUAAAAUAAUUUUAUUCUAAAUCAAAAGAUAAUGACAUGACUUGAAAAUGUUACAUUUUCUUGUCAAAAGAAGGAAACAAAUCUUAUAAUUUUAGAUUAACAGUAUAUGUAUAUCUAUGAGGAAAGAAAAAAUAGAUAAAUAUACGCGGGCGCCAUGGCGUGAUAGGCUGGCACAUGACUUUAACUAGUUGCCAGAGUGAAUGUACGGUUAGAGGACAAAGACGUGUUGUACUUUCAUAUUAUAUACAGUUUGAUUCACUUCGUAUUCACAUUAUACAGCUGUUCAGAUUUUAUAUUCAGCCGUACCACUAACGUUUUUGAUGCAUCCAGUCAGAUAAAUGCAUGCAUUAUACAUGAUUGCAUGUGUGCGUUGCGCGUCCUGGAACUAAGAAGAUACCGAUACUGUAUAUGAUGAUCACCUCUGAAGCCCCGUGAAAGUUCUUUGAACCUUAAUUUUGUUUUUUUAUUUUUUUAAAUUAUCUGCAAUCAUUGAUGAGUUAAUAUUAGCUAUGUUCAAACUAUACAACUAUUAUUAAUCCCCAUUCAUUAAAUUAAACUGUAGUUUCAAUGAUAAGCAUAAACAAAUCAAGUGUACAAAUAGAACCACAUUAAGCCAUCCAAGUACGAUUUUAGAAUAUGUUAAUAUAGAUAUUAAUUAAGUUAACUCACCUCGAGUGAGAUCACACCACUACUAGUACUCAAAAUACUGGCUCAACGUAGCGAUGCACACUAUUUAUGAACUAUGGAGAUCAAAGAGAAACUUUGCACCGUCACAACUCCAUUUACACGGACUAAUAAGGCUGGCCAAAACACCCUUGUGGUGAAGAUAUUAAUUCUUUUUGACCUUUUUCAUAAAAUGUUUCUGAAUAAUUGAUUGUUAUUUUUAGAUGAAUAACUUAAAAUUAUUUAAAGAAGGAAAGAAAAAGUAUUAUAUAUGCAUAAAUUUAGAUAUUGCUCGGUCAAAAUACAUACAAGCUUUGGAUUGAUACAUAUUUUUCCCCAUUAUAUUGAUAGAAACGUCCAGUACAUCUAUAUUUGUGGAGUGGAUCUUAUAAGUUUCUCGAACUAUUGGAGAUCAUCAUCUUCCUAGAACUGAAGUUAAUUGCGUAUAUUUUGUGUUUUCUAGAUUUUACGACUUGGUAGUUUUGCUGACUUGUAUUCUCGUUCAAUUCGUUAUACACCUCUAAUUCAGUUUACAUGUACGUAAAAGUCUCUUGACUCCAGAAUCUCAAAUACAGCCAAAAGAAAAACAGAAAUAUUAAACCGUACGUAUGGGUGGAGGACGGGGUCAUAUAGUCAGACAAAUGAAUGAGAAUACUAGUAUUACUAUAUACAUAUGACCUUUAAUUAGGUUUUUGCCUAUGGUAGAAAGUAUGAAAUGAGAAUUGUCUCGUCUUUAUGACCUUUACCAUAAACUGAAUCUUUGACAUACGUACAUUCCAAUUACAUUACAAAAGAUUCUUCGUUUUCAAUUAAUUAAACCCCACGACUGACUAUUGAAUUUGAUUUUGCACUACUUUUCAUAAGAGCAUCAUCAAUGCAAGGUUCUUAUACUUAAGAUUUACACAUGAGAGGAUCUUCCUUGCAUUGAUGAUGACCUAAAUACCAUUACGUAAACUUUGAAUGAAUAAUGUACGGUACACAAGACAGACUAAACAUUUAACAAAUUAUUAUUAAUUUCUUUUUAAAAACAAAAAAUUAAGGUUGAUAUUAUUUUCCGAACUAGAAACGGAUAAAAUACGCAACAUAUUAAAACAAUAACUCAUUUUCGAAGUAUAUUUAUUUGUACGUAAAACAUGUUUAUAAUUAAGAGACAAUAAUGUUCUUCUAUCUUUUUAAUCUGCAACCACUGGAAAUAAAUACAAUUUAUGAGCAAAAAAAUAUGUUCAUCCCAAUCUACAAAAGAAAUUGAUCAUCCCAAGUACGGCAACUAUUCGAAGGCCUAUCUCCGGUCUUAACUCUUCUAUGUACUCUUUUAGUAACUAAAUAUCCUUUGUGAUUUGGUUAUGUCCGCUGAAUUCGGUUAUCUAGCCACGUGUCAGUAUAAUGACCUUGCCCGUAAAAUAAAGGUUAAUCAUUGCCCGGCUGCCCGGGAAAUCAAUUUCAAAUUUCAAAGGUUGUAAAAAAGGAUCAACGGUCCUUUAAUAAACGCUAAAAUAACCGCAACGGAAAAACCAGCGAAUCCGAUUCUCUUACUCACAAAUAUUCUCUCUUCUUCUUCACCCAUUUUGAAAUUUCCUCGCUCUCCAUACUCAUUUCUCUCUACUCACCUUCUUUUCUUCUCCCCUGCGAUUUUGUUGUUGUUGUUGUUGUUGUUAAUGGAAGAUUGUUGUGAUCCUGUUCUCGCUACGGAUGCUUCUUCGCAAUGUGAAAGCUUCUGUGAGAUUUACGAUUUGAUGACUAUUGUUCUCUUUAAAAUGUUCCAAUCAAGUUCGCUCACUUUUUUUUUUUUUUUUUUUUUUUGAAUUUGCGAUUUUUAGCAGCAGCUGAAAAGGCAAAUGUAUCGAGCUCAACGGCUAUGGAAAUGGUAGAUCUGGAUUCAAAUUGCGAUUUGAGUAACGGUUAGUCAUUCGAAAUCUUACGAACGGUUCUGAGUUCACUGUUGCUUUACUGAUUUUGGAUUUGAACAUUUAGAUGUUCGUAUGGAAGUAUCGAGCCCUGGGUUGAUGAAUCUGGAACAAUCUAGUGAUCCUGUAGCGUUAGAUGGUAACCAAACCUUUCAUUUGUGUUCUCCCCUUUUGUGAAAAUCAAUCGCUUCACUCUAGAGGUUAAUGGCGUCACAUUGGGUUCGAUUGUGUUUUUUUUCCAGGCAAACUUGUGUUAGGUUUUUCAUUAGCAUCUCCUGAUCUAGUUUACUGUGGCGCUUCACCUGAUUUACCCAGAGGUAGCUAUGAAGAUUCUCCAGAAUUGGCUAAGAAGAUAAGAUUUUCUACUGAGCUUUCUCUAGAGAAUGGAAUUGAUGGUUCUACUACUACAAGAGAUGGACGUAAAAGCCAAGUUGUCAAGUUCUCAGCAAUCUGUCAAACAUUUGGCUUUGAGUUGUCUCCUGAGUCUUCUUUUGAAUUACCUUCUCCACCUAGAAACUUUAGGGAGAGUACAACUCCUGUAGUUAGUAUCAACUCUGGUUCUAUAAGCACGGAUGUGACCCUGGCUGAUGAAACUUUCAUGAAGGAUGACUUUUACAGUGGAGGUGAAACUAUCAGGACUGAUGCUGCUGUUGGUAAUGAGGAUGAGGUUUUGUUGUAUCAAACAGCUCGAGUCGGUAAUUUCGCUUACAAGUUUCAGUUACUGGAACCUGGGGACUACUUCAUUGACCUGCAUUUUGCUGAAAUCGAGUUCACAGAGGGUCCUCCGGGAGUUAGAGUUUUCGAUAUAUUCAUUCAAGGAGCAAAGGCAAGGCAGCAAUGCAUUUUGAGUUUUUCUUAUCUUUUUAUUUAUCACAUGCCCAUUAUGAUUUGAUUGAAAAUAUUGCAGGUCAUAUCCGGCCUAGAUUUGUUCUCGCAAGUAGGAGCAAACACACCUCUUGUGAUAGCUGAUCUAAGGAUGCUCGUUGGUCAGGAAGGAGAGUUAUCUAUACGUUUAGAAGGAGUGACAGGAACUGCAGUUCUAUGUGGCAUUUCUAUUAGAAAAGAGGCAACGGCUAAUUGUAUGUAACUAACCUUUUUGUGUCUUGUAUGUUUCUAUUUUCUUCUUCUUCUUCCAUGUGAGGUAUUGUGAGUUAGAAAAACUAAUCUUCCAUUUCCAGGAAUUUUUCACAAUUCUGAUCACUUUUUAUUUAUUUAUUAGAUGUUGAGAAUACUGGAAUGCUAGUGGUUAAAGGAACAACUGACACUGUUCUGUCCCAGCCAACUCAAGUGAGAGAUCUUCCACAAGCUUGAUAUUUCUAGUUUAAUUGGGGGUGGUUACAUAUGUUGCAAAAAAUUAAACUAUCCUGCUGUUUUUAGGAAAAUGUUGACUGCAGAACAGAAGAAGAGAAUGAAGGGAUGAGAAGUGACUGUGAGCAGCAGAAGACAGAGAUGGAGGACAUGAAGAGAAUGAUUGAGGAACUUAAACAGGAGAACCGAAAAAAGAGUAGAGAAUGCGAAGAAGCAUUGAAUUCUCUCCGUGAGAUUCAAAAUGAACUAAUGCGCAAGUCGAUGCAUGUUGGUUCUUUGGGUAUGUAAAUCAUUGUCUUCUCUGUUUUGUCUUCCAUUGCAAGUGGGAAAGUUGACAUUGUGUUACUUGUUCAUUUCAGCGUUUGCUGUUGAGGGACAAGUCAAAGAGAAGAGCAGAUGGUUCUCUUCACUAAGAGAUUUGACAAGAAAAUUGAAGGUACGCAGAAGCAAACUUAAAAUAAAAGAUCAGCAACCGCAAACUCUCAUGCCUCAUUUUACUUCGUAUUUGUAGAUCAUGAAAAUGGAGCAAAUUAAGCUGUUGGAGGAGGCAUCCACAUACAAAUUGCUAGCCCAGGAGAUCAACGAGUUCAGCUCUCACAUACAGUCCAGAGGUGAGUCUUUGUCUUUAUAUCAUAUGAAAUUACCACUAGCACUAGAAAGGUUUUCUUCUAAAAUGUGUUUCUCUGAAUUCUGAUCUGUUAACAUCUGUAUCCAACAGUAAAGCAGGACGCUGAACUGCAUGAAAAUCUCAAAGUCAAAUUUGUAGCUGGAGAAAAAGAGAGGAAGGAACUAUACAACAAGAUACUAGAGCUAAAAGGUUUGUGUCUAUAUCCAAUAUAAAUUCUAGAGGGAACUCCUUGACAAAAAUUGGCAGCCUAACAGCUUACGGUGAUCAUUAUUUCCGACAGGUAACAUCAGGGUCUUUUGCAGGUGUCGACCUCUAAACUUUGAAGAAAUUGAAGCAGGAGUAUCAAUGGGAAUUGAUGUUGAGUCAGCCAAAAAUGGGGAGGUCAUGGUCAUGUCAAAUGGGUUUCCCAAAAAAAGCUUCAAGUUCGAUUCUGUUUUUGGUCCUAACGCUUCCCAAGGUAAUCGUUGGCAUCAAUUAUCAACAUUUGCUACUUGCCUUGUAGAAAAUCUCAUCUCACCAUUCGACAUGUUGUUUCUUAUACUUUUACAGCUGAUGUUUUUGAAGAUACUGCUCCCUUUGCUACGUCGGUUAUUGAUGGAUACAACGUUUGCAUUUUUGCCUAUGGCCAGACUGGUACUGGGAAAACUUUUACCAUGGAGGGAACUCAACAUGAUCGUGGUGUAAAUUAUAGAACACUGGAGAAUCUGUUUAAAAUAAUUAAAGAAAGAGAAAACCGCUACAAUUAUGAGAUCUCGGUCAGUGUCUUGGAAGUUUACAACGAGCAGAUAAGAGAUUUGUUAGUUCCAGCUUCACAAAGUGCAUCUGCGCCGAAAAGGUAAUAGAUAAGUUUUGUAUGCCGUUCUCCUUGUGUAUUCUUUUUAUGAAGUUAAGCAUGGAAGGUCCAUGGUUCUUUAGUCUCGUUCUUUAUGACUUGGAGUUUCAAAAAGGACUAUAAGUAACUUCUUGCUGCUUCUGAGCUAAAUUUUGGCUAAUUGGUCCUAUCACUAAUAGUAGCUCGAUACUCCUUUCUUCGCAGAUUUGAGAUAAGGCAAGUGAGUGAAGGAAAUCACCACGUCCCAGGAUUGGUUGAAGCACCUGUAAAAAGCCUAGAUGAGGUUUGGGAUGUGUUGAAAACAGGAAGUAAUGCAAGGGCUGUUGGGAAAACGGCGGCUAAUGAGCACAGCAGCCGAUCUCACUGGUCUGCCUACUUACUAGUGGUAGUUUCCUUUUUUAUUUUUCACGAAGAGAAGACUAUCUGAAUGUAUUUUCUCUUCUUUUCUAUGCAUAGCAUUCACUGUGUGAUGGUAAAAGGGGAGAACUUGUUGAAUGGAGAAUGCACAAAGAGCAAACUGUGGUUAGUUGAUUUAGCAGGAAGCGAACGGGUUGCAAAGACAGAAGUGCAAGGAGAACGGCUCAAGGAGACUCAAAACAUCAACAAAUCAUUAUCUGCUCUCGGGGAUGUCAUCUUCGCUCUCGCCAACAAAAGCUCUCACAUUCCUUUCAGGUGGAUAUGAUACAUCUAUUUACCUUGAAUUACUACAGAAAGUUACAUUCACCAGUUUUCAUCCAACUUGCGUUUGAUUACCCUUGCAGAAAUUCAAAACUCACGCAUUUGCUUCAGGAUUCUCUAGGUGCUUAACUUUCUUCCUACAGCUGCAACCACUUCCUUUUGCUUACAUAUGUUUCAUUUACCUCUAUUCUGUUGAUCUAUUAUGGAGCUUACGAUGAAAAAUGACUGGCAUAUGACAGGAGGAGAUUCAAAAACCCUCAUGUUUGUUCAAAUCAGUCCUAACGAGAAUGACCAAAGUGAGACACUAUGCUCACUUAAUUUUGCUAGCAGAGUGAGAGGGAUAGAGUUGGGACCUGCCAAGAAGCAGCUAGACAAUACCGAACUCUUGAAAUACAAGCAAAUGGUAAGCUAGAUGUCCACUUGUGUGUUUAUCGAAUCUUCACCUAGUGUUCUGACUUCUGAGCUGUGCUAAUUUUUAUCAGGUUGAGAAAUGGAAGCAAGAUAUGAAAGGAAAAGACGAACAGAUUAGGAAAAUGGAGGAAACAAUGUACGGUUUAGAAGCAAAGAUUAAGGAGCGAGACACUAAGAACAAAACCCUUCAAGACAAGGUAAACAAUACUCACCAUAACCAAAAACUACAACAUGGAUUAUAACAUUUUCAGCCUGCUGAAAGCAUCAUAUAUCACUUUCUUUAUUAGGUUAAGGAACUUGAAUCGCAACUGCUGGUAGAGAGGAAGCUUGCACGUCAACAUGUAGACACAAAGAUUGCUGAACAGCAGACGAAACAGCAGACCGAAGAAGAAAACAAUACAUCAAAGAGGCCGCCGCUGGCAAACAUACUGUUGGGAUCAGCUUCAAAAGAAUUGGUAAAACUAACACGCCCAUCAGCCUUAGAGAGCACCAUCAGCUAUGAUCUAGCUCCGUUACCUGACGGUGGCCUCAAGUACACUGACUUCUCUGAGAAGGAGAACAAUCCAGAAAUGGCUGAUCAAGUGCAUAUACCUAAUAGGACAGGAAGAUUCUCUAUCUGUGCAAAACGAAUUCCAUCAGAUCUAGCACCAAGAAGGAGUUCUCUUGCCCCAAACACAUCAACCUCGAAAGAAAUGGUGAAUCUAACCCGACCACCACUCUCAGAGAGCACCACCAGCAAUGAUCUACCUCCUUUACCCAAUGGUGGUCUCAAGUACAGUGACCUCAUUGAGAAGGUGAACAAUUCAGAAAUGGUUGAGCAACUGCAAAUACCUAAGAGAACAAGAAGAUCCUCUAUCUGCGCAAAACGUAUUCCACCAGCUCCAAGAAGGAAGACUCUUGCCCCAAUGCCUUUCAUGCCAAUCACAUCAACAUCAAAUUUGUCAAUAUUGCCACCAUGCCAAGCUAUUACAAACUCGCCUGGUGAAAAAAGUGGCACCAACCAAGUGAUCUGCACCAGCCCCAAGCUAUACAGAAGUAAUGGGAAGACAUUGACCAGCAUACUGAGACGAAGCAUGCAAAAAAGAGUGCAAAUGAAAUCUUCCCCGAGGCAGCAACCAUUGAGAAGAGGUGGCAUUAAUGUCGGGAUGGAGAGAGUUAGGCUGUCUAUAGGAAGCAGAGGAAAGCUAGCACACAGAGUUCUGCUUACCAAUGCUCGUAGGGCAGGUCUGAAAGAGACACCGCAGAAACAAGAGCGAUGGAUCUGACUGAACCUAUUAACUGACCUGAUAUGACUUAACAAGUGUUCUGCUUUCCAAUGCUCAUUAAAUUUUAUUUUUUUGGGAGGAUGAUUGAUAUUUUAUCAACCUCCGGGUUCCGUGUGCGUCUGUGGAUUUGGUUUGACCCUAUUGUAUAGAUGGUUCUGGCUUUUGUGCUCUCGUUCAAUUACUUUUUUUUUUUUUUACAUAGGAAGAUUCCAAGAAGCUAUAACCGUAUUCCAUCAAGAUACAUGAUUACCGAGUUUACAUUGAAGCCAUAAACUGCAUAUCAUCGAAACAGAUGUACACAAAAUAUAACAGCAGAAUCCACAAGAUGAAGGCUAAAACAAAGAAGAAUUGCAAAAUUCAUUCAAUUCAUGGUAGUGAAACUCAUACGCUCAGGUUAUCUGAAAUAGCAGCUGUGAUCCUUCCUCUUCCACCCUAUAAAUGCUUCCCCUUCGGAUCUAUCUGCAUCUCUCCUACUCAUUUUUGUAGUUUAUUUUUUUAAUCACUCCUAAAAAAAGGUUAUAUUUUAAAAAAUAAAUGACUACAGUACAGUAUAUAUAAUGUAACGCAUGAGCGGUCGGUAAGCAACAUGUAGAAACGUUUAAGAUUUUUGUUCUCAAUUAAAACAAAAAGAUUAGAUGGGUUGGUUCUCUCAAAUAUAUCGUUUUAUAAAAAUUCGGAAUUUAUUAAUUUUUCUGAAAAAACAAGAAUUAGGAAUCCUAUUCGAGAAGGGGAGUGACACGAGAUCUCAAACUAAGAGCUCAAACUACGGGUACGACUGUCCUUUAGUGUUGUUGCCAUCACACUUUUUCAACCACUCCAUUUCUGAUGUUGGAACCGUGCACAUGCCUGAGCCGUUGCCUCCAACGUUUGCUUGUUCUGUGUCUUCUCCUCCUUCAAGUACAGAGGUCUUGCCUCCCAUGAUAACAUCCAUGAAUGCGGUAUCAUGAUCAUCUUUCGAGGCUUCCUCCUUGGCAACCUCGAGAGCUAAACUUUCUUUAAUAUCUUGCAUGGUUUGAUCCUUUAACAAGAUUGAAAAAAACAUGUAAACCUUUAACAUAUUGUUCGUUUUUUUUUUUGGUCUGAGAUACGAUCACAUAAAACCAAUGUUCAAUAUGAAACAGUCAUAUAUACAUACAUCAAGGUAUAUAUAUAAGUUCCGCAUCAAUAAAAAGAAAGGUUCAUGAUGACUUAAGAAAGAAACUCAAAGGUAAUAUAAUCAAACAUACCUCGCAUGAAGGCUCAGCCUUUACCUUAUCCCGCAACCUACGCAAUUUGUGUCUUCUGAAUUUCACACGGUAUCUCUGGAACUGUAUCCACAAGUAAAUAAACCACAAACGAAAUAACUCUAUUUAUUACAAACAACCAAAGAAAACAAAAAAAAACUAAGCCAAAAAGAUAUAAAACAUUGGAAAAAACCAAUUGUCACCGAAUUUCUAAAGAGGCAAAAUCGAGAGCACGAACCGGAAACUUGUUAUUUCCGUGGGAGUUGUUGACAUCCUCAGAAUCAGCCAUGAUCACGGCCGUUUCGGAUUUGGACACCGAUCAAUGACUACUUAGGGACGAGUUUGAGAGAGCGGCGCGCAUCAGCUUCAGAAGACAAGUGUUAUUUACUGGGCCUGGGCCCUUAUUUAGUUAACUACGUAAAUAAAAUUAGGUCAAUUCGACCCAGACCCGGCCCUGAGAAAAAGUGUUGUAGUACAGUAGUUAAACCUCCGCCAGCAGCUUGUUUGGUGUCCGGUUCGAGCCGUUGUGUGUGUCUUUAGUCAAAAAGUGUAAUUUGGAACAAUGGUCCGUGAUGCAAAGUGGUGGUGGAUGAAAAAGGAAACUAUUUAUUGCUUUUGUUGAAUAUUAAGCCAUUUUGCAAACGUUGGAGGCAACGGCUCAGGCAAUUUUGUUAACUAGGAUUUCUAUGUAAGCAAUUUAUUUUAUAUAUAGGAAGAUGAUAAGAGUUAAGACUCCCUAUUGUGUGAAGAUGGUUUCCAAGAACCCAUAAGCAUAAUCCAUCAACAUUACAUUAUCUAGUUCACCUUCUAAGCCGUAAACUGCAUAUUGAAAGAGAUGUACACACAAAAGAAACAGCAGAAUCUACCACAAUUUACAAGAUGAGGCUAAAACAAACAAAAAAGAUCCGCUUCUUGCAACUUUUCAGUUUCAGCUUAGUGAACUCACUCGGCUCAGGUUCUCUGCGAUAGCAUCUCUGAUCCUCCUGGACCCGAUAUAUGCUUCUCCUUCGAACCUCCGAGUCUUCUCCUCCUCAUCUUUUUCAUCUUUCCUCAUCUCACCAGCUUCACAGCCAUUCACACAUUCCUCUAGUGAGUCAUCAUCAUCAUCUCCAGAAUUCACAAGAAAAUUAUGCAACAAGCAACACGUCGUUAUGACAAACGGCAGAAACUCGAUUGUCUCUGGUUUCCAUUUCUUAUCAAGAAUCUGCCAACGAGCUCGAACCUUAGCAAAUGCAAUCUCAACAGUAUGCAAUCCAGUGUGUACCACAUUGUUGAAUUCUUCUCUAAAACUCUCCUCUUCCUCCUCGUUCGAAGUCAAAUCAUACGGUGUCACAAGCCAUGGCAAUAAAGGAAGACAAGAAUCUCCCAAAAUGUAACGAGGAACCAAUACCCCAUUCCCAAGUUUGGUCGGAGCUCCACUGAGGACUUCCUCUGCAAUUGAGAAAAGCUUCGUCUGUCUGAAAAUGGCUUCUAGUUUCAUCGUACUUGGCCAACCAGCUGAGAUAUCGACGAAUCUGCCAUUGGAAUCGACCAAUGCUUGAACCAAAAUCGACCCUUUUGCACCAAGAAGCUUCCCUUUAACCUCAAAUCUCCCGAAUCCGAGAACACCGCAGCAAUUGGGGAGCAGAUUAGGUGAAAAAUCGGGUUUUGGAUCAUCAAGCUGUUGACUUAAUUUCUCAUUGAUGAGUUUACAGACAGUGAAGAAAGAGCGUGAAGCUUGGGAAGUGGAAUCAAACCCGAAUCUGUGAACGAGAGACUCGUAAGAAGCACCGUGAGCGAGACGGAAGAUUGUGGCAGCGAAGGAAGGAAGCGAAGCAGGGGUUAAGAUGGAGUAGAGACUGAAGAAGGUGGACUUUGACAUUCGGAAACAAAGGCACCAGCGAGGAUCAUCCUCGUCUUCUGUGGCGGAGGUUAAGAAGCGGUUGAACCACGUGGCGGUGGUGACGGCGGGGGAGGGGGAAGGGGAAGGUGAGAUUGGGAGAGAUGAGAUUAGGGAUUCGAGUCGGAGAGACUGUGAUGGCGAGAGGAAGAGAUCGUUGGCUUGGAGAAAGGAAUGGGUCACGGCGGCGGCGGAAGAGAGACGACGCAGUAAUGGGUCUUUCAGACCAAGUUUGCUGGAUACAUUUGUUGGGUUUUUGUCGGAUUUUUGUUUUCCGGCGGUCAUUGUUUUUUUCCCCGGCUAGUGUGAGAUGGAACUGCCGCAACUUCACAGCUAACUCAUCCGAAGCUUUGGAAAGACCAAUUCUGGUUGAGAAAUUUUCUACCCAUUUAAAACCGAACAAAACUUUGGUUCGGUCAGUUUAAAUUUUAGCUUGGUAUAAACAGAACCGAAAGUUUGGUUUACUAUACGUUCUGAAUUUCGGUUUGGUGGCACGAAAAAUAGGAUUUUCGGUUUUUUUUUUUUCCUUUGAAAAUAAUUGUCUUGGUGGUUAAACCGAAUCCAUACCAAUUUUGCCAAAGUCUGGCUCGAUAUGGCUAAUUCAGUUUGGACUUAAGCUAGGCCUGACUUUACAAUUGAAAGGCUGGAGUUUUCAAUUUGCUCAUUAAUCAGGAGAGAAGAAACAAACUACAAUUAAAAUGUUCAAGACAACUAAAAGCUUUGAUUCAUAGGCAUCGAAGUAUGAAAGAGAAUUAGUUAACCUUUUGUCAUGCUUUUGUAUCCGUAUAAAUUAGUUACCUCAAGAAUGUAUAAUUAUCUUUUCGGCUUUACCAAAAUCUUUUGUACGAGUUCUCUUUAAUGAUUGUUUUUCCUUUAAUUUGUUACAACGAUGACUAUCCAUCCUAGGCUUGUACUAAUCAGAGCAUGAAUGCCUAAAAAGUUGGACAGUUCGUUGUGUAAUUCACCAGAAAGAGAUAGCUAAAUCCCAUAUUCUUCUUAACCUACCAGGUUUAGCUGAUACUUUAGCUAACUGAUCCUCCAUUAGCCUCUCUACGUCUGGUCCCAUAUCAUGGACCAUUUUAACCGACUCAGAGAGACGGUUCAGCAAAUUCACCAAUGCAAUCACCUCGUUCCGUUGCAGUUGCAGCUGUUCAAAGAAAAGAUAGGAUUUACUUCAGUUUCAGCUGACACCAAAAUACAAAACCGAUGCAUAAAGAUGUUUUGAGAAACUCACAGUCUGAUGGUCUCCAGUGUCUUGAUUUCCAACAGAGAAGAGAAUUUUCAAUGCUGUACCAAGACCCUGAACCUGAAGUUUCCCCCAAAGCCGGCAUUUUUCACAACCUACACAAUCCAUCAGUGCACUGCAACACAUACAUUUACUUAGCUGUAUUACUAUUACCACUCUCUUUACGUUUGCCAAUAGAACAUAUCCAUUUUCAAGAAAAAAAUUAGACAAACCUUAUAUUUCUGAAUUGUUUCUGGAUCUGCUGUUUCAGUUCUGGUCCACUUUGACCUUGCCACAGCUUAGCUUCAUCAAACGGAACAGGACAUGCUGUUUGUAGUUUUGGACUGUACAAUAACUGCUUAAUCAAAGACUGUGUUUUCAGAUCUUCAGCAUGGUUUCCUGUGUCAUACUCUGCUUGCUCCAAGUAUGCUGUUGCCUGAAUCAAACAUUGUAACUUGUAAGAAGUCAUUCCAUAAGACUAAUAGUAUGAUUUCAGAGAAACAUAUAAAUUCCCAAAAGAGAGAAGUUACUUACUUUUGUAACAGCACGUAGCACAAAUAGGUAAGUGAAGUACAUAUUUCUAACACGAUCCGGAUGUCUCAGAAUACGAUCAUACAUCAGAUCCAUGUUCUGUCCCCACUGUAUUUCAAAGAAAAUACAUAUCAAUCAAGACCAUAAAAUAUAUUCUUGUUGGGAAACUUGUCUAUCUUUUACUCAGAAACACAAACCUGGUUGUUUGACUCAUCAAGAAGGUAAUCAGCAGCUAUGUGCAUCGAGAUUGAAGAAUGAAGACCGGAUAUCAAUUUGUACAAUACCUUUUUCUCUGGACAUGUCUCUCCAGAUGAAUCUGCACAAACCAUAUAACAUUUCAACAUACAUCAUUAUACAAGCCUUUGUCCCCAAUACUAAUAUAGUGGGGAAAAAAACAACUCACACUUUGGGCAGUUCUCUGAAUAUAUGGAGUCCCAAAUCCUUCUAGCUGAUGGUCCAGUAUAACCAGUAUACCUUUCGGGGUUUAAUUGAAGAUUGACAUAAGUCAUCUCACCUGCACAUAAGUCAAUUUAAAACAUCAAAUGCUCUUUUAGUAAGUAUUUACAGUUUGGUCUGUUUAGCAUAUACUCAAAGAAGAUGUCCCUAGAGCAUUUUUAUGUAACUACGUACUGCUAUCUGUGUCAUCUUCGUCAUGCGUCCAUGGAUUCUUCGUUUCAACCCAACCUCUGAAUGCUCUGUUAUCUAUAGUACGGUCAACAGCUGCCUGUGGUUUUCCCUCUUGACACUUCAGAUCAUCAGAAGGAAGUGGCCUUUUAAACGGUUCUGGAAACUCAGUCUCGGGACAUUCACAGACACUGCAAUCACGCAAACGACACAUUCCAUCGUCUGGCCAGAAUGGGCAGUCACACCAGAGUUUAACCUAUACCCCCACAUUUAUGAAAAACCAGGCAUAAGUCACGAACUACACCUCCAUAUAGUUCGACAUAAUGUGAUUCAAAAGCAUCACUGACCUUAAAGUACCGGAAAAAUGGUGUAGUGACGAGAUCUUGCAAUAAAGGAUUCAAAACCUCACUAUUGAGAUUGUCCACUGUUUCAUAAUCACAACAACAGUCUUCAACCAUGCCUUUGUAUUUACCAGUUCCCUGCAUUCAAACGGAAGAUAAAUAGAUAAAAAAGAUGCCAAAAAUCAAAUCCUAAUCAAUCUUACAACAACAUUGAUAAUCACACAUCUUCCAUUUAAAAAAACAUUGGUACAUUUCAGAGAAAACGUUUCAAAGCUUUAGCUAAACAAUGUGAUAAAAAGAUUCAAUUUUUAUUACCAUUGGCUAAAAACUGUGAUCAAAAGAUUCAACUUUAACUAUCCUGAAUCCAUCGGUCACAGAUAUCCACAAUUUCAACAAUACCCAACAACAAACUUCAUCCAGAAACACAAACAAAACACGAAAACUGUACUUGAGAGAACUUAAAGUCAAUUUCCUUAAUCGAAUGAACAAAUGAUACAAAAGUCAAAGCAGGAGAUGGAGAAUUCAAGAGAGUGAAUCCAAAACCUGAAGUGAACAGCUACAAGAAUUUCGAUCGCUGGAGAAGAAACCGACAUUAGAAGCGGUCCUAGAGCUCACAGCAACUGCCAAAAACACGACAACCAAAGUCGCUAAAGGCCAUCGCCAUGUUUUUCUCUUCCCCUCGCUCUCUUCUUCUUUGAUUGCGCCUUUUCCCAUAAUGAUGACGAAUUGCGAAUUAUAGGAAGGACAAAAAAGAAAUGAAAAUGAAAAUAUCAAAAUGGGAUAACAAAUCCUUUACAAUAAAAAUUAACAAAAAAGACACGUUUUUUGCGUCUUCCGGAAAUUCUCAAAACCCCAUUGUUGUGUUUGUUUUUGUGUCUGAAGAUCGCCUUAAGCAAGCAAAAGUCAUAAAAAUGCGUUAGCUUCAUCAAUGCGGACAUCUUUGUUUUGACAUUUCAGCGCGACGUGGGUUUUGAAUAACACGCGCUUUUCUCUAGCCGGCGCGUGUUGGAGGCAAUGUGUUUUCUUCUCGUGACGUGCAUUAGCCAAUAGAAUGCUUUUAUUCUCGUAAUGGUAAUAAACACAUGUUGCCUUUUUCAACGCUUCCAAGUCAACGACCAUUCGUUUGACUAAACUAAACGCUUUUCUCUAUACGACGCUGCCGUUUCAUGGUUAUAAUCAUCAUAAAGAAAUGUAAUUUGGGCAUGUAGGUUAGAUUAUAAGUCCGUCUAAUUUGGGCCUAGUUGCUUUGGGCUGAUUGCUAACGUACGAGUUCAGAUCCACACAUCGUAAAUUUCGAUCGUCACCUUGUAUUCCAAGGCAUUCGUUGGUGGCUUUAGUGCCCUAACCCCUGUUUUGUAUUUGUUGUUUUAUGAGGGUUAUGUUUCUUUGUGUACUCCGAAAAUCUAAGGUCUACAGAGUGAGAUAAAGAGAUGAAAUUACGAUGUGACCAACAGAAAAAAUGUUUUUUCGUAUAUAAACGUUUAUUAUUAAACUAAAAAAAAAAAAAAAACUCACUAUGGUCUUUAUUUAGCGAACUCUCCAGAACCAAGAUUUUGUUGAGAGAGAAAGAGAGGUUGAACGUCACUAAAUGGUCUCUCUGCGUACACAGGGUCAUGAAUCAGACAAGUCUGGUCGCCAUAUAUGGUCGGUCCAUCGAUAUUAAGGCCUUGGGGACCUUUUUCACUAGAAGGUUAUUAAUUAAACACGUCAAGUAGUUACGUGUUUCAAUGUGAGCAACAUAUACGUAGUAGGCUGUAGGUAGGAAACUGGUCUGUAUGCAUAUUCAUCUCUCUUCUUUUCUUCCACUUAAUGAUUGUCGUUUUUUUAAGACAUUCUUUAUUUUCAAUUGUCGUCAGUCAUACGUCUAAAUAUGUAUGAAUAGUUUUAAAUGAUUGUGAAAAUUGUAUUAAAUGAAUAAGAAAGAAAAAUAUGGACGACGGAUGCAAAGAUGUUGAGAAUCAACUCUCCUUUACUAACAGCCCUAGCUUGCAUGCAUGUUUAUCCGCUGAGGAUUUCUAUAAAUACCAAUACAAAAUGUAUUUACUCUCACAACUCACCAAAACCCUUAAAACAAUCACAAUGAAGAAACCUUCGGUAGUCUCAUUUCUCAUUACUCUCUUGUUGGCUGCAGCUGUCUGCAUUCAAGGAAGCGAGCCGGUGAAGGACACCGCCGGAAAUUCACUUCAGCCGGGUAAACAAUACUUCAUCCAGCCGGUUCAAACGGGGAGAUACGAAGGAGGUGGUCUUGUCCCAUCCGGCAUUGCAACAUUUCCGACCUUUUGUCCACUUGGCAUCACCGAAACACGCCGUCGAUUCGAACCGGGCCUUCCGGUUAGCUUUGCUUCACCACUUGGCGUGGUAGAAUUUGUUACGACAUCUUCCAUUGUAAAUAUCGAGUUCCACUCCGACGACUGGCCGGUGUGCAAGGAGUAUUCCAAGUUAUGGAAAGUGGAUGAUUCCUCAUCGGUUCCCAAUAUGCAAGCAAUUACCAUAGGUGGUACACAGCUGGCACAAAACAGCCAGUUUAAGAUUGAGAAAGCAGGAACAGAAGCAAACACUUACAAGUUCACCAGCGUUACCGGAGCAGGAACGGUUGGAUUCACCCCACAGGGGUUUUUACAAGCCCCACAAAUAGUUCUUACCAAUGAUAAUGCUAAGACCUUAGUCGUCAAAUUCAAAAAGGUUGAUGAUGCUACUACGGCUUCUACUUCUACUUCUCGCAUUGACAAGUUAGCCGCCCUCAGGAUGUUCCCUUUCUACUAGUGAACCAGUCAAAAUCAUGUAAUGUAAAACCCCGAGACUCUUCAUGACCAUGGCCAAAUAUAAUGGAUUGAGAUAAUACUAGCACGCAUGUCUUUAUUAUGAUAAUACAACUUGAAAAAUAAAUAAAUAAAUAAAAGAAGUGUAAUACAACAAAUAUAUAUAUAUAUAUAUAUAUAUAUAUAUAUAUAUAUAUAAAUUCAACAUCUAUCAAAUAACUGAAGGUAUCACAAAAAUGAUAUAAUUUGCUAGUUCGAUUCAAUAUAAUAGAAUUUGAAGAUGGUAAACUAUAAAUGUAUUGUUUUAAAAGCAAAACAAUAUAGUAAAAUAUAUUCUAUGCGUUCAAAACAAGGCAAAUGACAAAUACAACUUUUGGAGAAUUACAAAGCAAAUUAAAGGUUUCUGAUCAGUUAAUGUAAUGAUCACGUUAGUACCUAGCCAUAUUGGUAUUGUUUUGUGCUCACUAGACCUUUGUGAGUUCCCAAAAUCAAAUUCCGGUACACAGAGGGAGAUUGAACUAGACAUAAAUAUUCAUAUGCUAUACAUCCGAUAGAAUUCUAUAUCUACAACAUGCUACCUCUUUAAUAACACGAUUUGUAAGUUGUAACUAUGGGGGAUUAAUUAAGAUAUACAUAUGGUACGUUAUACUAUUUCUGGAUCUGCAAGUCUAUCUGAUUGUGCUAACAUAACAUGAUGGCUUUUGCGAAUUAUAUGUAAGAAUAAGAAAAAAAAAUGAACAUGAAAAUAUCAAAAUUGGAGAAAUAAUAACAAAUCCUUUACAAGAAAUUAACAAAAAAGACACGUUUUUGCGUUUUACUGAAAUUCUCAAAACCCCAUUGUUGUGUUAGUUUUGUGUGUGUCUGAAGAUCGCCUUAAGCAAGUAAAAAGUCAUAAUAAAAAUGCGUUAGCUUCAUCAAUGCGGACAUCUUUGUUUUUGACAUUUCAGUGCGACGUGGGUUUUGAAUAACACGCGCUUUUCUCUAGCCGGCGCGUGUUGAAGCCAAUGUGUUUCCGUCUCGCCAAUAGGAUGCUUUUGUUCUCGUAAUGGUAAUUAAAAACAUGUUGCCUUUUCAACGCUUACCAGUCAACGACUAUUCGUUUGACUAAAUUAAACGCUUCUCUCUAUGCGACGCUGUCGUUUCAUUGUUAUAAUCAAUAAUCAUCAAAUUAUGUAAUUUGGGCAUGUGGGCUAGAUUAUAAGUCCAUCUAUUUUGGGCCGAGUUGCUUUGGGCUGAUUGCUUACUUACGAGUUCAGAUCCACUCAUCGUAAAUUUCGAUCGUCACCGUGUAUCCCAAGAUCUCAGUUCUAUAAAGUGAGAUAAAACUCGAAAUGCAUUUUUGUAUAACUUCUUCACUGAGACAAGUUUUACUUUUACCCUGCCCAUUUCGAUCAGGUUCUUGAUUAUUUGUCGACUUAUGGUUAGUGGUCUUUAAAAAACUGGUUUAUCAUUGUCAUAAGGAUUUUGAAUUGUUUCCACUCAUUUGUUUUCUUGAAAAUGUGAUAAAAUCAUUUUGUUUCAUUCUCGUAUGAGUUUGUAAUUGUAGUAAGUUCUUUUUUUAAUUAGUUGGGGAAAAAAAAAGUGUGGCCAGAAAUUAAGAGAGAUGUGGGGAAUGAUUUCGUACGUUGUUUCACCCAACUUUAAUACUCUGCUUCAGAACCAAUUUAUUCAUCGUCCUUUUAUUUAUUUAUUUGGUAUACGUGUUAGCUAACAUGAUCAUUGUGCAUUUUACUCGUGCUGAAAAUCUAAGUCUGAAUUGAUUACCUCAGAAGUCUGGUCCCCUCUGUUUAACUCUCAGAGUAGUAAAAAAGUUAGAAAGCAAGGAUCACAGACUAUGUGAGUUAAAUUUAGGGUUUUACUCUUUUAACAUCAUGUCCAGUUUUAACCGCUGAGGAUUUCUAUAAAUACUGAUACAAAAUGUGUUAGCUCUCCACAACUCAACUCACUCAAAUCCUAACAACACACAAAACAAUCACAAUGAAGAAACCUUCAGUAGUCUUUUUUCUCAGCACUCUCAUGUUGGCUGCAGUUGUCUGCAUCCAAGGACAAGGACCGGAAGAGGUGAUGGACAAGGACGGUAAUCCAGUUAAACUCGGUGAACAAUACUUCAUCCAGCCGGUGAAGACCAAAAGUAACAACGGAGGUGGUCUUGUCCCAGCGGCCACUAAUAUACUUCCCUUUUGUCCUCUUGGUAUCACCCAAUCACUCCUUCCGUACCAACCUGGCCUACCGGUUAGCAUCAAAUUACCAUACCCUCUAAUGGAAACAAUUGUUAAGACAUCAGUAGCUGUGAACAUCGAGUUCAAGUCCGACAUCUGGCCGGUCUGCAACGAAUAUUCCAAGUUAUGGGAAGUCGAUGUUUCCUCAUCAGCUCCCAAAGAGCCUGCGAUUCUCAUUGGUGGUAAACAACGAGAGAAGAAUAGCUGGUUUAGGAUCGAGAAGGCCGGAGAAGGAGAAGGAGCAAACACUUACAAGUUGACUACCGCAACCGGAACCGUUGGAGCCAUCCCUGGGACUUGGUUAGGUGCACCACAACUAGUUCAAACCAAUGAUGAUGCUAAGACCUUACUCGUCAAAUUCAGCAAGGUCGAUGAUGAUACUACGGCUACUACUUCUACUUCUCGGGUCGAGAAGUUAGGUCUACGGAUGUUCCCUUUCUACUAGUCAAGUGGUAACUAAAAUCAUGUAAUAUAAAGCCUGAGACUCGUCCAUGGCCAAAAUAAUGGGUUGAGAUAAUACCCAUACCCAUGUUCGUAUUAUCCAUGAAUUAAAUAAAACUAUGCUUUCUAGCGCUUUAUCAUGAGUCCAUUAGGGCAUUUUUAUCGCUAGAGUCGUUCGGCCCUUAAGACAAUUAAAAAACUCAGAUAAUCCAAAUAGUGGAAUUGUAAGGUGCAUUCGCUUUUUGCCGGAGAUGUUUUGAUAAAAGAGUCUUAGGUUACGUGUAAUGUUGUGAUAGGGUGUUUAUUUUUGUUGGUUUUAAAAGAUUAAUGUUUUUUUUGGUGAAUUGACGGGAGAUAGUGUCCACCCUAUGUUUUAUUAAAAAAAUCAAAAUUACACAUAAAUGUCACGUCGCUCAGGUGGACCAACAAUAUCCUCAUUUAAAAUCAACACCAAAUCUAUCGGUACAAAACUCAAAAAAUAAAAACCUAAAGACAAAGAAAACACAUAGUUAACUCGCCCAUCUGCAAGACGGUUAGCUUCCUUAUACACAUGCGAUGAUUAAUGUUUUUAUUGCUAUGGUUUUUGCUUACCUAGAUUUUUUUUGUGGAUCCCUUUUCUUCUCAUCCUUUUCUAUUUUCUCUUUUAUUUUUUCUACUUCUUCUUCUUUCUCACUCACUCACUAGUCUUGUUUUGUUUUGUUAGGUUGAGACUUGAGAAUUACAUAUUAAGAUUUUUCUUAAUUUCUUUGUCUAUUUCUAACAAAAAACACAUACGAGGUUUUCUUUACUUUAUGAUCAAGUAGAAAAAAAGAAAAAAAAAAUCUGUCCCGGUUCCCAAUGCAGAACCCCUGGUUCUCCAAUGGCCGUGCUUCCGCCUUGAAUCCAAGCGUUCCCACUGCUGGUGGUAACCUCAGCCCUUCUCCCCCAGUUCCCCCAGACCCUCCUGAUCCCUCUCUCCCCCACUGUUCCCUUUCCUCGUUUCCCCCUCUGUCUCCUAAGCCCCAAUCUCUGCAAGUGUCUUCUCUCCAAACUGCUCCUCCUGUAGGGCCUGGUGUGAAGUCUUCAGACUUGGUUGUUGCCUCAAACUCUACUACUACUGAUGUUGUGAUGCAUCCAGUUGACGAAAUCGCUACUCCUCCAGUAGAUCUUGGUGUGUUAAACCCUAGAUCUACAAUCACUGUUCAAGCCAUGAACAAAAGUACUGCCCCUGCGAAAUUCACUGUUUUAACUCCCAAAUCCUCUUCUCCUUUACUCACCAAUAAAGCGUCGACCUCUUCAUUCCCCCCAAACCCACCACAAACAGCCUUCCCACUUCCAAAUAAACCCUCCCAAACCCAAAAACUAGCCUCCCCAAAAACUGGAUCUCUAUCCUCUUCUUUACCUACCCCACCCCAAGGACAAACAUCAAUUGUCCAAGCAGAACAACUUCCUUCUGUUACUCCGAUUGAAAAUCCUAAAGCUCCUGGUUCGACCCCCAGUGUUCCUGGACCAGCUGCUCCUUCUACCAGCCUCCCUCAAGCCACAGGAAAGAAAACCCUGGUUGAGCGGCUGAGGAAGAAUGUGAAUAGAACAUUACAAAGAUUAGCCCCUGUAUCUUUAUCUAACUCUGGAAGGCCAUGUGUUCACAUCCCUGAUGCAGUCUUUCACAGAGGAGCUGAGCUUCACAAGGACUUCAUAAUCUGUUUCUUCAAUGGCAGGCCACCCCUCUACCAUCAGAUUCAGAGUGUCCUUAAUCAUAUUUGGGGUAAAGGCCAGCGUUUGGAGAUCCAUGUCAACCACUCAACAAGAUCCAUGCUUGUCAGAAUCCCAAAUGAGUACAUUAGGCAGAAAGUCCUUGAAAGAUGCAUUUGGUAUAUAGGGGACUCCAUGUUCCACACCACCUCCUGGUCCGCCAAUUACUCCUCUGACACUCCUGUACUUGACUCAAUCCCAAUAUGGAUACAUAUGCUCAACAUUCCUCUUGACCUGAGAACCAUUGAAGGAAUCAGUCUCAUCUCAGGGUUAGUAGGAGAGCCUGUAGAAACUGAUGAUUUUACUAUUAAUUUAGUGAGUUUGAAAGUUUCUCAUGCAAAGGUAAUUGUCGAUCUUACAAAGCCCUUACCUGCUGUUGUGGAAUAUACUAGAGAUAAUGGUCAGAUUGUUGAGGUUGAAGUGGAAUAUCCUUGGUUGCCUCCCACUUGCUCACAUUGUAAAGAGUUAGGCCACAUUGUUAAGAACUGCCUGCAACUCCCACCUCACUCUGAUCUUCCGCCUAAAGAUGAUGUUCCUGCAAAGACAGACAAAGCUACCUCUACUGCUGAUAGCUCAAAAGACAAGGGAGAGCAAUCUGUGCCUCUCUCUUCUACCAUUUUUAUUCCUGUGAAAAGGAAAAAGAAUGAUAUCAAGGCCACAAAUGUUUCAAAACCCUCUACUUCCCAAACCCCCUCAAAGCCCCCCUCAUCUUCCACAAACCUUUUUGCACCAUUAUCCCAUCCAACCCCCUCUUUAAAUACUCCUCCCCCAAAACAGUCUAAUCUCACAAAAAACCCCACAAAAAACCCCACUAAAUCAGUUAUUAUCCCUUCCCAACCCUCUGCUAACUCUGUCCCACAAACCCCUGCCACCAUAAACUCCCUUUCUCCUGCACCCAAGACCACCAUUGUCUCUCCAGUGGUCCCCACUCACAUUAAACAGCUGCCAGUUGUUGUUGGACUUCCUGCCUCUAUUACUCCCUCUGGCCUCCCAUACCCCCACUCUCCUCCCCCUGAUCAAAGGCUUAAUUCAUCUCUUAAAAGAUCCCGUUCUCACCCCACCCUUUCUGAUUCUCCCCCUCUUUAUUUGGACCCCCAUCCACCCCUUUUGACCCCCUUUGUUACUGAACCAGUCACUUUUUUGUCCCCUUCUCUUGUCCCUGAACCUGCUAAGGAUGGUUCUGUGCCUCCUUUGGUUGAUCCCCCCCCUCUAUCCUAAUGGAUACAAAAAACUUUUUUUGGAACUUCCGUGGCCUAAAUGACCCGGAUAAGCAUCAGCCCUUAAAUAAAUGGCUUAGUAGCUAUCAACCACUUUUUGGCGCACUUUUGGAAACGCAUAUAAAGGAUCUUAGUUUGAACCAGAUUAUGAAUAAAGCAUGUCGUGGAUGGAAUUUUACUUCCAAUCAUUUGUCGGAUGAAGAUGGUAGAAUCGUUAUCAUAUGGAAGGAUCCGGCCUCAGUUCGAGUGUUGCACCAGUCCAAGCAGUCUCUAACCUGUGAAGUAAAUAUUGCCAACAAACUUAAGUUUGUGUUCACUGCGGUGUAUGCAUCUAAUCUAAGAGAGGAAAGAACUGACCUUUGGGUGGAACUUCUCAACCUCCAGCAAUCUUUCUCGUUAGAUUCUUGUCCCUGGCUUGUUGGGGGUGACUUUAAUCAGAUUGUCCAUUAUGGGGAACAUUCCUCGCCCACAGUCAAUUCCAUCACUCCCCCAAUGGUUGAGCUGUCAGACUGCCUUUCUCAGUUGGAGUUGUUUGACUUGAGAUCUCAGGGGCCAACCUUUACGUGGAGUAACAACCAGCCUCUAUCCCCUGUUGCAAAGAAGCUUGAUCGUGUAUUGGUGAACCAUCACUGGAUCUCUUUAUUUCCAGACAGCACUGCCACCUUUUUACCUCCGUUUCCCUCUGACCAUGCCCCAAGCCUUGUAAACCUUGCUUAUCAACUCCCGAGAGCUGGUACCAGACCUUUCAAGUUCUUUAACUACCUUACCAAACACCCAAACUUCCUUCAGUUAGUGGAUGAAGCCUGGAUUCAAGCCGGAAGCUUUGCUUCAAAUCUCACAGACCUGUGUUGGAAGCAAAAGGCUAUUAAAGGAGAACUAAAACACUUAAAUAGAGAGCACUUUUCAGACAUUCAAAUGAGAGUUAGUGAGGCUAACCGUUUGUUAUUGGAUGUACAGGUACAAGCUCUGGCAAGCCCAUCACCUACCAUCUUUCAGCUGGAGAGAGACACUCAUGAUAAGUGGCACUUUCUAAGGAGUAUUGAGGAGAGUUACUUUAAGCAAAAGUCAAGAAUAAAUUGGCUUAAAGAGGGAGACCUGAAUACCUCUUAUUUCCACAAGAUCUGCCAGUCGAGAGCAAGUUAUAACACUAUUCGCUCGUUUCUGUUGGACUCUGGUGCUCUGCUAACGGAUCCUGUGCUUAUGAGCACUCAUGCAAUCACCCACUUUAAGUCUAUCUUAGCUCCUGAUCAUCUUGCUCCUCCUGCUCAGUGGUCUUCUCUUCAAUGGUUCCAAGAGUUAAACCCUUUCAGAUGUCCACCAUCCCAGUCCAGAGCUAUGUUACUUAUACCGGCUCACUCUGAAAUAGCAAGAAUACUAUUCAAACUCAACCCUAACAAGGCCCCUGGACCGGAUGGAUUAACUUCUGGAUUCUAUAAAGCAACUUGGGGAAUCUUAGGCGAUGAAGUGGUUACCUCUAUCAGUCGCUUCUUCCUCACCUCUUUCAUGCCAGCCUCCACAAAUGCCACCAUCCUCACUUUGGUGCCCAAACAUUCUGGUGCCUCUAGAAUUGUUGACUACCGUCCCAUAUCCUGUCUCAAUACUCUCUACAAAGUUGUCUCCAAGCUCCUGGUUGCUAAGCUCAAGCCAAUUCUCCCCUCUCUCAUCCUACCAAAUCAAACGGCCUUUGUUCAAGACAGACUACUCCUUGAGAACACCAUCCUUGCUGCUGAGAUUGUUAACGGAUACCAUAAAAACCAGGGCCCCAAGAGAGUGGUUAUUAAGGUUGACAUUGCAAAAGCUUUUGACACGGUUUCUUGGGAUUUCCUCUUCCAGUGCCUCCGGGGUCUUGAACUUCCUGAGUUGUUCCUCAACUGGCUCCAUGCUUGUGUCUGUUCACCAAGUUUCAUGGUUGGUUAUAAUGGUACAGUUCAAGGUUAUUUCAAAGGUAAAAGAGGUCUUAGGCAGGGAGACCCUCUUUCCCCUUACCUUUUUGUAAUAGCUAUGAACACCUUAUCUCUAAUGCUUAAUAAAGCUGCAGAAGAGGGAAGGUUCAAGUAUCAUCACAACUGUGAUAAGGCCAAACUCACUCACCUCUGUUUUGCGGAUGAUCUUCUCAUCUUCUUGGACGGUUCCCUCAGUUCUGUUCAGGCUGUCCUCCAUGUUCUGAAAGAGUUUGAGGAAAGAUCAGGCCUUGCCAUCAGCAUUCAUAAGUCUUCCUACUUUGCUGGAGGGCUAUCAGAUGAGGAAACAAACCUCAUUACUACAGUGACUGGACUCCCACUUGGUUGUCUCCCGGUUCGCUAUCUAGGAGUCCCUCUAUGCACAAAAAAGCUAAACAUUCAAGACUGUGAACCUCUACUGCAACAAGUCAAAGGAAAAAUCAAUAGUUGGACUACUAAAUACCUAUCUUUUGCAGGGCGAUUGCUGCUAAUCAACACGGUUAUUGCAGGAAUCACAAACUUCUGGUGCUCCUCUUUUGUCCUGCCUAAGCUCUGCAUUCAAAAGAUAAACUCAAUCUGUAGUGCCUUCCUAUGGAAAGGAAAUCUAGAAGGACAUCACUCUGCUAGAGUUUCUUGGGAGAAGAUUUCAAAGCCAAAGACCCAGGGAGGAUUGGGAAUUAAAGACCUCACCAGCUGGAAUAGGGCUUGCUCCAUAAGACUCAUCUGGCUUCUUUUCUUUAGAUCGGGAUCUGUUUGGGUAGCUUGGUACAAGGAACACUUCCUGCGUGGGUCUUUGAACAACUUUUGGACUAUGAAACAAAGACCAGUUUACUCAUGGUUAGCAAAUAAAUUGUUGAAAAUCAGAGACGUGUGCUAUAAUUGGAUAAAGAUGCGGGUUGGGAAUGGUCUUACUUGUAGGUUCUGGACGGACAACUGGUCUCCUUUUGGACGGCUCUCGACCUUCCUCUCCGAUACUGCAACCUCAAGACUUGGAAUUCGCCAACAGUCUACUCUUUCUCAGCUGUACAACCGGGGCACAUGGAUGCUACCAAACCCCAGAUCAGAUACUCAACUAUCUCUCCAUAUCUUCCUCACUACGCUAUCCUUAUCUAACUUUGAUGACCACUACGAAUGGGAACUAGAUGGGAAGACCUAUACACGCUACUCUACUGGGCAAGUCUAUCGAGCUAUCACUAUGCAAUCGCCUUUGGUUCCUUGGAGAGAAGUCGUCUGGUUCUCCGGGAGCAUUCCAAAACACAGUUUCCUCACUUGGCUUUUGGUUCAGAAUCGGUGUCCCACACGAGAUCGUAUCCUGGGAUGGGGGCUUCAAACGGAUCCAUUAUGCCUCCUCUGUGGCUCUUCACCUGAGUCUAGGGACCAUAUCUGGUUUGACUGCGGAUUCGCUUGGUCCAUCUGGGAAAACAUAGCAAGUCGAUGUGGGAUCUCUCCCCUGAGAUCUUGGGAGGCAUCGCUACACCAUUUGCAGGGGAUGAACGGGGAUAAAGCUCGCCGGCGAUUAACCCUUCUUGCUUGGCAGUGUUCCCUUUACUUGAUUUGGGCGGAGAGGAACAAUCGACUCCACCGUUGCUCUUUCCGAUCAGUGGAUGAUCUCCUCCGACAAAUUGAUACAACUAUCAGAAAUCGGAUUGCCUCGUACAGAGAUUCGAAUUCUUCUAUUGCUUCGCUUAUGCUGCAACAUUGGUUCUCCUCUGCUUGAUCUUCCGACAUUUGUCGUCUACUAUUCCAUCAACUAGGGCAUGCUACUUUCUCUAGGUUCAACUUAAGAUCCAUUUGUGUUUGUUUUGUGCUAUUCGGGCUAGGCCCACAUCAAAAAACUACUAAGGCUGGGCUUUUGUAAUCUUUUUCUUUUCUUUUUGCAAUUAAUAGAAAGCCUGUUACAAAAAAAAAGGUUUUCUUUACUUUAUUUCUAUCCCUUCAAAUUUUAAAAUCUUCAAAUAACAAAAAAAAUACUUUAAAAUCUUCAAUAUUUCUAUUCUUGUUUUGACUAAUUUUAUAAUUUUUUGUUUUGUUUGAAACUAAUAGUAUGUCAUCAACAUAUCUUAAAACCUUAAUCUAAAUAUGUUUUAUGUUUAUUUUUAUAAUUUUCAAUUUAUUAAUUAUUUAAUUAAUUAAAAAUUUAUUAAUAAGUUUUACAUUAUUUUAUUAUUAAAAAUUUAAGAUCUUACAGGUUUAACCAAUAAUAACCUAUAUAUCUGUGGUUCUUAACUUACACUUUUACAUUAUUAAUAUACAAAAAAAACUCUAAGUUACAUCUUAAAGCUUAUGCCUUUAAAGAUGCUCUUACUAACGAGAUUGUCAUAAAAUCAAUUAUGAUAUAAAUAUAAUUAAAUUACAUAUAAAUCACAAGUAGCAUAUAAUUAAGUAUGAAAUUGAUAUUUUUGUAGACAAACUUAUGAAUUUAAUCAAUCUGUGUUCAUCCGAUGAAUAUAUCAAAUCAAAGGAUAUUGCUAUCUCAUGUAAAAUUAUAAUAUCAAUCAAAUACAAAUUUAAAACCGAUGUAAUAAAGUAUAUCCAAUGGAGAAAAAAAUGAAAAAUGAUUUACGAAGUGAUGGUCUUGUAGUUGUUAUCAUAAUUAGUUUGUUUUACACUUUUCCUAUAUAAACAUUUAUUACAAAAGUAAUUUUAAAAUCUCAUUAGGGUCUUUAGUUAGCGAACUCCAGAAAUUAAGUUUUUUUUUGUUGAGAGAGAAAGAGAGAUUGAACGUACGUCACAAAAUAAUGUCUCUGAGUACACACGGUGAUGAGUCAGACAGUCUGAUCGAUCGCCAUGGUCCAUCGAAAUGAAGGGCUUGGGACCUUUUUCAUUGGAAGGUUAUUUAUGAAACGCGCCAAGUGGUAAGAAAAUAAAUAAAUGUAUGGAUACAAAGAUAUUGAGAAUUACUCUUACGUCGGUUCACUCGUCCCUAUCUCUCUCAAGUAUGAAAUCUUGUCUUUUUCCCAUGAAUUAUUUGAACGGUUUUCAUAAGCCUAAACCCUCUUUUCUUCAUAUUGUUUGUUAACAUGGACCAUUGUGCAUUUUCCUCAUGCUGAAAAUCCAAGUUUGAAUCAGUAACAGAAGAGUCUAAAGCCCUUUUUUCAACCCUCACUGUUGUAGAAAGUAAAAAAAAAAAAAAAGAUUCUCCUUAAUUUACUGAAUAUAAUGCCCUAUUUUUAACCGCUGAGGAUUUCUAUAAAUACCAAUACAAAAUGUGUUUAGUCUCCACAACUCAGCUCACUCAAACCCUAAAACACACAAAACCAUCACAAUGAAGAAACCUUCAGUAGUCUCUUUUCUCAUCACUCUCAUGUUGGCUGCAGCUGUCUGCAUCCAAGGAAAUGAACCGGAGGAAGUGAAGGACAGGGACGGAAAUCCAGUUGAACUCGCAAAUCAAUACUUCAUCCAGCCCGUGAAGACCGAACGUAACAACGGAGGUGGUCUUGUCCCAGCGACCGCUAAGAUAUUUCCCCUUAUCUCUUGUCCACUUGUUGUCACCCAAACAAUCCUUCCACUCCAACCAGGCGUUCCGGUUAGAUUUGCUUUACCGCUUAGCGAAGCAGAAGUUAUUUCGACAUCUUCCGUUGUAACUAUCGAAUUCUAAUCCAACUUCUGGCCGGUUUGCAACGAGUUCUUAAAGUUAUGGAAAGUGAAUGAUUCCUCAUCAGCUUCCAAGGAGCCAGCAAUUAUCAUAGAUGGUACUACACCUCAGGCACAAAACAGCCAGUUUAAGAUUGAGAAAGCCGCAACAGGGGAAAACACUUACAAGUUGAUCAGUGUUACCGGAGCAGGAACUGUUGGAGCCAUCCGAGGGAGGUGGUUUGACGCACCACAACUAGUUCUCACCAAUGAUGAUGCGAAGAUCAUAGCCGUCAAAUUCAAAAAGGCUGAUGAUGCUACUACGGUUACUACUUCUACUUCUCGUGUUGAGAAGUUAGGUCUGAAGAUGUUCCCUUUCUACUAGUGAACCAGUCAAAAUCAUGUAAUGUAAAACCCCGAGACUCUUCAUGACCAUGGCCAAAUAUAAUGGAUUGAGAUAAUUCUAUGUCAUUAUCUUUCCAUAAAUUAAAUAAAAACAUGUUUUCUAGCACCUUAUUAAUUAUGCAUCUCGCCCUUGUCAUUGAGCUUUGCUAACAAAGGAAGAAGGAAAUGGAAUAGUUAAAUUUUGAGGAAAAACAGGAAAAAAUAAAAAAUAUAUCAAAUAACCUAGGGUUUCCCUAAAAUGAUAUUAUUUGUUAGUUCGAUUUCAUAUAAUGUUGUUCUUUGAUUAGAAUAUGAAGAUGAUAUAUAUGUAUUGGUUUAAAAAGCAAAAUAACUAGUACAUAUAAUAUCCGUUCAAAACAGGCAAAUCACAAGUAAAAGUUUCCGAUCAGUUAGUAACUAGCCAUGUUGUGUGCUCUCGAAUUUUAGGCGUAUGGACGUAUGGUCCUUUGAGAAUUCCCAAAAUCAACAUGCUAUAUAUAUUCAUAUAUAUAUAUGCUAUAUAUACAUAUAGAGGGAGAUUGAACUGGACAUAAAUAUUCAUAUAUAUGCUAUAUAUACAUCCGAUAGAAGUCUAUACAAUAUUUCAAGUAGAACAUGCUACCUCUCUUUAAUAACAUGAUUUGAUAUAUGGUACGUUAUACUAUUUCUGGAUCUGGAAGUCUAUUUAAGUGGGCUUGAUAAAUCAUGAUGACUUGAAGGGAUUUUAACAAAGACAAAAAUGAAUUUGUUGUCGCUCAUUUGUUUUCUUGUAAGAACAUACACAUGGUGGGAGUCAUUUUAUUUUGUUUUUGGUUCAAGUGGGAAUAAUAUUUGUUCUUGUUUCAACCAAACUGUACAAAGAAAGGAUGUGGGCAGAAGCAGAGAUGUUUGAAAAUAAUGCGUACGUUGGUUCAGUCAGAGAGAUAGAGACCAUUGGGCAUUUUCUUCCCAUCAAUUGAUUUGGUAUCGUCCUUUAUACUAGCAUAUAUGUUAAUUAGUCGACAUGAACCAUUUGGGCAUUUUCCUCGUGUUGAAAAUCGAAGUUAGAUUCGAUUUCCAUACAGUUAUCUAAUUGAACCCUUAUAAUUUUAAUUAUUAUGUUUCUAGAUAAAAUCAGAAAAUCUAUAACGAAUAUAAAGCAGAAACUUUAUGCUUUUGAACUCUCUUGUGGUGGGUGCACCAUGCAAAACAAAAAAUUGUCGCUUGUGUUGAUUAAUACUUCAUUUGAUUGGGAUCUCUAUUAUUUAUCUAAUCUUUUUAACUGGAUUUCAAGUUAAAAUAAUUAAAAAGCUUUAUUAUAUAUCUAUUUUUUAAUUGGAUUUAAAAGUUAUCAUAACUAAAGAAAAGCUCUGAAUUUAGUGAAAACAUAACUUAAAACGCAUAGAAAAACAACUCGAAAUUGAUCAGACAAAAUAAAUCAGUCAUGAAGUUAACUUAAGGAAAAAUAUAGAUAUGAAAGAAAUACAAGUGUUUAGUUGCUCUACUUUCCAGCUUUUGAGCAUAUCAUUUACGUCCGAAUAUAUAGGGAUUUAGGCAUAUCUUCUUACACCUUGUUAGAGGAACACAUACUCCUUGUUCAAGGCAAAAGAAAAAGAAAAAGAAAAUUAUCUGUACACAUAUCUUUCUAGAAACCUUCUUUGUUCGACAUCUUGUUGACAUACAUCGAACAUCAACUAGACUACUUGAUAAAGAAUCUAUUACUACAAAGACUGUUUAAUUACUAAAAUAAAAUAAAAAAAUAAGAAAAGCGCGCGGAAGCCAAAGUUUAUGAUACACUUACAAAGUUUGAUUUUUUUUUGUUUGUUAAACUGUAGAUAUGUUGAAAGCAUUAAACUAUAAGUGUGUAAUAGAUCAUACUAUAAUAUGAUUAAAUACAAUAUUCAUCCUCGAAAGGCUAGAUAUUCCAUCUCGGGCAAAUCCAUGGAUUUUGUCGAGACCAUAAUCAGACCAUGUUCAGUCCCUUCAGUUUCCUUCGUAUCCAAGCAAAUCAACAAUUCUUGGUCUACGUUAAACCCCUUUUUGCUCUUACCAUUAGCUGCGAUUUCUAUGUAUACACCAUACUCGAGAUCAGACGCCUAUAUAUAGCUAUAACCCCGUUCAUUAUUUGGAAUCAUCAGUUUAUUCCUACCAUAACCAUGGCUGAGAUUCCAGCAAAGAAACACCCUAACUCGAAAAACCGGAAUAGCUUUACCACUAAAUGCUCUUUCUUGGUGAAACAGCAUCGUGCCCGUCUUUAUAUACUCCGCCGCUGCGCCACCAUGCUCCUCCGCUCCUACAUUGAUCACGAGGACGACUAAACUUAUUUAUAAUAUAUACCCUUUCUAUAUAUAUCUGGCUAAAUUCAUAUUUUAGUUGAUCUCCGAUUCAUCAAGAGAGUCUCGUGGGUUUUUUUUUCUUUUUUUUCUUUUUUUUCUUCAACAUGGAUUAUGAGCGCCUACGUAAUACUUGCUUCACAAGUGACUUAGAAAAGACGUUUUAUGAAGGAUUUUAAUCAAUUUUUCCGCUCGCAAGAUUGACAUUAUCUUCGGUCGGCCACGAUUUUGCAAGAUGCAUGAAGACAGAGUAAAAAGAGGAUUACUGGUUCAUCAUUAAUCUAACCAAACAGUAUUUUUCCUUCAAGUUUAUUUUCUCUCCCUCUUCUUUAUUGGUUGAUUUUGUAAUAUGAGUGUUGGAAUAAAGAUUUUUAUCAACAAAAAAUAGAAAAUAUGUAAUAGAGUGUAAAACCAAUAUGAUUUCAUAUUGAAAACUGAAAAUCCUUUAAUAUUUUUUUCGGUAUACUACAUUACUACAACUAUAAUAGACAACGUGGUUCUCUGUGAAUGGCUCUUGAGGAAUGGGAGAUCAUAGUAGAGGAGACACGUAUUGUAUUAAUGCUAUAGCAUAUGUAAAGUGUCAACUUCCUCUUCUUCGCUUCUUCUGUAUUAUUCACACUCACACAUAGACAAGUUUGACUCAGCUCAUUUCUUGAUCUUCUUGAUCUUGUGGUCGCUUUAUUAUUUUUGUUCUUUAGAAAGUCGACUUAUUAUUACUAUAGAGAUUUUGAAUUGUUGUCGUUCAAAAUGGGAUGAAAAUAUCUGGUUUGUGCACAGAAAUUUUCAUAUUUUUUUUUUAUAUAGUAAGUUCUUUUAAAAUAAUAGAGAAACGACCAAUUGUGGCCAUAAAUUAAGAGAGAUGUGUGUGGGGGAUCAUAUCGUACGUUGUUUCACUAAUUUUAUCUCUCUGCUUUAGAUACCUUGCCGUCCUCCAAUUUAUUGAUCGUCUCUUUCUUUGUUAGUUAACAUGGACCACUCUACAUGUUCCUCGUGCUGAAAAUAAUCGAAGUCUGAAUUUAGGGUUUUACUUAGCAAAAUGGGAGUUAGAUAUUUCUCUUUUCAGUUUUUACUGGUAUACCCUGUUUUAACCGCUUACGAUUCUAUAAAUACCGACACACAAUGUGUUUGGUCUCCACAACUCAACUCAACUCGCUAAAACACAUAAAACAUUCAAAAUGAAGAAACCUUCAGUAGUCUCUUUUCUCAUCACUCUCCUGCUGGCUGCAGCUGUCUGCAUUCAAGGAAGCGAACCAGUGAAGGACACAGACGGAAAUCCACUUAUCGACCGUACAAAAUACUUCAUCCAACCGGUGAAGACCAAAAGUAACAACGGAGGUGGUCUUGUCCCAGCAGCCACUAAUAUACUUCCCUUUUGUCCACUUGGCAUCACCCAGACACUCCUUCCUUACCAACCUGGCCUACCGGUCAGCUUCCAUUUACCAUUGGGUGCAAAACACACCGUUGUGACAUCUUUCCCUGUCAACAUUUAUUUCGAGUCCAACAUCUGGCCGGUGUGCAACGAGUUCUCCAAGUUCUGGGAAGUCGAUGAUUCCAAAUCCGUUUCCGGGGAGCUUCCAGUUGUCAUAGGUGGUAAACGGUUUGCUGAUAAUAGCCGGUUUGAGAUUGAGAAAGCCGGAGAAAACACUUACAAAUUGACCACCUUAUACGGAACCGUUGGAGCUAUCCCAGGGGCGUGGUUAAGCGCACCUCAACUAAUUGUCACCAAUGAUACGUCUAAGACCUUACUCGUCAAAUUCAGCAAGGUGGAUGAUGUUACUACGGAUGAUACUUCUACCUCUCGGGAGGAGAAGUUAGCUCUAAGAAUGUUCCCGUUCUACUAGUCAAAUGGUCAAAAUCGUGUAAGAAAAAGCCUGAGACUCGUCCAUGGCCAAAAAUAAUGGGUUGAGAUAAUACCCACGCAUGCAUCUUUUUUACUUUCCAUAAAUAAAAUAAAAUUAUCCUUUCCAGCGCUUGAUUAUGACUAUAUGAACGGCCGUAAUUGUCAACGAGCUUGCUAACAACGAGAUAAAUAAAUUUAAGAAUGGAUAUCCAAAAAAAUAACAUAUAUCAUAAUUACCGUACAAGUAUGAGUUAAGUAAUAAAUAAUAUAUCGAUGAAAAGAUAUGCCUAUAUCUUGUAUACAAAAUUAUAAUCCAAAAAAGGUUGUCAUUCUUUCACAUUCAGUCAAUAAACAAAAAAAAAACCCUUGACAAAAAAAAACCCUACAGAUAAAUGAUAUUUACAAUGUCACAUAAUUUUUUUAUGGAAUUUUUUUAUAACCGUUAUUACAAAAGGUAAUUAUCAUCUCAUAAUGGUCCUUAAUUAGCGAUUCCCAAAAAAAUAAUUUUGUUUCGUUGGGAUAGAGAUAGAGAGAGAAUAAACUUGACAAAUUGGCCUCUUUGUAAUUACAGUCGGUCGUCACAGCCAAGCGAAACACAUCUUAAUUAUAUUCUUUAGAAAAAUGGGAAUGAUUACAUUCAUUAAUUAGGAAUUUCAUGGAGCAAUAUCACACGUGGUUAGGGGUUGUCGUAAGUGUUAAUUAAGACACGGUCAUCCGAUCCUCUUGUAGACUAUACACAGCAGUGUUCUGCAUGGUGGUGGUAAAAUCAUAUAUGCAUGGGGGUGGUAAAAUCAUAUAUGCAUGGUCGUGGUGAAAACAUAUAUAUAUAUAUAUGGUUCUUGUUUUCCAAUUUGUUUUUAAAUGAAUAAGAAAGAAAAAUAUGGACGGAUACAAAGAUAUUGAGAAUCAUUCGUACGUUGGUUCACUCAUCCCUAUCUCUCUGUUUUGAAAUCUUGUCUUUUUUCCCCAUAAAGUAUGCAUGUGAUGGAUUUUCAUAAAACCUCAACUCUCUUUUCUUCAUAUUGUUUGUUAGCAUGGACCAUUGUGCAUUUUCCUCGUGCUAAAACCGAAGAGUGUGUGACGUAAGGAAAAAUCCAAUAGUUGAUAGCUGAUGAUAAAUUUAGAGUUUUAGCAUAAAUGAGAACUGAAAUUAAUUAUUUUCUUUCAUAAAUAAAAUGUUUUUUCUAGCGCUUUACUAUGACACACUUGCCAUGCAAAUGGGCCUGCUAACAAUACAUAGAAAUAUCGUACGUAUAUAGUAGGGGACACAUAUAUUAUAUAUGUAACCUUAGAUUGUGUUCAAAGUUUGGAUCUGCUAUCUAUCAUAAUUAAGGUCUCGCCCUUGAUCCUUUUUAAUGGGCUUAAUCUAGUACGUGGUUGUAACAUUUUGGUGACCUUUAGAGUAUCCUUAAUAGGAGUAUCUACUAUCUAGGAAAGUUUCUUUAUUGAAUCUUAUGAGCUUCAUAGUUUCUGAGACAAAACUAUAUUCGGUUACACGAAUAAACCGAAAAAGAAACAAAAUUCGGUUUAAUUUGAAAUAGAUUUUAAAGCAAAAAACCGAACUGAUUAAUUCGCUUACCGAAUUAUUAUUCAGUUCAAUUCGGCAAAAAUUUUAAAAAGCUGAAAAUCUGAAACUCAAAUAAACCGAACCGAUUAAACCGGUUAAACCGAAUGUCAAGGGCUACAUAUAUUAUAUAUAUGUCGUAUACCCGUAUGUGUUAAUUAGGAUAUGGUCCACUACUUGUAGAAUUUACAGAGUGUUCAUUAUUAUACAUGAGUACACACACAUGUGUGUCAAGUUUCACUUUGCCAAUUCCUUCCAGGCUUACUGGUUCUUGCAUGUUGCUUUCUCGUUAUAAAAGUGGAUUACUAAUUUCAUAGAAGUUGAGAACGGAGAGAGAACCAUUCGUACGUUGGUUUACACAUCAUCCCUAUAUCUCUCACUGUCUCAAAUCUAGCUUCUUCUUCCCAUGAAUUUAAAGCCUUAAGCCUAUGUUAGUAGUUAACGUGGACCAAUUGUGUACCUUCCUCGUGUUGAAUAUCGAAGUUCGAAUUGGUAGACAGUUACCUUUAGAAACCAAAGAUUAUAUUGUGACUUGAGGGAAUUAACAAAAGCUAAUAAAUUUUAAGGGUUUUGUAUUAUGGGCUAAAACCAACAAUAUCAGAAAACGUAGAAAGAUUAUGAAAGAUAAGAGAAGUUACGGACUCAUAUGGUAAAUAUAGAAACAAUUAACAUAUUUUUCUCCUGAAGCAACAGAGAAGCAUACGUACCAACAUAACCACUAUUUCCAAAGGUAGUUGAAGCAUCUUCUCCCAAUACCUCAAAACGGCGUCGUUUUGAUUCAAAAAGUCCAAAUCAUUGACUAAACACUUGUAUUUGUUUAGUUGUUGCAAAAAAUCUCUCUAUUUUGUUUUCUUUCUCUCGAUCUCUCUGUCUCUGAAUCCUCCAUUGAUGUUUAGGUAUGUCUUCAGUUUCUCAGAUCCUAAUGCUUCGUCUUUCUUCGUGCUUCGUACUGCUCUUGCCUUUUCUCUUGUUUACUCUCUUCAAAACUAUGCACAACAAGUAUUCGAUUAAAUGCCGCUUACAAUCCCCCACUCCAAUUUCAUCAUCAUAUUCUGAGUAGCAUCACAGAUUUUGUUUUCUUAUACCUUGAAAUUUGGUACGUAUCUUCUUCAAGGUACACAGAGUUUCAUGGAUUCGAUCAUACUAUAUAGAGAUUCAUAAUUUAAUCAUACCCUUACAUAAAAAUCUGCUUUUUGAUCAUAUGGAAGCUCAAGGGUUUAAGUUUUUCACGUAGUGGCUAGAGCUUCUACAUGUAUAUAGAACUCGUUUUGAAAGUCACAAGCUGCAUAAAUUUUCAUCUUCUUUACAUUAUCAAAGCUUCUAUAUAUUACCAUCAAAAUUAUAAUUUACAUGGGAGUGAUGGUUAACAUAUGCAAUUGACAAGAAAAAUAAGUUGUGUAUAUUUACUUAUGCAGAUGUGUGAUUAAAAUAGGGAAGGGCACACAGUUACGUCUCUUCUUCGGGUUCUUGUCUGUUGUUACUUUGGUUUGGUCUCUCCGCUAUAUUCUUAAGCCAGUCUACAACUUGUUGGAUGUUUGGUCUUUUCAUUGGGUUUUGGUUCACACACAUGCAGGCUACGUCGAGCACACGAAGCAUCUCUUCUUCAUAACCACUUUCCCUCAGCAAUGUAUCAAACACUUCCUCUGGUUUCCCUUCCCUUCUCAUUGUAUUCACCCAGGCGACCAAUUCUCUUGACAUCUUUGGCCUGAAAACCUCCAUUGGUCUUUUUCCUGUGAGAAGCUCUAGCAUGACGACACCGAAACUGUACACGUCACCUCUCAAAGUGGCUACCCAGGCUUGUCCAUACUCUGGGGGAAUGUAACCCAGUGUGCCCACUAGCUCAGUUGUAACGUGGGUGCGAUAUGGAAGAAUCAGUCUUGACAACCCGAAAUCUGCGACGUAAGCCUUGAAAUUCCCAUCCAAAAGGAUAUUGCUGGACUUGAUGUCUCUGUGAACUAUGUGCGGUUCACAUAUCUGGUGCAUGUAUGCUAGUCCACUACUUGCUCCUCUCAUAAUGUUUAAUCUUUUCGGCCAAUCUAGGUGGGCUGGACCCUCCGGAUUUUCAUGCAGCCAGUAAUCGAGACUACCAUUCUCCAUGAAGGAGUAAAUUAGUAUCCGGGCACUAUCAUGGACGCAAUAACCUUGAAGAGCGACCAGAUUUUCAUGUUUGGCCCUGGACAGAACUUCUACCUCUGCCUUGAACUCUUUUUCCAUCAUACCAUAGUCUCCUGUGAGUUUCUUAACCGCCAGUUUUGUUCCAUUAUCCAAGGUAGCCUUAUAGACAAGACCAAACCCGCCGCAACCAAUUAUAUUAGCUUGACUGAAGUUGUUGGUAGCUUUCAAGAGCUCAAAUAUGGUGAGGUCUUUUACGUCAUACCUGCUGUUUCCAAACAACAGUACGAGGCUUAUGUCUUUCUCCGAUCCUGGAGGGACUUCAGAAUACGAGCCAUUCGAAUUUAUCUCCAGUUCAGCGUUCUCAGAAUCUCCUGGAUUUACCCUCCUCUUGUCAAGCACCCACAGAGCCAGCAACACCAAAAUCAAACUUACCCCAAAAAAAAGUCCAAUGACAAGCCCCAAAACGAGCGUUUUGUUGACCUUUUUUCCAUCCAUCUUUGUAGUAGAUGGAAGAGUUGGAGUGCAGGAAAUUUGCAGCACACCACCGCACAACAAGGGGUUUCCAUCGAAAAAUGCUUUUCGAAAGGUAUCGAACUGACUCCCUGUGGGUAUCGGCCCACUGAGACUGUUGUUUGCAACAUUGAAAUAGGACAUGAAAUGGAGUCCCGUGAGCGACCAAGGAAUUCUACCGGUUAAGUUGUUGUUGGACAGGUCCAGCCUCUCUAAGUUUGUGAGGUUUGACAAUUCAUCUGGGAUGCUGCCGGUAAAAUUGUUACUUAGAAGCUCCAGGAUAUGGAGAACCUUUAGCUGUCCAACCUCGACUGGUAUACUCCCAGUCAAGUUAUUCCUCCUGAUGUAUAUCGUAGGUGGGAGGCUGGAAAGCUGAUUGUAUUGCUGAUUGGUGGUGACAUUAUUGGGAUUGACAAAAACCGGCAGCUCUAGAUAGUUCCGCUCUGUUGCAUCGUAUGCCUUUUGGGACAUCAAAGCCCUCAGCUGAAACAGUGCCUUUGGAAGCUCUCCUGUAAGAAGGUUAUCGGAAAGAUCCAAGUAGAAAAGGUCUGGAAGAGUUCCUAGCCAACCGGGAAUUGACCCAACGAGUCGGUUCAUUGAAAGAUCCAGAACUUCUACCCUCUUGAGUUUGAUCAGCCAAGGUGGAAUUUCACCUUUCAAUCUGCAUCCACCGAUACCGAAGAUUUGGAGGCUUGGAAAUCCAUCUGCCGCAAUAAAGUCUGCAUCGCUUGGUACCGCUUCUCCAUAAAAAUUCUUUGCCAUGAUAAGAGUAGACAGCUUCCUGCAGCCUUGCAGAAUGCUGAGAGCACCUGUGAUGUUCGUCAUAUUAUUGUCUGAAAAAGUAAAGAACGACAGAGAUUCCAAGUCCAGUACUUGAGGAGAUAUCUGUCCUGUUAACUUGUUUCCUGCAAACCUCAUUGCUGUCAUCUUUUUGCAGGAGUAAACCGUGGAGGGAAAAUCGCCCGUAAAGCUAUUGUUUCCAAGGUCCAGAAUGCUGAGGUUCUGAAAUCCGGAGAAGUUUAUCGAAGAUAAGGUUCCUACCAGCCUAUUAACCCGUAAAUUCAACUUCACGAGAUUGGUGCAAUUGCCGAGAGAAACCGGGACAGAGCCCGUGAGGUUAUUGAUAUGGAGUUGGAGACUGCGCAGGUUGAAAAGCUUACCUAUAUCCAUUGGUAUUUCUCCUUCGAGAUGAUUGAAGUAAAGCUCAAGCAAUUUCAGUUUGGUGAGACGAGUAAUCCCGUCAUCAAUCUUACCAGAGAGACGGUUGGCUGGUAAAAAGAGCUGCUCAAGAUCAGGAAGAUUGUAGAUUUCCUUAGGGAUUUCACCAGAGAGAUUGUUGAAGCCUGCUUGGAAAGCACUUAGCCUCAAGCAUCUGCCCAGUUCUUGAGGGAUAACGCCGCUGAAAUCGUUGUAGGAGAAAUCCAGUUUGGUGAGCUGUGGUGAAGUUGUGCACAUGAAGGAAGGGAUUGAUCCCGUGAAGCUGUUGUUGCUGACAUUGAAACUGGUUAAAUUGAAAGCACCCUGAAGAAAAACAGAACCGCCGAGGAUUUCACCUUGAAGAAAAUUGCUGGAGAGAUCAACGGUCUGAAUUGGGAAGGUUCUGUUACUUCCUUCACGUGGCAGGUCACCGUUGAAACUGUUGUAACUCAGAUCAAGAACCAAGAGCUGAUCAAGGGCAGAGAGGAAACCUGGUGGGAGUGGACCAGAGAGACGGUUAUGAGAAAGGUCGAGACGAGAUAGAAAACGGAGAUCCAAAACAGAGGAGGGGAGGUCGCCGGAGAGUCCUUUGGAGGGCAAAAGAAUCGAAGUGACACGGUUUUCAGGAGAAUCAUCAUCACAUGAGAUUCCUUCCCAUGAGCAACAAUCAGUAGAAGAAUUCCAAUGCAAAGGAGAGAGUGGAGAUGAUACGUUGCCAGAGAACCAAAGAAGAGAAUCCCGAUCCUGAAGAUUACAGACAGCCUCUGAAACUGUAGUAAAGAAGACAGAGAGGGAAAGAACAUAGACAAGGACAAACAGAACCAUGUGAGGAGGACUCAAAGGUCUUGCUGGUCUCACAAGAGGACCAGUGGAUUUAGAUCUCAUCUUCUCGUCAAUCAUGGCGAGAACAAGAGAAGAAGAAGAAGAAGAAGCUGAGAAAGAUUGAGAAAGCUUGAAGAAGAAGAAGAAGAAGGAGAGGGAAAAGAAACAAAAGACAUGAUUAUCCAAUCUGGGUUUCUGUGUCCGAAGCUUGUAAAAUGGCUCUCAAUACCAUCGUUGACCAAAGGGAAUAGUCAGACCAAACAGACGAAAACUUCUUGUCACACCCAAAGUUAACUUUAUUUAUAUUUUCUUAUUUUAUCAUGUUAUCUUUUUGCUCUGAUUGUGGUUGUGGCCUUGUGGGUAUGGUUUUUUUAAUGCAAAACUUUUUUUUUAGUAUAUAGUAUAAAUUAUUAUUAUUCCUUUAUGUAAUAAUAAAACCUUAAGUAGAAACACUAUGAAUAGUCUAAUCUAAACAAUAAAAAAGUCAGCGCUAUACUACUACUACUCGUCUUCAUAUAUCUAGAAUUGUUUUUACUUUAGUUAUUCUUCGUUUGUCUUGUUUUGUUUUGUCAUUUUUGUUAACGGUUAAAAAACAAAGUUUUGUAUGCGUUUUAACUAUUCGUCCGAUUCAAUUUUAUUCUAAAAAAGACAAAAAAAAAAAAUUGGGUCAUUUCAAUAUUUGGAGGUGCGUGCGUGCGUGCGUGCUAUGAUGUUGAUCAUGAAUAUUGAAAAUUUUUGGGAUGAUAAAAUUAAUGAUGAUGGCCACAAACAUUAUGAUAUUGAAGUUUUAAUACAACAAAAUUAAAUUAAAUAAAAAAGGAAUAUAGUAUAAAGAAAAAAGAGAGAAGAAUGUGAAGAAUAGUAUUUGAUGAUGAUUAUUUUUAUUUUAUAUGGGAGAGAGGCGUUUACCUUUUGGGGCGGCUGGUUUAGUAGUAGUGGCUCGUAGUGGUGGUGGUGUUACAUUACAUAUACAACUUUUUUAAAAAAAAUAUCCUCUUAAAAAUAUAAAGAAAGAAAAAAAAAAACAUCUUUAUUUUUAUUUCUUUCUUUAUUACUUUGCCUUAUGGAGGAUCUUUUUAUAUUUUAAUUUAUGACAAGUGGAAGACACAUUUUAACAAUUAGAUCAUAGUGGUCAUAAAGAACGAAAGGUAGAUAAAAGAAGAUCAUAUAAUUUUUUUUUUUUUUUUUUUUGAUGAAUGGAUACUAUUUAUAUUUUGUUUGACUUUUUGAUUUUUUUUUUAGGGUUAUAAAAAUCCAUCAAGCUGUUCAUGUGUUUUUCUUUUUUCGUGAUUUACUAAUGAGCAAAUUGCGUAUAUGAUAUCUAACAAGUUACUUUAAACAAAUAUGGUUAUUAUUAAGGGUCUUCGACUUUUCAGAUUUUGUACCUUAUUAAAAUGGCUCAUAACAAAACAGAAAAGCUUACAUAUAUAUAUAUAUAUAUAUAUAUAUAUAUAUAUAUAUCAAUAAAUAUUUAUUUGAUCCCGUAUGUGGUAUUACACGAUGAAUAGUUCUUAUUGUGUACUCAUAUUUGAAAUAAUUCGCAUGCAUUCUGAAAAAAGUUACUUAAGUUGUGUGAAUUCUAGAGGACAAUAUCGUUCAUGAUUAAUACUUUAAUUAGUGCUUAGUAACAGUAACUAAUGAUGGUAUGAAUUGUUUUUUUUUCUCUCUAUCAAGUAUAUUACAAUAUUACAUGAUAGAGUUUUAAAAGACAUCCUAAGAAUAGUUAUCUCUUUAGUGGAAUCGAAUAUAUAAAGAUUUGACAUUAAAUAUUACCAAAAAAAAAAAAAAAAGCUUAGAAUUUGGCCUGGACCUUUGUUGUGAAUUGCUUUAUUUAUCUUUCUAUCAUGUAAAUAAAAAAGGGAAUUUAGAACUCUGAGGCUCAGAUUGAGAGGCAUAAAAUGAUAAACUUUACAAAACGAUAACAUAUUAUUAUUAGCCUUUCGGUAUCAUGUAUCUAAGUUUUCAUGUUAAAAGUUCAAUCAAAUUUAGAGAUCGAAUCUCUAAUAAUAUAAUUCUCAAAAUUACCAAAUAGAUUUGUUGUAUUUUUUAUUUGAUUCAUGUAGUUGCACCUCAAAUCCAGGUUUGAUCAAGCUUGUCGUUUUCUUGCCUCGCGAUAAAAUCACGAUCAAAAGCAAAUAGAUACUGUAUUUUUAUAUUUUACUUAUUAUGAUGAGUUACAACUUUUUUUAAGUUUCGUUUGUGGUUAUAUUUUCUAAACACAGCACAUUGAUCGGCUUAUCUGUUUAACUUGAGAAGAACUCGUCCUGAUGUAUAUAUAUUAUAUAUAUUUGGUGGUAUGACAAGUUCUUCAUUUUUCUUAAUUAAUUUAUAUUUUUAUUGUUUCACAUCCUAUUUAAUUGAGAAAUUAUUUUGUAAAACAAAAGCAAUUGGACGAUUGGUCUUAAGAUAUUCCAAUUUUGUAUAUAUCUAUUUAUAUAAUUUCACUGAAAGAUAACAUGUAUCAUGAUCCUGGUUUGUUUUGUAUUUUGGCAUUUUUCUAAUUUUCUAAUGAUAUAAUCUUUGUCCUUUUCUAAACUGUAUACAGCUAAUUUGGUAUUAUUAUAAAUACAACUUUCAGAAAUUUUCGUACCAUUUGCAAUUUUUAAAAGUAAUCGACAGAAAAAAUAACAGUUUUGUGAUAAUUACAUUAAAAACACUAGUUUUUGUACUACUACAGGUGUGAAUAAGCAUAUGUUUAUAUUUUAUGACGACCCGAAAUGUGUGCUCUCCUCGUGAAUUUUCAUAAAUUAAGGCAAGAGAAAACGUUUGACUUUAUAAAACAAAUCAGUUUUUAAAAUCAAUAACAUAUAUUAUUGUAACACAAACUUGGAGAUAGCUUAUCUUUCAUACAUCUAUCGUCAAAAAGACUUAACACAUGUAAAUGCUCUGAGUUGGACCGGUAAGAUCAUGCAAAAAGAACAAAAUCUAACCACACUUGGCUUUUGUUUUUUCACAAUAUAUAUGUCAUCAAGAAGUUAUGACUUUGAAGUUUGAAUAGCUUUACAUAUCAUGUGUUGUUGGUAUUUGUUAUCCCAUCUAAACACUUGAACCCAUUUCAAAAUAGAUGUAUUCAACUAUUCAUAUCGUUUUAGUAAAGAUUCUGUUUUGCAAGAUUCCAUCUACUUGGCAACUAGUUGUUGGUGUGAUACCCAAAACAAAUGAUGAGAUGUCUCAAUAAAGUCAAAGCAACAAAAAUAGCCAUAUAUAGUGAUAUCCUCGAAAGAGCCAAACAUACGAGACACUACUGGUCCGACCCUUUUUGAGUGUUAAUUUUGACUACCGGAACAUAUACGUACGUGUCCGUGAGAGACUCGACCCAUUUCAUCCCACUAGAACUCAUAUGGGCCAUAAUUUGAUACGUCGGCUCAUACAAUAACACACAAUUCACGGGCCGAAUCGUUUCUUCUUCUGUUAUCAGACUCUGAUGUUGCCCACUUGCAUGUAUAUUGAUCAGUCAUGGUCCAGUUAAUAAAGCCUGUAUAUGUUCAUUCUAAAGUCCAAGUAGUUUAUAUGGUAGAACAUGUUUCUUCUAAGUAGCUUGUUAAAUUUGUAGUGCCCACAAUAAUUAGUUGAAAUUUGCGUCAUGGUCCAUGGGAUACAUCAAGAUAAACCAUAAAUUCAACUAAAAUGUACUGUAAUUAAUCCUAUAAUAUAGAGGAGAAAAAUAGUUUAUUUAUUUAUAUAUAAGUAAAUAAUUGUAUAUAAACGUUGAACUAUAUAUUACGAAAAUUUUUGGGAGGAAUAUUUUUAUCAGAAAUUGGAAAAUUCAUCUAAAUGCUGAAAACAAAACCUAUAACAUUAUUUCAUCAAAAUCAUUUAACCAAUUUAAAUAGACAAGAAAUAAUUUAGGUGCUAAUCAACCAUAUGAAUCUAGCUAGAGAGCAUGAUUUGAUGAUUAAAGAGGAGAAUAUGUUAUUUAAGGGAGGGUGAAGAAGACCAUCAUUCAACUCUCAUCAUUUUGCCUAGUAACCAUAUUUUUUUUAUAACUUUUGAGACAAAAUAAAGUUACAUAAUUCCUUUCGGGUAAUGAGCAAUUGCGCAAUAAGGACUAAUUAGAAAGCUUUUUGCAAAUAGUAUUUUAUUUUUAUUUAAAUUUUUUCUUGAUACCAAAAGUUGAAUUUGAAUAUGUCCAUAUUAUUUUCAAGACAGGCUAAGAUGUGUUGUUUUCUCUGGGUGGUAGAGCACAUAAUUCUGAUAUGACUUUCCACAAAGAUUGACUAAUGUGUUCAAUUGUUGCCGACUCCGGAUCAUACUAGUCAAGUUAAUAACACUAAUUUUAGCUUAAAAGUAGUAUUAAUAUCAGUAAAAUUCGGAUAAUAAAUAAUAAUAAAAAAAUCGUUGAUUAUAUCUUAUGUAUCUUUUACUAAUAUCAUUACACCUUUUUGGAAAAAUAUUCCGAUAGUUAGGCUGAACAUAUAUUUAUGAGUGCCUGAAAUUUGCAAAUAUAGUUAAGGUUCCACUUCAUGAUAAGACAAGAUCCUUAAACCUAGGUCUCUCGACCAGGAUGAUUCUUUUUCGCAUCAUUCCAUCUCGAAAGAAUAAAAAGUUCUUCAUUAAUUUGCUUCAUCUAUUGAUGAUACAUACUAUUAGUAUAAUAUGGAUUAAACCAUCUAAUUAUAUCAAAUUAGUGCAUGACAUAUUGUCGUCCAUUAACAUUGACUUACUUUUUACUUUCCUUUUUUAUUCAAUAUUCAUAACACAGUUGAGAGGUUAAAAGGAAACCAAAAUGUAAACAUUGUGGAGAGUACUUACCGAUAUAUCCUGGAAAGACGAAAACAAUCUUAAAAGAUGUGAAAGUCAGUGCAUACCAUCAUUUUAGACUAUAGUGUACUCCAUAUUCUUAUAUAUACUAAUUAUUAUUUUUUGCAUUAAGGUAACUUUAUUAACAUUCAAGUUUGUUUUUGUAACAAUUUUGAAUCAGAUUCUAUAUAUAAGCUGCAUUUACUUUCUAUUAUUUUUAAAACACCAAAAGCCUAAUUUGUUUUUGGGUUUACCUAAAUAAUCAAGUAAUAAAAUUAGUUCAGUUCAGACAAAACAACAAAAGGAAUGUAGAUAGUAUUUUUCUUGUUCUUUGUAAUGAAGAGAAGAAGCAUUACCGGAAAAAACUGAGUAAAUGGAGAAGGAUGCCGACGAAAUAACGCAUAAAGAAAAAACAAAUUGGUCUUUGAGUAAAAAGAAAAGGUAUAGUAGAGUAGAGAGAUUUGAGAGAGUAGAGUAGAGACAGAGUAGCUCCCCAACUCCAAUUUCAAUACACUGGGCUCCACUCAUCUCUCCUCAAUUCUUGCUUCUUCUUCUUUGCCUCUUUAUCACUCUGCCUUGCCUUCUUCUUCUUCUUCCUCCAUGGCCGAGUCACAUUGAAACUACACAGACCCUUUCACACCUUUCUUCUUUGUUUGUCUCACUCUCCUCUUUGGCUUACUUCCUCUUCCUUACAACACUUUUAUACCAAGUAAAUUCCUCACUGAGCUUCACACUAUUAAACACGUCUACUCUCAGUUCUGAGCUCUGUUUUUUCUCCUGUUAAAAAUCAAGCCUUUGUUACAUAAUCUUUCUGGGUUUUUUUGUUUACUUUGAGUUUCUUCCAUUUGGCUACCCAACAAAAGAGUAAAGUUUCUAGCUUUUUGGUACUUGCUCUCACUCUCUCUCUCUCUCUCACAAAACCCUAAUUUCAUUCUCUUUAUCCAAUUCUAAGUUUUGCUCUGCUCAACUUGCAUUUUCUGCUUCUGUAUUCUCGUUUUCUUUCAUAUUAUCAAGCCGAUUGUGUUGGGGUUCAUAUCCAAGUAUCAAGCUUGAGAAGUAACAGAAACAGUUCCUGAUCUUGUCCCGUCCCCUUGGUAUUGCAAUGGGAGACAAUGGUGGAUCUGCUCAUAGCUCUAUGUUCGGUGAUCUAUCAACAGAAGAGGUAACAAGCAAGAUUAUUCUCACAGCUAUUAUUGUUCUGUUCAUGGCCGUUCUUUUCGUCCUUAUCCUCCAUCUUUACGCCAAACUCUACUGGUGGAGAAUAGAUCAGCUCCAACAACAGCAGCAGCAGCAACAACAACAAGAGCAAGACCAAGAACAAGAAGAAGACCAAUCAUCCACUGCUCCGCCUCUAAUCACUCGCCGCCAGAGACGCCGUUUCAUCUUCGUCCCAGGCCAAGAUGCUCUAUCCAACACUGGACUUACCCCUUUUGAACUCACUUCCUUACCAAUUGUCUUUUUCAGACAAGAUAGUUGCAAAGAUGGCUUGGAAUGCUCUAUUUGCUUGUCUGAGCUUGUCAAAGGGGACAAAGCAAGGCUGCUUCCAAAGUGUAACCACAGCUUCCAUGUUGAGUGUAUUGAUAUGUGGUUUCAGUCUCACUCAACUUGUCCCAUCUGUCGAAACACGGUUCUUGGUCCUGAGCAACCUAGCUCAAAGAGAGUUGAACAUGUUCCGGAAAAUGUAGAUCAUGUUGGUGGUACCAAUAGCAACCAUGAUACUUUGUCCCAAAUUUCAACUUCUCCGGAAUUCCCCACCAAUGUCUUGGUAUGGGGUCGCCAAGAUCAGGUUAGUACCGGAAACACCAAUGGUGGGCCUCAAGAAGACGGUGCUGGUAAUGCUGCUUCUCAGAGCCAAGAAACUGUUGUUCUGGAUAUCAAUGAUUCUUCCGUUAGAAGUCAAAAUGUAUCAUCUUCGUCGUCAUCAGUGAGGUACAUUGUUGAGGAGGAAGAACCAAAAUCUCCAAUGACAACAAGGUUGAGGUCCUUAAGGAGGUUUCUGAGCAGAGACAAGAGAGUGGCUUGUAGCAAUAGUAGUACUAGUAGUAGCAGCGCCAAUGCUGCUACUUCUGUUGAUCCUUGAAGUUUGUUAUUAUUAGCUGAAGUAAGAUUGCCUGAAGAUUUCAAACUGUGAAUUGGUCUCGGCUCUUUAUUGGCUGUGUUUGAGAGCUUUCAUUGUAAUCCAAGUAAAUCAUUUUAUCUAUUCCAUCGGGAAAUUGAACUUUUAAAACUUUUGUUAACUCAGUCUCAGAUCAACACCAGAGUCCUAUAUUGUUCUCUAUAAUCACAUUCAAAGUCUUAUAAACGUCAGAUGUUUGUCAAAAACUCCACUAUGUUUACACAACAAGAGAAAGACACUAUGAUGUUGAACCAUCAGAGCUUAGGAUACAAGGACAAGGCAUGAAGUGAGAAGUUUCUCGAGAUGCAAAAUAUUGAACUACAUGAGUUUACUUGUAAACAAGACAAGAGAAACUAGCAAGCCGGUGGCUUAGAAUACCCCUAGGAAACCAAUCUAGAAAACCGGUUCGGUAUUUGUAGGCCAAAAGGAAACUCCGUAGAACACGGUUUUCUCAUACCACUUAAAAAGAAAGAAAAAAGUUGGUGAUAAUCUUAGUGACAUGAGCUGUUAACCUGCAACGUUUCUUCUCAUGAAGUUGGGACUUGAUUAAUUGGGAAUUUAAUAGAAACAGCAUCAGUAACCACGUGCCCUAUCACAUGAGCCCUAUCACAUGAUCCUCAUCUUAAUCAAAAAUAUUUUUCAUGGCUGGUGUGUAAAUGAAUGUGUACUCAUGUGUAUGCAAGGACUAAAAUCACCAAUGAGGCAGUGAAUGAUCUAGAAACCAUUAAAUAUCUUCACCAUCUGAAACUCAAUUGGGGAAAUAUAUAAGUAUAUUGGCACACCAGUCAAACUAGAUCACGUGCUUAGAUCCCAAUAAGUCUCUUGGGACUGUAAUAUAAUCUACAAAAGAAACAAGACUUUCAAUCCAUAUUCCUUUCUCUUUCACUCAGACAUAGCUCGCUACCAAAAAAAUUUCUCUAUUGCAGUGUCAGGAACAUAACAACCUACAGCACCAAGAUAAAGAACAGAUCAAGAAAAUUCACAAUGAAGAGAUCAUCGGCAACAACCUCAGCAGCUCUGAUUAUGUUACUUCUAGCUUUGUUUAGCAACAUGAAUAACGUACAGGGUCGUCAGAUGGCGCCAACUUCCAUGGAUUUCACUUCUAGUAAAGAUGUGAGAGAUUUGCAGAUAAACAAGGAGACAAAGGGAGUGUCUCUAAGAGGUGAAAAAGAUAGCUUCCGAAGAAUCCCAAGGACUGGCUCCAGCCCUAUACAGAACAAGUAAAGACAAACCACACCAAUCAAUUUCACAUCUUUACACAUCCCAAUUAGAUUUCGUAUAUCUCUCUGAGUAUGUAUGAUUGACACCAAGAGUGUGCAUUUUUGUACCAGGAUCGAUCCUCUAACAGAUGUAGGAGGAAGUAGGAAACAUCAUAUUACAGCAAGAGAACCAUAGAUUUAAUUCUACUUUUUACUUUGCAGUCUUAGAUCAUUCUACUUUUUUUUUUGUGGUAGUAUAUAGUGUAUCUUACACAUAUAUUUCGGGAUGCUGAAAUGUAGUUGAAAGUUUGAAACAUAAGAAAACCAUCUUAUAAGCUUCCUACUAUUAACAGUUCCUAGAGAGGGCUUAGACCUCUAUAAGUUCUUUUGGAGUGUGAUAUGAGAAGACUGUUUUUAUUAGCAUUCUUGUAAAGGUAAAUCUAGCCAUUAAGGCUUCCACUAUGCUGUCAUCUUCAUCAAAAAUUAGGUAUUAAAAAAAAAAUGUGGCACAAAGAUGAGAAAAAUGCAGUGAGGAUAUGACAGAGCAAGGAGGCUAACCUUCAAAUUCUCAAUUUAUUUGCAUGCCGAUUCUUCAUCUCACCGGAAAGGAAAGGUCUUUUGCUGCCAGCUAGUUUUGGUUUAUCUGUUGCUUCACUAGUUUUAUUCUUUCUCUGUUUCGUCCUUUUUUCACCUGCAAAAGGUUCAUCCUUAUCCCUUGCAUGUUCUUCUCGGUGACGCUUAAACCCGGAAGUAGGAUGAUGGUUAAUCUCUUUCCUUACGUUCUUUACUUCUAAUUCCUGAGAUGCAUCCUCAGAUGCGUCAGAAACAAAGGUGUUCUUUGGAAAAUUUGAUUUGUUGGACCCAAAUGCAGAACAAAAUUCGUUAUAUGUCGAUUGCUUGGCUUCUUGUCUUGAUUUCCACUGAUCAGGUCUGCUGGCAUAACUGCAACAACAACAGAAAAAUAAUUCCGAAUCAUAACAAUAAUGAAUUUAAAAGAUGCAAAAGAUUACAGGCAUGUGUCAAUGCUACAGAUACGUCACUUUUUUACUUAUUUUCUUAGGAAGGAAUUCUACUCUCUUUUUUUUUUUUUCAUUUGAAAUGUAAAUUCUUAUGCUGGUGAUACCAGUUUUCCUGAUGUGUUACACCUUCCGGCAAAUAAAGCAAGGUAAGGUUUCUGAAUAAUAUCUUACCCAUCGAUAUCAAGUUUCCUAAGCAGAUAAGGCCCUUGUUUUGUUUUGGAGAGAUCAACUUUCACAUCUAACAGUUCAGUUGCUAUGGCUUCCCUUAGUGUCAAGUUACAUGCAUCGAAACACUUCUCAACAGUAAAUGAACCAGAUGUGUGUAAUGAGAGCUCGCCAAAGUGUCCACGUAACCUGUGACAAAACCAACAGUGUAAGGAACAUCAUUAAAGUAAAGAACAAUUGCCUGAAAAUUUAACAAUUAGCCCAAGAGAAUGAAAGAAAAGCACCAAAGAAAAAACAGAAUGAAAGACAACUCUGACUCCCCCUAUGCUUCAGUUUUGGGUAUUUAAUCAUAUAAACAGGCUACACUAUGGAUUAUACCGGUCUUGAAGUAAACAUAUUUCCAUAUAACAUUAAGAAGCAAAGCAUACUUUAUUAUUAGUCUGCGUUUCUGUUUUGUAGCAGCAUUUGAGGCAAGAAAGGCCUCGAUGACACGUGCUCCGCUGGAAUCUUUUGCUGUUUCGAUGAUAUACUCAGCUUUCAUAGAAGUUAAGCUUGUUAUGUAUGGCUGUAUAUGAUCCUGUGAAAUUAAGCAAAAGUUAGGAAUUACUGUCAAUGCACAUGAACAGACAAACUAGGUAGUUAAAACCGCUGAAACUAAUUUUGUCAACACAUGAAGAGAAGGAAACAUACGCUAGACAACUUGAAAAUCCCCUGAAGGAUCAAACAACCCAUGACAUGCAUCUUUGCACCAGGUGCCCACUCCCAUGUAGACUUAUCUUGGUAACCAAAGUAGCUAUCAAGAAACAGCAACCGUGGAACAAUGGAGAUACGGGUUUCAUUUGUCGAGCAUACUGCACCAACAAGGGCCUCACAACACUGUAAAAAAUCACUUGCAUAAGAAAACAUUUUUGAAAGUAGAGAAGAAAUAAAAUUUUAUCAGAAUUUAGAAAACAUAAAAACCUUAUGUUCAUGACUUUGAAGCCUUUGGCUAACCGCUAUCAAAGAAGCCACAACACCAGACUUCCCUUGCUCAAGAAGAUCCUUGAAUCUUGGAGCUAAUUCUUCCCAUAUCAAACCCAUCUUGCAAACAAAAUCAUUUAAUCAUAAGUUAUCGGCUUCAAGGAAACAACACAAAUACAGAAAAAUAUGAAGUGUCAGUAGGAUAAAGAUACCUGCUCUUGGUCUUUUGCAUGGGAGAUUAAAGCUUGAAUAACAAAAUUUGCACACCGAUCAACUGAAAGCUCAAAUAAAGAAUUCUUGAAAACUUUGUGGAAUAUUUCGUUAUACAAACUUUCAGGGGCCACUUCCAAAAUCACCUGAAAAUGGCAUGCAAAUGCAAUUAAAACGACAAUAAAGAAAAUUAACACUUCACUUACAGCAUGGAAUCAAAAGAUAACCAAGGGUCAUUCUAGAUAAUGUUUUGCAUAGUCUAACACAGGCAAUAUGUCCAUAAUCAAUUUUUUUUUUUUGGCAAGAACCUGAAUUUUGGUAUAACCAACUCAGUUACCUCCAUCAGAUGACUGAAUGAAUUAUCCUUCAUUGAAUUUAAAAUUUCUUUGGCAACACUAGUCUCUAUAUGAAGCCCUUCUUCUUUUUUAUUAGUAGAGUUGCAGCACAGAAUAAGCGGAAUGAUUUCAAGCAACUCCUCAUCUUGUUUUAGCAUUAGUCUGAGAGCCGUCUGUCAAGAGAAGAUGAACCAGAAAGUGAGAUUAAAAUAACAGUCUUACGAAAGAAGUUGCUUGAAAAUAACAAAACCGAUUAGACAGGGACAUAAAACCUACCUGUAAGACCAGACUGCUAUACUGAUCGACUUGUAGAUACUUCAUGUCCUCUCUGCUACAAUUUAAUAUCCCAGAUAAAAGGUACUUGAGAAGAUCUGGAAACCCUUGAUGAGGGAUUUCUACAUUAUUCUCAUCUAACUGAGACAUCUUCAGAUUCAAACGUUUUGCCAGAGCUUUUGAUGAUUUUGCACCAUAAAGCUCAGGGGAAUCUAUAGAGACACCUUUGCAAAGACAAAGAAGCCUUCGAAGAACAUGAGAACCAUAGCAGUUGCACAACAUAUCAAGAGGAUUAUCCACAAUCACCUGACCAAGGGAAAUAUAUUACAGUCACAAUCGAGGUAAAUUACCAGUUUUAUAACUAUAAGCAUCAUUAUAGUAACCUCAUUAGCAAAAAAGGAAUAAGUACCUUGCAUAUAGAAUUCAAAGCCUCUUCAAUAACAGAGUAGGCAUCUGGAUUUUCCAGAUGUGUGGCCAAGGCUUUGAGAGCCGACUCUGCAACAUGAGAACCAGAUCUAUCCAUUGCAAUGGCUGGGAACACCGUAGCAGAAUUCCGAAUAAAACUGCAAAGUUGGUCAAGUUCACAUCCUUCAAGUAGAGUUUGCAAGACAUGACUUAUGAUAUAGUCAGUUGCGAUUUCAUAUUCCCUCCCUCUUGUUUCCUCAAGUGCAUUUCCGCAUAUCACUGAACGUUCCUCUAAUUCAACUUCGUUACUAUCAAAGAGAUUGGCAAUCUCAGAGAAAUACUUUGAAGUCUCUGGAUCAAUCUCUUUCCUGCAAAAGGUUAAGCCCGAUUUUAAUACCACGUUCUUAUGAUAACAAAAUAAGAGCAAAGGCGUUGGGAUCAAAAUCUCCCUUACCGGACAAACUGAUUCUGAUGUUCAAACUCGGAUUGUUUCUUUGAUACCGGCUUUACACUAGGGGCACCACCAGAUUGGUUCCUCUUGUUACUAUCUCCAUCAAAUCCACGGCUACCUCUCUGGUCCUUCCUAGACAUUCUUUUUUUCCUUUCACUGUGAUCAUUGCUAGACUUUCCCCGUUCACCCAUCAAGCUAUCUUCCUCAAUAGUCCUGUGUCUCCUAGAUGGCAAUGAUUUGGAACCAACUGAAACCAUGUAAUUCCUACCCAACUAUGUUAAACCCUAUGAAAUUUUACCAACAAAAGACAAAAAAAAAAAAAAACACUUAAUAACAAACAAGUAUACCCUAACACUUAAAAACAAUCAGCUUCCAAGAACUACAUGUCCCCGUCGACAAAAAAAAAAAAAGAACUACAUGUUCCCAUUUACACAAAUAUUCAAGCCUCACAAAAAAACAUAACAAUAUAAAUUUCAAUUCCCAAUUUUAAAACUUGACACUAAUCUAUGUGAAGCUUGAUACAAGUAGAACAUGAACAAUAAGGUUUAUCAGAACACAAACCUGAGGAUGCAAAAAACGCAGUUGAUGUAAUAUGAAAAAACCGAAAGGGCGUGAGCUUCACAGAGAGAACGCGGCGCAGAGAGAUGAAGAAUCAAAAUCAAAAGGUAAGACCAAGUAAACGAUGUCGUUUAUGCAAUUCCUAGUAUUCGUUGGAUCAAAAUACUUCCAUGUUUGAAGUUACAGAUGUUUUCUAAAUUUCUAGGGUUUUAUCCUCGUCCAACCUAAUACGGUGCAGGUUUUAGUGACUUGAAUAUAUCAAGUAAUGGGUUUGAUGCACGAUUUUACUGGCCUUUUUAAGGCCCAAUAGUGGAGAUCAACUCUGGUUCUCCGAAACCAAAAAAAAAGUUUCUUGACCAAAGAAAAAAAAACACCCCUACUGCUACAUGUUACGAAAAUAGACGAGAGAGUAGACGUUACGAAAUCAUCAAUUAAAUUAGAUAAGAUUACAGUAUAUUGUUAAAAUACUAUAUUUUCCUCAAGUAUGAACGAAAAUUAAAUAGAUGAUAAUGGUAGAUGAUCAUUGUCUUGUUUGACAAAUAGACUUCAGAGUUUCAGACAACCUUUUUUUUCUUAAGGACAUGUCUUUUUAUGGGAUUAGCACUGGUUUCUAACAGAUAAAUUCAAUAAAACUAGCCGCCUAAAAAAUAAAAACCCUACAAAUAUCUUCGUCUAUUGAAGAAAAGCAAAAACAAAUUCUCAAUUUUUCUUUUUUUGAACGUGGAGAACAAGGCAAAAUUCUGUGUGCAGGCAGGCACUAGUGGUUUAGAGAGGACACUAAUUGGGGACCCUUCUUCGUCUGUGAGAAUAUUUCAAUCUCGGGCUUGAGUAACACGUUGGUACUAUAAAGCUGAUAACAGAGAGAUGAGGAGGUUUUUGACUAGCCAAGCUAAAGGUCUUGUCGACCAUACUACUCGCCGUCAACAUCACAAAAGUCCAAGCUUUCUCUCUCUUCUUACUCCUCAAUCUCGUCCUCUUGCUCCUCUUAGUUCUCUGUCUCGUUUAUUGUCUUCUACUUCGGAGAUGGCUGCUUCUUCUGAUUCCACUUCCUCUCUUCCUGUUACUCUUGACUCCAUCAACCCCAAGGUGGCUUUCUAAAUCCUGGCUCUUUUUUAUUUUCUUCGAUUGAUCUGGAUUUGUUUCUGUUUAGCUCAACUUUUCGAUUUUUUCAGUGUGGUUUUCUGAUGUAACGCCAAAGGUUUGUUCUUUGCUUCUCGUUGUGUUUCCCAAAUGAUGAAAUCUACAAGCUCUGCUUUAUUUCUUCGGUUCGCCGUACUUGAUUUGGAUUUUAUUUUCUGAGCUUUGCUUCUUCUUGUUGUGCCUUAGGUUCAAUCCUCGUGAUGAUUUAUAUGUUUCCUUGCAGAUUCCUCUUUUCCAAAAAUUUUAAAAUCUUAAUUUUUCCCUUCAACUGAUCAUAAUUCUAACUUGUUUCUUUAUUCUUUUCACGUCUCUUGUCAUUACUUUACUUAUGUUUUACUUUCAAUCAUGCUGAGAACUUGGUUUAAUUGUAACUAAGAGGGUUGUUUAUUUUUUAUUUUUUGGUUGCAGGUUCUGAAAUGUGAGUAUGCUGUUCGUGGUGAAAUCGUCAACAUUGCUCAGGUCAGAUAUUUAUGUGCUUUGUCUAGUAACAUCGAGAACAAUAUUUGUAAGAUAUGUUUAAAUCUAAUUGACUUCUGUCUGCCUUUUGUUUCUACAUCUUACAGAAGUUGCAAGAAGACUUGAAGUCUAAUAAGGAUGCUUAUCCCUUCGAUGAGGUAAAAAUCUUCUUCUUCAUCGGCAUAUUCAUGUUCUCAAGUGUGUAUACUUUCUAGAAUUAUGAUUGGCUUUUUUUAUUAUAUGAGUCUCAUAGAGUGGAUAGUUUAGUGUUGAUGUUGCAUAUUCUCAAACUCUGUAUAAUUCCCAAACAACAAAGAAACUUAGAAAGUAUUCACCGCUUUUGACAGAUCAUCUAUUGCAACAUUGGGAAUCCUCAAUCACUUGGUCAGCUGCCUAUAAGGUUCUUCCGAGAGGUAAACAUAUGUUUUUGGUGCUUGUUUGUUUGUCAUUUUCAACCCUGAGAUGUGAUUUUUUAUGACCAUCUUCAUAUCUCAGGUUCUUGCGUUGUGUGACCAUUCAAGCCUGUUGGAUGAGUCUGAAACACAUGGUUUGUUCAGGUAUAUUGAACGGUGAUCCUGAGGUUUUCCAUGCUAUACUUUAGCUUUAGGACAUGUACGCUCUACUGCUUAUAUGGUUUAAGAUUGCUUCACAUUUGAUUUUUAUCUGGUAUCAGUACUGAUUCAAUUGACCGAGCAUGGAAGAUUCUGGAUCAAAUUCCUGGGAGAGCUACUGGUGCUUACAGUCACAGCCAGGUUUGUCAUCAGGCUCUAACUAAAGUCCUUAACACUAUAUAUAGAUGAGCCUUAAGUUGCUAAAGGAUUCCUUUUUUCUUCCCCAGGGUAUUAAGGGAUUACGUGACACUAUUGCAGCUGGAAUUGAAGCCCGUGAUGGUUUCCCUGCUGAUCCAAAUGAUAUUUUCUUGACUGAUGGUGCAAGUCCAGCGGUAACAGCCAAAACAUUUUCUUAUAUUACUUGAGAAAGUCCUUUAAUAGAGUUCAUCCUUAGUGAAUUUUUAUUCUCUCUUCACUCAAUAGGUUCACAUGAUGAUGCAACUUCUAUUAAGCUCAGAGAAAGAUGGUAUCCUCUGUCCCAUUCCUCAGUAUCCUUUGUAUUCUGCUUCAAUUGCUCUCCACGGUGGAUCUUUGGUAUGUUCAUAUUAUCAUUAUGGAAUAAUGUUGUUUUGGUUGAGAUCUUUUUUCAUUCUUUUGAUUGUCAUUUUUCUGCUUAGGUUCCAUACUAUUUAGAUGAAGCAACAGGAUGGGGACUGGAAAUAUCUGAACUUAAGAAGCAGCUGGAGGAAGCUAGGUCGAAGGGCAUCACUGUGAGAGCAUUGGUUGUCAUAAACCCCGGUAACCCAACUGGGCAGGUAAAACCACAUCUUCAAGACUUAGAUUAACAAAUUUAAACACUUACUAUGUAAAUGUAUCAUUUCCUUAAUUUUGUGCUAUGAAUUUGGUUAAGGUUCUUGCGGAAGAAAACCAGUGUGACAUUGUUAAUUUCUGCAAGCAAGAGGGUUUAGUUCUUUUAGCUGAUGAGGUCUACCAAGAAAAUGUUUACGUCCCUGACAAAAAGUUCCAUUCUUUCAAGAAAAUAGCUCGGUCUUUGGGCCAUGGCGAAAAGGAUAUCUCGUUAGUUUCGUUCCAAUCAGUCUCCAAGGGUAAAAGAACAAGUUUUACUUACUUACUAUUCAAUGCUUGUCAACUCAAAAGUGGGGUUUUAGUUAAACUGGCCUUUUUGUUCGUUUUCUGUUGAUAAGGAUACUAUGGAGAAUGUGGAAAAAGAGGAGGCUACAUGGAGGUGACUGGAUUCACUUCUGAUGUAAGAGAACAGAUAUACAAAAUGGCUUCUGUGAAUCUUUGUUCUAACAUCUCUGGUCAAAUUCUUGCUAGCCUUGUCAUGAGCCCACCAAAGGUAACACACAGUCUAGUUCUUUCUAAUCGUUUUUUUUUUUUUUUGUUAUUUUCUUGCAACAGAUAAAUGGCUAAUCAGUCUUUUACAUAUUUGAUCAGCCUGGUGAUGACUCAUAUGACUCAUACAUGGUAGAAAGAGAUGGAAUUCUCUCAUCCAUGGCUAAACGUGCAAAGGUGAUUUGAAGAUUGAAAUACCCUCUAAAAGACAUUUUCAGUCUCUUUUGUAAUAUUCAUAAGCUUGACACUGAAUGUGCAGACUUUGGAAGAGGCUCUUAACAACUUAGAAGGUGUUACAUGUAACAGAGCCGAAGGAGCAAUGUAUCUCUUCCCAAGAAUGAAUCUUCCUCAAAAGGCGAUUGAAGCUGCUGAGGCCGAAAAAACUGCGCCAGAUGCGUUCUACUGCAAACGCCUUCUCAAUGCUACUGGUGUGGUUGUAGUCCCUGGUUCUGGCUUUGGACAGGUAAAAAAAAUAACCAAAACCUUCACAAAUGAGAAACUUCUAAUGUUUUCAAAACUUGAACCUGUGUGUUUCGAUUCACUGUGGUUAGGUUCCUGGAACAUGGCACUUUAGAUGCACAAUAUUAUCGCAAGAAGACAAGAUUCCGGCGAUAGUGAAUCGUCUCACAGAGUUCCACAAGAGCUUCAUGGACGAGUUCCGCGACUAAAGAAACCUUACCAUGAAGAUGAACCUAAAAGAACUUUUGAGAAAAGUGUAAUCAGUUCACGUAAUUAAAAAGUGAAGUAAUGUUUUGAUCAUCAGACAGUUUAAAUUUUAGAAUAUUUUUACUCCAAUGGCAUGCCAAUUUAAGAUAAUGAAGGUAUUGAAAAACAAUGAUAUGAAAAUUAAUUAAAUUGAUUUUAUUUUUUUGGUCCUAGUGCAAAAUGUCUUCUAUGUGAGAUUCUGAGAUGUGACUAUGUGGAUAUAAUAAGUGGGCUUAUUAAUGGGCCUUUCAUUCACAAUAUGGUUACCUGACCUACGGACUGAAAAGUGAAAGAAAAAUAACCUUCAAUUUUCAAUUUUGUUCAAUUUUUUUUUUCUCCAUUUUUCGGAAUUUUCUAAAGAAAAAACGAAAAUCAAUGUGGCGAAGAUCACCGUCGUUUAUCCUCGACGAGCGGCGAACCUCGAGUUCACCUCCCAUGGCAGACACAACACGAGCCCCCUUUCAAAACCCUGAUUCCAUCUCCGCUUACUACCAGACCCGCGCGGCGCAUCACGGUGUCAUUACAAGCGAGUGGCUAUCCCAAGCUCAAGCCGCCGUGGGGGGCGUCUCUGGGGAUGAGCAUCCUAUCUCGUCCCUCACUGAUCUCGGAGACGGGAAGUCGUUUAAUGUAAUUGAAGAGUUCAAUAGCUGGAGAAAGCAGCCGGAUCUGGCUGAGGCCGUCGCGGCUAUUCGAGCUUUAGCAGCCGUUAUUCGUGCCAGCGAAGCUACUACUAUGAUGGAGCUUGAAAUUGAGCUCAAAAAGGCCUCUGAUACACUCAAGGUGGAUUCCCAGUUUCAUUAUCCAAAUUAUUGGACUUCCCUUUAUGUUCAUUCACCAUUCGAAUUUGUUGGCUUUGUUUGAUUGAGAAAUGUUCAAUUUUGGCAGUCAUGGGACAAAACUUCAAUCUCUUUGACUGCGGGAUGCGAUUUGUUCAUCAGAUACGUUACGAGGACGUCUGCUUUAGAAUAUGAAGAUUUCAAUUCAGCUAAGUCUCGUCUUCUUGAACGUGCUGAGAAAUUUGGGGAAAUAUCUUGCAAGGUACUUCCCUUAAUGGCUCCUGUUUUCUAAUUUCUAUCAAUGAAGUAUGUAGAUCAAAAGGCAUUUGAUAGAAGAGGAUUUAUAAAGAAAUUUAACUAUUGUGCAGGCUCGUAGGAUUAUCGCAAUGCUUAGUCAAGAUUUUAUAUUUGAUGGUUGUACCAUUUUGGUUCAUGGACUCUCUAGAGUUGUCCUGGAAAUACUAAAGACUGCUGCACAGAACAACAAGCUCUUUCGAGUUCUCUGCACAGGUUCUCUUUUCGAAAACACCCUUUUUCUUUUUAUCAACAAGCUUAGAUUGGAACUUGAGUUGUAUCCGCUUAAUGUCUUACCGCUUUCUUGGUCUUUCUGAGACAUUUGUUUCUUGUGAUCUACAUAAUCUUGACUUUAUAAACUCGUCUCUUGCUGAAACCUUUUAAUGAAUAAAUGACAGAGGGAAGGCCGGAUGGAACAGGAGUUUUGUUAUCGAGUGAGCUAUCGAAGCUUGAUAUCCCAGUGAAACUACUGCUUGAUUCAGCUGUAGCGUAUAGCAUGGACGAAGUAGACAUGGUGUUUGUUGGGGCAGAUGGAGUUGUAGAAAGUGGUGGUAUUAUCAACAUGAUGGGAACAUACCAAAUCGCACUUGUAGCACAUAGCAUGAACAAACCUGUCUAUGUCGCUGCUGAGAGUUACAAGGUAAUUGAAACGGUUUUAUUAGAUCCAAGAGAGAGAGAGAGAGUGUGGUUAAUGAUACAAAGUUGUGUGUUUGCAGUUUGCUAGGCUUUACCCAUUAGACCAAAAGGACAUGGCACCAGCUCUGAGACCAAUCGAGUUUGGCAUAAAGAUACCAACAAAGGUGGAAGUAGAGAGGUCAGCUCGAGACUAUACUCCGCCUCAGUACCUAACACUCCUAUUCACGGACCUUGGUGUUCUCUCUCCCUCUGUAGUUAGCGAUGAGCUUAUUCAACUCUAUCUCUAGUUUCAACUUUUUAUUAAUAAUUAACUCUUUACUAAUAUUGCUUCUGAAAGUGGAAACUUGCAAUUUUGAUGCUUUAAAGAUCUUCAAAGUUUAUAUGUUUUGAUCCCUAAAACCCGUAUAUCGGAUUUUGAAUCAGUUUCCUGAUCUAUUCGACUUAUUUGUGGUAUCGACAUAAAUUGACUUGACUCAUUGUUGAUGUCAUCUAACCGGCCAGUUGGCCCAGUUCUCUGGUGACCAGCUCCGACCAUGGAUGAACAACAGUAACUUCACCAUUUCUUAUUUAAAACUUGUAGGAAACUCAAUCUUACUCCUGGUUGUAUAUAGAACUUGUUCAGUUCUAACAAACACAUUCUACAACCAUCGAGAGGUCAAUCAAAGACAAGCUAACCUCAAUUCAAGCCAAUGGUUGGAAAAAAUAUUACAAUACCAUUUUUAUGUAAACCAAGAUUUGGGAUAAAAUAACAUUAUAAAUACAAAAAUAAACUAAAUAAGAAAGACAAAGAAACUGACUGAACAAAAAAUAGAUCAGCCUCAUAAUUAUCGAUAAAACUUGAAACCAUGCAUUAGUUAAUUUAGGUAAACGAAUUUAUAAUUUAGAAUCAACCUACGUCUAUAUGUAAUAACAUGAAAACACUUCACUGUCUAGGUUUUUGAGACAUAAAUGGAACCCCAAAGUCCAAACCAGCAUCGUUACCGACAUAACCUCGAUUGUUCCUAGCCAUCAGAUUCUCAUUAGUCAGUUUCCAAUCAGCCAUAGCCAUAUCAUUUGGAAACGCCGGAAGAUUCUCAGCCGUCCUAUCAUUACCCAUCUGGUAGAUCCUCGUCAGUAGAUUCUCCCUCAACGCACUCAACGCCUUCUUGUACUCUUCCAUAUCCUCCUCCGGUACACUCUCCACCGCUCUCUCCCACCACAUCAAACCGUCGUUGUUCUCCUCUCCCGUUGGCACGUCGCCGCCACGAUUUGACCUCAGCAUCACCGGAGUCUUGCGCAAGUAUUUAUCGAUGAGUGUGCCCACGUUACCAAACGAGUAGAUCCUCUCGCUGCGUGAAAACGUUAUGAUACCAAUCUGUGCGCCGCAGAGAACGCUUAGUUCGGCCGCUUUUUUGAAAAGACCGCUUCUUCGUUUCGAAAACGUCACUUGCCUUCGGUUCUCCUCUGUGAUCCGCUUGAUCUCUAUCUUCUGUCGACCUUUGGUGGUUUUAGGCUUUUGUUCUUUGCUCUCUUUCUUUUGGUUGACAAGCAAGUUAGGGUUUUGUUUCGUGGUCGGUAAGCAAGUAAUCGUUGAAGCUUCUCCAUCCUCCAUAUUGAAGACAAGGAAUAAAAGAUGAUGAUUAUGAGAUCACAAGAGUUCUUUGAGAAUUGAGACAAAGAUUCGGAAUUAUAUUUAUAUACAUAGUUCUCAUCAUAAUAUAUGUUAAUUGUGUAGUCUUUAAUGCACGUCAAUAAGUUAACUUUAUUUUUGGAAUAAUUCCAUAAAAAUGAUCAUUAACUUUCUUAAACCUAAGUUUCGUGAUAUUAUUCCCCAGAUUUACGAGAUAUACAUACUCUUUUUUUGUUAAGGGAAAAAAAAAGAAACUAAUGACGAUGCUAAUAUAUGGUCAAAUCAAAUAUAUGCAUAUCAAUAAUAUCAUUGUCGAAGAGAACAUUUAGCCACAUCACAUGAAAGGUUCCUCGACGUAUGAAAUCCCAUUUUCGUGUGUCGUGGCCAUUGUGAACAUUUGAUUCGGUGCAAAUUAUUUUAUUUGUCCAUUUAAUAUACUCAACUAGUCUUUAAAUUAACCACUCGAUCGGCGAGCUAUAGGGAUUUGAUUAGCCUCUUGACAAAGAUUCAAAGUUAGGUCGACAGAUUAGUUUAGCAUUGAAAAUGAUUAGUGGAGAAAACCAUGGGUUAGUUAGUCAGUAUUAGAGACUACUUAUGGUUUCUAAAUUAAAGGCCAUACCCCUAAAGCAAGAUUAACAACUAGUAAUAACAAUUAUAAUUAAUUAUUUUUUUGUUAAAUAUAUAACAAGUUGUAGCCAACAGCUGUACAGAUCUAUUGUUUUCAUUACAGUUAUUCCAUUAAGGUUUUUACUUAAUCACGCAAUAACCCCUAAUACAUUGGUUGAAACACAUGUCGACCUCUUGAUAGGUGAAUAAAGGAACCAACCGAAACCAGUAACCAGUGGUAUACUACAAAGGUAUUGUUCUUCAAUAUUACUAAUAAAACUAUUAAAAAACGUUUACUAGACCAUUUGGUAACUAUUAUUUAUAAAGUAUAAAUAUAUAUACAGAAACUAACUAAACUUGUGUAACAAAAUAGAUGAAUGUGAGAUAUGUCGUAGAUUUAUGAAAUGAGAGAUUUUAAGUUGUAGAUGUAAGGAAAGGACUGUAAUAUUUCAUUUUUCUUUCAAAUUUUUGGUUCGUUUUGAAACAUUACAAUUUAUUGGAAUGUAAGAAGGUAAAAAUAUAUAUUGUUUAAAAAUGGUGUACUAGAAGCGGAAAAUAAUUGUAAUUUAGUUAGAAAUGUUAAUCUUCAAAUUAAUCCUUUAUUCACUGUUUUAUAAUUUACAUUAUCGGUAAGAUUCAUAUUCUAUGAUAUUAUGCUUGGUCAUUAUAAAUAUAGGUUAAAAUAACAUGUAAAUAAAUUUAAAACGUAUAUUAUACGACACAUUAAAACUCAAAUAUAUCGAUGAAAAGCUAAAGAAUAACCGUCAUUAAAACUCAAAUAUACAGUCAUGAAAAAUAAAGAAGCUUAAUAUAUGAUUCAUUUACGUAAAAGAUAUUAGUGAAAAGAUAAGAUUGGAGUUACCCCCAAGAAAAGAAAAAAUGAAGAGGAUAAGAUCGCAUGUUAAAUUUAAGAAACUGAGUCAUAAUAUUCAUAACUUAGCUAAAUGCAUAUCAUUAACAAAGACAUAUAAUAAAAAAAAAAAUUAACCUAUGGCAAAGGCCAAAGGCAAAACAAAGCAAACAGUAAAAAAUUAACUAAUACCCACUAGACCCAAUUGUCAUAACGCGUUAGUCUUUUUUGUUUUGCAUAUAAGAGUUAGUGAUACAGAGCAACAAUGAGAAACACACACAAAGCAAAAAGAUUCUACUUUGAACACAAAACUUUAUUAUUUACACCUUUUUGAGAAAAAAAAAAAAAAAUGUGCGGAGGAGCUGUAAUUUCCGAUUACAUAACGCCGUCUCGGUCGGAUCAGGACAAUACUGGGAGAGGUAGGAAGUCUUCUUGGACAAGUAAGGCUGUCUUUGAUUGCUCAAUCGAUGAUUUCAACGGAGAUUUCGAAGAAUUCGAGCCAGACUUGUCUUCGACUCGUAAACGUGCAUCAGGUGAGUUAUGAUUCUCUUGUUUUGUUUGUAUUCAUAGCUUCGUUGUUCAAUAUGGUCUCAAAGAUCUGAACUUUUUUUGUAUCCAUGGAUAUAGGCUCAGCUUUAGAUGGGAGGAAGAAACAGAGCAGUCGGUACAGAGGAAUAAGAAGACGACCUUGGGGGAGAUGGGCAGCUGAGAUUCGUGAUCCAAUCAAAGGAGUUCGAGUUUGGCUCGGGACUUUCAACACAGCUGAAGAUGCUGCUAGAGCUUAUGAUCUUGAAGCUAAGAGAAUCCGAGGAGCCAAAGCUAAGCUCAAUUUCCCUAACGAAUCCUUCAAGAAACGCAAAGAUGUUGCCAAGACUGUGCAACUGAUAGAAGAGAAGAAGCAUGGGGCUGAUCUUGGAUUGGCCGUGGCUAGCUCGGUGCCUAGUAGUAGCCAUACUGAUUUCUUGUGGGAGGAGAAUAAUGCUGACACACUUCUGAUCGAUACACAAUGGCUCGAAGAUGUCAUCAUGGGAGAUGCGAAGAAAAAACAGGAAACUAAUGGUAGUGAAGAAGAAGGCAACGUUAAUGCUACUCUGCUUUCAGAAGAGCUUCUAGCUUUCGAGAACCAGACUGAAUGUUUCUCGCAGAUUCCGUUUAUGGAGGGAGGUUGUGAUUCCUUGACAUCUCUGAGUAGUCUCUUAGGUGGAGACAACAACAUAGAUCUUUGGUCCUGAAACUUAGCAAGUUUCUUUUUAAAAAAAAAUAAAGGUUGAAUUAUCGUUCAUCCCUCACUCUUGUCAAUAUCGAGAUUGACCCUUUAAAUCGUGUUAUUUUCUUCUAUGAUGUGUUUUGUAUAUUCUGUAAUAUCAAGACUAUCUUCUGUAACUUCCUAUUUUCACCAUAGAAAGGAGAGUAAAAGAAUAUAAUGCAAUUUGAAACCUUGAUUCCAAAUUGUCCAAAAAUUAAUAUUCAUUACAAAGUAAUAUUUUUAACAUCUUUUAUAUCCUCACAUAACUUUUUAUUUCUAAUAUUAUAUUAUAUAAAUACAAAAGUAAUCCAAAUGAUAUAAUAAAAUUAGAUUGUAUUGUUUUCUAAUAAUUUUCUUUUUGAAACGAUUUAUUCAUUUGUUUUAUUUAAGAGUAUUUCUGUAAUUUGCAUCAAAAAAGUUUAGUCUGCAAUUUUUCUACACAAAAUUUAAUUAAAACAGUCGUCAAUGGAUUUCGUAGCCAAUUGUAUCUAAAAUCUAUUACUCCACCAAUUUUCACAAAGAAAGCUUUUACAACCUCCUCCAAAAGAAGAAGAAGGCAACGUUAAGCUCUGCUUUCGGAAGAGUUUCGAGCUUUCGAGAACCAGACCGAAAUGUCUCUCGCAGAUCUCAAUUAUGGAGGGAAAUUGUGAUUCCAAAACAUCUCUGAGUAGUCUCUUUGAUGGAGACAAUAACAAAGAUCUUUGGUCAUAAACAAUUCUCUGGCACAAAAAGACAUGAAUUCUUGCUGUGUAGCAAUCACUACAUGCAAAGUAUCUUCAAUUUAUCAAUACGAAAAGUACAACUUCGCAUUGUUUUCUACUUCUUUAAUGUGGGUUUUGCAUUUUCAAGAGUUUCCAUGCAACAAGAUGUAGAGAGAAUUGUGUGAUGAACCACAAUAUCAAUUCAUAUUUUUGAUAAAGCGCAAGGGAUAAUAUAGUAGAAAUUUUGAUUCAAAACAAAAAAAAGAAGUGCAAAACAGAAUACUCUAAGGGUCUUAAGAGAAACAAGUGAGAAGAAAAACAGUUACGAUAACUCUUCAAUCCCGACAGUAACAAAAAAGCAUGUCUAUAACCAUUAAAGCAAGGCUAUCAACUUUAUUCCCAACCAGCAGCUGGAGCACCUUGGGGUGGUGCGGCAGUGUCCCAUCCACCUUCUGCUGCUGGAGCUGGAAAAGCAAAAAAAGAAAACCCAAGGAGAAAGCAUUAGAAACCAAGAUCGUGUGUUGAGAGAUCCAGAACAAGAAUAGUGUUUCUAGUUAUAUCUGACAAAAACUCACCAGCAGAGUCACUCCAAGAAGCAGCAGGUGCAGCAGCGAUUGGCGCCUGAGCUUCUCCUGGCCAUGCACCAUCAGGGAUCUGAGCGGUGGUCCAUUGGUCUCCACCAGCCAUUCCGUAUUCUGGAGCAGGGAGUCCAAAAUCAGUGGGAGGGGCAGCUUCAUCUUCAUCAUCUGGCUUAGCCUCCUCAGGCUCCCUGUAAAAGAACAGGUCAACCUGUACAACAACACAAAAUAUGAAGCAGUCAGUAGACAAAAAAAUAAGUUAAACUGAACUGUUGACUUUGUAAUAACACAGAGAGAUCCAAAAAUGAUUUAUCCCUCUUACCAUGACAUCCCACUUCUGUCCGGCACGAAUAGUUCCACGCAUCUGAAGGACCAUGCGAGCAAGAAGCCAGAAGAGACACCCAAUGCUGUGCUUUCCCUUGUUGUUGGCAGGGAUACCAAUGUCAACAAAUCUCAUUGGAGAGUCUGUGUCACAGAAAGCAAUGAUGGGAAUGUUUCCCAAAGCACCUUCCUUGAUUGGCUGCAAGACAAGAUAUUAAUCAAAAUCAAUACAAAACCAUCACUGGUAGUAAGAAAAAGACAUAGGUACAAAAUCUAAAGAAGAGUUUUACCUGGUGGUCAGUUCUCGGGUCAGUAAGAAUCAGAAGCCUUGGCUCACUGAAGGAUGUUUGCAUCUGAUUGGUGAAGGUACCAGGAGUGUGCCUUCCAGCAAUGGCAUUGGCUCCAGUGUAUUGAGCAAACUUCAGGACAGCUCUCUGACCAUAGGGCCUAGCAGACUGAACAAUGAUGUCCUGUGGGUUUUCAAUGGCAACAAUAACUCGGGCAGCCAUCUGGAGCUUCUCCCAUGUUUUGCCAAGGUUGAAGAUGUAAAUACCUGAGAAGGACAAAAAUUUCAAAAAAAUACUAAGUUUCAACCUCUUCAUUUCGCACUACAGAGUUUAGAAAGCAGCAGAAAUGUAUAAGCAAAAAUAGACACUUGCACCCAUACAAUCUCUAAACGUCAGCGAACUCAUUCAAACCCCAAACAGUUUUUUAAAGGUUAAAUUUACCAUCAACAUACACAAAUUCAAAAUAAACCAAAUGAAACCCGAAACCCUUGCUCAUCUCUUCAUGACAAACUAAAGUAGACAAGCACGCCACAGACGACACAAAAACAAGACUAUUGUUUGUUAUAUAAGGCAAAUGCAGAGAAAAGAGAGUGAUGAAAUGAAGCUAGUCUCAGAGUCUGAGCAUUUCAAAUGAGCCUCUGUUUAGAUCCAUCGUCUCAAACUCUACUAUGUAGAUAAAACUGUGAAGUACUUAAAACGACAAAUAAAUCCAAAACCCAUCUAAAACAAAGCAGCAGAGAGAUCAUAAACAAGUGAAAACCAAAACCAAGAGACACAUAAACAUACAAAUGAAUCCACAAUCUCAACACUAUAAAAUCAUCUAUAUUGCAAAUACAAGAGACUGAUAUAAAAACACGAGAUAUAUACCGUCGUUGCGUCUCUUGAAGACGUAUCUUUCCAUCUGGUAAUUGCAAUUCUUGGUUCCGAGAUGAACCUCAGCGGCACACAUCAUCCUGAUGUCAGCUUCCUUCUGGGAGAGCUGCGCUGAGCUAGCAGAUCCAUUGGUCGCCAUUCUCGUAUAUCUCUUCUUCUUCUUCUGCUUCUCCGGGACUCAAUCGCCGAGAUAAGCUUCAGCUUUAUAAAUCACACAGGAGGAGGCGAGGAAACUCAAGGUCCUGCUUAUAAGGGUGAAGGAUGAAAAUCACGCAAAACCCUAACUGCAUUAAAGUCGAUUUUGCCCUCCCAAAUAUGAUUAACCGCUGGUUAUAAUUAAAUCGAAAUUACUGGUUGUUUCCGGUUUGUCUUUAACCGAAAUCCAAGUGUGCACACAAACUCGCCCAGCAACACCGAAAAAGAAAAUUUCUUUUUUUGCUACAUUGAAGUAAGGAAGAACCCUAACAUAUCAUUUCUUCGAUCUCAUCUACUUCAAAAAUUUCCCACCUGUGUUUGUGAAUUCUCCAUUGCUCGAUCCUUAGAACCUAUUUGAUUGCUCUUUUCUAUCCGAUUCAAACGCAAUUGGAGCUGUUGCUUUAAUGAUCUUCUCUGGAACGAGCUCAUAAGGUUUCAAUUUCUUGAUUCGUUGUUUCUUAGAUUAUAUUAUCUUCAAUUUUUAUGGUCUCGGCUCAUUUUUGUAUCAUUCUUUUAGGCUGGAGUAGUAGCAGUACCCAGACUGGGUUUGAGCUUGAUCUCUAGAGAGAGUUCGCCAUGGGUGUCUCGUUUAAGAUAUCCAAGGUUGGUAGAAAGUUCCGGCCUAAGAUUGUCACUGACUCGGCUACUCCUGAGUCUCCAGAAGAGCUGAAUUCGAAAGCAAUCGUUCUAUCUGGGAAAACAAAGGUAAUUUACUGAGAAUUUUACUAAACUAUUUACUACCGGAAUAAUCUGUAAUUAUCCGUUUCCCUAAAUAAAAUUCUAGUUUGGAAAAUUUGAAAUUAUCGUGAAAUCCGACUUUAGAACAUUUCGGUGGUGAAGUCAUAUUCUUAUAUCACUGUGAGUGAUGGAUCUGAUGAAUAAGUUGAUUUCAUUUAAUUAAAAAGUCACUUAUUUUGGUAUUGAUUACCAAUUUUUUUUAUGAAUGAUUCAGGGCAUUGAUGAACGCAAUGCUGGUGAUGUUUCCGGGUUUUCAAAGUCAUCUUUGCCUGAUAUAUCUCCUGGUUAGCAUCUCAUCCAUUUCGACCCCUUAUGUUUUGCUAGUUUGAGCUAUGUUAUAUCGAGUGUAUUUGAUUUCUCUGCAGAGCAUGAAGUUUCCUUCACAUUGAGCCUCUAUCCAAAUGGGUACUCUGUAGGAAAACCUUCUGAGGUAUGUAGUAGAACUUCAUGUCCUGAGAAUUUAUAUAAAUGUAUCUUCUAGUUUCUUGUAUUUGGUUUUAAACCCUUCACAUCUAACAAUUAUUCAUUUUUCUCAAGCAGGCUGUGCAACAGACAUCCUUUCGAGAUGUUCCAAAGGUCUUACAACCGUAUGAUAGGGCAGCAGAGAGUCUACUUUCGGUAAAUAAGUUGCAUGUCGAAAAAUAAAUAAUAAGAACUAUGUUAUUUUUUUAUGUGAACGAACAUAUAAUCAAAGUUUUGGUGAAUGAAUUCAAUGUACUUAGAAUAAGUAGAUGUGAAGAUGAUGUUUGUUCUUUCACUUGUUCAACCCAACUUAUCCCUACUUCGAUUUUGUCAAUUUAUUUUUGAGGUAUCGCUCCACUGAGUAAAUGUCUUUAAUUUCUCUGAUAGGCUAUUGAGGCUGGCAGACUUCCUGGUGACAUUUUGGAAGAUAUACCUUGCAAAUUUGUGGACGGGGUGGUUAUAUGUGAGGUGAGUUAUCUGUUGCAUUUUAUUUCGAUAAAGCCUUUCAUGAUCUGCCAUCUAGUAUAAAAACUAAGACAAAAUAGUUUCUAAUUAUUGCAUUGCCUUCCAUAAGUUUUUGAAACCAGUCCAAACUUAUUUAAAAUUCAUAACAAUCUCUAUAACUUUACUUGAACAAAAGUAUCUACACUUAUCAUGUUAUAAUUGCACUGGAGCUCAACUACCUAACUCAUAGGUGUUUUUUGAGACACGUUGGACUAAUAACCAGAAGUAAACAUAAAAUAGAGUAGUUUUAAUAUUCCUCUAAUUGACUUCUCAAGUAUCAUCUUAUGUCAUCAUGCUUUCUUUUCACUUUUUUGUUACAUAUGUACUAUUGUAGGUGCAUGACUAUCGGAAACAUACCCCAGAUCAAGUCUCUCCUGUAGUAAAUAAAUUGCGUCUUAAGAUGUCACUUGAGAAUGUGGUAAAAGAUAUUCCAUCCAUGUCAGACAACUCAUGGACAUAUGGUGAUCUCAUGGUAAUCAACUAAUCACUGUAGCUCUUGGAUUAUAUGUCAUAUAUAUUAACACUGAAAGUAUUAUCUUCUGUACUGAUCCUUGCAUCAACACAGGAAGUGGAGUCCAGAAUAUUGAAAGCCCUACAACCUGAACUCUGUCUGGAUCCUGUACCCAGACUUGAUAGGCUGAGUAAGAACCCUGUCUCUGCCAAGGUAAUAUCUCAUUCAAAAGACUCCUUGUAUUUUCUCUUCUCAGUUGCUUUGAUAAUGUCUAAUAGUUUUUUCUACCCCGUAGCUCGAUUUGUCUCUUUCUACUUUGCGGAAAAAGAGAUUAAGGCAAAUGGCAGAAGUGACGGUCAUGUCUCAGAACAAGAUGCAUGGGAAAAAGGUUUGCAUUGAUCGGCUUCCUGAAAGUUCGGAGCGAGGAAAUAUGCCGGGGCAUUUGAUAAUGCAGCAAACCCAUAACAACCAGGCUAUUCAAAAUCCUGGUACUAAUAUGCUGACGGGUUUAAGAACUCAGCCCUUGCAUGAUACUCCAAAUUCCUCUAUGGCCUUGAUACCACCUCAACAACAAAGGUACCUGGGAACUGGAAAUAUAAGAAACAUGCAGGAUCAGGGAUCAAAUUCUGUCAGUGUCUCUGGAGCAUCACCUGGAGGACUGGAUGCGAUGAUGUCUUAUGGCUCUGAUAGUAUGAACCCCGGUACAUCUUUUCAAAGAAAGAGGGAAAGUCAAGAAGGACAAAUCUCUUCUAUGCCUGGUUUGAAUAAACGGACAAGGGUUUCACACAUGGGCCCUGAUGGGGUUCCACAUCAACAAUUAGGGCAACGCAUGGAUGGCCUUCAUGGAACCGAUACGAAUUGGAAAAAUACGCUUCUACAACAGCAAGACAUGCUAGGCAGAAGUAUUCAGUAUCCAAAUACAAAUAUCGCGAGGUUUUCUCCACAGCAAAUGGAAGGGGUUAUGAACCAGGAAGGUGGUCCCAUGCAAUUCCCAGCUUCACAACAGGGGACAAUGCGAUACACAUCAAAAGAAGAGCCAUUUGAGACUGGUAAAAUUGAUGGUAGCAUGCGAAACAAUAUGCCGGGGGUGGGAAGUGAUGCAAAUGAAUUGGAUCCGCGUAUUCAGUCAAGGAUGCCCCAUAACGCAUUCAUGAGAUCAAAUUUUCCUCAAACAUCAUGGAAUGUUAAUCCUGGUCAGCAGAUUGAAAAAGACCCAAGAAAGGAAGAACAAUAUAGUAGAAGAAUAUCGGCUCAAAGUCCUCGAUUAUCGGCAGGUGCUCCACCACAGUCCCCACAUUCAUCGAAGUCUGGUGAGUUUUCUGGUGGUUCAAUGGGGAACCACUAUGGAGCAGUUGCAGCAGCUCAAAAGGACAAGGCUGUCACUUCUAUUCCUGCUAUUGGUGCUACUCAGUCUGUGGGUUCUAGUGCUAAUGAUGCUAUGCAGCAAAGACAACACCAAACCCAAAUGGCUGCAAAACGGAGGACAAAUUCUCUUCCUAAGACGCAAGUUAUGAGCACUGUUGGUUCUCCUGUUAGUGUCAAUACUGUGAGUGUCCCAGUUAAUGCAAGGAGCCCUGCAGUAGGACCCCAAACUUCGGGCGAUCAUGCAAUCCUAGAUAGAUUUUCAAAGAUUGAACGAGUUGCUGCAAGGUAUGAAUUUUAUGAAGCCUGUUUUGUUGAGGUUAUUCCCGUCAUAUUCUUUUUUUAUGAUUUUUACUUUCACUUAUGUGAUACUUCUCCAAAUUCUGAUUUUGGUUUUACACUAGAGCAUUGUUGGAAUUGUACCACUCCUUAUCUAAUUGCAUUUGUACAAAUAAAUUUUGUUGGUGCAUGAACAUGUUUUUGAUGCUGUAUUCUAUAAAUUUCAUUUGUUGGUUGAUCCAGUUUCGUCUUCCAUUUUUAGGUACCAACUAAACUGCAAAAAGCAUAAGGUGGAUGAGUACUCACGAAGACCUCGUGUGUAUGCUAAGCAGUCCCUGGCGAAUUGUUUAUCGAACCUGUCUAACGAAGAGGACUUCAAAGACGAGGACAAAGCAUUAUCAAAAUCUAUUUUUGGUGGCAGUAUGAAUACAUGCAAGAAGAGAGUCAUGAACUUUGCUAAGAUGGAACGUGUAAUGCAAGGUCUGUUUUCUGUUUCAACUUGAUAUCUGUCGAUUAGUAGAUUUCUCUAUGUAAUUGACUCUGACUCCAGUAUCAUUUCAGGUACUGUCUCUUCCUUCGUCCCUAAAAUAAGAACAAAACUUGUUAUGUCAGAGAAGUCCGUCGAUGGGACAGUAGCAUGGUAUCAAGGAGACAUAGAUGAUGGUGAUGUUUCUUUGGCUGAAGAUUUUUUCUUAGCGUUGCCCAAUACAGUAAGUUCACAGAAAAUUUGACUAUUAUCGACUCAUUCCAUUUUGAUCAAAAAUAUCUCUUCAACUUGCAUGCACUAACAUGUAAUGUAAUGCUGAGUCCACAUUCAGUAAUUUUUAUUGGUUGAUGGGUCAUGAUCUAGGGGUUUAUAUCUCGUUUGUGAAUGCUUUAUGUAAUUAUGAAUAUGGUUGGUUGUUCUAUGGAUACUUCUCUCUUGUUAGUUGCUUCUGCUUGUUUUUCCUUCUCGUCCAUGCGGUGGAAAGGGGGUGUUGGUGGACAAUGGAUGAUUGACUAUUAUCAUAUAUAUACACCACUUAUUUUCUGGUAUUUAUGCUGACUUGCUUAUUUGUCACCUUGUCACAGCACAUCGCCGAUCUACUUGCAGCUCAAUUUAAAUUACUGGUAUAUCUCGAAUUCUGAAUCAAUUACAUCAAGUUCUUGGUUCUAUGGCUCAGCUACUUACAGAUUGAUUUAUAUGCUUAUGCAGAUGGCCAGUGAAGGAUACAUCAUGGAAGAACAUAUUCUGGCAAAGCCAAACCAUGGGGAUACUGGCCCAAUCGGAAGCCAACCAAAUACUGCAGGUGGUUAUCCAAGAGGUUACUCUGCAAACGAUAUGCAACAGUAUGGAGAUGCAGUUGCUGGACAAGCGUCUGGUGAGGCAUCGAAACAGGGGAAUGCUGGAAGUGCACCUGUUAACUCAACCCAGAAUAUUCUUGGAAAUGCAAGGAUGCUUCCUCCAGCAAAUUCUCAAGCCUUGCAAAUGUCUCAAGGACUGUUGUCUGGUGUCUCCAUGCCUAUGCAACCACAACAGCUUGACCCACAACAGUCAGCAUUACUGUCAUCACAUUCACAGCAGAAAAAUCAACAGUCCAUGUUUACACAACAACAGCAUCCACAAAUGCAGAGACCAUCCAUGAUACUGCCUACAAAUCCGCUAUCAGCCAUCAACUCAAUGAGCCAGAGCUCUGCUAUGCAACCGGGUGGUCAGAUGGCCAACAAGUAUUCGCCUCUCCAACUGCAGAUGUUACAGCAGCAGCAGCAAGCGGCGAUGCAGAAGAAGAUUAUGAUGGGGCUAGGAUCAGGCAUGAUGGGUAUGGGAAGCAUGGGAAACAGUAUUGCUGGGCUCGGAGCUUUAGGCAACCAAUUAAAUAUGGCAGGAAGAGGGAUUGGGGGAACUGGAAUUUCAUCAUCAAUGUCUGUCCCUGGCAUCGGAAAUAUGGGACAGAACCCAAUGAAUCUGAAUCCAGCAUCAAAUUUGAAUGCUAUAAGCCAGCAACUCCGAUCUGGUGCAUUAACACCACAGCAAAACGCUCUGUUUACACAGCUUAGGAUGAACAUGACAAAUAGAGGAGGUGUUAUGGGGGCUCCCCAAGCCGGGAUAAGUGGCGUGUCAGGUGCGAGGCAGAUGCACCCCAGUUCAGCUGGUCUUUCCAUGUUGGAUCAGAAUUCAUUAAACCGAGCUAACCUGCAGCGAGCUGCUGCUAUGGGUAACAUGGGCCCACCUAAGCUGAUGCCUGGAAUGAAUCUUUACAUGAAUCAACAGCAACUCCAGCAGCAGCAACAAAUCCAGCAGCAACCUCAACAACAGCAGUUGCAGCAUCAGCAACAGUUACAGCAGCCUAUGUCUCAGCCAUCUCAGCAGCUAGCUCAGUCUCCGCAGCAGCAGCUACAACAACAUGAACUGCCUCAACAAGCACAGCAGCAGCAGCCGCAGCAGCAGGCGACAGGUUCCCCUCUUCAGUCUGUGCUAUCACCACCCCAAGUAGGUUCGCCAUCAGCUGGAAUAAGCCAGCAGCUACAACAGUCCAGUCCCCAGCAAAUGAGUCAGAGAACUCCAAUGAGUCCCCAGCAAAUGAACCAAAGAACUCCUAUGAGUCCUCAGAUAAGCUCGGGUACAAUGCAUCCCAUGAGCACAAGCAACCUCGAGGCUUGUCCAGCGAGCCCACAGCUAAGUUCUCAGACAAUGGGAUCUGUUGGCAGCAUCACCAAUUCUCCGAUGGAGCUACAAGGUCCCAAAAACAACUCUGCUGGUAAUAAUUCCUAAUCAAGAAACUAUGAUUAGGGUAAAAGAUUAUUUAUCUUCAGGAACCCUUGCUUCACAACAUGAGUUGUAAUCUAACUUAGGGACAAGCAGAUAAAGGGUAUUUAGUUCAGCGUUUUACGUUUUGCUUGUACAUGAAGCUUUUGAAAUUAAAUUAAGAUUCAUGACCAAGGCCUGUAGAGAAAGUAAAGAAUCUAUUGUGCUCUGCAUAUAAAAGAGCCAUUAUUAUUAGGUUGUCGAUAUCGAUAUGUAACCAGUGUCGGCUUCAGGCUAUUUGGAGAAUUUUGUAUAAAACAAUAACAAUAUCUAUUUUGUUGUUCAUUCGUCGCGCCUUGUUACUGCAACCCUUGUGCUGUACACUAUUUAUAGAUAAAAGGAGGUUUCGUGGAUACUUGCUCUCAAAUUAUGUUGACAUGCGCAUCUAAAUAAUUUGUUAGGAUCUCAUAAAGGCCAGAAACAAAUUGGACUCAAAAUUGCCAAUAUCACAAUGUCGAUACAAAAAUUUGGAUAAAUCUUGUUCGCUAAACAAAGAUGUACACAAACAAUCAACAAAAUUACUAAGCUGGCUGAUGGAAAAAAGACCCGUCUCUGAAGUCUGUGCCCGAGACUGCGUUAUGGUACCAGAAAUUUUGUUUUACCGCCAAAAGAAUCGUGUCUGUUUUCUCUCUUUACCUGCGCAAUCAAAUCCGACCAAGAUUUAUUUCUUUCUCUUUAUCUUGGCUUUGAAUCAUUUCCUUUCCCCCGGAAUGUGGAGAGCGAGAAGAACGACUUUUGCGCUGUAAAGAAGAAGUAAAUAAAAUUCAAAAGAAGAUCAUAUGAAGAAAUAUUGCAUUCUGCAUGAGUGAAUAGGCAAAGAAAAGGACCUUUGAAGUUGCUUCCAGACAUUUGAUGAUCAUCUUUUAACUCGGAUACAGAGAUAUUGGAAGCUUGAAGAAGAAACGCGAGAAACAACCAAAUACAUAAAGAACUCGCGAUAGCAUUAAACUAAGAGCAGAAGAAAGCAACAUUAUUAGAAUUACCUUGUUCAGGGAAGUCGCCCUCAUGAAAUCCAUCCUCAGAGAGAUGACUUUGUAGAGAUCCCAUUCUCGACUUUCUUAAAUCCUCUGAUGAUCGGUCCGCAAGGUCUCUCCUAUCUUCAACCUCAUCAUCUCCUUCAGAAGUCGUUACAGAUACCCAAUCCAUCAUCAAGCUUUCUGCACCACGGCUUUUUCUUCCAAACUUUAGCAACCGUUUAAACCCUUUACUUAUAUCCUUCUUUGACUGGAACUGAGACGAAUUAUUAGCAGCAGCAACGGUAACAGGACUCUGAGCUGUUCCCCAUUUCUUUCUCAUCCGAGAACUCCACGAAGCAGGGCUUCCCAUGGGAGAAUCCGCAGAAGCAUCAACAUCAGACGAGUGCUCAUGAGGAUAGCUGAAUGAGUGUUGUAGGUUUGCGUUCCAAGAAAGAGGACUUUCCCCGGGUGAGUCCAUUAAUGAGGUAGCAGUAAGUACUUUCGGAGGGACAGUGGCAGGUAAGAAACUACAAUUAUCAUCUCCUGAAUUAUCAACUUUCUCAUACACCUCGCUUAGUGUCGGAUUUUCAUCCUCAAAACCAAGUUCUUCCACUUCUUCCUCUUCUUCAUCUUCUCUAACAGCAUUCUCCGAGACCUCUUCUGCCUCAGCUUCAGGCUCAUCAUAUUCUACAUUUCUCAGAUUCUCAGAUAUAUCAGAGUUCACUCUUAGAGAGGCCAUCAUGUCAUCGGAGCAGAGAGUGGGCAACUCCGUGAAGUCUAUGCUCCCAGAGGAGCUUUUCCUUAAUGAUCGAGGUCUUUGGAGAGGUGUAUCUUCCUUGACAUUCUUGGUGCGAACACUACUUCUCACCUGUGAUCGCAUAGUAGUUUUGACAGCUAAAGAAGAUGGUUUCGUGUUUUCCUUUAUAAGUUCAGAAAAAUUGGGAACAGAUUGUGCAAGUGACUUCUCUGAUCUUCGCCUCCCAGAAGAGGUGUUUGAAGCUUUACCUGAUGGUUUUGGAACCGAUGCUGCAGUUCGCGGGGUAAUAGAAGAAGACAUGUUCCUGUUAGGCUUUUUAGCUUGGGAGCUCCGAGAAGCAAUGUUGCCAACUGCUUGUUGUUGUCCACUGGCUGCUUUAUCUUUCGCCCGAGGUUUCUGUUCAGAGCAAUCUUCAUCUUCUUCGUUCUGAAAUGAGUUUAUAGGAUGCUGCCAAAAACACUGUCUCAUCAAAAACAAGUUUUAACAAUUCAGAAACAGAAGAAGAACAUUUCUAAUGGACUUAAUGCUACACUACCUGGUACUUUUUCAUACUUGACCGAGAGUUUAAAGACCUGAAUUUCUCUGCCCGCUGACGAGUACUCGAAAGUGAAUCUUGUCUCUCAGAAGAAGAAGCAGAAAACUUAGCCUUCAUCUCGGUUCUACUUUGCUCAAGAGCCUCUUGCAUCGACUUCAGUUUUGUUUCCUUCUCACCUUUUUUUAAACUCCAUUCUUCUCUCAGUUUGGCAUCCCUUUUCUUCAUAUACUUCUCAUAAAACUUUCCUUUAGAAUCAUCCAUAAGACUAAGGUCCGAAAAAUUCCUUCGCAAUACAUCCCCUUUGUCUUUUUCACCAACCAAGGGAGUCAUGAGCUUUGAAAGAUCACCAGAACCACCACCAAGAGAAAGCCUUUUGUCUGCAGCCCCUAUAGAAUGAGAUGGCUCUGGCUCUGCAACUUGGAUUUCACUUGGCUUACCACGUCUGGAAGAACUUGACUGAUCCCCUGGAACCCGGAGUUGAUGCUCAGCAAAAAGCUUUUCAAGCUCAUUUGCCUUCAUUUUCAGCUCAUCAUUAGCCCCCGGAAUUUCCUUUGACAGUCUUGUCCUUUGUGUUUGAUCCACCGAUGCAGUUGGAAACCUAUUACUGUUACCUCGAACCUGCCUGCCCUCCUCAUCGUCAGGACCAUCCCUCACAUUGAAUUGGGGUUUCUGAGGUAAUACUGGUUGUUCAUCUGAUGAAACCACUUCUUUCUUCUUGAUCCUGCCAAAAGAAGAUCUAGACUGUGGUUGAGAAGCCAAAUCCCCCUGAAAAUUAGCUUCUAUAUGGGCUGACCGAGAUCGUGUAUGACGAGCAGGAAACAUGGCUGAUGAUUGUGAUACAUUCUUGGCUUUGACAUUCUGAAGCCUCCCGCCAUGACUAUCAGUCUGGUUUUGUGAAGCAGAAGGCUCAUUCAAAUCAAUAACUGAUCUGGACUGAGCAUCAGAAGUUCCUUCAACUCUUGGAUCUAAACUCUUUUCAGUGACAGUUUUGGGACUCAUGACUCUGUCUUGAGAAGCUUCUUCAUCACCAACUUUUUCAGAGUCACUCUUCAGCUCAUAUUUGACAUCAUCAUCCUUUUUAACGCUUUCACUGGAAUCAGUUAGAGCUAUGGUAUGAGGAACAGACGAAGAAGUAGAAGAGGGAUCCCCUAGGAAACUCUCCAACUUCUUUUCUGAUGCCAAAUCAAUGCUCAUGUCACUCAAAAGACUGCUUCUUCUCAGGAGAGGUUUCUCAGAGGAAGUAAGAUCCGAGGAGAAUCUCCUGAGCUCUGUGGAUUUAGUAACAGCUACAGGUUUGCAUCCCCCAGAGUUUGAGUUCUCCUUUUGUUUGUUUUCAAAGAGGUUAAUCCUAUCUUGCACACUGAGUCGUCUUGUGUGUUGACUGGUCUUAGCUGUAGAAGAGGUUACAUCCAAACUCUCAACAGUCUUCUCCUCUUCAUUCCUUUUGGUACUUGUAGUAGCACACUGUUGCGUUUGAUGUUCUGUUUCAUCUACCGCAUAUUGCUUCUGGCGCGUGCCAUCUUUUUCAAUACUGACAUUAUCAACACUAGCCACAUUAUUUGAGUGCUUCAUAUCGAUUAAGUCUGGCCUUUUCUUCCAUAGUGAGAUAUAUUUGCUGCAUGCUUCACUGAAAUACAUAUUCCAACGGGAUCAAACAAGAAAACAUGAAAGAACGGUUCAGUCAAAUGAAAAGUAGAAAACAACUAAAGGCUUACCCCAAAUAAUGUGCACCAAAUUUAUCAGCAAAUUGUUGGAGUUCGGAAACAGUAUGAGGGUUGAAACCGCAAGCUGAUGCAUGAGAAAUGGACAUUGUUAAGUCCUUUUUAAUAGCUUCAAGUCUUAAGUCUAUAGCCCUUAAGAGUUCCUUCCUGAAUAUAGAGAAGAAAAAAAGUAAUUAAUAAAAAUCUCUUUGAACACACAAAGAACCUAAUAAAGGCAGAGAAGCUUUACUUUGUGGCAUCUGCUGCGGCUCCAUCAUCUGAGAAACCAAAGAAAAUAGGAUUCAAAUUCACGAUCAAUGUUCUCCGGAGUUGCAAAAAUAACAAAAAAAAAACCAUACAAGCAUAGUAACAACAGUGAAAUCAAACACACCUGAUGCACCAGACUUUGAGUCUUCGCUUCGCUUCAAGAACCAAACAUGACAAGAACAAAAUUUAGUAAAGGUCGGUCAAGAAUCUCAACAGAAGUUAAGUUUCAAAACAGUGCUUACAACCUGCGAAUAUAAUGUCCGAGCUGCUUCUAACUGCGACAUCUCGGAAUAAUCUGUAUUGACCUUUCUCAGAACUUCUGGACUAUUAACAAACUGAACAAAUCUGAGAGAGACAAAUGGUGGAUGAAUAUAUUAGUAUACCAAAAAAAGCUGCAAGAAAAUAAACAAAAAAUGAUGUUUAAAUCCUCAGUUAUAAACCUUUCUAAUGUUUUUUUAGUGAACCAAGUGUUGCUUUUCUCAACCUCCAAUCUAAUAGAGGAUUGAACAACAGGUGAAGCUUGUGCUUCAAGAACUUUUAAAUGAUUCAAAAAGGGUUCAAUCAACCCCGAAGCAAGCUUCUCUGUCUCUUCGUUGCUUGAUACAAACAGUUCACAUCUGUCAAAAAGAAACACUCCACUUAUUUAUAAAGAACAAACUGGAUAUAUCAGGAUCACUCUAAAAGAAAGAAACAUAUACUCACCGUGAAUGCUUUGGCGACAAUUCGAAUACCGCAUAAUCAAGAACCGUAUCUGACCUCAUUUUCACAAAAACCCACAGAGAUAUCACACUGAGAUUUUAACAGAAUUCAACUGAACAAUUUCAAAUCCAUGCCAAGAAACCUGAGAAAAAAAAAACAAUAAUAGAAACUUUUAACUCAUAGAUUAAAAAAAAAAAACAACUUGUUGACAAAACCGGAAUAUAAACUUCAAUCAGAGAUAAUGAAUCCCGAAAAGAAAAAAAAAAGAACAAAAAAGGGAAGACAAAACACAGAUCAUAAAAAACAGAGAAAUCGAGGAUCUAGUCAUCCAGAAACAACAGAUGCUUCUCAGAUCUGAUUCCACCACUACUAAGUAUAAAAACCGAACCAUAAAAAUCCCAACUUGAAAACAAAACACCCAAAACUUAAAAUCAUGCAAUAUACACGACACUCGAGAAAAAUGCAGGUUUCAUCAAAGAACAUACCACCAAGAUCCUCCUAGCCGAUCUCCAGCAUUGAGCUGGGAACUUUCAAAUUCUCAGUAGUUCUUAGCUUAAUCGAAGUUCUAAAUCGGCACUAGAGACGUCUCGAAGAAGAAGAAGAACCCUAAGAGAGGUCAGAGUACAUAUGUCGUCACUUCACUUCUGGUUUUGCUCCAAAUAAAAAAAAUGCAAAAUCUUUCCUUUUUUUAUUCUCCCACACUAAAGAUUUUGCUCCUGUCUCCUUUAUAUUCAAGCUCAAAACCAAACACACUCACGCACACUCUCUCUCUCUCUCAAACGUACAAAAAAGACACUGUCUUUAGAGAGAGAAUAAUAUGCGGAGCGUGUUUAGGGAGGGAGAGAGAGAGAGAGAGAGAGAGAGAGAGAGAGAGAGAGUUUCCUUAUUCAGACAGCUUCUUUCUCUUCGAAUGUCGUCUUCGAUUUGGAAAAUGAAAAGAAAAAACAAGAUACUGCCUCAAUGCUGAAUAUACCAAAAUACCCUCGAAAUCUUACACCUGUUUAAUAUCUGAACCGAGACAAACAAAAAUCCAGAUAUCGACUCCUCCCUCUGUUACUCUGUCUUCUUUGUUCUUAUUAAACCGUAUUUCUUCUCUGUGCUACCGGUUUGUCACCAUUUGGGUAUACAUUGGCCCGGUUCAGGAUGAGGGUAAUCUCGUAACUUAAUAUGGGUAAACGAAGUCAAUGCUACUAGUCGAAGGCUCUCAAGCUAAUAAGUAAACAUCACUUUAAGGGUUAAAUAUUUUCACCCAAAGAAGAGGUUCUAACACUAAAAAAAGGGAUUUAACCAUUUUAUUUUUUUUACCAUUUUAGAACUUGUAAUUAACACUUUAUGAGAUAGUCAAAAAUUAUCGGUUUUACAAUUAUAGGUUUGUGAUCUAACCACUUUCUCAAAGAAGAUUUUUUGGAAGCAUCAGUAUUUUAUGAUAAAAAUCAAGUAAAGAUUUAAUAAUGUGUGUUGAUCAGUUAGGUGAAAAAUGUGAAUGAGGAUUAUUAGAAUUGCUGGCCAAUUGUUUGUAUUUUUCACCAAUCAAACCCUAACAUGCUAAUGUAGCUAGCAUUCAUUUUUUAUAAUAAAUGUUCUUAAAUGUAUAGGAAAUAUAUUUGUACAAAAUCUCAUUAAAUUAUGUGAUUAAUUUUGGCAACUAACCAAUGUUUGGAUGGUUUGAGGUGUUGCCAACAAUAACACAUGCAUGGCCACAUCAUUUGUGUUUGUUACUUAUGAUUUAAUCAAAUCAUGUUACAUCAGCACAUCUACUUAAUUGAUACUGUAUGACUCCGAUUACGUACGUAACUUUUGUGCAGCUAUAUAUAUAGAGUUUUCUUUUGAAGAAAAUAUAUGCAUGGUUCGAUAUAAUUUUGAGCUGUCUGAACACUUACACGCAUUAGUACAUCAAGAUAGAAUGAAGCAAAAUCAACGAAUGUUUUUAUUUUUUUCUUGCAAAACAUGUUUGUGACUAUGAUGGUACUGUAAAUCUUACUCACACUGGUUUGGUUGGUUAAAUGCAGAAAACGUAGUAUUUUUAUCUAAUCAGAGAUGUGUCGUCGUCGUUUGUGACCAACAAAACAAAAACCUUGACCGAGCCAGGAAGUAAAUCAGCAAGCAAAAGAUGAAGCAUGGACAAAUGAUUAAUGGGUCUUAAGAGCCCAUAUUCUUUGUUACUCUAAAACUGUUCUUUCCUUUUCUUUGACAUUGAAUUGUUUUUUCUUCUUCGAGUCAUACCGAUGAUGAUACACGAACAACAUAAAAAUGCAAACUAGAAAUUUUUUAACUUUUUUUUUUUUACGAGAAAAGGGGCUGCGGUAUUUACAAGUUGAGCAACUUUUAUGUAAACCAAAUAUAACGUAAUGGACGACAUAUUCAAUGUAUAAAGGCCGCUAAUUAUUCUCAACUUGUAAUAUAAAUAUGUUUAUGUACAUUACGUUAUCCAACUUGUAAUUUUAUUUGCCGUAUUAGUUAGUAGUAGAUAACAUGAUUAUUAAUUUCUUCUACACAAUUUAGAUAUCUUUUUUUAUAAAAUUUUAGGUUAAGAUGAUGCCCGAAGAAAGUAAGGAUACUACAUAUUUCGUUUUCAUGGAGGGAAAAAAAAUACUCGCAAUCGCAGUUCUAAGAAGGAUAGUGAAGAUUUGCGAUUUACCUAAACAAAUACUAAAGAUAAAUGGCAACUUGUGAGUGAGUAGCUUUGUCACUUACUUGGUCCUGCUUCCAAAAACUAUUCCUCACGGCGAAGAAAGAUACCAAAUUCCAAUAUACUUUUUAUUUUAUUUUCUUACAGGCUGGAUCAACAUAUCACUCAUGAGCGUUCGUGAAGAUUCAUAAGUUCCUUAUUUUUUUUAGUAUAUAAGAAAUAUGAAUACGAGUAUCUAUCUAUAGCUUUAUCAAAUGCUAGAUUCCUGUCAGCUGUUUAUUAGGUUGUACACUUGUUGUAUGCAUUGUGUUUUACAUAAACCCAUUCUCUCUCACCAACCCUUUGCAUAACUGAAAAAAAAAUAGAGAUUUCAAAUAACCUAGAAGGUUCAACAAUAUUGUAUACAUACCAUGUCUUAGCACAACGACAAAAAUUAUACAUACAUACAAAACUAUAAACUAAAAUACAUGAACAAAGUGCCAACAACAACAACAACAACAACAAAAUUGAAUGUUAAAACUUUUAAUGCUCUACUUCUUAGAUCUUCUAUUGCCAGCCAACUUGGAAUCUCUCGUCCAUGGACCACCGGUACCUUACUACUACUACCUUUUAUGAAAACAUCAAAUAUUAAUUAUAUGGUCAACAUCGGUUUCAUGAUAAGUCUUAGAAAUAAAUUCUACUAACACAUACAUUUUUCAAUUUAUAAGCUUUUUCUUAUAUAUACAUACAUAGAAAACACAAAAGAAGUUAUAUACCUUACUAGAACUUAUACAACAAUAGUUUUGUCACGAACAGGAACAUCAUUUAAUAAAUCAUCGCUGUGGACCGAAGUAGUAGAUGCAUACGAAGAUGAACUAGUUUUGAUGAAUAGAUCACUGAGAUCAUCUUUUAACAGCUCUUCAAACAACUCUUCAAAUUCCUCUAAACUUUCAUCCCCCUGUUCCAAAUUUAUGGAAUAUCACCAAUCACCAUCAUGAUAAGUAACUUGUACUAAAACUUAGUAAAACAGUAACGAAGUAAUGAUCGUAUGUUUUACCGUAGAUUGAGUUUGAGCCAUUAGUGUCACCAUCUCAUUUAUAAAAUCAGCCAUUCCCUACAAUGCCAAUAACUCCAUUAUUACCUUUGAGAAGAAAAAAAGCAAAUUCGUUUUUUAAGUUCAAAUUAUUUUUUAGGUAAAAGAACAUACAGUUUCGUCGUCAUCACUAUCAUACGCACCGACGUCAUACAGCAGCCUCUUGUUCGAAUCCGACAAAACUGUAUGUGAACACAACAGUUUGAUUAACAAACCGGAAUAGACCGAUACAGCAAUCAGACCCGGUUUUGAUAUAUGGUUUACCAGAAUAGGCUCGUUGAAUGGAUUGGAACUUCAUCUUGGCUUCUUCUUUUUCUAACUCUUCAUGAAACCGAUCAGGAUGCCAUUUCUAUUAAUCAUAUAAAAAAAACCAAAAACUGUUCAAGAAAAUGCAAGAACAUAAAAGAAAAAAGGCAAAAGCAUAAAGAGAGAAUGUGAAUUAGAACCAAACCAGAACAAGGUUCUUGUAAGAAAGUUUGAGAUCUCCUUGAGUACAUUCGUUGUCCAAAUCCAUAACAGCGUACAAGUCUUCCUUCUCCAUUUGAUGAUACUAUCUAUUAAUAUAGGAUGAGAGUUACGUUACAGAGACUAUAAAAAAGAACAGAGGUCUUCUUUCUUUGGAGUACUUUAUUGGAAGCAAAGAGAGGGGAUGUUAUUGGAUCGAAGUUGAUGAUGUAUGUAUGUAUAGAGAGAUCAGAUGUGUGGGAUAUACGCGUAGGUAGACGUGGAAGAAGAGAAGAAGAGAAGAGAAGGGAGAAGAAGACAGUGUUUGAUAUUUUGGGUAUCGUGCUUGCUUUUUUUUUUCCUUUGUGUGGUUUGUUGAAUAAGUAAUAUACUAUAUAGAGAUAUUUGGGGGUACCAAUGAAAGAAUGAUCGAGAAACUCGCCACUUGAACUAGUUGUUUACUUUGUUUAUCCUCGUUUUCGACAUCUUCUUUUUAUAUAACUUUUUAAAGACUAAAGUAGCUGUAUUAUUAUUUUAGUUUUUCUUUCUUUCUUUAUAUCUUGUGAGAGAAUACGAAAACAUUACUCACGUAGUCACGUUUUUUCCUUUUUUAGGCUGAGAGAAAUACAAAAUUAUAAAUAUACAUAAAGGAUUUGACUAGUUUAGUUUUAGAGGAAGAAAAAAUAAAGAGAGAGUAGUUAAGUUACUUUAACUUUAAUUUCUGUUUGAAUGAAAUACGUGAAGAUUUUAUUAUAACUUGGUAUUGUUUUUUCAAGGAAGAAACAUUUUCUCCUUAAUUGAUGAGAACAAGAUGAGAAAUGUUUUCCCACCUAAUUUUUGAAUAUACUUUUGCUUCUACAUUAGUAAAAUAUUAUGCAUUUAUAUAAAGUUCCGUUAUACAAAAUUAUAUGAAUGAUCUAAACUGACUAAAAUUUCAAAUAAAGGUUUCUGUAUAAACGAAACUUAUCUGAGGUCAAAUACUUUUUAAAAUUUUGGUUCGAAAGUUUCUAUUUGUUAGUUUUUAAACACUUGUAUUGUUAUACCAUUUUCAAGAAUUAGUAUUUUUUUUUUUUUUUUUCUGUCAACAACAAGAAUUAGUAAUUAUAGUAUAUCAUUCACUUGCUGUCAAAGAAAAAGUAAAAAAGAACAUAUUGGGUCACUUUAAGGUAAAUUGAGCAACUUGCCAUUUUGGCCCAAAUGACACUUUUCUUCUUUUUUUCAAUUAAAACCAAUCAAAUUGCUGCUGUCAGUCAAUUUCAUAAGCAGUAUUCUUUGUCCAUCAACUUGCUGUAAAGUCAAUUUAUAAGCGUUAUUGUUCAUCAACUUGACUUGGAUCCGGCUUAACCCAAAUCCCGGUUUUACAAGUAAACCAGAGAACAGCAACCUUUAUUUUUUUAUGGUUAUUCAAAUUGUUCAUCAGAAAGCUUUUUCUUCAUCAUUCAUGUUCAUGGCAUUCUCACUGCGUUGAUCCAGUCAAUUUCUACUCGGAAAUCGCCUGCGCCAGAUUUAGCUCCAAUGAAACCACCUCCUUGUGCGUUAACCGAUAGAGACAUACCUACAACACGACCUGGAUUCAUCUCCAUUUCUGCAUCUAUCACAUUUCCUUUCCAUGUUGGUAAGUAGCGAGUAAGAGGAACCUGAAGAUGAAAAUAAAUGUCAAACUUAACUUGGGGUUUACUACAAAAGCCCUUUUUGAAACUAGCUGCUUUGUAGAAGAAAGUAUGAGACUUGCCUUAGCUGUAUACCAGUUUCCCUUUGGAGCAAACACAAAAGCCUGCCAUGAGUUAUCUUCUGCUUGUCCUGGCGAGUUCACCCAGUUCUCGGUAUAUAUCUGAAUUGGAAUCGCAGUUUAGUUUUUUAGAUGAAAAAAAUAAUGCUCCUUGAACCCUUGUGUUUUAUCUGGAGCAAGAGGACGUGAGUGUUAAGCAUGAUACUCACAGUAGAGAUAUAGCACCUUCCAUCUCCUUUGAGCCUGAGGGCUAUGGAAUCAUACCCGUCGAGAUCAAUAAAGCCAUCAAACUACAGAAAUGAGAAGAUGGUUUAGUUAAGUACUUUGUGCUUUAAACUCACUCAAAUCUUUGGUUUGAAUCAACUGAUGAUGUGAUGAUUAGUAAUGAAAAAUAAAAACAAAAAAAGCUCUGGUUUUUACCUUCUUUGACCGCAUUCCACAGAAACCACUUCGAUUGAUUUUCCAUUUUGAUCCUUCGCUCAUUUCCGUAGAGAGAUUCCCAGAGAAAACACCUAAGUGAAAACAGUCACCACACAAUUUCAGAAAAAAAUAUCAUGGUAAGAGCUAGAAACUAUGGUACGUGCAUCAAAAAAUGAAAAAUCUCAUACUCUCAGCAGAGGUACGUUGUAGACCCUAAACAGAUUAAGUUAUUGCAAGAGAAAUAUUUUGUUCUUGUUAAAGCAUGCUCAGUAGUUCAUAAAGUUCCCAUGUCUCCAGUUAUGAGCAAAUCAUCACAAUAUGUACAAGUCAGGAAAGCAUAGCUGUAUUUCGAGUAUCAGACCUAAACAAGAAUGCAACAGACAGUAAGGAACUUAAUUAAAACAUACUAACCAGUGCAAUCUGAUCCAUUUCCUCCAUCUUUAAUUUCCAACGAAGCCGAAGAUAAUCCUAUAAGGUAAAAUAUCAACAGUAUAGUGAGGAGAUCACAUGAAUAGUUGUUAUGCAGAGAAUAUAUUCAGAAUCUUCUUUCAUCUCAGUAAUUGUUAAUAUGAAGCAAAAGAAGAUAUCAAAACAGGCAAUAGAAUCUGAAACAUGAUUAUGAGCAGAUCCCUCAACCUGUGUGCUCUAUGUACCUCCAUAUUCAGAAUCAGAAUACAAGUGCCAUGUCUUAAGGUCUUCUUUUGAACUGAACUUGAAUAUACACUUCUCUACAGGAGGUACCCAUUCUUCGAGUUCCCACGUUAAAGCUACAGUAUGUACAUUGUGAAACCAUGUUCGAGAUUAGCUCAAAGGAUGCAAAACAGAAAGGUGAGAAAAUUUCUUCCCCAGAGAGACUAGUCUUGAAACAAAAUAUUCACUUUCCAAUCAAAAGCACUUGAACAAGAAUAAAUGUGCAUUCACAAUUAUAUGACACCAAAUAGCAAGAAUGAAAUGCAAUCAGUUAGAAGAAGUGUUGAAAGUUUGUAAAUGAGGCCACAAAGAAAAAUGGAAAAGAUACCCUUCUUUGUUGCAUUCACCGAAGCUUGCCACAAUGAUCUAAACCGUGACAUAGUUCCUGGAUCAACGAGAACAACACUAACUGGUUAAUUGCUUUCCCCAAAUGAAAAUGGAGGAUACAUUAAUACCCCACAGACUGAUAAAAUGUUGUUGCGAGUUCCAACCUUUAUCACAAAAUUCUACUCAAAAGAGAAAUGAAAGAUCAUCUCUUUAGUAACUCUAGCACAAACCCAAUGAUAAUUACGUUUUAACUAUCCAUCGAAGAAACGUAAGUAAAGUUUACUGCAUCCCAAUUCGGAGCUGGAACUAGGGUGUCUUUAAUUCAUUGGGAGAAAAAUUUGAUAAGAAUCAAUCAAUGGAUUCUCAGAUACAUUCGCCCAUUGAGGCAUUUCAACAAACACUUUGAAGACAAGAACUGAUCAAAUCACAUCGACCCACAGGAAAAAAAGACCAACGACCAAAGAGAUCACAGAAACCAAAUCAACAAAAUUGAAUACUAGCCUUGAUAAUCCACAGAAAAUUGCACAAACAAAAAACAAGACAAAGGAUGAGUUUGGUUUCACCUGUGAGCUUUCAGAUAGUUCUCCUUCUAACUCUCUAAGAAGUCUUUGAUAAUCCCUUUAUUAUUGUUGUUGAGACCUUCUCUCUAAGUUAGAGUGUCUGACACACUAAAAUAAACCUCAUAAUGUUAAUAUGUUAUCCAAGAUUUACAUGAGAGGAUUGGUGGUGUAAUGUAAACAUGGGAUGUAAGUCUAUCAGUAAAAGUCUGACAUAUCUGAAAUCAGAUCAUUAGUCUCUUUUUACAUAGCAUCAGUUUAAACCCCGAUAGUUAUAUGACACCAAACGUUGUCGGUUCAUAAUUCCCCAUCUCCUUGCACGGCCCACUAAGACACAGCAGCACCUGUAUUUGUUGUUAUUUUCUGGUAACCUGAGGUCAAAUCCAGUUUAUUCUAACAAUCGACAUUGAAAUAAGCAAAUCCCAUAAUAAUAAUUAAGCUACCAACCGAAUUUAUAAAACACUUGUAUAUAAUAUUUAUAAUUAUAUAAAGGAGAGAUGUAAUGAAGAAGACAGAAGUGGAAGAAGAAGAAGAAGAAGUCCCAUGAAGUUUGCGGAAAAGACACACCGAGUGACUUGUCAAUCAUUAGCGUGUCGGAAUCAAUUAACAAGAAGCUUAAUUUUUUUAAAAACUUGACCAAGAAACUUCUCCCUCUUUGAUUAGGAAGCAUAUAUAAUGAUUAGAGCUUCUUCUUCGUCGUAUUUAAAACUUAAAUUAAAAAAUUUGGUCUAACUAAUUACUUAUCUCUUUAAUCUUUUAUAUAUUAUAAUAAAGUCCUCGAGUCUCUUUAUAUAAUAGAGAUUCCUCGCGUCCGUUUCGUCACCACCUCGUAAAUUAAUGUCUCUAAUAAAAAUGUACAAUGCACAUACACGAUAUUGGUUAAGCAAUGCCAAUUAGUACUCUACUAACUACACAUUUAUUUAAUUUAAAUCACGUAAACUUUUAAUUUAUUUUUGUAUGGCUGAAAGAGCUUAGGAAUAUAUUUUAAAGACAAACAAAAAUAUAAUAUCUGCAACUAGAAAGCAGAGUAGGGGCCAUGAAAAUUGGGACCAGGUCACCAACGCGUCAUGAGAGCGACCAUUAUUAUUAUCCUUCGUAUAGUUUGCAUUGUAGUUUCUAUUUUAUACGCCAAACCAACCUAAAACAAAAAAAAAAAAAAAAAAAUUGUAUUUGAAAUAGACACCAUACAAAUUAUGCAUAUAUACGCACAAAAGAAAACACCAUGAAUAGUUAAUGAAUAUCGAUGAUAUAAAUCAUUGCUAUUCAUUGUUUUUAUAUAGAUAAAAUGAAUUUUGGACUCGUCAUAUUCUUUUAGUAUUUUUUUAAUCGGAACUAAAGUAAUUUCGAACAUCAUCAAAGGCACUUCUUUAUUAUGUCAUGAGACUCAUGACUCAUGAGAAAGAUACGUUACAAAAAUAGAAACAAAUGUUACAAAACCGCCACAAUAAAGAAACAAAACUAACCAGCACACUAAGUUUUGGUUUUUUCUCGAAAUCACUGAAAAUACAUUUAAAGAUUGUUGUUAAUAAAUAAAUUUAUUAUUUUGCUUGGUCGUAACAAAGUAAAUUGAUAGAAACUACAUAUAUAUAUGUAUGCUCAUCAUCAUCGUAAAAUGCUCAGAAAAAACAGAAGCAAAUGACAUGGUUUAAGAGAUCAUGUUUGGAUCACACACCGCAUCGAAUCAAAAUACAAAUCAGCAACAAACGUAACAAAACAACAACAAAAAAGAGUAAUUAUAUCAUACGAAAUAAAUGUAUAUAUGUAAAAUCAAUCGGUCCAUAUGUCAAUAAGUAUAGAACUCAGCCAAUUCUUCAACGGAUCCUCCUUCUUGACCAGACUUGAGCAUCCACAACAAGUGCUCGAACAAAACGACUUCACAAGCUACAACAAUCUCACGAUCUUGUUCGACGGAUCUAGAGGAUCGAUCUACGAGUUCUUGAAAGAGUGGAUGAGAGAUGAUGUCCGGUCUAAGCAUGUAAGGUCUUCGAGUCUGACCAACAUAAACCACAUGGAGGUUGUUGUCCUCCGAGAGCUCGUCGGAAACAGCUGCUGAAGAGGUUGAGUGGUGGUGGUUCUUGGCGAAAGAAGGCCAUUUUUUCAUCGCCGACUUGAGCUUUGUCAGCUUCCCGACUUUGGCCAUAGCUAAUGAUGCUGAUGAAACUGUUUCUUGGAUUUUGGAACAAGAGAGAGUUGUUAAAACCAGCUAGGGUUUAGGGUUUAUGAGGUAGGAGAGAUGUGUUUGAUGUGAGAGUGUGUGUGGGGAUCAAAAAAAUAAUUGGAUGAAUAAGAAGAAUGUUUGAGAGAUGUUGUUCUUGGGAGGAAAUAACGAGGAAGGUUCGUGUAUAUAUAUAAUAUCGACUGAGAGAUAGAGAAAGGGCAAAGAGAGAAAGAGAAAGAACGUAUAGAGAGAGAGAGAUGCAUGACCCACCGAUUGAUGCAUAACAGCUAAGAGAAGAUGAGGACAUAAAAAUGGCAAAACUAGCAUCGCCUUUGCCCAUUGUUUUUUUUUUUUUUUGGCUUUGUAUCUUGUAAAUUACAAAUCUCUAUAUGACUAUGUGUAAUUACUUUCAUAAAUUUAUUCAAAUUUUAUAAAAUUAUUUCAUAUAUUAUAUAUUUUUGUCAACAGAUUAUAUAUAACGAAAACGGCUAUAAAGAAACAGACGGAAAUGAUAAUAUAAUACGUAAAAAUACAAGACAGAAUACAAUUCGAUCUGUUUAAAAAAAAAAUGAUUAGUAAGAUACUAAUUAAAGACUCAAAAACAUCACAUAUACAGAUAUACUAACCGAACCAUGCAUAUAUCUGAAUAGUUUCAUCAUAUAACUAUUGAUUAUUUUUGGACGUUAACCUAAAUAAUUAGUUUGAUUAAAACUAACACUUAAAUUUAAUUUGUUUUAAAUCAAUUAAUCCUAGAUGAACAUGACAAAAAUUACUACAGUAUAAGAUACAUUAGAUACUCUAUUUUCAAAUAUUAUAUAUAUACUCAUAUAUACACAUAUAUAUUAUUUUUAUAAAGGUUUAUAUACUAUUUUCCACGUAACGAUUUAUUUAGCCUACGUCUGUCAAAAAAAAAAAAAAUCUUUGAAAAAUUGUAGUAACAUAUUUCGUUUACGUAUGUUAGAAUAUUAAAAAUCCUUGUUAAGCAUUACUAUUUUACCGAAUAAGUGAUUUUCCUCUAAUUUUGUAUAUGAUAGAAAAAAUAAUACGUAGAUGUAGUACAUAUACGUAUACGUGUAGAGAUGUGUAGGCGACCUCUUCUUAUUGCGUGUUGUUGUCUAAUGAUCGGACAAAGAGUGAUGUUUUUAGAUAACGAUUACAUCUUGUCCACAAUUUUUGUUCGAUAUAUCACCCGAUAAUGCUAAUUUCUUGUCCUUCAUACAUAUUACACAAAAUAACAAAUAUGGUCUUCAUGACUUCAUCUCUCCACGACUUUUUUUUUUGUUUUUCUUAAUUCAUAUCUCAAUUUAACAUAUAAUAUUAUAUGUGAAUAAACAAAACCCAUUCUAACGAAAGAUAUAUUCGGAAACCCCAUAUAAAAUUAAAUUGACGAAUGCAUAUAAAUCAAUCACAAGGCAUGUUAUGUUUUUUUUUUUUUCUUUUUGUUGUUUACAAAAUACAUAUUGAUCAUUUUGUUGAAUAACAUUAGUUUGGUAUUUCCGAAAAAUUAGGUGGAGAAGACCUUACCCUCUGUCUAUUCGAUCGAACAAAAGAAAAAAAAGUUGUGGAUGGUAAGUAAUCAUUUUUAAGGAAUUUUAGAUACUUCUUUUAAAUACUUGUUUAUGGCAAAAGUAAAGGAAUAGUAAAUUAAAUAGUACUCACUCACUCAUCAUUAGACAUUAGAUAACUGUCCAAUGUCUUAUCUUUAAUAAACUUAUGUACGUAUAUAUGCAUCAAACUAGUUAGACCUAACAGUUUGAUCAAGAUCGUGCCAUCUCUUAAGUGUUUUUUGAUGAUAGGAAAAUGACACAAAUCACAUAUAUGCGUAUAUGCGUGUGCAUAUAUAGACUGGAAUGAUCACACGAAACAGACAAGCAAUCUGAGUUUUGGAUGAAUACUAAUUACUUGCUGCUAUUCGUAAUCAUUGUAAUGAUUUGCUAAAAAUCGAGUUAUGCUAUUUUAACUAAUUAAAAAAGAAGCAACCUGUAUUACACAAUAUUCUAAGGUACUCUAUAAUAAUACUUUUAAGGAAUACAUAUAUUUUUUUGUGUUAAGUGAUUUAAAAAGUAUUAGUGAAAAGGUUAGGAGCUUAAUUAUUUAAGUGAAAUUGUAGAUUAGAUGAAUGAGAAACGAAGCUAGAGUCCAAAACUAAAGUAGAGACAAGCCAGUUGGGAUGGUGUUGUUCUAUCUAAGUGCGCGACAAUUGUGCAACUAAUCUACUUUAAUAUUUUCGAAUUCAUAUUAAUUUAUUAAUACGCAUUUUAUACUUCGUAAUUAUUAUUUUUGUCAACUUAUACUUCGUAUUUCUUAAUGUAGUCUGACUAUAUAAAUGGUUAGCGUAGUAGUUGUGGUUUUUAUUGUUUUGACCUGAUCCAUUUAUGGAUUUGGAAAUGUUUCAAAAUAUUGUUACAUCUUUUUCGAAAAUGGGUUUAGGUUUGGAUAUGUUUUUUUCUUUCUAAAGUAAGAUUUUUAAGGUUCGGUUAUCCCCAAAAAAAGUAAGAUUUUAAGGUUACAUAAGAACUAAGCAUGUCUUAAUCAUACCACUCAAUUAAAGGAUCUAAGAUGAUUUUACUAACCACCCCCAAUUACAACUAAAUCAACUUGGAUUUUCACGCCUGUGGCUUUCAUGAUACCAUCACAUCACUCUAUAUUCAAAUUUUAUAUCUUUCUAACUGUAAGUAAAUAGAAAAUACUCGAAAGAGUUGAGUUGAUGAUAUUUGAACCAUAGUUUCAAUUAGUCUCAAGUGAUUCAACUAUAACAUAAUAUCGUACAAUAUUUUUCUUCAAAGAUGAAAACAAAAAUUGUAGAAGGAAAAACAUUUUAAAAAAGGCCACAAAAAUUGGAGUAAACUAUCUCCAGCGUUUCAGUAUAGCACUCAACAGCACAAGGAGGCUUGCAUACCAAGCAACAAAUCUUGCUUCUUACUUUGAACUUUUGUACUCUUAUGCUUUGGUCUUCUUCUUUUUCUUCUUCUUCGUGGGCUCUGAUGUUGCUUUUCUUUCAGACUUUGUAUCAUCCUUCUCGUCUUGGUCUAUCAAAUGCUCGUAUUCUUCAAGACUUGCAAAUGGAGAUUUCCGUUUUCUUUUCUCUUGCUUUUUCUUCUUACCACGACCACCAUCACCAUCAAUAUCAUCAUCAUCACCACCAUCAUCCUCAUCAUCAUCAUUAUCAUUAUCAUUAUCAUCGUCUUCAACAUCUUCACCAUCAAGCAUGUCCAUGUCCAUGUCUGUGUCCAUCUCUGCAUCACUCACAUCAGCCACAAGCUCUUCCUCAUCGUCUCCUGCUACUCUAUCGAGAUCAUCAUAAUCAUACUCACUGCCCUCUUCUUCCACAGCAUUAUCAUCAACAUCAUCCAACAAAUUCUCAAUCUCCUCAUUGUCACUCUCAUCACCACCGUCAAGAUCAUCAUCACUACCGUAGUUUUCUCCACCAUCACCAUCAUUCACAUCGUAAAGUUCUUCAGCUUCUUCUUCUUCAGGUAGCUUCUUCUUCUUCUUUUUCUUUGACUGCUUCGUACUAUUCAUCUUGUUCACAUAGAACUUGUGGAAGACUAGAUCUUCAGGAGCCACGUCUCCUUCUGCUAACGCGAGAAUCUCAGAUCCAAUCACACGGUUUGACAUGUCAAGCUGCACAAGCGAAGAAAGAGAAGAAGAAAUAAACUGUUACAGGUAAAAGUAGAUAACAAAAUGGUUUAAAGCACUAGUUGUUGAGCUUUUUACCUUCUUGGAAGGUUCAAUCUGGGAGCCACCAUGCCAAGUGCUUUGCUUUGGUUUCUUCUCCAUGAAUUUAUCCAAGAAAGCAGUUAAAGAUAAGUCGUUCAACGGGUUUCCGUUGUAAACAAUAUGUGUUCCUGAGAGAAGGGUUCCAGCCAUUGUAGCUACCGAGGGGUGAGCAUGUUUUGAAAGAACCACCAACUCCCACCAACUCGCACGGUCUGCGUUACUGUUAAUUGGAGAUCAAGGAUUUAGUUUCAACCAAGAACGCUUAAACAUAUUAUCAUUGUUCCAAGCAAAGCUUAUCAGAUUUAUUUAGAAAAAAAGCAGUAUAAUUUAGAGAUUAACUGACCAGUAAGAAGGUUCUCUAUGACGAGGAUCAUAUCCUCCAGGAAGACAAAUCGAUUUGAUUGGUGGUUGGCUUCUUUUUUCUAUAUCAUUAGAAACUUCUACAGUUUCUUGACGCUCAUGGGGAGUUUCCUUUAUAAACAGCUCUUCAGAAUCAUCAGAAGCAUAGUCAUCUUCUUCAUCAGAUUGCCUGCCUGCCAAGGCCUCUUCGUCAUCUGAAGAAGAAUCACCAUCUUUACCUGUAACUUCGCCACCAUCAUUAUCAACUUCAACAUUGCUCUUGUUCUUCUCUGCUUCAUUAUUGGGAUCAAUAUCAUCUCCCUCUAUCACAUCCUCAAAAUGUUCUACAUCAUCUUCUUCAUCAACUGAUUCCCUCUGAACCACCAUCUUCCUGCAAGGUAAAUAGACGAACCAUUCUAUCACCAGAUAAAAGCCAUGGAUAUAUGGUUAACAAAAUAAAAAAAAAGCUUACCAUAGAGGUGGUCUCGCUUUUAACACUUCAGACAAAAGGAAUAGGUAUGCACAGGCAUACUGUGGUGGCUGCUGAAGCGCUACCUACUCAAAUAUUUAAGAGUAAACAUUAGAGAUAACAAACAGAAAAAACUCGUACCCAGAGAAUGUCAACACCAAUAAUUCAUAUAACAAAAUAAUCAAGAUUCCUGUAUAGGAUGAAUGAUAUGAAUUUUGUUGUCAUUGUCAAUGAAACCAGAGCUACCAACGAUGGGGUUGAUAAAUUAUUUAAUUCAUGUUACCAACCUGCACGAGUCUUUUGGCGAAGGCAGCCACACGCUUCACAUUUAUAUCAUUUUUCAUGGCUCUGAGAAGAAGCCCAAUCAACAUUUCAGCCUGAAAAUUAGGAAUGCCAGAUUAUUAAUCAGGGUUAUGAAGAAAAGCCUGUGCAUCCCAGGGGAAGUACAUCAGUAUUUUUAUCACAAGAUAAAAUGGUUUUCACACAAUUAAAUAUGUACGAAAUGUGCAUACGCCAACACUCUGCAACCAAUUUCGGGCUAUACCAAAUUGUAAGGGUGAUUAUCCAUUCACAAACAAAGAAUAAUAUGACGUGAUGUAAACACAGAAAAACAGAAGCUUCAAAAUUUAGCUUGCCUUAGAAGAGUUCAUUGCAGAGGGAAGGAGAAGUUUCGAGUACAAUGCACGGUAAAACCUGUCACUGACAAUCUUAUUCUUGGAUGAGAUCUUGUCAAGAAGCAUCAGUGAUUGAACUCCCACAUUGAAAUUCUUUGAGUGUACCUAGAUGAAUUCAAGAUCCCAUUUUCUUUAUUAAUUUUCUGUUGCAACUAAUGAAACAAAACUUAUACGCUGAAUCAUUAGGAAUUACCAGUUUAAAAAGCACCGGCGUCUGGGAUUCAAUAAUAUCAUCGGCUGCGUCAGCGGAAACAUAUGGAAAAGCUCUGUUAACUCCCUGCAAUAACGGGAUAAGGUAUAAGUUCUGUAAAGUCUCGAUGCUAUAAUAUCAUGUAUACAAAAAUAAAAACAUCCGGACUAACAGUUAGUAAAGCUGAUAAAAUUCUGGAAUCCAAUUCAACAGGUGAAUCAGAUGGUGACUCUUGUUUUGCGUCCUUUGGGUUGGCAUUUUUCUUAUCAGCAACUCCUUUAUCAUCUGCGCCUUGUUUCCUAGUUGCUUCAGUGGUUAAAACCUACAAAAAUGCAAACAUACUCCUGUAUCUCAGAUUUGAGUAUCCAACGGGUGAAAUAUUUUAUGUUAAUGACACCCCAAAAGAAAACAUUUAGGGGAGAGGUCUCCGAGAUCAUGAGAACGGAAGUUGGAGAUGGAGAGGCAAAAAAAAUUAAGAUCACAAGAAAAUGUUUGAUCUUUCACUUAUUUAGAAGUUAAAUGCCAGUUAUAUUACCUUAAAUAGAGCAAAAUAUACAUCAAUUAGGCGUUUUGCCACCUUUGGAUCAUCUCCUUUGUGGCUUAAUCGAAUUUGACUUAAAAAGUUAACCUGUGAAAUUUACAUGGAUUAAUAAGCAUGGUUUAAGAAAAGCUAAAAGCUAAGUUAUAAUACCCUUCUUUUGUAACGUCUCAGUUAAAUAGUUUCCCAUUCAGGUCUAAAGAAGCCAAACAUUACACUUUAGAUGGUGAUAACCAUGAGAUGAACAAGAAAACGUAGAAAAACGGUUAUCGUGAAUCUAAUUAGAAUAGGAUAAUGGAAACGUAUCUUGUGCUGAAAAUAUAAACAGUAAAUAAAGGACAUACCCCAUGAUAUUUUGCACGUAAUCCAAGAUGAGGUCGAAAGAGAAAGGAGUCAACUUCAUCAAUCACCACAGCCUGCAAAGAUAAGUAUACAGGUAAGCCAAAGAGAAGAGGCCAAAAGAACAAGCAAUCAAAUCCUCAAACUAGGCAUAGAAAGGUUGAAUAGCCGCACCUUCAUAUUAGGAUGAUCAGCCAAAAGAUUUGUCAGGUGAUAAUCAGCAUUAGAUGCACUCUUGUUUUGGGGAUCCCCCAACUGUGUAAAGUAAUCCACAGAACAAUUUAAGAAAUCACAGCUGAGAAAAUUUAAUUCAAUAUAAAUAUUUGAAAGAACAAUUGACAAUACCUUGUUCACCAAUGACACUAGCAAUUUCCGCUCUUGUUCUGAUUUGCUUGUCAGCAUGAAAUAUAUAGUCUGAAACCAAACCAAACCAAUAUUAUUUACUUAAAAAAAAAAUCUAGAUCACGUACCAAGCAAAAAAACUCACUGUCGCCAUAAGAAAACCAAGCUACAUGCAAUUAUGCAUCAUCCAGAGAAGGAUUACAUGAUAAUACUCAAAUGUCUAAUUUGAUAGCUCAUCAAGAAUCUAACAAACCCUGGAGACUAGUGCUACUAAAGAAGCUAGGGCCUGCAGAGUGGUGAUAGGAUAUACCUUUAAAGCCUUGUCUUUAAGCUCUGGGAGCAUAUCUUUAGAUGAUUCAUCAAGAGCGUUGACAAAUCGCUCAUACCUACAAAAUCAGCAUAAUAAGCCUGUUAACUGAAACACCAAUCCAGAACUAUUACCAAUAGAAGAUACAGAUCUUGGAAAAACGAUAAACACAUCCCUCGUGGUAUGAUUUAAGCUAAAUAUAUUUUGAAAGCUUUUGGGAUGUAUAUGCUCUCUGGUAAUGUUCUAUUUUCUCCUUUUUCUAGUGAGGCCAUCAAAGGAAGCCUAAGAGAGCAACUUGAUGGAGUAACUACGACUAGAAGCAAAAUGAUAGGUUUUCUUUACCUCUGUUUCAAGCAGUCCUCCCAGUACCAAAAUAGCAAAAGCGAGUAACCAUCCUUAUUUUCCGGAAUGCUGUUUAAGGGUCGUUGUAAAAGUGUCUUCAACUUGCGAUCAGGUAAUAACCUGGAAACAAAAAAAGAGCUCAAUUAAUGAGAAAAAAAAUGCAAGACUCAUACGAAUUUGAACACAUUAAUUUUAUAGCACAGUACAAGAGUAAGAAAUAUGUGCCUGAUCAAAAUUUCUGAUAGAGCCUUAAGACCCUUAAAUGCAAAUCUUUUUCCAACCUUUGAGGUCACCAUUCCUGCAAUGAACAUAGUAGAUAACAUGAACAAAAAGCUACAGAGGAUUUCACCAUUCGGAAACAAAUAGAAACUAAAUUAACCUAUAAAAAUACUCGUUCCAUUGAAUAGAAAGAUCACAUUUUUCUUGGAAACGAGAAACAUACCCAAUAAGGCAUCAAGAGACCUCAUAUUAGCAAUAGGAUUCUCUCCAACCAUGAUCUCAAAGGCAGUGAUUUUAUCAGCUACUGUCCCUGACUUUUGAGCAGAAAUCACCAUCUUCAUAUCUCCACCCUUUCCUUUGGAAGUUACAAAGUCCUCUGCGUAUUGCCACAUCAACCUCUCUCCUAAUUCUCUCUUCUUCUCCACCAAACCCUUCAAAUCCUCCUUAUUCGCCACUUUCCGGCCACCAAAGACCUUCUCCUCCAGCUCCGCCGCAUCGUUGUACCAAUCCGAGCUCAAUAAACUCGCUUUCACCAAAGGUAACUUAGGCAAACCCUUGAAUUGAUCGAAACGUUUCGCCUUAACUCCAUUACUAUCAUCCUCAAUCGAUAAAAAUCCAGGCUUUGGCUUCGGCUGUAUGGUUUGUUUCACCGGCGCAUCUUUGUUUGGCCUCUUCGCUUCGAAAUCCUUGCCCUUUUCAUUUCCAGCGUUCGAUUUAGGCUUCCUUGUGUCUUCUCCUUCUUCAACCUUCUGAUCAGAAUCGACAUUCUUAGGUUUUCUCUUUCUCUGCUUUUUGGGUUUUAGAGGUUUUCUGAAAUCAGUGUCGUUGAAACCCGAAGAAGGAAGAGAUGAAGCUAAACCAAUAGACGAAGCGAACGAUGCGAUAUCAGAUGUGAGUAGGCUCAAGUCCUGCGAUGAUUUACUCAACGGCUUUGUCUUGGACAUUGUUGUUUUUCAAAGCAUACGAACUGAACAGAGUUCUGGGAGUUUGCAGAAAAUUAGGGUUUAUCUGCAAGGACGGAGACAAUUAGGUUUAAUUCCAAUCUCAAUCUGUGCUUUUGAGAUUAGACAGUGAGAGAAGAAAGAAACCUUCAAUGUGGGUUUUGGGGUUCUUCUUCUACAAAGCUUUUUGCUAGGGUUUUAGAAAACGGCACGAGAGAGCAGACACAGAGAAUGGCAGAAGUGUAAUUUAAUCAAUCAUACGGGGAUUAGACAAGGGCAAAACAGACUUAACAGCUAAAUCUAAUUGUCUCCGUGUUCUUUCAGGAACAAAAAAAAAACUAGCUUCGGAAGCCCAAUACAUGUGUUAUGUUCUAGACUUAUAAAAAAACAAAACAUUUUCCUUUUAACAUUUUGGAAAAAAUAUAUAUAUACUAGCAAAAAGAAGUUCAUAACUAGUGAGAUUCGAUCAUGUGAUUAUUAUUUUUUCCCAAUAGAAGGUUAUCAAAAUGACAGUUUUAAAGAAUUUAAUUCAUAUCUUGUAAAUAGGAAUAACAAGUACCAUCAAUUAUGUGGAAAUAUUAUUAGCUAAUCGAUACAUUAUAAAUCAUUCAGAUUGGUCCAAAAAAAAGUAUGGAAGAAUAGAAUAUAUAUAAAUAUAUAAAUAUAUAUUUGGCUAGAAAUCCUAAACAACUGAAACAACAAACAUGAAUUCGUGAGUUUUUUAUAUGUCCUAUAUCUUCAGCUCAACAUCUUUGGAAGACUGUCCUUCUUAAUAUCUUGCCCCAUAUGAUUAAAUUAAGUAUGGGCCUUGGGUUUUGGAGGGGUUGCAAAGUGUCCUGAGGAUUGCCCUGCCUUUGGCGAUGGACUGACCAUAUCCGGCUUGGGAGGAAGAUGCCCACCGUUUUGGUUCACUUGAUAUGGAGCUCUAGCCACAGCCCUGAAAUUCAUAACCCCAACAAAAAUCACUUGUCAGCACUUUCAUGAUUAGCUCAAGUUUCUCAUGUCUAAUUCCAAUGUGACCAACUUAUUAUAUUCGAUAUUAUGACCAAUAAUUCAUGUAAAGAUUGCAAGUUUAGUGUACAGUACCUGUCUUUUCGUUUAGCAAAGAAUCGAUGAAGAGAAGCUCUUCUUGCAAUGCGUUCCACGCCCUGAUGUUGCUGUCCUGUUUGUUGACCUUCAUUGUUCCCUGAACUAUUUGGCUCGUUCAGAUCAGGAAUGACCACAUUGCUUUUGCUGAUGCUAAUGUUCAUGUCAAGAUUCAUGUGGUCCUCAGUCUGAAUCUGAGUCUGAGUCUGAGUGUUCUUCGAAUCAACAUGAAUAGAUUUUUUCGCUACUUCGAUUAUCUCCUUUGCCUUGUCUUCAGGAAACUCGUUAAAAACCAUAACUUUUCCUCCGAAGAAUAUGGUCAACUGUGAAUUACCAGGCUCCGGUACUACUUUUUCCGGUUCACUGAAAUCAAAUCAAACCCCGUUUGUCCCAUUAGUCAAACUCCACACAUCUAUAACCGGUUUUAACCGCUACUCUUUUCUCUAAUUCAGUCGCUACAAAAUGUAAUUAAAAAAAAAAAUAUAUCUAUCAAAAUAUGAAAAAGCGAGUUUGAGCACAUAUAAAGUUUUAUAUGUAAGGUACCUGAGAUCAACAACAUCUAUGGCUUUGCAUCCAGAAGAAGUAGAGGCUUCACCAUCAGAAAGCUUCUGAAUCAACUCGAAAGAUCUGGUUUCUGCCUUCUUAAUUACAUCUUGUUGUCCUAAAACAAACCAAAAAGAUCACUAACCGAUCAAACUCUUAAGUUUCACCAAAGUUUAGUUCUUCUUUUUCACGUUUUCUUAUAAACCUUCCCAAAAUCUUUAACUAAACAGUAUAUAUAAAAGAAUCUAUCAUGCUCAAGAUUAGAGGGACAACUAAAAGAAAACAGUUGGUUUCAAUUAUUUGAUCUUAAGCUCUAGCAUAGGACCAAAAUCGUAUAACACGCAUAUUGAAUAAUCAACGAACCAGAGAUUCUAAAAAAUACAAUAAAAAUAUUGGUCUUUGUCGGCGGCGGCCGUUGAAGUAAAUUAAAAGGAGAUUAAAAAAUAUAUAUAUACCUUUGAGGUCGAAUUUUCCGGCGAGCUCAAGAUCGGAUAUUCGAGCCAACCCGAUAUUAAUAUUCCCAAAACUUCCCUUCUCCUUCAAGUACCGGCUGAGCAAACUACACCUCUGAGAAAAAUUGGAUUUCUCCGGCGCUUGUCCCGUCGACGACAUACUGAUGAUUAAUGAGUAUUACAAAAAAAAAAAAACACUCUAAAGAUUUUGCGUGUAGCUUACACGUAAAAAGAUCAAAGGAUUACAAAAAAAGUAUAAACGUCUUGAAGCUUUUUUUGCUGCUCAUGUGUAAGUUAUAUUUUAGCCAAUAGGUUUCUGUGGCUUUUAACCUCUCACGAAUAAAUAAAGAAAACAUAUAACGUGUUUUUUUUAUAUAUAUUCUAUUUUUUUUUUAUUAAAAAUCGUAUAAGUGACAGUGAUCGGGGUCCAAUAUAAAAAACGGUGUCACGAGGUUUUUUUUUUCCUUACACCUAACAUAUAUAUCCCAAGUAAUCUUAGAGUAACACAAUGUUAUGUAGAGAUUUACGAUGAUUCAAGUCCUCCAUAACGAUGGUUCAAUUCCUCCAUUACGAUGGUCGAUGGUUCAUGUUCAAGUCCUCCAUUAAAGAUGAGUUUUCUUUUAUAUCCUAAAUAAUAUAGAUGUAGCAAUGCACAGUGUUAUGUAGAGAUUUACGAUGGUUUAAGUCCCCAAUUUACGAUGGUGAGUACAAUAAUUAAUAUUAAUGAUAAAUAAAUAAAUAAAGUACAGGGCUAUUAAGUGCCUACAUGUCGUUAGAAAUAUGUCACGGAGUGAAUGAAAAGACAACAUAAGAAAGAGUAAUCCAAGAAUCUAACCAACGUUUUGUUACAAAGUUCGUGCACGUUUUCCUUGCGCAAGCCGUUGGAUAUGUUUGUUAAAAGAAGAAUAAAAGAAGAAACUAGAAAAAAAAAGGGUAAUAGAGUCGAAGGCGACGUUAUUGGAAGACAUUAAUCAAUUUUUUUUUUGGUUUGGGAAAGAAAGAAAAAUCGUCGGGGGACCGAGAGUUACUGCUGGCUAGUAAUUGCGGGAUUCGUACUCGUUUGUUUGGUGGUGGCACAUCCGUUAUUAGAGAGCGUAGUCGAGGGUGUUUUAAAGAACCAUAAGUCUAACGUAGUUGUAGUCUUGCGUCGGCUGAUGGCUAAAUAAAUAAUACGACUCUUCAACAAAUAAGUGGGGCAAACAGUAGAACUUGUGAAUGGAAUCAUCAUAAUGCAUGGAUGGAUGGGAGAAGAAUACUUAUCCCCGACAAAGUUUAUAGGACACGUGAAGUAUAGUUAUGUUACAUUUAGGAUGUCAACAUGUGUCGAAAUCUUAGCGGUACCAACCUUAAUACAUGCGUGAUUUGCGUUUUUCUCUCUUUCUCUUCUUUACUUAAAGGACAAGAUAUUGUUUACUUUUUGUGCUAAGUAUGUUGUUGUCUAUCUUUCUUUGGAAAUGUUUUGGUGACCUUUUUUAAAUUGAAAAAAAAAAACGAAAGAAUUUGUCAUACUUUGUAGUUCUUGUUUUUGUUCUUUCGGUUUGUAAUUGUUAUUUCUGAGAUUCUAUGAAUUUUUGGUUUUAUUUUGGGAGAGAUUUUGAUUUUUACCGUUUUACGUAUUUUCGUACUUGGAAUAUUAAUACCUUUUAUAUCUUUUAACCAAAAAAGAAGAAUUAAUAACUUUUUUGUUUUCGGUUUCUGUAUUUUUGGUUAGGGAUUAUUAUUUUUGAAAUUCUAUGAAUUCAUUAAUUUCGUUUUCGGAUAAAUUUUGAUAUUUGUUGGUGUUUUAAACUUUAAUAAAAUAAUAUUUUUUUGCAAAUGAUUUAUAUUUUCCUUUGUAUAAAAUACGUUUAAAAAAGUAAUCGAUGUCCCAUGAUGAAAUUUGUUUUGUGCUAAUAAAUUAUUAGAAAUACAAUGAUUAAUUCUUAACUUCUUUGUUUAGCAAAGGUCGAGGAGGGGGGUUGAAUAUUCUUUGAAUAAGAUUCAAUGCCAAAGAGACACCAAUAAAGAAUUUUUAAAACAAAUGUCGUAGACGAUGGCGCCAAGGGGUAAAACAUCAUUGUUGUUGUUUGAAUUAUUCAGCCCAACUUGCAAGACGAGUACAUAAUACUCUGAACUUUGUAGACUCUUCUUCCAUAUAUUAUCUUUCAACAGUUGAACAACAACUUGAGUCUAAUAUAUAUAUAUAUAUAUAUAUAUAUAUAUAUAUAUAUAUAUAUCUAUAUAUGGUUUUAUAUUUUUAGUUGUGCUUUUAUAAAAUCCAUUGUCAUCUCUCAACAAAAAAAAUAGAAAGAAAAAAAUCACAUGAAGAUUAUCUACAUUGUUUGAACUUUGAAGGUUUCGAUCACAUAUUUGAAUAUAUCCAAUAAUAAGGGAAUGUCCUAUUCCAACAGCUUUGAAUUUGCGAAAUUCAAGAUCGUGAGAAGAUUCUACUGAGACUACGACACUAAUGGUGAAACCCUUUCAUCAGUCCCCACUCAUGUUUAACAAAACUCUCCCCUUACACAAUUGAGUGUAUCAACUACAAAUUACAUAUAUCAAAGAGUUUGAGACUAACUAUAUAUACUGUAUAUGGACAUAAUCUAGAUGUCGUGGAGUUUUUUUUUUUUUACUUUUUCUUGAAGCUAUUGACUCAUAGUUUCCAAUUUCUUUUCUUUCUCAGUUCUCAUACUUUAGAUACUUCAGUCGACUGUUUGGCUUAGUAAGUCAGACAUAAUUAUUUUUUUUUUCAUAUAUAUAAACUGGUUCAGUUAUUUGAAAAUCUAAUAUAUUUCGUAGGUCGACCCAAAAUAAAAACCUACAUUGUUGUAAUUAGUUAUGGCAUUUUCCUCAACUCAACUGCAAAUUGUAUAUUAUAUAAUUUAAUGCUUUCAUAUGACAAUUUUCGAAGAUUAUACAAACACUCAUCUGCAUUGACGUGUGUGUGUGUGUGUGUGUGUGUCCACUAAGCAUAACAUUUGCGUUUAAAAAUUACGGUUAACGAAUGUACGUAUAGGGCCGCUACAAAUGUAUAACAAUGACUACAACAAAUGGGUUUCUUCGACACCGACAGAUACCUUUGGAUGUGAACGUACACCAAACAAUUGCAGUUUCUUCACAUGCUCCUCUUGUAGUAUGACGAUAACAUAUGUGCCUAAAGACAAUUACAUGUUAACAAGUAUGCAUGCAUUGCAUAUGGAUCAAAAAUAACAUUUUUUCUAGCGAUAUAUAUUAUUCGAAAUUGAAAUCUGAUAAUAAUGCAACGCGACACUAAUUCAGUCAAACUGUUAUGAUUAUAUUUGGUAGGUCAAUUUGUUUUAGAAAUGUUUUUAAUAUAUAUAUACUGUAUGUUAGAAGUUAAUUACUAUAUAUGUACGACACAGUUAUUUAACAUGUAAUUAAAUUUGAUUACAUGUUUUUAUCGCAUUGGAUUAUAGAUUUGCAAAUCCAUUAAUGCAUGGUUUUAAUAUGAGAUAUAUGAUUUUCUUACAAAGAAAAUAAAUAUAUAAAUUGAGAAUUGAUUGUACAACGGAUUUGGCCAUAGAUUAUCGAUGUCCCGUCGCCUUCAUUGCUUUCCUUGGCUUCUUUGUUUAUCUGCAUUAUCUUCAAGCUAGCCAUUACGUUCUUUAAUUAAAGUUUUAGCAUUGGAUUCUUUUUUAUCAUCCUCCUUCCUUGAUAAAAGUUAUAUAGAAUGGAGGAUGAGAAGGUGAGAUGAACACGAUAGACUUUUUGUUUGUUUGUUAACAUAUAUUACAUGAAAAUCGCAAAAUGCAAAUGGGAGAGAAACUAGCUACUGUAUAUGUCCUAAUCCAACUGCAAUUCUAAUCAACCUUCCAGAUCUUAGUAAGUUAUAUUUUUAUACAUCCUUUAGAUUUUUGUUUUUUUUUUUGCUAAGCAAGUAAAUAUCCUGAUUAGAUGAAGAGUUAAAAGUGUUACAAAUUUGGAAGACCUAAAAAGCUUGAACCUUAGCAAAACCGUUACACACAAGAAAUAGGAGAUGAAAAUACACAUAUUAAAUUGUUUACCCACAUACCCUUCAUCUACUGACUAACAUAAGAUAGUGACAUCCAAAUGAAAGAGAAUUUGUUCAUAUGAUCAAGAGGAGAGGAUAAGUAUAUAUACUUUUACUUGGUAUAUUCCAGUGUAAAUAGUAUUUGUGUCAAUUGUAUAACUCGCUCAAUCCAGCAGAACACAAGUAGUGUUUGAGUAUUCCUUGCUUAAUCAUGCAUAAGUACAUAAAACUUUUUACUUGUGUUCUAAGACACUUCUAUAUGUUUAAAUAAUUAUUUACAGAAAUAAAAAAUCAAAUUUGUCCGAGUAUGGGCUUGGAAACAAAAAGGAAUCAACACCAGUAAGCCAUAUGGGCUUCUACAAAUAAUGCAUACUUUAUAUUGGCUUUUGCUUAUCUCAAUCUUGACUCUUUCAACGAACAUUCGCGCCAUAAGCUCCUAAGUUCCUCUCAUCCAAUGGAUCACAUAUGACAAAGAAAAAAAAGAAAAGACAGAGAAAACAGAGACAGAGCGAGAAACAAGACAAGGGAUACAAAAUUUUAGUAAAUCUAAUCAACCAAACAAAAAAAAAAACACUUUGAUUAACCAAAAAAAAAAGAAGAAGAAGAAGAGUUUCUUGAAACUCACGGUGGCCUAGCUCCGGUUAAGUAAAUGGCCGUGGCCUGGCUAAUCUGGCCGUUCGUGCUAUCUCUAACAGCACUAUCCGCAAAUUCGAUAACAGAAACAGAAUCAUUGUUGAACUUCAAGAAGUCAUUAACCAACACCAAGUCUCUUGAUUCUUGGACAAUAGAUUCAGAGCCUUGUGGAGAAAGCAACCGAUGGGUCGGAUUACUCUGCAACAAAAACUCUGUCUUUGGUCUUCAAAUCGAACAGAUGGGUCUAUCAGGAAACAUCGAUGUCGCUCCUUUAGAAGACCUACCUUCUUUACGAACCAUAAGCAUAAUGAACAACUCUUUCUCCGGUAACAUACCCGAGUUUAACCGAUUAACCGCUCUGAAAUCAAUUUACAUAUCGGGUAAUCGCUUUUCUGGUAACAUUCCUUCUGACUAUUUCACAACGAUGGUGUCGCUAAAGAAAGCGUGGCUGUCAAACAACGAGUUCUCUGGUCUCAUUCCUAUCUCAUUGGCUACCGCAUUGCCAAAUCUAAUGGAGUUACGCCUCGAGAACAAUCAAUUCAUCGGUACUAUACCGAAUUUCACACAGACAACUUUAAAUGAUGUCGAUCUCUCAAACAACAAACUAACCGGAGAAAUACCUCGCGGUUUGUCUAAAUUCGAGGCCAAGUUUUUUGAAGGGAAUUCUCGUCUUUGCGGUGCGAAGCUAGCAACUGCCUGCCCACAACCAAGAAAUGCGACUGCGUCGGUUACAAUAGACGGAACACUAAAAGAUGCAAAUAAGAGCAAAUACUUUCUAGCAUUCGGGACAUUAGGAGUUCUUCUUCUCGUUGUUCUUAUCUCCUUAGCUUUCAGGAAGAAAAAGAAGAAGAGACGUAGGAAGAAGGCACUUCGUACCUCUGAACAAGACAGUGCUGAUGACCAACAAAUUCAGGUUAAAUUCCAUUACACGAAACUUCAUAGCUUUAAAACAUUAAAACAGAGUGUGUUUUUUUUUUAAUAUAACAAAACUAACAAACAAAAAAACAACUUCUUGAUAUGAUUGAGUCAGAUAACUGUUGAUGAAUCGAAGAGUAGCUCGAGGCAUAGUAAGGGUAGUCGCUCGGGCGAAUUGACGAAUAAAUCAACGGUUGCAGCAGAGCUGGUUAUGGUGAACAAAGAAAAGGGUGUUUUUGGUUUAACUGACUUGAUGAAGGCAGCAGCUCACGUGCUCAACAAUCCCGGAGGUGGAAGCAGCCGUCCUAGCAGCAACGGAGGCGUGGGAUCUGCAUACAAAGCGGUGCUUUCAAACGGCAUCACGGUGGUGGUGAAGCGUGUGACGGUGAUGAAUCAAGUGAGUGUUGACGUGUUCGACAAGGAAAUUACGAACUUGGGAACCUUGCGACACAGGAAUGUAUUAACACCUCUUGCUUACCAUUUCCGACGGGACGAGAAACUACUAGUGUUCGAAUUCGUCCCUAAUUUGAGUUUGCUUCACCGAUUACACGGCGAUCACAGUGAAGGAUUAGAUUGGCCAUCGAGACUCAAAAUCAUUCAAGGAGUAGCUAGAGGAAUGUGGUAUCUCCAUAGAGAAUUAGGUUUUCUGAACCUACCACAUGGAAACCUAAAAUCAAGUAAUAUAUUUCUUGCCGAAGACGGCGAGCCUCUAGUCUCCGAAUUCGGACUCCAAAGACUGAUCAAUGCCGACGCACUAUCUCAGUCUCUCGUGGCGUAUAAAUCUCCAGAAGCGGAACGUAGAGGAACACUCUCGGCGAAAUCCGACGUGUUCAGUUUCGGAGUGGUGGUUCUUGAGAUCUUGACAGGAAAGUUCCCGUCUCAAUACGCCGGUUUGGAUAGAGCCGGUGGUACGAAUUUGGUGGAGUGGAUUGGCUCCGCCAUGGAACAAGGUGGUUGGAUGGAUCUACUUCAUCCGACGGUGGUUAACGCUGCCGCUGAUGAUAAGAUCAUGGAGGAAGAGAUUGAGAACGUUUUAAGGAUCGGUGUCAGAUGUACCGGAGAAGAUCCAGAUCAGCGACCAAAUAUGACCGAAGUCAUCGAUGAACUAACGAUUGAAGAUUCUAACGACGACUUCAUCACCAUAGAAACUUAGCUUCACAUUCAUGCAUGCAGAUUCACCAAUUUUGUUUUUUUUUUUUUUUAAACUAUGCUUUUUUUUGUUUUUAAUUCGAUUCUCUCUAAAUUUGUAUAUGAUUAAAGUAUCAUCAACUUAAGGCUACUUGUAAACAAAAGAACUAAAGAAGUGUGUUUGAACGUUUUGAGAAUAGAUUAGUUAUCAGAUUGUAAUCUUGUUUUGUUACCACCUGUUGUAACCUUUGGUAAGUAAUAUUAACACACACCAUUAGCGAUUUGCUGUUUUUUUAUUACAACUUGUAAACUUUAAUUAGUAUUGAAACACACAACAUUUAGCGAUUAAGUAAUCAAUGGAAGUAUCGAAUUACGAACCAAUGAUAUGGCCAUAUCACGUGUUUGUAAUAUACGUACGUGAUGAAGAAAAGAAAAAUAUGAUAAAACUGAAUUGUAUUGACAGCUAAACACAGCUGUAGAUUAACGAAUCGUGAGAAAUUAUUAUUGCUUUUUAUUUUAUCUUUGUCUAUCAUGGAAAUGAUGGCGAGGAUUUAUAGAGACAUCUAAGUUAAGCAGACAACAAAAGACCCAUCACUGCAUUUGAUUAUUAAUCAUCACUCAUAUUCUAGGAACAAGAAAUUAUACGAGUACGAAUAAAUUAUAGUAUUGUGUUACUAUGAUUAUCUUAUUAAAUGAUAUUAAUAAGAUAUCUAUCUAUGCUCACUGAACCAGGACAAAAAAAUUCAUGUAUUUAGUGAAUUCUCUCAAACAUCAAAUCAAAGUAUAACAACUCGUAUAAAGUUUUUUUUGGGUUGUCUUGAAAGAUCGUGAUGAUUAUUAAAUUGGACACAUCUAAUGACAUUUGCUAACCCAAUAAAUGUUUUGCAUAAGAUGAGCUGUUCACAUUACAUUGGAUUUAUUUAUUAGGUUAGGACACCAUUUUUGUGUUAUCUUUAUAAAAACGUCAUCGAAUUGAACUUGUACUCGUAUUGUUUUUUUUUUUUAAUAAGUCUUAAAUAAUAAUGUAUAACUGGCUAAAUCCAGCAGAGCACCACUCGUGCAACAUUAUUUUUUCUCGUGUAAUGUAAAACUGACUUCAUGUUUCUAGACUGUCCCGUAUCAAUAAUUUAAGUAUAAAAGAUCAUUAAUAAAUGUUUCCCACUGUAAUUUAACAAAAAAACGACUAGCUCAACAUUAAUAUCAUUUGUUCGACAAACAAAACAAUAAUUUAUGAUAUAAAUGAUCUUAUAUUACAUCCCACCUAUAAGAUGGAAAUAAAAUUUAGUUUAUCAUUAAAAAGGAAAUUAAUAGCAUUAGCCAUUAACGUUAACAAAUUGUGUUGUGAAAGUAUAUUUUUUAAAAUGUGUCACCGUGAAUCUUUAAAAAAGGCAUAAUGCAUGGGAAAUCGGGUGCAAGCACGUGAAUGUCGGCCCAUUGCAGCAGUCGAAUAGUUGACUUACUACCUUCUUCAUAUGAUUCUUUUUGGAGUACUAGUAUUUAACAACACAUUUUAUUUUCUCCCCUUUAUUUUUUUUUUAAAAUUUGUUUUCAACAAAGUUUAACCAAAUCAAUAAAAAAAAAAUUGGAAUGGUAACAUAAACCAAUAAACGAUUUUUAAUACAUAAAAAAAUUAUAAGAUAUUUUCCUUUGCAAAUUUUAGGGUAAAGGAAAAUAUCUUAUAAUUUUUUUUAUAUUCCUAAAAUACUUGCAUUAAGGAUGAUCUAAAUACCUAAAAAUAAGAUAUAUCACGAAAAAGACAGAAUAAAAAAAUGUAUUUUUUAGUAAUUAAUUAUCAAUUGUAAAUUAGAUUUAAUAAUUAAUUAUCAAAUUAUUAAUUUUCAAUCAUAAUAUAAUUUGUUUAAUUUUUUUUUUGUUGGUGAAGAAUCUAUAGAUGAAAACGUUGGAUUUAACUUGAAAAAGGCGCUUCCCAUGACGGUUAAGAGCUGUUAAAAAGCAUCUUCAAAAAUAAAAAUAAAAACUUUGGACGUAUUAACUUUUUUUUUUUUUUCUUAAAGCUUAUACUCUGUUGCUUUUUUUAAGUUUCGUUUCAAGUCUCCAUCAUAAGAAAGAAGAACUCUUUCCAUUGUUGCACUUUUUUUUUGUGUUCUUCUUCUCUGUGUUUUGCUAUCAUCAUCACUCGCAUGAAACAAUGGACCAAACUCACGGCGUCGACGGGCUCGAAGACUGUUCUGUUUCCGGUUUCGAAUCAGCUGAGAAAGUUAUCAUCCGAUGGGACGCCACAGCUUCCGAAGAAGCUAGAGAGAAGAUGAUCUUCAACGAUCCGCUAGAAGUUAAGCUUUACCUCAACGCCGUCGACGAAAUCCAAAAGUUCGUUUCUUCCGGCGGAGAUAUCGAGAACCGAGCUAACUCAGCUAUCCAGAUCGCCAUGGCUCGUCUCGAAGACGAGUUCAGGAACAUUCUCGUCUCUCAUAGCUCUCCGAUCAACUCCGAUUCUCUAAUGUUGUCUUCUUCUUCUUCCUCUCAGCUUGAGGUUGACGAAGACGGAAGCAGUAGUAAUAAUGGUAACAGUAACGAAGACGAUGAGCAGGAGGAAGAAGAAACGGAUCUUCUGAAACGAUCCGGUUCGAGUGCUAGUACCGGUUCAGCGGCGGUUCGUUUACCAACCGGAAGAGGUAGUUACAGUAGAUCUACUAGUAGUAUACGCGAGAUCGAGCUGAUUCCGAUUGAAUCCGUCGUUCAUCUCAGCUGGAUUGCUCGCCGUAUGGUCUCAGCUGGUUAUCUCCGUGAGUGUAUUCAAGUUUACGGUAGUGUUCGCAAAUCCGCCGUUGAUUCGAGUUUCCGGCGGUUAGGGAUCGAGAAACUUAGCAUCGGAGAUGUUCAGAGGCUGAACUGGGAAGCGCUUGAGCAGAAGAUUCGCCGUUGGAUCCGAGCUGCUAAGAUCUGUGUGAGAGUCGUGUUCGCGAGCGAGAAAUUGCUCUGUGAGCAUGUUUUCGAAAGCGUCGGAGCUGUUAACAUACACGAGGCUUGUUUCAUGGAAACAGUCAAAGGUCCGGCGAUUCAGCUUUUUAAUUUCGCCGAGGCGAUUAGUAUCAGCAGGAGAUCGCCGGAGAAGCUUUUCAAGAUCCUUGAUCUCCACGACGCUUUGAUUGAGCUUUUGCCGGAUAUUGAAUCAGUCUUCGAUCUGAAAUCUUCUGAUUCGAUUAGGGUUCAGGCGGCGGAGAUACUGUCGAGGUUGGCGGAAGCGGCGAGAGGGAUAUUAUCGGAAUUUGAAAACGCCGUUCUUCGUGAACCUUCUAGAGUUCCUGUUCCCGGAGGUACGAUACAUCCGUUGACGAGGUACGUGAUGAACUACAUUAGCUUGAUCUCAGAGUAUAGACCAACUUUAAUCGAUCUCAUCAUGUCAAAACCAUCAAGAAACUCUACGGAUUCAAACACGCCUGAUUUUGAUUUCUCCGAGUUAGAGAGCAACAAAGGUCCAUUAGCACUACAUCUGAUUUGGAUCAUAGUGAUUUUGCAAUUCAAUCUUGAAGGCAAAUCAAAGUACUACAAAAACGCAGCUUUAUCGCAUCUCUUUAUCAUGAACAACGCACACUACAUUGUCCAGAAGAUAAAAGGGUCUCCGGAGCUACGGGAAAUGAUAGGAGAUCUUUACUUGAGAAAGCUAACGGGUAAGUUUAGGCAAGCUGCGACAUAUUACCAAAGAGCUGCUUGGGUCAAAGUCUUGUAUUGCUUAAGAGAUGAAGGAUUGCAUACAAAAGGAAGUUUCUCAUCAGGUGUUUCGAGAAGUGCGUUGAGAGAGAGGUUUAAAUCUUUUAAUGCUUUGUUUGAGGAAGUUCAUAGAGUUCAAUCACAAUGGUUGGUUCCAGAUUCUCAGCUGAGGGAAGAGUUGAAGAUCUCGAUAUUGGAGAAGCUUAGUCCGGCUUACAGAUCGUUUCUUGGGAGGUUCAGGAGUCAUAUAGAGAGCGGGAAACACCCGGAGAAUUACAUUAAGAUCUCAGUCGAAGAUCUAGAGACCGAGGUUCUUGACUUGUUCGAGGGGUAUUCUGCAACUCAGCAUCUCAGAAGACGAUCCGAGUGAGAGAGAUAAGUAUUUAUUUUUUUCUGCUGAAGUUUUAGAGUUUUUUUUUCACUGAGACAGAUUCUUUGUAUUCUUUUCGCGCAAUUCGGGUUCUUUGCGGGAGAGCCAAAAACCGAGCAAGAAAGAAAGAAGGAUUGAUGAUACAACUUUGAUUUAAAAAAUUUCAGAUUCAUGAGUUGUAAUGUUGUAUGAACUUUUAAUGUAUCUGUUUGGUAUGCUUGCCAAAUUCAUAGCUUAAAAUCUUUUUUUGUUCAUUUGUUCAUAUGAUCAAGUUGUAUGGUGUCAAUGUCAUAUCCGUUUUUAAGCUUAAUAGCCGUGUUGUCAUAGACCAACGCAUAGGAGAUACAAGAAAGAAAAACUAACUUUAAAUGUAUGUUGCAACAUAGGAUAACGAGAUUCAGACAUUACAUUGUGACAAAAACAGCGCACACAAACUAACACUACAACACCGAAGACAAAGACUGAUUAAGUCUCUUAACCUUUGUAUUGUACAAACUAAACUCACGUGAUCAAAAAGAAUACAUGUAGAAAAAUUGAGGUGUUGAUAAAGAGAAAGAAGUAUCAAAAGCGAUGGUUGUGACUACUGUCUACACUACUUUACUCUCUUUUAUCUUCCUCCAAGUCUUUUUCUACUUCUCCUUCGUCGUCUUGUGAAGGUCUGGUUUCUGAGAGGUUCUUGACUUCUUGAGAAGUAAUUGGAGAUGGUUUAAUGAGGGUUAGUGUGUAAUCGUCCUUCUCAAACUCCGCGCUUGUAUCUCCUGAAGAACCAGAGAAGGCGUACCUAUAUGAAGAUAAGGAGGGUAAAAACGAUUAGACAUGGUUCUAUUUGCUAAGCUGCAGUUUCAUUCACAUUUGCGCUCAGUUACUAUUGGUAACAACCGACCAACAUCAAACUUCAUAUUGAAUUUUCAAAUGUUCUUCUUGGAUACGGCGUUACCUAGUCGAGUUCUGAGAUGGAGCCCAGAGAGAACAGAUAACAAUUAGGAGAGAAAAGGAGAGAAGUUGCCAGAAGGCCGGGAUGAUCCAAGCGUUUUGCCAAUGUUCGUUGUAAACAUCCUUCGACUUGAAAUAAAGCUGCCAAUGACAAAAAGCAUUAGAAAAAAACUUAUUCUGAUUUUGAAUUCGAACAAGCCAAUGCUUUUUUCGCUAUUGAGAUUAAAGCCAUUUGUUUGUUAAUUUACCUCGUAGCAAAUCCAACCCAAGGAAACCAAAAUGGCUACAGCCAAAGCAUUUGUGAACUUUCUGUAUAUAUCCAACUUGACCAACAACCUUCUGGUCUGAAGCUUCUUGAACGUAGCAGAGAGGGAUUUGAAUAUCCAUAUGAUAAAGAAAGCAUCCAAUAUUGCAACAGGAAGAACAAAAAACAGACGAGCUUUCCCAGAGAGAUCGCUGACAGCACCUACAUUUUCCAUCAGCUCAAGAAUUUCAGACGCAACAAAGAAGGUGACACCGAGCAUGAUAACCUUUGAUGUAAAGCCCCCGAGCGUAGGCCUCACAACACCAUAGCCCAUUGAAACCAUCAAGAUGAUAAUGCGAGCACUUGUACGCUUGAUGGAACCAAAAGUGACUGCCCAGAUGGUGAUCACGGUUGGUCUGACCCCGGUCUCAUUGAAUUCAGCAUAGUCGAAAUACCAAAGUGCCAUCUCACACAUUCCCAGGGUUAUCACCAGAGUUAAGCAAUUCUGCAACGGAAGCACUUCUCUCCAGAAUCUAGCACACUGCGAGAACCAGAAGAUGCCAAGCAACACAAAAGCAAGCGACAUGAACCCGUAAAAGUACAUCAACGGAGCCAUUCUACCGGGUAGAUAUCCUGUAGGAUUUUUCCAAAUAGUUUUCCCUUCAACAACCAAAUCCUUGAGAUCAGAAUCACAAUGAAUGAAGUAGAGGUUGUACAUCCCGGUCUUAGUGACCUGGAUCGAUCUUGUUGGCAGCGUAACAGACAACUCAUUCUCAGGCAACGAAACACCAAACACUUGUGGCCAACCAGAAUCUUUAGCAGAAGGACGGUAAAUGACAUCUCCGUGAGAGCAAACACCAAGUUUGGCCAGAUCAGAUGUGCAGCACACAGCUCUUUGCCCACCAUAAGCUGAUCCUCCAAUGUUUUCCCGGUCCUCUACCUCAAAUACCACAGCGUGGAUAGGUAAUGAGGAUCUGUUAGAUACUUCCUUAGGUCUCUGAAACUUUAUCUUCUCAAACCUGUCAAUAGCAUUUCACCGUGAAGUUAAGGCUCACACAAAACAAACACAGAGUAUCAAACUUAUAACAGGAGAACACAGCUAAAGGAGUUACUCAAAGAACUGAAUCAGCUUGAAACUAUAAGAUCCAAACCGCCAAGUAACAAUUUUGCAACUAAUAGUGACCCAAUUGAAGAGCAUUCAUUGCCCUUUAAUGAAUUCAGUGAUUAACAAAUCAGAUCCUAAGUUGAAUUAAAAGAAGAAACUUUGACUGUUAAAUUACCGGAUAAAGGAAACGGAAUCGGAGUCGGAGUCGGAAGUGAAGUUAUCGGAAGGAGAAGAGGAGUAGAUGCCUUCACUGCCACCAUGGAACACAAAGGCGUUGCCUUUGGACAUGAAUCUCUCGCUUCGAUACUCAUGCACCGACGCUUGGACUUUCAAAGAUGACGUUAGACAUAGCAGAAGCAGAAGACGAAGUUGGAGCAACAUUGUAAACCCAAUUUCUUGCAGAGAUCUGAAGGAAGAGAACUGAUGACUGAAGAAGUCAGUGAGGAGAGCUCAGAUGUGUCAAAUCAGUCGGUUGAUCGGACGGCUGGUAAAGGUUGCUCCUUGAUCGUUCUCCAGAUGUUUGAAGGUUCUACUUCUACUAUGUUAAGUGUAGUUGGACUAGUGAAGCCUCCACACCACUUAGAGGGUCUAGUAUUUUAGUUCCUGAAAUUUUUAUGGGCCUUCGUGAGCCCAUUAAUUAUAUUGUGAUAUAUGGUCCAGACUCCAGACUGGAUCUUACUAUUUUUUUUUUUUUUUUUUGUCUGAGAGAAAGUAAUUUAUGUAUUGUUACUAUUGUAGCACCAAACUGUCAUGUGUAGAUUUUAUUUGUUGAGAUCAGGAAUGAACAAACAUAAAAAUUGUGUAUAUUGUUAGGGUUGUAACACCAUCUGAGUUUGAAUCAGGUAACUCGUAUAUUGUUAUUCCAAAAAAUAACAAAAUUUGUAUCAACAGUGUAAAAUAAUAUAUUGAAGACUUGAGAUCCAGUCUAAUCCUCCUAACAAGGGUAUUGUUUAUGAUUUUUUUUUUAUUUAUUUUGAAUGAGAAAGUUAUACAUAGUUGUUGUGAAAAACUUUCAUUUUCAAUAUCUUGAUUCAAAUCUCUCACAUAAAAUUUAAUUACAUCAAAAUUAGUUCAUAUAAUACCCCAAUUUAGUCUUUAUUUUCUAUGUUUUGCUCUUAUAAUAUACUAUUCACAGAUUCUUUAUGAAUAUCGAAAAGUUUAGUGACAUUCCUAGAAAAGAUUACAAAAUGAUAACAAAAAUUACAAGGCUAAGACAAAAGUUUUAUUAAUCUGAAUAGUUUUGUGUUACAAUAAGUAAAAAAAGAAAAAGAAAACAAAACAUGUAAAAAUGACUGAAAAAAAAAAGAAAAAAAGAAAGAGGAAGUAUGUCUCUAUAAACCAAGGUUAUCCACCUGAAAAUACAUACAUACAUGUAUGUGUAUAUAUAUAUAUAUCUAUCUUUACAUAUACACACACAUGUAUGCAUGCAUAUAAAUAUCUUCAUGUACUGUCUGAUGUUUAAGUUCCCAAAACAUGUUUGGUUUUUAAGAUCCAACCAUGCAAAAAAAGGGAUUCAUGGGAUCUUGCAGAUUACCCAAAAACUUUCAUCAGAAAGAAAAUGAAAUUGAUUGAUCGAUCAUUUCUUUGUCUUGAUGUCAUUGAAAGAUUCUCUAUAUAUAUCUGAGAAACAAAACAUAAUAUCUAAUAUCAGAUUCAAUAUUAUAGGCAAAAUGCAACUGAAAAUGAAACAUUUUUUAUUGAUCAGGUUAAUUAUUUACCUGUACUUUCUUGUAAGAACAUGAAUAAGGCAAAUGUGGAUCAAUAUAUUCAGAUCUCAAGAACAAUGACUGCACAAGAAGAAAAAUAAUCGAAUCAGUUCAUGUAUUUUUUUCUAUUUUGAUUUAUUUUAUAACAAACCAAAAGAUCUGAAAACUCACAAUCAGAAUCUGUUUUGACCCAUUUACCGCCGUCGCUACUACUUCUCCCUUCUUCUUCCUCAUUCUUCAAAGAAAGUUGUUGCUUCUCUUGCAAGUUUUUAAUCGUUGAUGUUUGCUUCGAGGAAGGUUGAGUGUUAAUCUUCUUGUGUAGCAUCGUUCUCAGCAACUGUAUUAUACAGUGUUAAUAAUCAAUGUCAUGUAUAAGUUUUAUUCUGGAAGUUAUGUGUUGUGAACUUUAAUUAGCGAGCAGUACCUUCUCCAUUCUAGAUUCUUGAAACGUGUCUCUCAAGCUAGGGUUAGGUACUGGGGAGAAACCUUCUGCACAUACAAACAUCUUCUUGAGGAGAUGAGAAACAGAGGUUUUGCUCAAGUCUCUCGUACUCUUCUUCGUCUUGUUCUUGCUCUCUGUCGAAAUGGCUUUGCAUCUUCCUAAGAUAACACUGAUCGUACGCUCAAUGUCUUCUUCCUUCUCAUCGGAACAAAGCGCGUUGCUGAUUCUUCUAUCGACCUCAAGACUCGAAGGACAAUUCAAGAAUCUAUCCAAAGGAAGAUUUGCCAAUUCUCUGUUCACGUCAGAAUUCCUCUUCUUGCUCCUCCUCGUCAAUAGCUUCGUCAGCUCCUUUUGUAGUUUCCCGACUUCCUCAGGAGUGAAAUCUUCUUCUAGAUCGUCGGAGGAAUAAGAAAGAUCUUGAUCUCUAUCUUGUGCUUGUUCUUCCACGUGCGUGUUAGAAACCGUCUCUUCUUGAAUCACUUCUUGAUCAAGUUUUUGUGGUGUAUGCUCUUUGUUACCGAAUGUUCCGAUCGCUAGUAACCCGUGAGGCCAAUCGCUAAACUCCUCUCUCGGUUGAUCUUGUUAACAGAAAACAAAAGAAAACUAUGAGAUCGGAGCCAAUCAAUGGAAAGGAGAAUGUUGGGAGGAGUAUUUUUUGCUUUGCACAUGUCCCAAGUAGACAGCAACUUUGGUAAUCAAAAUUUUUGUUCUCGACAAAGAAGUAGACAAUAGAAUCUUCAAUCUAGUUAAUUAGUGUAAUCUUGAACUUACGAGAAGAAGCAGAGGAUAUGCUUGGUCUAUGAGUAUUCCCUUGUUUCCCAUGUAGCUUGUUUUGCAUCCACCCGAAGAACUGAUAAAAAAAGACAAAAAGAAUACCAUUUAUGAGUUAUCAUGCUACACUAUUUUUGAAAAUAAGAACAAGACUCAUAGGAGUGAUUAAACGAACCUUCAUGUCUUAAUGACACAGAAGAAAAAAAUGGAAAUGGAAUAAUCGGGUUUAUGGUGAAUCAAGAAGCUUUAAAUACAAGUAGAGAUUCAAAGAACCAAAUAUUUUGAUAAAUUUGAUGGUUCAAGUUCCAAAAUUUGACGGCCUUAAUCGUCCAGAUUCACUUCUUCAAUAGAGAAAGCAAACAAGGAAGAGGAAAAAUACAAAAAAGAGUAAGAUAAAUCUCGGAGUUGGUUGGUUUGGUAAACUUGUGUUCAGAGAUAAAGAACCUUUACUCACACUCCUCUUUAUAGUUCAUACAUAUAUACAGCUCACUCACGACGUACGACUCAUAUUGACGCACAUGUCCCCAUGCAAACGAUCGAGGUCCAAAGAAACAUUCUUUUGUGCGUAUUUAAUUUGUAUUGUAGCUUAAUUAAUUAAUUAACGUUGAGUAUUAUAAAAUAUUAUUUGUGUAUCGGAGAGAACGUCACGGCUUUGAUCACGAUUCAUAUAAACGGCACUUCGUUUCAUCAAAUAGUCUCAUUUUACCAUUUUUUCGACUAUCUAUAAAAGGAUAUGAAAAAUGAUAUUGAAUCCCUAGAAACCAUUUGACUCGUUAUUGAAUGGUUACCACACUGACACGAAGAUGAAGAUGCUUCUACACAUUUUGAUAAUUUAUGUGUGUGAUUUUCGUGGAAAUUUUCAUUUUUAAUUGAUUUCUUGAUUUGUCAUUGUAAGAUGCUAAGAAUUUAUAAAAAAAAAAAUGUAAUGAAUUAUAUAUGUGGUAGAUUGAAAAGGAUAUGAGGAAAAAAGUUAUCAAAAAAGCUUUCAAAUGUCAUGCCGUACAAAUCAAACGUCAAAAAAUGUUUAUGAAGUCGUUGUAUAAUUUGUGACCCUUUUAAUGUGAAACGUAUUAUUGAAAAAAAAAAGUUGCAGUUCAAAGUUCUGAUCCACAAGUAAUUCUUAUAGCAAAAACUAUACAAUAUGUGUAAAAUAUCAUUGUAAGGCCAAGAUCGAAUUGUAAGGCUAAGAUCGAAUUCUAGAGCAUUUCAGAAAAAUCUAAGAUGGAAAGAGACAGAAAGAAAGAGAGAAAUUUUGUAAAAAGCAAUCAAACCCCACGAAGGAAACUCAUGCCAUUGUCCCCUUACCCAUCUAGCUAUACAAUUUAUCUAUAAUAUUUUACAUCAAAUAAUUGAAUACAUAUGUUGUGGGCGUGUAACGCAUUUUGAUCUAAUCAUCGAUAUAUCACACGUUGCAUGGUGCCACGUUCGUAUUACAAAGCCAUGUGAAAUUUAUCCUAGUUCCCGGAUGUUAUAAUGGCCACGUAAAUUCUUUUGUUUUUCUAUCAACCAAGUUUGUGCACAUCUAACAUUUAUCGACUUUGAUGUAAUGGUUUGACCACACAUAAACUGUUGGCGAUACUAUAAUGUGUAUGGGUCUUUUAAUAAAAAAGAUGCGUCGUUUAUAUUUUGUAUUGAUACUUGCGUUAAGAUUAUAUUUUAGGUUUAAAAGACGUCGAGUUAAAUUGACUGAAAUGAAGUACUACCUCAUUCAGUGAAUUUAAAAUAGAAAUAUAGUAUAUGGCAGGCGAAUUGAUUAUUGUGACAAAUAUUAGUAGAUUUGAUUGAAACCUACACAAUUAUGGAAAGAGCCAUGAGGAUUUGGUAUAACUUUAUCAGUCACAUGAGUGAUUGAUCGUUUGAUAGUGGAUUAAAAAUAGCCAUUAGUGAGUUAAGUUACAAAAUGCUCUUUCAAUCAUAAUUUCAUGGUUUCUCGUUAUUACUUUAUAAUUAGAAGAGAAGAGAAAAAAAGAAAGAGACAAUAGGAAAGCAAAAAAAAAAGCAGAGUCGCUUUAUCGUCGGAGAGAUGAGCCCACCACACCUGACACCACUCCCAAUCACGUGAACUCAGGUCCAAUCGACAUUCGCCACGUCGUGCCUGCCCUUGCCUUGUCCACUUGUCUUUUUAUUCCAACUUACUUUUAAUUGCGUUUUUCCAAAUAUUAGAAAAUGUAUUUGACGAAAUAAAAAACAAAUGUGAAAAAUAAUAGAAAAGAGAAUGUUAGAAAAUAUCACUUUUGGAAAGAAAAAAAAAAUUCGAAUUAUUUUAUGUUAAGAAAAAAAAACAUAGAAUGUUGAAAUAUGAAUUGUGAGUGUUAAAAAAAAAAUGUUGAAAUAUGAAUUGUUUAGUAAGAGUAUAUAUAUAACGAAUGAUUAUAGGUGAAUUACUUAUAUAUAAAAAACGAAUUAUUAUAGGUGAAAUCAAUAAUGAAAUAUGGAAAAGAAAUAAAAUUUAAAAUUAACAUCUCAGUGUGUUAAGUGAUGAACAAAUAUGCUAUUAUAUUUCUAUAUAAAUGAUAUCGUAAGAUAACAACAUGUAUUAAAUUAUGUAUUAGCAUGGAUUAUUUACGUAUAAUUAAAACAAAAAACAAAAAAAAAAUACUAUUAAGAGAACAAAUUACUUAUGUUUAGAUAUUUGAUAUUUCAAAAAAAAGUACGACUUGUAAAUUAUACCUAGUUAAGUGUAUUUUCUUUUACUUUAGUCAACUAUUUUUUUUUUCUUCAAAAUUGAUCAGUCUUAGACUUUACUAAAUAUUUUACAGUUUGUAUAGUUACUAUUGUAAGAAAAAAAACCCUACAAAUUCUUACAAGAGAGAAAAAAAGAACAAAGAAAUGGUUCGAGGAAAACGUAUCAUAAAGCUAAAAAGAGUCCAAAUAUGCAACCCUUUUCCCAAAAGAAUCGGAGUCAGGUUGACAUUGCUCUAGCUAGCCAGUAGCCAAAGAGGUGAUCUAUUAUAUAUGCACAACAUCCCAAGAGAAUCGUACCAUACUUUUUGUAUAUUCAUCCUCAAACUGUAUACGUAUAAAUACUAGAAACAUUGCACGAUAAUCAAAUACCACUACAAAAAAAUGACUAUAUUGUAUCACUUAAAUUGUAUCACAAAUUUAAGUGAUCUUAUUUUAAAUUACCUUUUAAUAAGUGAAGCAAAUAUAAAUAAUUUAACAUCAAUUACAUUACUGAUGCUAAUAUUAACUAAUUUUCAUCAAUUAUUUAAAACUGAUUCAAUUUCUAGUAGAUUGUAUCACUUUAAAAGAAAUUGAUGUAAAAUACAUAUUUACAUCAUUUAGAUAAUUGAUGUAUGUAUUUUUUUGAUAAAAUCGAUUUUUUAAAUGAUACAAAAUUAACACCAUAAAAAAGUGAUGCUAAAAUAAAUUAUAUUAAUAGCAUCAAUAAAUUACAUAUAUUUUUAGAAAAACGAGGUAAUUAGAAAAAAAUUCAUAAAUUAAGAUGAUAUAAUUUUAUUUAAAAUAUUACUUUUCGAAAUAUUUUUUUGUUUUCAUAAUAAUUUAAUUUACGAUUGUGUUCUAUAUUUUAAAUGUCAAAAAAUGAUUUUUACUUUUUCUCUAAAGUCCUCAUCUUUUAUUUAUUAUUUUCUUCAAUUAUGUUUGAUAAACUGUUUUAUUAAAAAUAAAAUAAAAAAUCAAAAUAUCACCAACUAACCCACGAUCUUUAGAACUCCUUUUAUGUAUAAAUAUUUUCUAAAACUUUUCUCUCCAUUUCACAAAACACAAACAAAAAAUAUGAAAAUCAUCAUACGACAAAAACUCUUCUCUGAGAAUUUUCAAAGAAGUUUUUCUUUCCAACCAUACAACUCCAGGUGAAUCAAUUUAUAUAUAGGUUUACAUUUCUAAAAAAUCAUAUCGAUAAGUUCAUCUUCUAAACCCUUUCUUCUUCUUCUUUUUCUCAUUGUGUGUUUAUUGGUUUUCAUACUUAAGAAAUUCUUACAGUGAAGAAGGACAAAGAUACUUCAAAGCAAGAGUUUUUUUUGAGGAAGAAGAUUUGAAGUUUUUUUAGAGGAAGAACUGAAAUUUCUCAGAAGAAAGAACAAUUAACAAAGGAAGAAGCAUGGAGUAAAGGAAGAUUGAUUANNNNNNNNNNNNNNNNNNNNNNNNNNNNNNNNNNNNNNNNNNNNNNNNNNNNNNNNNNNNNNNNNNNNNNNNNNNNNNNNNNNNNNNNNNNNNNNNNNNNUGUGAUAUAUUUGAUUAGAUUUUUAGUAGAUAUAUUCCAACAAGAUUUUGAGAGAAAAUAUCCACCAUAAUUUUGCUAUAUAUUAGGAAAAAUAACAAACAAAAAAAUAAUUAGUAAAUGUAUUAAAAUAAUUAAUAUUUUAAUUUAAUAAUAAUUAUUUCGUAAUUAAGUAUAUUAUUUCGUAAUUAAUAAUUAUAUUUUUAAAUUAAUUAUAUUAGUUUGUUUGAAAUUGAUAUAUAUAUAUAUAUAUAAUUGACAUCGAUUAUGAUAAUCCACACAAAUAAUAACAUCACUUUUACAAACUGAUAGGAAAUAUAGUAUCAUUUUUGAAAAUUGACUUAUUAUUAAUAUCAGUUAUAAGAACUGAUACAAUUUUUUUUUUUUUUGCAUCAGUUGAUUAAAAACUGAUGUGAUUUAUUUGCAUCGGCAAUAUAAGUAUCACUUUUAUAAGUGAUGUAAAAUUUCAUUGUAUCACUUAUAAGUAAUGUAAAGUUACAAAAUAAAUGAUUCAAUCCACUCAUUUUUUUGUAGUGUACAUUACUAUAUACAUAUGUGAUAUACUAGAAGGAGAAAUAUCGUAUUAGUUACGGAUUCUUAUAUGCAGAUCGAUGUUGGUAAUUAACUCUAAUAAUACAAAUUAUACAGCAUAAGAUAUAUGUAAAUUAAUAUAUAAAUUUAAGGGUAUGAAUAUAUUAUUAUCAAAGUCCAAUAGCGUUUCAUGUUACCAAAUGAACUAACAUCAUUGGAGGAAACAUGCAAUAUCUUUUAUUUGUCCCCAUGAAACUGUCUUCUUACUUUAUCUUCUUCUAUUGACUUCUUCUCCUCUCUUUGAUUGUGUAUUAUUAAGUUACUAACAGUAUCUUUAGAGAAAAUCGAGAUUUUAGUUUAGAUUAAACUAAUCACUUAUAACAUAUCGGAUGAGUGUUUGUGGCGACUUGAGUACUCUAAAUGGUGCAUUGGUAUAAAAGAAAUGUGGACGAAAAGGAUUGUACUGGACCACUUAAACCAUCAUUAUUGGAAAUAAUGUGUGGUUUAUAUGGUUAAUACGUUGCCUUAAACAUUUGCUAAUCGUGAUUAACAACUUUUGAGAUGUCUUUGUGAUUUUAAACAGAACACGUGUAAGGCAUCUGAAUAAUAUAUCUCCAUAUAUGCAACUGAUCAAACUACUGAAAGUAGUACCAAUGUACUAUAUAAUCUAGCAAAAAUAAAAUAAAAUAAAAUAAAGUACUCAUGUACUAUUACUAUAUAUACACAUGAAUUUUAUUUUUCGUCAUGCAACUCGUCAGCAUGCCCUUCGUUUAGGAUGUGAGAUUUUGUUUUUUUUUUAGGUUACAGAAUUGAUAAGUUGUCAAAUUACAAAAUACAGUAUGGCAUUAUUUCAAUUAACCUUCCCAAGUUUGCCUACACAUUAAAAAGUUAUUAUUGUAUUUAAUGAAAUCCCCAAUACUUUAUUGAUAUAAAUAUAUACUUUAUUUCAAAUAAGAUAGAAAUUUUGUAUGCGGCUAAUUAACUGUUACCACAAAAUAAUUUUGGAAUGUUAUUUGAAAUUUUGUAUUUAAAAUAUAUAUUUUGAAACAAAAAUGCAGUUUAAUAUAAAAAUUAUAAUGAAAGGAAAAUGACAAUACAGUAGUACAUGUUUUGUAAAAUUAGUGAGAAAACAAGUUCCACCAUCUACAAAAAUUGUUGUGAUUUCUCCUCUCUUUUUUUUUUUUGUAUGAGCAAAAUCUUUAAGUUGUUGAAAGACUCAUUUUUUACAAGUUUGAGGAUCAAUUACUUUAUAUUUAUUUGUUUGCCGAUCACACUAUUAUAUAUAGAUCAAGGUUUGAAAAUAACAUCAAUCUAUCAACUUCAGGCCUAAUUACAAUAUGUAACCCACAGGUGCAACUUUUUUUGCAAAUACUUGGAUCUCUUUUCUUUUAAUUUUUUUUUCAAACAUACUUGGAUCUCUUGAAAAAUGAUAUUUGUAUGUACCAUACAAGCGAUGGACAAUAUUAGUCUUAACUCUCGACUCCAGACUAUGAUGGACUGUUCUAUCUACAAUACUCAGGUUUUCGAUUAGCUUUACAUCAUUAUUUUGCAAGGAAGUGUAUUUUGGGGGUGUUUGUAGUAGUCGUCAAAUCAGAUGCAAAGCGAUUUAAAUUACUUAGCUAGAGAGAUGAAGUCAGGAAAAAGAAGAGAUGAGAGUUAUUACAUCGAGAUAAGAAAAAGAGAGAAGUAAGGAGAAGAAAAUGGGGGAAGCACGUGGAGUGAGCAUGACGAGGUCUCUUUGUGUUUUGUAACCUUUCCAUUAUACUACCAAAUCUUUCCAUUUCUGGAAUGUUUUCUCUCUUCCGCUUCCUUUCUCAAUCUACGCAACAACUCUCCCUUCUUCAAUGCCCUUUAAUCUCUCUUAUUUGUUUAAUAUACUAGAAAGAGAUCAUUCUCAUUGGAUCUCAAAUCUCUUUGUCUAUAAGUCAAAACUUUUACAGGCUAAUCUUGUUUGAGAUACUAUAUAUAAGUAAAACAAUAUUGGAAUCUGUUUGAUGUCUAUUGGUUUAUUGGUACUUGUUCUCUCAGUCGUCUGUCUUUGAACCUGAGCAUCGAAUUUGAAUUUGGAUAUGCACUGAUAUUAUGAUCCUCUUCCCAAUAUUUGUUUUACAAUACUAUGUGCCUAGUUGUGUUUGUAAUUCAUAUAUUUUGCAUACCAUCAAGAUCAUUAUACAGCUGGGUUCUAAUGUCUAGCUACGAGCCUACGAUCAGCUAUAUUAUCGUAAAUGGCAGCGGUAAUGUAAACUACAUAUAGAAAUAAGACUCACAAUGAUAUUAAUCAAAGUUUAUUACAAAGCAACAACUAAAUAUUCAUUUUCGUCCUUGAAAAAAAAAACGUUAAUAAUCAGAUCAUUCUCUAUCCUAUAGCUAGUCGUUUCUAUAAGUUAUGUUUGGUUCAAUAACGAGACAUGAUUUGAUGUGUUUUUUAGCUACUAUAAAUUCAAGAGCUGGUUGCUACGGUGUCGGAUCAGUGGUCGUCUGAACGAAUACUAAAAGAUGGUACAUAACAAAUUGGGUGAAGAAGUUGAUCAUCCCUUUCAGAUGAUGUUCCCUAACAAAAUCAUCAAAUAUCUUAUGAUAAUUCCUGUUUUAUUCGUUGUUGACAGACAGGUUUUUGUGCAACUAGUUUUGAAGAAAUUAUUCAAAUCAAGUAAAGCUUAUUUCAUAAAUUAGUAUAUUAAUUAGUAGUCAAAAUACAUUAGUCUUGUAACUUAGGAACAUGGUGUGACAUCACAACUUUAAUUACAAAUACAUAUAUUACACACUAAUUAAUUAUAUAAUUCUCAUUUUUUUUUCUAAGAGAGUAAACCCAUUAUUGAAUUUACAUUCCCUCCUUAAUUAUGAUUUUGACAUUGUCCUGAUUACUUAGAGAUCAAGACAGCCACAGACUUCGAAACAGCAACCUAUACACUGGAAACAAGCCAGUGCUGCACAGAUCUGAGAGAAGACUACGGUACACUGAUCGCUCACCCUUGACAUGCACUGCAAGCAGCACAUACAGCAAACUCGAUCCACCACUCCUGACGCAGCUCUUAUCAGAAGCUCAGCUCCUUCUGCCUCCUUCGGCUCCUCCAUCCACGGUGGCACGUUCUUCAACGUUGCCACCACGUUACCGAACCCAUACCCUUGUUUCCCAAGCAAACUCGUUCUCAUGCUGUUGUUCCUCUGCAUCUGCUUGUGGAUUUGGUACGGUGGGUUCCUUAGAAUCUCUUUGAUUGAAACUGGUCUUGUUAUCGUCUUCUCUUCCUCGUCCUGCUUUAAAGAUAAAACCAUUUGUGUGUAUUCGCUUGGAAACCCUGUUUGUAUACUCAAUCUCAUCACCUGAUCAAGCAAGAAAAAAAUAUGAGGUUAGUUAAAAAGAAACAAGACCAACAAUGUCAAAUCAUGACCCCUAGUACAACAACCUUCUCUUCUAGCUCUUUCUUCUCUUCGAACCAAGCUCGAGCAGUGAGUUCAUUGAUUUGUCUCCUCGCAAGAACCUGUUUUUUAAAGGUUAACAAAGGAGCUUUGUUGUGUUCCUAACAUUUUCGAGAUUAUAUGAAAGUAAUUAGGUAACCUUGUCUAAAGGAAUGUCUUUAGCCUUCUGCACUGCUAACUCUAUUGUGAAACAGCUCAAAUCAGCCAGUGUGCCUCUGAGUUCAAUUUCAUCUGGAAACUCUCCUUUGUAUCUUCCAGACAAGAUCAACGGAUGACCGAGCGUAAUGUCUGGAACCUGAGAAGGAAACAGCUGCAGAAAACAAGGAAAGACAAGAAGAAGGUCAAGAAACAAAACUCAAGAACUUUAUAUGUUUCAGAAGUUGCAAAAUAAGUACCUCCACUGAGCGGAGGAGCUUGAGAGCAUCAAAAGUGGUAUUGGCUACGAUCGUUGAAGAAGCUAUAUCGAAUAGUAUACUCAUCUGAUGCUCAAAUGAAUCUGGCUAGGUGUAUUGUUAAUACAACAAAGCAAGAAAUGUUUUUAGCUUCUUGAUUCUGAAUUAGUACAGCUAUAUUCGAACGGAUUAAAACUAAAGGGGAUUACAAUCUACCUGUGUUGUUCGUGCCAUCAUAGUAACCAUUCCCUAUCCGCGCUAACAUUUGCAAGAAGUAAUGGUUGCAAAAUGAACCUGUGGAAUUGUUUAUAAUCAAGAUUUUGAUAUUAUAUAUUAUGAGAGAGUAAGCAAGAAAAAGCAGAGUAUUCAUUUUUACUUACCAAUACCAAAGGUAGAUAUUCGAGGAGAAAUCGAUUUUCCCUUUUUGCUACAACAUUCUUUCAUAGCAUUACAUAUCUCUCUCUCGUUUUCAACAGAUCCAUCAGUGACAAGAUACACAAGAGGAACUCCAAUAUUGCUUCCUUCAAGCAGUUUCAUUGCCUAAACACACAUAAAAGAGUCUGAGAAGUCUUGACUUAUGUGUUGAUAAAAAUAUCAGAUAGUAAUAGAGAUAUCUAGAGGAAGGACCUGUUUGAGGGGAAGUAACAUGUUUGUUCCACCAUUUGCAAUCAAAUUACUAUCAAGCCAUUCAGUCACAGCAGAGAUAGUUUCAUCUGUUGCAAACUCCAUUGAAGUUGAGAACUCGAGAAUCUCAUCGUUGAAGGCGAUUAUGUCGAAAACAUCUUCAGCUUGUAGCUUACCCAAACACUCUAACAAGGCUUUCUUCACAUCCUCUAGCGGCUUCCAUUUCAUGCUUGCACUUAUGUCAAUCACAAACACAACUCUUCGUUUGAAAAGCUGCAGAUAACAACAACAUUGAAUUGAUCAUGUGAUAGUUCAGCAGAAGAUUCAUAAUAGUUGCAGUAAGAACAAACCUGCUUAUGCUUGGUGGUUCCAGGGAAAAGGUACAAACAGAACGUUCCUCUGUCAUCUGAAUCCCAUGGAGAUGGAGACUUAACCAAAACAUUACCACUCAUAUCACCAGAGGAAACCUGUUAAACGAAAAACAAAGCUCCAUCUAAGGAUCAAGAAGAAGAAUACAAAAAUCCCUCAGAGAAUCAAGAAACCUCACAUUGAAUGAAACACUAAAAUCAGUCCUUGACCAAGAUGAUACUUCAGCUUCAUACUCACAACUUAAUUUACCAGCUUCACGGUGAAUCACCUGAGAAAGAUCAUCACACAUCACUCAAUCCACACAGUACCAAUCUGAAAAUAAACUGUUAACACGCAAUUAAAAUACCUUUAGAGGAUGGCUUGUAUAAUCACAAGCUACUUCGCCGCCACUAACACAAGAGUUCAUGUUCAACACAAUCUUCUCUCGUUUAAUAAUCUCUUUGCCAACAGGAACCACAUAAGCAGGGAAUCUAAAAGGCACAAUGAGAUGAAACUUGCCGUCUCUGUAAAUCAAUUUCUGAGACCAAUUCACAUUAACCGUAAAGAUCGAUCCUCCAUCAACCUAAUAAAUUAUCAACAACUUAUUUUUACCAUUAUUGAUAUAAUAUCAAAAUCCCGAAGAAAAUAGCUAUAAAAAGUGAGACAAAGAACAAACAUGUGGGAUCUUGAAAGUAUAGAUAUGGGACUUGAAGAAACGAGAAUCUUUGUCUUUAUGAACGUUUUCAAAGUCAGAAGUUUCGUCUUCGGUAACUAGUUUGGUCUUGUAAGAUUUCUCAUUGCUCAAAACAUCAAUCUCAGCACCUAGAAGUGAGCCCUGUUUACACACACAAAUGUGUUUCAGUUAUCCCCCAAAAAAAUAAAAAUAUCUGGAACAAUGCUAUUAAUGGAAAGAUAGAUAAAAGUAGUCUUUUCUUCUUGUUUGUCGUUUUGCUGUAAUGAAAUUACCUUCUCACCCAUGGGAACACCGACGCAGCAGUCAAAGCGUUUGCUAGGCAUAACACAGUGAACUCUCCACCGUCCAGUGACGGUGACGAACGCCGUGUCUAGCCAACAGUCCACUCUCAUCUCAACUCCGAGCAUCUGGAGCGGGACGAGCGCCGAAGGAUCGCAACGUGCGUGAACGUACGGCUGGUAGCUAGGAACGUCGGGGUUAUCAACAGCCACCGGAUCUGUGAUUGAAGCGUAAGCCGUGAUAGCUGUCGGAAGAAAAUUCUCCGGGGAAGAAGGAGGAUCCGGGACAACAGGAGGAGUGAUGCCUUUGCCGUAGUAUAUCCUUCUUGAGAGCUUGAGACCUUGUUCAACUCGUAUUGCGAACUCUUCCGACAUUUUUUUUUUUUUGUUUGUUUGGUCUCCGGCGAUGAUGAGACUGAGAUGGGAAGGAGGAGGUGAAAGCUGAGAGAUUUAUCAGGUCCGUGUUUAAAGGGGGAUUUAAAAAUCGGCCGGUGAAAGGAACGGCGAGAAAAAGAUUUUAAUUAAGUGGGAUUGUGUUACCCAAUGGCUUCAAUACACGUGUAAAGCAUCCCUACCGCCACGACAGUCACGGAUUUUUUAAUUUUAUUACAUAAAGUAUUUAAUUAUAUACUAUAUAGAGAUUAAUUGUUUUAAUUUGGUUCGUUAUGGAAUACUUAGAGAUUCUUUUCUUUUUUUUCUCCAACAUAUAGUAUAAAAUAGUUUUAACUUUAUACUCAAUAAUAGUAUUCAACUUUAAACACAAUAAUAGUUUUUGUUGUGGAAAAAACAAAGAAUAGCUAACAUUAUUUGGAUGUAUGUUUUUUUUUGUCAAUUUUGAGUUGGAAGUUGAAUGUAAGUUUUAGCUUCACAAUUACAUUUUCGACAAACUAAGAUGACAAAAAGGUUUACUUUGUGGUUUCAUUCAAUUUUUACUAAAUAGAAUGUGUUUCUGAUAUUAAAAAAAAAAAAAAAGUCUGUUAACACAUGUGCAUUGUUGAAUAUUAAAGAAUUUUAGUGUUCUGUGCUGGAAAAAUAAAAGACUGUUUCAACCAUUUUAUUGUUUAAGAAUUCAGUCUUUCAAAUCAAGAAAAAAAAAGAAAGAAGCAAACCAACAGUAGUUUUAUGAACAUUACUAUCAAUUGCUCUUCAUUGAUUAUGAUUCCUCCUCUGUCAGUAUAACUCAACCACUUUUUUCUUAUCUUAUUUUUCUACUUCUCAAUCAAAUCAAAGUGGUUUGAAUACUGUAGUAUUUUGUACAUUGAUGUUUCAAAUCAAGUGGUUUGAAUACAUAUCUAUCUUUUUUACUCCCAACAUUUUAAUUCUUUAAUAAACAGUAUGAUUAAUGUUCAAUUAGUAUAUGUUACUUUUAUAAUAAACCAAAAAACUUUUUUCAUUCCACGAUUUUUAGUUUCAAAUCUUGCUUAAUAAUUCCAUCAUCUUUUUAAGAAAAAUUACGAAUUUGUAAGUUUAUAAAAAAAAAAAAACGUUUGGCACGUUAGUCACUCCUAAAAAUGGCAAAAAAAUAUCCCACUACCAAUAGAUCUUAAUUAUUUUGUUUUUCAGUUUUAUGUUUUCCAAUGUAGAAUUUACAUAUAGGAAAGAUGUAGAUUCUAUAUACGUAUACGUAUUAGUGUGGAGUUGGCUUUUGGAUGUUUCGGCUACCACACCAAAAUUAUCUAUAAACUUUUAUUCUAUGUAUAAGAAAUUGAUUGUGUAUAUAUCAUUUGACUACUACGUACAUAUAUCACUUUAUUUCGAUAAAUGAAUAAUGUAAGAAGAAAAAAACAGCUCUACAGAAAUCUCCGGCUCCACGUUGAGACCGGACCACGAUCGAUUACUCUCAAACGUAUAAAUUCGACGAACCAUAUCACUAGACAUGUAGGCCAUGUAACCAUUAAAUUACAAUUAUUACAUACAAAAAACAAAUCAACUUUAUAUCGAUUUUAUUCGUAUAUUCUGAUUUCUAGCUGCCUGUGAGUAAAUUAUAUGGGAUGCCUAAAAGAAAUACUACGAACAUAUGGUUAUUAUUACUCGUUACUCGUUAGCGUAUACUAUAAUAUAUAUAUCUUUGUUAGUGAUCAUUUAAUUGUCACAUUACUACUAAUCAAAAGUAUUGGUACAAAAUAGAUUCGUUAAAAAUACAAGUAAGUAAUUGAUAAUUAGCUGAGUAAAAGCUGAUUUUAACGGAUUGUUGUCUGCCAUGCUUUCCAUUUAGUAAUGCGAAUUAAUUAAAAUUGGGCAAAACUUUUUUAAUUACUCAAUAUUUUUUUUAGGUUUUGGUCCACUAAAGAUUUGAGAGACAACCCUACCUUAUUUAUAAAAUAAUGAAGUUGUAACCACUAACUUUUCGGCGUCGGGCCAACCAUUCCAUAACACUACUGCUGAGUGCUGCUGACAUUUCAUUUUAUUUAUUUAUUUUCCUACGUUAUGAUAUUAUUAUCAAAUUUUGUUUUGUUAUUUUCUUUCUGAUAUUCCAAGUCAAUAAGUUAUAAUAACAUUUUUAUUUUCAACUAUAUGUGUCAUCGAUCGGAAUAAAAUAGACUUGAAGCAAUCUUUGUUUAUUUAAAUCGUUUGUAUAUUGUCUUACUAAUCACUUCCCUAAUUGACAAGGUGAGUACAAUCAUUGGAAAACGACAUGAAUGUACGUGUCUGUCAUGACCAACUCAAUAUAAUUGUUUCGGAAAAAAAAUAAUAUUACCUAAUUUAAAAAUGAUUUAUGCUUUUGUAAGUAUUAAUAAUAAGUUUAUAUUCCCUCUAAAGUAUCAACAAUUAAUGUUUUACAAGUAUACUUUUUUUAUUGCUAGUCUAUGUUUAUAGUUUGUUCGUGUUUUCAUCUACAGCUUACGUAUCAUAAUAUCUGAUUUUCUGAAAUAAAAGAAUAUAAAGACACUAUUUAGCAAAAAAAAGAAAGAAUAUAAAGACACUAUAUACUCGUAUUUCGAUAUCAACACUAAGCAGAUAAUAGUAGUAGCUAACAUAUAAAACAACAACAACAUAUAAUAUUCUCUAAUCUGGCUCUCAGAGGCUCACACUUUUAACUGGGCCUUUACCGUUUAAAUGGGUCAAAUUAUCAGACCAAAUUGAGGCCCGUAAUACAUAUCAACUGGGACUUCAGUGUUUCCUUUCUCUUUACUACCAUUCAAAUGUUUAGGUUUCUGAAUCUAUAAACUGAUACGUCUUUUUGUAGAAGCCAAAGAGAUUGAGAUGGGUGUUUAGGAGACUGAAACUGAGACAGCAGAUUGCAACUUGUGGGCAAGAGACAAGGACUUUGAACGAAGCAACACAGGAUCAGAGAAAGCAUGCUGUGAUUCUGUGAAUGUAGCCAUUGCCACGGCUGUUGCAGCUGAGGUUUUCUGGAUGGCCGGUAACGCCUUCAAGAAGCGUUAUCCUGAUUUGGCUGCAAUCAAAAUUCAAAGUGCCUCCAGGGCUUACCUGGUCAGACACUCUCUACUUUAAAGCAUCCUAGUUUCUGUUUUAAGCUGUCUUUCAUGCAGUGUUUGAUCUUGUGACUGAUUACUAAACAGGCCAGGAAAGCGUUGCGGGCACUGAUGGCACUCGUAAGGCUUCAAGAAAUUGUCUGUGGCCGAGCUGUUAGGCGAAAGUUUUCUGCUUUAUUGAAAUCUUCACCCUCCAACAAAGCUUAAACAUCAAGCAUCAUCAAGAGAACACACAGAGAGAAAGCAUUGGUCCAACAUAAGAUCAUUUGACAGACUUGGUAAAGUUGAACGGGACCAUGACCUGCAUAUUAUUUCAUUAGCUAAAACAGACAUGAGUAACAUGUUCCUAUCUCAGUCCAGGAAUAUCUGUGAAGUUUGAAACACAGACCAUAUUAAUUCCAACUUGAAUUGCAGCUCGGGCAGAAGCUGUGUAGUUUGUAUGCCGUGGUGAGGAAAUCUUAUCAACUCUUUGCCAAUCCGAAAUGACAAAAACCUGCACAUAUCAUAAUAAAGUCCUUGACCUAAGAAUCUACACAUGCUCUAAAAAAAAGUUAUAAACACGACUCUACAAAAUACAUUAAGAAAGAGCAUUUAUUCAUUCAGAAAGACUACUGCCAGAAGACAGAGAUAUGAAGAGUACCAGAUUUAGAAGACUUUGGCAGAAGGUGAGAACUAAUAAGAUCUAGAAUACAGAAUGUGUAUGGAAUUCCAGUGGCUCUGACUUCGACUGCAGUAGCUGCUCCAAUCCUCUAAACCAGAUCAGGAUUCCUGUGAAGCUCAUUAGAAAAGAGUUCAGCAUUUAAAGUGGCACUCAUGAGAAUCAAUCUCAGAUCUGGACACCGUGGAAGAAGCUCUUUAACACUAUAAUUUAAGAAAUCUGCAACCAAGAAGUGAGGGGAUAAACAAUUAUGAUACUUGAUUUGCAGAAACCUAAACAAACAUAGAUAUAUAGAAUACGUACCUUCGGUUAACUCCAGUUUCAUCAAAUAAAGCUUAAGCAUAUUGGCUAACCGUUUCACCAAGAGGUUCUUCUCAGCUGACACUCUUUCUGAAACUGCCAUGGCAAAAAGAAAAACGAUUCUUUAAUAAAAAAAUCUUUGAUGAAAAGAUAAGAGGAGCGAAGUAAAGGUGAUGCAGUAAUACCUGCCAUCGGCAUACUUCUCCUCUGAAGUACAUUCUCCAUAACAUAACCAUCAAGAAAUGCAUCCGAACUUUCAUCCGGAAGUUCUUCUGAUACAUUAACCUUUUGGACUCCAUAAUACACAAAGGGCAGAACAAUUUAGCUAACACAAAAGUUGGUACCCAUCCACCUCCUUUCCAGGCUACACACGUACCUUCAAGAAACAUUUCCAAACUUAGUGUACCAAACUAUUAAAAAUUAUAUGGUUAGUUAAUUUCAAAUUUCCUAAGUGUAUCAAAUCUUGAAACUUACAAGUUCCUUUCAUAGGAAGCAGUGAGGAUUUCUUUGGACAUGAGCUCCAAUCUAUUACAAAACAACUUUGGCCAUGCUGCAGCAAUUCAAACAAUCAUCACUGUAAGGGAUAAUUAAGUUAGGAUCUGAUAUCGUUAAACCAUUAAGCUAUAAUAAGUCUGUACAAUUAGGAUCUGAUACAUUUACCUUUUGACCUCCAUAGGACACAAAACGCAGCACAAUUUAGCGAACACGAGAGUUUCUAUCCAUUCAACUCUUUUCCAGGCUCAACACAAACCUUCAAGAAACAUUCCAAACUCAGUUUACCAAACUAUAAAAAUUAUAUGCUUAUUUAAUGUUCAUUUUCCACUAAGUCUAUCAAAGCUUGAAACUAACAAGUUCCUGUCAUGGGAAGCAGUGACGAUUUUGUUGGACUUUGAGCUCCAAUAUAUCACAGAAACAACUUGUCUAUGCUACAGCUAUUCAAACAAUGAUUGCUGUAAGGGAGAAUAUAUUAGGAUAUGAUCUGAUACAAAAAUGCUAAAAUAAUUCAGUACAUUUAGGAUAUGAUACAUAUACCUUUUGGACUCCAUAGAACAGAAAGGGCAGCGCGAUUUAGCUAACACGGGAGUUGGUACCCCUAUCACCUCCUUCCAGACUCCACACAAACCUUCAAGAAACAUUCCAAACUCAGUUUACCAAACUAUACAAAACAUAUGUUUAGUUAAUUUAAAACAAAGCUUGAAACUUACAAGUUUUUGUCACGGGAAGCAGUGACGAUUUUGUUGGACUUUGAGCUCCAAUCUAUUACAAAAACAACUUGGCUAUGCUGGAGCGAUUCAAACAAUGAUCAAACAAUGAUCACUUGGAAAUAUCUAUUAAAAAAAGGAAAACCCUUUGAUCAAAAAAAAAAAAAAAGGAAAACCCAAAAACGUUUUUUCCUUUUUCUUAAAUCCACGCGCGUAACAAAUAUGGAAAAGUGGAAAUUUUCCUUUUCUUAUUAUUAGUAUUUUUUUAACUAUGAUUUUUCUAUUUUUGCGUUUUAUUAUUUAUUGGAUGCCACUUAAAUAAUAUGAUGUAUCAUUUCUCUUGCAACUAUGUAAAAUCAAAUUGUUUGACGGUAAAUUUGGUAUAUUAUUCUUGUAAAUAUUUAGCUUUUUUUUUUUUUUUUGCUUCUCUUAUGGACUAAAAGCAUAUGUGUGUUUAUGCUAGAACUUGGAAGUGUGUGUGUGUGUGGGGAUGGCCCUUUCCCCUUCACUUCCGGAACUUUUUUUCUUCUUCUUCAGGCAGAUUAUUAUUAUGCAUCCUAUCCUAAGUCAAGUCACGUCAAUGUCGACUUUUACAUGUGUAUUACGUGUAAUAUCUGUUUUUAUUUUCUGUAAACUAUUGUAUUAUGCAUUCCAGACCUUUGGAGUUGACCUAUUUUACAUUACACUAAAUAAAAAUCGGCCAGACUUACUCCAUGGAAUACCCAAACUCUAUGUUCUUUAAUAUCAAUGUCGCUACUUCUUCGUCAUUGAACCAUAGAGAAACAUUCCUAAUUCUGUUAUGUAUAUAAAAUGUGGAAACCAUAUAUAUAAUGUACUUAUUAUGAAAUGCUGAAAAGCCACAAUUUUCCGAAAUCAAGGACACAUCCACGACGAAUCUGUCUCUCUUUAAAAUUUUGAGUUAAUGAACCUAAAUACCAGUACAUCAAUCUAUCAUCCACGUGAAACACACUUUGAAGAUUUCCCAACCGAUGAUGUGAACGCUUUUAGUGUGACGGCCGGCUUCAUAAUUGACAUUUACAAUUAUAUGUUAAUGUUGUAUAUACUAAUACUAUUAUAUGUAUGCUUUGCAUUUGCAUAUAGGAUUCUAAACUGGACUAAAGUUAACGUGAAAGAUCUUACAGUUCAUAAAUUUAAAGACAUGUUUUCUAGUAUAUAUAUGGACGCUAAGAAUAAACAAAUAUAUACCUAAAUCAUCAAUCGUCUACGCUAUGUUAUAAUGAAACACAUUGGUGGCUUUAUAGUUAGUAACUUAGUAUUACAAAUUACAAUUACAAUUCCAAUGAACCUAACAAUAAAAAAAAGCAUAUGCUACUACUCGUCAUUUAGUAAACCUAUACAAUAUUACGGAAUUCUGCUUUUGUUUGUGUUAUUAUAAAAACUUAAUUGUUAUUAUUAUUAUUAUACAUGACGAUAAGAAUAAAAUUAAAUUUUUUGUUUGUUUAACUUUGUUUUUGAUGAAUCACUUUUUAUGUUCUCCUAUAGGGCAUUUUGGCUAUUUCUAUAUAUAUUCAGUUGCUUCGCAAUACAUAUUCGUCAAUCUGUUGCUUUUCUUUUGUCAACGUCGAUCUAUAUUGCUUCUUCUGUAUCAAAUGGAGUAUAAAAAAAAAAAUUAAAGUCUCAACCAAAAAUAAUAAUAAUAAUCAAAGUGACAAGAAAAUUAUAUAUUUUUAUAAACAAAAAGAAUGCAAGUUGCUAUUUCGUGAUUGGCCAGAAGGGUUUAUAUUGGAUCUAUAGGGAAUCGCCAACAAGGCAUAUCCCUUUCAUUUAAUUAUUCCACGCAAUCAUUCAACUAAAAAUUAUGAUUUAUAUACGUGGCCAUGAUAUGUAUCACACUAUACCUUUUCAUUAUUUAUAAAAUAGAAAAUAGCUUUUUAGUUGUUUUUUUCCCAAAACCCAAGCAUUAGAACUUAAUUUUAUUUUGAAACUGAGAAUUUAAUGUAAUGAUCCAUUUUGUGAGUUUUUAAAAGUCCAAAUCAGGCAGUAAACUCUGUUUAAGUUAGAGUUAAUGACAUGUCUUUCUAAUAUCGAAAUUCUAUAGUAGUAUAGUAAUAAAUUAUUACUCCUUGGAAUAUAUAUUUGGUUCUUCAAAAAAUCAUAAUUGUAUCUAAUCAAAUAAUUGGCAACUGUAUUGUAGACACCGCAUUUAACUAUUGGCAAACAGAGAUAUAUGUAUAUGAACCCAAAAAAAAAAAAAAAAAAUUAAGCACAAUUAACACGUACAAUUAUUAGAGAUUUUGACUUGGUCGUAUUAGAAUAGCAAGUUUCACCUAAUUUAAUAUACUUUCUUUCACAAUCACAAACACUAUAUACUGUAUCAUUUUCAAAAAUUGCAAAAACUAAAAACAAAGUUUGCUAAAAUCGGAAAAAUAUUAAGAUACAUAAAUGUUGUUAUUUUGAUACAUAAGCAAAAUGAAUGCCGUGAUUAACUAUGGUGUUGCCGUGAUUAAUAAAAUAAUAUUAAAUAUGUAGUUUAGGAUUGGUGUCAUAGACGACGUGGCGAUGCCUGAUUAGCUAAAUAAGUCAAAUGAAACCAAACCGAAACGGCUGAAAGUAAAAAAAAUAAUUGUUUUUUUUUGUGUGAAUAUGUUUGGAGAAAAGGUCGGUUUCUUCGCCAGCUGGCCUAGUUCCCAGAUCGACGGUGAAGAUUCAAAGUUGUCAGAAAUUUUAUUAUCCGACGUGGCUUAUAGUGUUUUUAUUUCCUCUGUUAAUUUUCCAUAACCCUUUAUAACACCAAUCAUUGCUUCUCCUUCGCCUGCACAUUCUCUCUCUCUCUCUCUCAUUCUCUCUUCAUAAUUCAUAUAUUUCCCAAUUCUUACCUUUUUUUUUUCCUUUCUGAAACGAGUUUUUGGUGAACUAAAAGGGUAAAUUUUUCCUAAUUUUGAUAUCAACAGAAGCCAGAAAAAAAAAAAAGAGACAGAUUCUAUAUUUUGUGUGUGUUUUUUGUGUGAUUAACUCUGUGUUUACAAUGGUUUUGUUUUGUGAAAUUUUUCUCGGAGAAGAAGGGAAUUUAGAAGACGGAGAGUGGAAAAACGAGUUAUAAUCCGUAGCAAACAUAAGAAACAAAAACAAAAAAAGUUUUUUUUUACUUUUUAAAAGUUUCUCCUCUGUUUCAGAAACAGAGACAAAUCAAGAAGAUCACUAGCAAAAACUUGCGUUGUCUUUCUCAUCUCCUUCCACUGGUAAAGUUUCUCUUCUUGAUCUGUUUCUAGUUUUGAGUUGAAGUUGGGAUCGGUUUGUUGAUUAAAUUCUCUCAACAGGGUUUUGUUUUUUCAAAAUCUAAGAAACCAUGUCGGCGAGUGUACUAAGUGAUCCAACAAUGCUAAUUUCAACACCAGAAGCAAUCAUCGUCUCGCCGGCGCCGGUGACACAGAUAUCCGGCGACGAGCCAGAGCCGGUGACGUGUGAGUGCUGCGGAUUAACCGAGGAGUGCACACAGUCGUACACAGAGAUGAUCAAAGAGCGUUACAUGGGUAAAUGGAUCUGUGGGCUCUGUUCGGAAGCAGUCAAGUACGAAGUCAUAAGAACGAAACGAUUCGUAACAACGGAAGAAGCUAUGGCAAGACACAUGAACAUGUGUAACAAGUUCAAAUCAUCAAGCCCACCUCCUAACCCGACAGGGCAUUUGAUCUCUGCCAUGAGACAGAUCUUGAGAAGAAGCUUAGAUUCGCCAAGAAUGCUUAGAUCCAUGCCUAGUAGUCCUUCCAAAGACGACGACCAAGAUCACCAUGAUUGUGUUACUUCUAAUGUUUUGUCUAGGUCUGAUAGCUGUUUCGCUAGUUUGACAUAAACAUAAGAAAAGCUCAUCGUUGAAUAAUUAAACCGUCGGUUUAGGGACCCACCUGGAUUAAAUCCGGUUUUCAGAUUUGUAUAAAUUUCGUCGGUAAACCAAAAUCGGUCACUGUAUGUGUUUUCUUUUUUUGCCGGAUUUAUUGUACCUUGUGGAAAAAUUUUGGGCUUAUACAACAACACUUGUUGAUAUGUUCCUUUCUCUUAUUCUUUCACCAAUUUGCUAAUAACUUAAGAAAAGUUAAACAAGAACAAAAUAAAAGAAAGAUAUGGUUUAUACUAUUCGAUUAGAGUUAUAUGAUUAAAAGAAGGAAAAGGAGAUUCUUGGAGCAAUUUAUCAUAUAGAAUAAUGGAAGUGACAUGUAUGAACAAAAACAAUCCAAGGUAGGGACGUUGCUUAUCUCUGUGAUGAUUUCUCUAUCACAUAAUGGAAAUGAAAAUGGUGCUUUUUUACGCCAUUAAUUAGACAUCACUUUUAUUUUAAUUUAUUUCCUUGCUUUUUUUCCUAGUUUAUUUUCUAAUCAUUCUUCAAAAACGUUAUUUUUUAAAAUUCAAAUGACUCUAUAUAUUGUAACGCAUGAAUAAGUAACAUGUACGUAGAAACGUUUAAUUGGGAUAUGUUUACUCGAUUAAAAACAAAAGAUUAGAUGGGUUGGUUGUCCAAUAUUCACUAACUCUCGAUAUAUAUAGUUUAUAAUAAUUUGGAAUAUAUUCUAUUUCUGAUAAAAACAAGAACUAGGAAUCCUAUUUGAGCAUAAUUGUAACGUGUAAGCACUCACAACUGGCUAAACUACAUUGAUUCGACGAUUGAUUCGAUAUUAAAUUUCGACUACUUAACCAAUAACAUUUCCUUCAACUUGCUAUGUAUCUCCUUAGAAUAUAAUCAAAGAGAAAUUGUAUCAUGGAAGCUGGAAGUGUUCGUUUUAAGGGAUCACAUGCGAGAUAUAAGUAUACGACAUACACAAUACAAGUUUCUAUUUAUGUGUAUUGAAAGUUAACAAUGAAUUUAUCCACAGCGAAAAUUUAAACUCGAAGUUUCAUUUUCUAGGUUCCUAGGUUAGAAAUAUCAAUAUGCAUUUGUUGCGUAUCGAUCAUAUAUAUGCCACGGGUCAACUUACCACUCUUUUGCCUAUUUUCAAAUCAAGUCAAUCGAUGUGUUGUUCUACUUGCUAGAGAGAAUUAUCUUAGGAGUUUAGUCGUUUACUUUCGUUCUGUUGGAACAUAUGUAAGGUAUGCUUUUCACUUAUUAUUAGAUGACACUUUCUAUUAAUGUGGUGUGUGUGUUUGAUAUAUAGAGCUCGAAACAUGUAUCUGACGUGACAAGCAAUAGUCAAAGAUAAAGAGAACUUGAAGUAAUGGUUACAAGUUACAAGGCACAACAACAGGACAGGAGAGAUGCGGCACGAGCAGAUGUGGCAAUUAGAGUUGUGCUGAACGCGAAAGCGUUUUCAAAAGAUACAAAACCUAAAUAUGCACUAACAUCACUUAUAAAAAAGUAACAAGUUCGAGAUGGUUCAAGUACGCAGAGCUAGCUAGUACUUGGGAUUAAGAGUUGAAUUCUAUUAAAAGUGCAUAGUUUUCAAAUUAUUUAUAUUUCUUAACAUCCGGCAAAUUUUAUAGUUUGCAAUUCUUUCUUACCUUAAUAUAUAAAUGGUAGUGCUCAUAGACCAUGAAGAAAUAUAGCAAACGUCCUACGGGCUCUGGACUUAUAGCCAAGUACCAACACGCGUAAGUCAUGUUAUGCAUGGCUAACGGAUAGCCCUUAACCAACACGCGUAUGGAAAAGAGAAAUUACAGAGAUUCACUGAAACGAGAACAACAUUUAUAUAAUAACGAGAAUACAACUAGAAACACAUAAAUAGUAUUAAAUUGCAAUACCGGAAACUAAUCAUAAACUUUCAAUGAACUGCUCAAUAAAUAAAGAGAUUUUGGAUGGUACGUUUUUCGUGAUGAUACAAAUUGAUACACUCAUAAAAGAUUUCACUAGGUUAUUUACGAUUAUACAAGACAAUUAAAGAGAUAUGAUGGUAAAGGAAUCUGUGAAGAAAAAAGUCUUUCAUUUUAUGUUUUGUUUCAGUUUAUUACAGAAGUUGGAUUUGAGGCUUAGAGCUAAUACGCAAAGUCGGGGAUCAUAAAAACGGACCGAAAGAACUUAGAGCUAAUAAGGAGACAACGUGUGGCUUUAAACCUACAUCUUGGAAGUCUUCAUCACCGACUCACCGAGGGUAGUGUAGUACAAAUAUGUCACUAGUUACCAAUUUAUUUCUUUCGGCUAGCUCAGUUUGUUUUUGAGCAUACUCUUCUUGGACGGUGCCACAUUGCCACUCGAAGCGUAAUGUUUUUUCAAUCCCUGGUUUGCUGGUAGGAGAACGUUAACUUUUAAGAAAUCAAUACUUAGUUCUUUUAAGACACAUCAAAAUAGACUAGACGAUAUUUUUUCCAAUUUUGUUAGACAUUUUUCAGUUUUGUUAGAUAUAUUAGUUUUACCAUAUAAGACGAUAUGAUCGGUUCAAUAGGGUUGAGCUAGUUCAAUUCUAUCGUUUCCAGUUUAUAUUUCUUGUAAAUAUUAUGAAUAACAGACAAAUAUAAGCUACUUUUUCUUAUGAAAAAAAAAACAUAUAUCUUUUUUGACUCCGCAAAAAAUUAGUUCGAGCUUUAUGUAGUAUAAGAAAAAUAAAGGACUCGAUCGUGCGUGGCCCAUAUAUAAAUACGUCCACGAAAAUGUGUGGCGGAUAAGAGUCUCGCAUUUAUAUUUCACAUGCUAGCGCUUGCACCCUUUUUUUGUGUUUAAACUUUAAUUUGAAAAUUUACAAGAACAAAAAUAAAACAAUUUGAACACCAAUGGUCUUUGCCAUUGAAACUUAUAGCUGUAACUGUAAGGAGAGUCGAAAUGAAAUAUUAUUCAAACGUGUCAUGAUAUAUUAUUCAAAGAAUCAAAGGUAACCCGUACGUUAAUUGUCAAACUAGCUAGAGACAGCGUAUGUGUUAUACAAAAAAUAUAUUGAUAUCCAGCUCUCUUUUUUUUUUGUCUGUGUUUUCAACUCAUAUUUUCAUAUUUUUAUAUAUGUUUGACUUUGUUCCGCCUGUCUGCGGAUUAUAAUUUCCUUGAAGUCGUAUGGACUGAGUAGCAUGGCUUUGUUUACGAAGCCGGAGACAAAGCCUUGAGAGUUAACCAUUAUAAUAUAAUACGACCAUGCUCCCGCUACAUCCAACAGAAUAAUUGGUCACUGGGAUUUCAAUUAUAAUUUUAACGCGACUAGUUCAAUAUUGUUUUAGUUAAUGCCGAAUUCUUAGACUACCAAAAAACAAGUUACGUUGAAAAACUAUUUCCAUUUCCACUAUAUUUAUUAGAUCAUCAUAGGACAUGUAUAUACUAUCUAAUUAGGUGUGAAUUAAUAUGGCGUCCAAGACUAAUAAGUUAAUCUAGUCGUAUACUUGUAUAAGUUUAAAACCUUUUAACGAAGUUUCAAGAGGCGGCGCGUGGCCAACUUCCUCUACCAAAAUGGUGGCUAUGACGACCUUAUUCUUAUUCUCCUUCCUUGAAUACUCUACAAAGAAAAUAUUAUCCCUUCUUAAAAAUUUGAACGUUGGUUAAGUUAUACAGAAUCUUAAAGUUCAACAUUCGUUAUAAACUAUAAAUUAUGCAUAGAUAUGUGUUUGCUUAUGUGUUUUGUUAAUCUCUUAUUACAAGAAUUAGAUACCGUGCAUGAUUAGUUAAAAUUAAUAGGAGAAAUUAAUCAAAAGAAGAGAAGAGAUCUAGGAUUAACGAGCCAGCCAGCUAUAGAUGAAAACGAACUGAAGUUGAACUUUUGAAACGUCCUCUUGCAUGCAUGUAUAUAUCAUGUAUGCCAGCUUAAUUAGUUUUAUAAUUUAUGAAGACGAUCGGUACAUGCAUGACGAAUAUAACUUUUGAUUUUGAUAAGUGCUUGCGUGCGGACAUGCAUAUCGACAGUUUGUGGAUAAUAAACCAAAUUAUAGCUUCGGAUCAGAGAGAAAUUUAUGAAACAAAUGGAUGUUAAAAAUUGAGUACAUACACAGUAGUAAUCUUAACUAAACGAUGUAUUAAACGCAUGUUAAAAAAUUCCGAUAUAAAUGAUUCUAAAUAAGAAAUAUGAGCUCGAUAAUUAUUUUAUUUUCCACAUGAUAGUAUAUAUGUCCGGGACAUGUUCAACUUUCUUUGAUGGAGCGCAAGAUAUCAUAUAUAAUUACCAUUUCAGGUUACUUUUAGAAUUAUUUCGUUGUAAUUAUUUUAUACAAUAAUAUUUUCUCAUGGAGUAUAUAUAAUAAAUCCACAGUUUCAUUAAAACGAUCACAAACCGAUCUUCAAAGUCCGAUGCUCGAAUUAUUUUAUUUACUUCACUUGUGUUGUGUGUUUUUUGUUUUUAUAUAAAUAUAAAUAAAGUAAAGGGAUAUGUAAACUUUAUUUGACGAGCCUUGCCUCCUUGGGAUAUAUCAAUCACCAUUUCAGGAAAGACUAAGGACAAUACUGUCAUUUAAUAUUUAUUAACUUCCUCCUUUGCUUCCUUUUAACCCUUUUUAAGACGCGUUCGUCUCUGACUCGGAACUCAGUUUGACUUAAUUAGCGUAUCAUUUUUUUUGUUAAGCUUUUUUUUUUUAGUAUAAAUAAAAAAUACACUUGCAACUUUUUUUUUUUUUGGGUUAAAAGUCCUUCUUUGCAACUGAAAAAAAAAACUUUUGUAAAAUUUCUGUGAUGCAAGUCAUAUUUUUUCGGAGGUGUCAAUAAUUCACUUUUUUUUUCCUUUUGUAUUUAGUGAAAGUGUUGAAAGUUAUCUAAUGUUGAACAUUGAAGUGUCCUUAUUGUUCAUAAAAAGAAAAUCUAAGAACAAGUUUAGUUUUGAAUAGUUAUCUUCGUGUUUCAAAUAUUUUGUUACUAAUAAUAGACGAAUAAAAAUAUGAUUUGACGAAAGGAAAGAAGACAAGUAACUCGGAAUAUUCCAAUUAAAAAAACGUGUGGACGGCGACAAAGCUCUCUUUCCUUUUGGUCUCUCUUAUCAGUCGCAUAAUAUAAAUAGCUGUGACCUGCCGCUUCUUUAGUAAUCAGAACGCACCAAAUAAAUAAAGAAGAAAAGCUCUCAAACUCAUUCUUUGAAAGCCUUUCUUUAUAUAUUUCUUUUUCUACCAGCUCAUUCAACUAAACACUCAGCUUUAUAGAUUAGUUAGUUCUACUAAUUAAUUUCAUUUGUUUAAAAUGGCCUUAGCUAAUGAGUUAAUGGGUUCUCGUCUCAUUUUCGAGAGAUCGUCACUUCCGUUUCAACCGCGUUUCUCCACCAAGAAGAGGACACAGAGGACGCACUUCUCCAUCAACCCUUUUGAUCCGAGACCGAUGAGAGCUGCUAACUCAGGUAGCAUCGUGGCCGCCAUCAGCGAGGAUUUGGUUAAAACGCUGCGUAUUAACACCGUCGGUAGGAAACAGGAGAAGGAUGAAAAUAAGGAGGAGGAGAAGACGGUCAAGUUUAAGGUGAGAGCUGUUGCGACGGUGAGGAACAAGAACAAAGAGGACUUUAAAGAAACUUUGGUUAAGCAUUUGGAUGCUUUUACUGAUAAAAUCGGUAGAAACGUCGUCUUGGAGCUUAUUAGCACCCAAGUUGACCCAAGUAAGUCAUUUAAAAAAAAAAAAUGAAAAACAAUUUUCAUUUUUGAGUAUUUUUUAAAUCUUGUAAGGUCAAAGUUUGAUUUUUUUUUGUUUUCUUGGACUAAUUUACCCAAAAAAAUUGUCAAACUUUGUAACAGAAACGAAUGAGCCAAAGAAGAGUAAAGCCGCGGUAUUGAAAGACUGGUCAAAGAAAUCGAAUUCAAAGGCGGAGAAAGUCCAUUACACAGCGGAGUUCACGGUUGACUCCGCCUUUGGUUGUCCGGGAGCCAUCACGGUGAGCAACAAACACCAAAAAGAGUUCUUCCUUGAGAGCAUCACCAUCGAAGGUUUCGCAUGUGGCCCUGUUCACUUCCCCUGCAACUCUUGGGUCCAAUCCCUAAAAGACCAUCCAUCCAAACGAAUUUUCUUCACUAAUCAGGUAACUAAUUCAAUCUUAAUUAAAACGCAUUAAAUGUGAUCGUAGAUAUCAUCAUAUCAUGGUGGGUCCAAAUGUCCAAAUAUUGUCUUUAAUUAAACAAAUGUGACGUCCAACUAUAUAUUGUUUGGAUAAAAAAAUUAACUGUUGUUUGAAUUUUCCGCAGCCGUACUUGCCGAACGAGACACCUUCGGGUCUACAAAAAUUAAGGGAGAAGGAGUUGGAGAGUCUAAGAGGAAAUGGGAAAGGAGAGAGGAAACUAUCAGACAGAAUCUAUGAUUAUGAUGUCUACAACGACAUUGGGAACCCAGACAUAUCUUCUGAACUAUCCCGUCCCACAUUUGGCGGUCGUAAGUUUCCUUACCCUAGACGCUGUCGAACCGGCCGGCCUUCUACAGACACGGAUCUGAUGUCCGAGAGACGGGUGGAGAAACCGUUACCGAUGUAUGUGCCAAGGGAUGAGCAGUUCGAAGAGUCUAAGCAGAACACCUUUGCUGCGUGUAGACUCAAGGCUGUUUUACACAACCUUAUACCUUCUUUAAAAGCUAGCAUCUUGGCUGAGGACUUCGCUAACUUCGGUGAGAUCGAUAGUCUAUACAAAGAAGGCUUACUUCUCAAGUUAGGGUUUGAAGAUGAUAUGUUCAAGAAGUUCCCUUUGCCUAAGAUCGUCACUACCCUCCAAAAAUCUAGCGAAGGAUUGCUUAGAUACGACACUCCUAAAAUAGUUUCAAGUAAGCACAUUUUUAAUUACUUCUGACAACUUUUUAAUUAUACGUCAUUAACUCGUUUAUCUACAUGAUACUACGAGGUUCGUAAGUUUAACACAUGUGCAAUCACAUGCCGUUGAAGAACCAAUCAUUACCAAUUUUUCACCUUUAUUUUAUGGUUUGCUAUAUAACCAACAGUGAAGUGAAGCUUCCCCUCUUAGAUUCCCUUUGUUCAAGAAAUAUGAUUCACGUGCUUAAUUCGUUUGUUUAUUUGUUCUUCCCACUAAACGUUAAAUUUCGCUAUAGUGGUGGUAGUUACAGUUAGUUUGGGGAUAAUUAAUUAAAAGCGUGUUUUUGUUUUAUGCUUACUUGAAUCAUGUAGUUUAAAGAAAUUAUCUAAUGACUCUUUUUUUUACUUUAAUAUAGAGGAUAAAUACGCGUGGCUUAGAGAUGACGAGUUCGCACGCCAAGCCUUAGCUGGGAUCAACCCGGUCAACAUAGAACGAGUCACGACUUACCCACCGGUCAGCAACCUUGACCACGAAAUCUAUGGACCUGGUCUUCACUCCGCUCUCACCGAAGACCACAUCAUCGGUCACCUUGACGGCUUAUCCGUACAACAAGUACGUAUAUUUAUAUGAUCUCAAUAACUCUCACAACAUUUACAAAUAUUUAAAUUACUGAUUUUAAUCUUUCUUUUUAACUGAACUUUAGGCGGUGGAGACGAACCGUUUGUUUAUGGUGGACUACCAUGACAUAUACUUACCAUUUCUAGACCAAAUCAACGCGCUUGAUGGACGUAAGGCUUACGCGACUAGAACCAUAAUGUUCUUGACCCGUCUCGGUACACUCAAGCCUAUAGCCAUUGAGCUUAGCCUUCCUCCACAAUCAGGCUCAACCCGAAAGUCCAAGCGCGUGGUCACACCUCCUGUAGACGCAACCUCCAACUGGAUGUGGCAGCUAGCCAAGGCCCACGUUGGGUCCAACGACGCUGGUGUCCACCAGCUUGUGAACCAUUGGUUACGUACACAUGCGUGUCUGGAGCCGUUUAUAUUAGCUGCUCAUAGACAGUUGAGCGCAAUGCAUCCGAUAUUCAAGUUAUUAGACCCUCACAUGAGGUACACUUUAGAAAUCAAUGCCGUCGCACGACAAACUUUGAUCAGUGCGGACGGUGUGAUUGAACAAUGCUUCACAGCUGGUCAAUACGGUCUAGAGAUUAGCUCCGCUGCUUAUAAGAACAAAUGGCGGUUCGAUAUGGAAGGUCUCCCUGCUGAUCUCAUCCGAAGGUAAUGUCUCAUUACUCUUGAAAAUGCACUAAACUAAUUGUUAAGUACCUCAAUUUAUAACAUACUGUUACACUAAAUGUCUAAAUCUAACGAAACUCAUAAUACUGUAGAGGGUAUAGUAAUAAACUAAUAAUGGAUAUAAUAUAGUAGUACUAGUAAAAUAGAUAUUUUAUUGUCUGGUUAAAUUUGGUUUUUUCCUAUUUUGUUUUCAUAUAAAAAUUGUUGUAUAGAAUCUAACUUUUUUUUUUUUUUUAAUUAUUAAUUUUCAGGGGAAUGGCUGUUCCUGAUCCAACAGAACCACAUGGUUUGAAAUUACUUGUCGAAGACUACCCAUACGCCAACGAUGGUCUCUUAUUAUGGUCAGCAAUCCAAACUUGGGUCCGAACCUACGUGGAACGUUAUUACCCAAACUCGAACUUAAUCCAAAACGAUUCAGAGCUCCAAGCCUGGUACUCAGAAUCUAUCAACGUAGGCCACGCCGACCACCGCGACGCCGAGUGGUGGCCGAAGCUUUCCACCGUCGAAGACCUCGUCUCCAUCAUCACCACCAUCGUCUGGCUCGCAUCCGCACAACACGCCGCACUCAACUUCGGACAAUACCCUUACGGUGGUUACGUCCCGAACCGGCCACCGUUGAUGCGGCGGUUGAUUCCCGACGAGUCAGACCCCGAGUUCGCGAGUUUUAUGGAAGAUCCUCAAAAGUAUUUUUUCUCGUCGAUGCCGAGUUUGUUACAGACGACGAAGUUUAUGGCGGUGGUUGAUACAUUGUCUACGCAUUCGCCAGAUGAGGAGUAUAUCGGAGAGAGACAACAGCCGUCGAUAUGGACCGGAGAUGCUGAGAUCGUAGAUGCGUUUUAUGGAUUCUCGGCGGAGAUAGGACGAAUAGAGAAGGAGAUAGAUAAGAGAAAUAGUGAUCCUAGCCGUAGGAACCGGUGUGGAGCCGGAGUUUUGCCGUAUGAGUUGAUGGCUCCUAGUUCUGAACCUGGUGUUACGUGUAGAGGUGUCCCUAAUAGUGUUUCGAUAUAGAAAUACUAAAUUUUUAAGUCUAGCUUAUUAAGUAAAUAAAUAGAUUUUCGAAGCGAAUAAUCUGUAGGGUUUAUUUGUUAAUUAAUAGUUGUAAAUAUAUUUUCAAGAAUUUAAGAGAACUUUAUUAUAUUGAAAAAUUGUGUGUAGACGACAUAAAUAUAUAAAGUUUUAUUCAUAAAAUUCAACUCUAAUCACAUAUGUGACUAAAAUUGUGGCUAAGUUAAAAUUGCCACAAAAAAAAAACCAUUGUUAUGUUUUUUCUUACACGAAAUUUUUUAUAUGAUCUUAAGAGAUAUAUAUUGUACUCACUCAACAGUAAUUUUAUACUGUGUCCCGUAAACUAAUACCACAUGAUUUUGCCAUUUUGGUAAUCAAAACUUCAAAAUAAAUGAUAAUAUAACACAGACAGUAAUUUGGAUUUCCAAACCAAACCAAACCAAAAGUUGGUUCACCUAAGGUUUGACGUUAUUGAGGUUUCAUCGUUUAAUGUUGUUGGACCAAUUUUAUCAAUGGCGAGCAUUAUCAGAAAACCGUUAAACUUGACGGCGGCCGUCCGGUUUCGACUUCCUCCGUUGUUUCCGUUCUCCGGAAGCUCUGGUUCCGUUAACUCGGAUGCGACUCGUUGCUCUGAGAUGAUACCGGUGCCAAGUUUAGUAGAGGGAUGCGAUUACAAGCACUGGCUUGUACUCAUGAAGCCUCCCAAUGGAUACCCACCUCGUGAUCACAUCGUCCAAGGCUUUGUCAGAACCCUAGCCAUGGCUCUUGGGAGGUAACUAAUACAAAAAAGAAAUAUAGUUUUAGCGAUAAAUUGCAAUCAAAAAGCAUAAAAAUCGAAGCUUUUUGGUAUAUAUGAUUUUGAGGUUACUUUGUUUGUGUUGUGUGUGUAGCGAAGAAGAAGCGAAGAAAUCGAUAUAUUCUGUAUCCACAAAGUACUACUAUGCAUUUGGCUGCAGGGUUCAUGAACCUUUGACUAACAAGAUCAGAUGUAUUAUUACAAUUUUAAUCUCGUCUUCUUUCUUUGGACACUUUUUGUUCAUUUAUUCCUAGUUUUGUGGCAAAUGCUGUAACUUGUGCUUGUAUUUGAUUGCAGCUCUGCCUGAUGUCAGAUGGGUUCUACCAGAUUCUUUCAUAGUUGAUGGUGACAAUCGAUAUGGAGGUUUGCUUUGCUGCUUAAGUUUUGUUUCUUUUCGUUGGCUCUGUUGCUUGUAUGAAUCUACAGAUUCUGUGCUCAUUCUCAUAUAUCUCAAGAUUUUUAUUAACCUAUAUAUCUCAAGAUUUUUAAGAUUCUGUGCUCAUUCUCAUAUUGUUGGGUUUCUUUUGUGAACAAAAGGAUGUUUAGCCUUUAAAUUUAGUACCUGCAGCACUAUUUUUUUCCUUCCCUUGGACAUGUUUCGUUUUCUGCAGGAGAGCCAUUUGUCGAUGGAGAGGUUGUUCCAUACGAUGAGAAGUAUCAUGCGGACUGGCUACGAGAUCAAACUGACGAGGAUGCUAAGAAUCGAGUAGUAAAAAUAAAGCCUAGGAGGAAAAGAAAGAAAAAGGCGAUCUAGUUGAAGAUAUUUGGUAUUUGGAAGUCUUCUUGCUUCAGUGUGGCACUCAAGACUGAAGAUUUUCUGGAAUGACUUCUAGUGUUUACUUAAUAUGAGCUGUUGUAAAGAAUCCAAGGUGUAAUGGUAGUGAUAAAAGGUUAUUCAAUAUAUCAAUCAAUCCAAGAUAUUGAGUAGAUUCCACUUCAUUGUCUAGCUACUGAACUUAGAAGCUAACAGGAAUGUGUCUUCUAGUGACUGUAGAGAUUUUAUUGCAUAUAUAGAAUCAUAUGUUUCAGUGAAUCAUAGAACUUGAAAUUACGUGAUGAUGUAAGCCAGUGCCAGUAGUUGAUCUGUAAUUUUUUACUGAGAUAUCAUGGAAAUUGGAUAAUCUAGUUUCGUUUAGCUCUUUUGCAGAAUCACCACAGUUCUCUGUAUUGCUUCAGUUGUCAUUACUGUUAGGUAUUGAAGUCUCCAUAGAAAUAGACUGAUCCACCAAAUGGCUACUUCUUAUUGUUCGUUUGCCAAUCAGGACCAUAUAGAAAUUAGAGAAGACGAAAGCAACCACAGAAGAGUUUUCCUACACGUCUUUUUGAGUGGGGUUUGGUAAGAUGAGAAGUCUUUCUUCAUGACCAAGGUAUGUAACUUAAUCUUGUCUUCAUAUUAAACUAAUUUGUCUGAAUUUGGAGCAUGCUUGCGUAUGUACCCAGAUUCUAAAACAUUGACUAGGAACAACAAGCUUACCACUGAAAUUCUUAGUUGGUGAACUACAGUCAAUUUAGGAUUUGAUGUUGAGUCUUUGUGGUAGAAAAAAAACCAAGUAAUACUGUCCCUUUUGAACACGCAUACAAUUCAGACUUAUACAUCUGAGGUUACAAAAUUGAAAAAUGACUGCUAAAUAUCUAUUUAGCUCACUUUUUAAGCUAUGUUUCUAUCACAACAUUUGCAGAAUUUCAUGAAACCUUAUGGUAUUUUCAUUUAUCUAACACAACCUUUUUGGUAUUUUCCCUGUAUACUAACGUAUCCUAAUAUCUAUACCUGUAUAAAAAUUAAAUAAUUUUGUAUUUUGUUCACCAAUUUAGUUGGCCGGGGUAUACAAACUGGUUCCUAGACUCUUGUACAGAGCAGUGUCUGAAUAUACUGCACGAGACCUCAUUGCCUUGUGUUUACGUCUGUUCUUUCGACCUGCUUGACGUCGUGGACAGACUUUUAUCUCCUUCUCUGUUUCCUCUUUUACGACUUUGACAUCAUCUUUACAUUUGAUGUCAUGAACUUCGUUUGAACCUGCCACUGGAACUAUGUACACAAACGGUCCGUUUUGGAUGUCUUUGAGGUCUAAGAUAGGCUGUAGGGUCUUGACAGCAGUGGUCAUAGUGGGUCGUGACUUAGGAUUGUGGCUCAGGCAUUGGUAAGUUAAAACCGCUACCUUCCUGAUGCCUUCAACUGAGUAUUUCCCUUCGAGACUCGGGUCUAUGAUCCGUUCAAGCUUGUUGGGAUCCUUUAACAUGGGCCUUGCCCAUUCCACUAGGUUCCUCCCUCUCUUUGCCCGGUACUUCUCAACUGCGUUUCUAGCAGUUAGCAUCUCUAAAAGCACCACCCCGAAACUGAACACGUCGCUCAUUGUUGUCAAAUGACCUGAAAUGCAGCAUGAAACAUGUAAGCUAAGAAUGCAACGGCUAUGUGGUUUAUAACAAGUAUUCUUAUCCUUAUGUUGUUUAACCUGCUGAGAUGUAUUCCGGAGCUGCAUAGCCUUCUGUGCCCAUUACACUUUUGGUAAAGCUUGAGUCUCCUUCCUCUGAUCCAUCUGUGGCUAAGCCGAAAUCUGAAAGCUUAGAGCUGAAGUCCUGUAAGUUUCAGAUAUGAGAUUCAAGUUAUUUGACAUGAUAAUAGAUAGUUGGUAAUGCAAAAUAAGAAGAGAAGCAUUUGAAUUACCGAGCUCAAGAGGAUGUUGGAAGGCUUAAAAUCUCUGUAUAUGACAGGUUUCUCUUGUUUGUGAAGGAACUCAAGGCCUUUCGCAGCACCAAGUAGAAUCUUCACUCUUGUUAACCAAGGCAAGGCUCCACCAUACUCUGCAUUGCACCAAAUAGUACUGAUAUUGUUAGUAAUCUGUAUCUCUAUAUCAAUUAUUUUUCAAGUCUUUUUUUUUUUCGAUCUUUUAAGCGACUCACUUUGAAAUAAAUGUUCUUCCAGAUUGCCUCGUUCCAUGUAUUCGUAGACAAGAAGCCUGUGAUCAUCCUCACAGCAGUACCCGACCAAUCUCACCAGAUGGGGAUGCUUCAACUGACCAAGGAUUAUAACUUCAGCCUGCAGAAUCCCAAAGAAACGUUUUUUUUUCUUUAGUUUUGAUGAUCCCAUUCUGGUAUGAGAUGUAACAUAUAAUACUUGAAAUGUGAUUUAUGAAUAUGCAGAUGGAGAAAAAUCAUUACCAACCACUCUCUAUGUCCUUGUCCACCUUCUCGUUUCAAGGCCUUAACAGCAACAGGCUGAGCUUUCAAACCAGUCUUGAGGGUAUCAUCAACGAAACCUUUGUAGACUUCCCCGAAUCCUCCUUCACCGAGGUAAUUAUACUUUGAGAAGCCUUGUGUGAUCGUUUUGAGCUCUUCGUAGGAGAAGAUGUGAAUGUUUAUGAGGAAAGAGUUUGAGAAGUCGUUGAGUGAGAUGGUUGAAUUGCUGAAAUCCGACAUGUAGACUUUGCUUGGAACAGAGGUUUGUCUGGAGAGCAGAAGAAGUCUUUCCUUUGAUGGGUUUGUUGCAGUCUUCUGGUUUGUGUUACUGAUGCAGCUUAUGGGAAGACAUAUAUUCUUCCAAGAAAAUCUCAUUGGUUUCAUCUGCAACUGAAGGGAGCUCUCUGUGUUUUGUCUAUACUAUGUUUAAUGGCUUGUAUUAGUUUCUUGUUGCUGAAUGAAUAUAUAUAGAGAUUAUGAAGCUUCUUUGAAAAUUGUUAGAAAGUGAAGAGAGAGAGGUGAGAGAGAGGUGAAGACUCUUUAAAAAGUAAGUCUCUUAGUCUUAUAAAGCCAUCCAAGAGGGAUGGCAUUUGUUGCCACUAAGUAUAAUAUCAAAUGUUAAUAAUAUACAAAUGAGUAAGAUUUUUCUUAAACUAACUCUUUCGUUAUUUCUGCAAUUUCACACUUUAUGUUUUUAUUUGGACACAAAACUCUAUUUAUGAAGUUGCAUAAGAUAUUUUCCAAACUACCAAAAACAAAGUUUCUGUUUCUAAAAUCAUUCCAAUUUUUAGCUUACUUUUUUUUUCCUAUUUAAUUUCAACCUAAUGUUUUGGUUAGUUAUAUGCUAAUUUAGACUAAAUUUCUGAGAAUAAAUUAGCUAAGAGGUAACGCUGGCAAAACAAAAAUAGUUGAAGAGGUAUCUUUGGAUCUAAAAACUUUGACUAUCUCAAGCCAUCUCAUACUCUAAUUUUUUGCUAAUUGGACUACCUAUCAUACACUUGUAAGUUGUUAAUGAAUUGGUUAUAUUAAAUGUAUCAUAUAUUCAUUUUCAUCUAGAAGAAGAUGUUGCUUCUACUAAAUAUAUUAUGUUAGUUCUGUCAACAAUAAGAUUAAUCUAGUUGGAUUAACAAAAUAAUAAGAGGUUGGAUUAAUUUGUCUGUCAUUGUGAAAGUUUGGAAUGUAAUCCAAUACCUUUGGCCAUUACCAUUGACUUAAAACAAUUGUCUCCUUUGUUUUCUCCGUUAGGCUGAGUUGUUAAAGAGAAAAUAUACAAUCACUAUUGUCAAAUCUAUUUGAUUAGUAUAUAUAUAACAAUUGUGGUUAAUAUAUUCAGAAAAUGAUGAAAUUUAUAGUAAUCUUUUUAGAUACUGUCAUGUACCAUUUUUUUGUUUAACGAUUAAGAUCGAAUUUAUGCAAGUUUGCUUUUUAUAUAGAACUAAGAGAAUUCCACUAAAUUUUGCAUAACUAAUUAAUGAUUCCACAAAAUCUUACUCGUGUAUCGUGUGUCACACUUAAAAAUAAUAAUGUUGCAUGCGCAAGAAAAUUAUGUUGAUUUAUAUUUUAUUAUUCGUGGAUGAAAUUCAAAAUACUACGUGGUUAGCCGUAUGAGAUGGUGCACCAAUCUAUAUAUUUAUAUUUUUUUUUCAAAAAAAAAAAGAGUAGUUAUUAAUAAUAUACGAAGAGGAGGGAGAUUUGCUUUUUUUUCGUUAAGGUCAAUUUGUUCAUUAUCAUUUAAUUUACUUUUCAACAUUUUAAAGCUUUUUGAGGGCGACAUGGCAACAACUUUAUGCCAAAUAUUUUAACCCUCUAUUGAAUAAUUCGUUUCUUAAUAACAUACUUUUCGCUAACCUAGUCUCUCUUUUUUCUUUAAUCCUAUAAACUAUAGUAUCAUAUGAACAUAAAGAGUAGUUUCGUAGAGUUUUUUUUUUUUUUUUUUUUUUUUUUUUUUUUUUUUUUUUUUUUUUUUGAGGAAUCUGAUUUUAAGGAGACUUGAAAGAUAUAAUAUAAAAGUUACGUAGCCUAAUCUCAUUGUAUAUUAUGUAUGCUCUUUAACAAACAAAAAAAGUUGGCUCAAACAAAGUCGCCUGUGGUGGUUGAGUUGUUUGGGGUUUUAUGGAUACAACUCGUGAGAUUUGGA
rnacentral:lncRNA from 1 species